rnacentral:lncRNA from 1 species
AAGUCAGAAUCCGAUCAGACCUUAUUUACUCUUCAUGGUCCUCAAAGUAUUGUUGUUGUCCUUGUAUAUGUAGAUGAUAUUAUCAUCUCAGGCAAUGACACAACAUGUAUUCAAUCGACUAAAGAGUUUAUUAAAUCUGUUUUUGACAUUAAGGAUCUUGGAGCACUAAAGUACUUUCUAGGGAUAGAAGUGUGGCGAUUAGAAGAUGGCCUUUUCUUAUCUCAAAGAAAGUACACCCUUGAUAUCUUGAGUGAUACAGGUUUUAUGGAGGCAAAGUCAGUUAAGACUCCACUUGAAGAUGGUUACAAGGUCCAUCGAAAGGGGAGAAACCAGAAGAGCCGUUUGAAGACAUAUCCCUAUACCUUAAGAUUGUGGGUAAGUUGAUUUAUUUAACACUCACUAGACCUGAUCUGUGCUCUGCUGUGAAUCAGGUGAGCCAACACAUGCAAAAUCCCACUGUUUACCAUUGGAGCAUGGUGUAAAGGAUCCUUAGAUACCUCAGAGGCUCAUCGGGUCAAGGCAUAUGGAUGGGAAAUAAUGAUAGCACCGAGAUAGUUGGAUAUUGUGAUGCUGAUUGGGCUGGAGAUAGGAAUGAUAGAAAGUCUACAACCGUGUAUUGCACUUUCAUUGGAGGGAAUCUGGUGACUUGGAAAUCAAAGAAGUAGAAGGUGGUAUCUGACUCAAGUGCUGAAUUAGAAUACCAAGCCAUGAAGAAGCUUGCCAAUGAGCUUACUUGGCUCAAAGCCUUACUCAAAGACCUCAACAUCGAGACUCCAGGUCCCAUUACCAUUCAUUGUGACAAUCAGGCGGCCAUUCACAUCAAAAAAAACAGCCUUCCAUGAGAGGACCAAGCAAAUUGAGAUAGAUUGCCACAAGGUCCGACACAAGAUUGAAGAAGGAGUUAUACUCCCAUGUUUUACGAGAAGUGAAGAUCAGAUGGCUGACAUCUUCACCAAAGCUGCAAGACUCAAAGUCUGUGAGCACAUCUACAGCAAGCUGGGACUUGUAGACAUCACUCAAGCUUGACCCAAGCUCCCUGACCCGUAAAACAUUAUACUCUUUUUCCUUGGCAUAGUUUUUAUCUCAUGAGGUUUUUUUAUGUCAAGGUGUUAAUGAGGUAAUGGGUUAUGGGUCUUCAAACUUAGUACUACAUUCUAAGCUUGAGGGGGAGUAUUGAGCAGACCCAUAAUAACCUUAGACAUUGUAUGAGCUCGGUAUGAUCUUUGUAAGGAAUACUUAGGUGCUAAGUCGUAUAAUGGGCUCAGGUCUUUAUCAAGAUUCAAUAAGGGGCUUUGAGGCCCAAGUUGAUAUGUGUGUCUGCGUAUAGAAGACAGAAAAAAGGAGCAAAAGAACCGUUAAAGUCAAAGAGAAAGAGUCGUUGGAGUUAAAGUGCAACAUGUGACCUUAGCUGUAUCCAAGACUAAGGUCACGUCACUUUCAGGCAUUUAAAGCCUUUGUCUGUACCCAUAUUGUCUCGUGUGGAGACAAAAAAUAUCUUGUUGCUUUUAAAAUUCCUCUUGUCUAUCUAUAUAAAGAUAUAUCAUUGUAACCUUGGAACAUACAUUAAUGGAGACUUUUAUUCUCUUCAUCUCUCUUCUCGCUUUUCAUUUCUGCAAUAUUAUCACUCUGUUUUUCAAAUUCUAACAUUCCCCGCCAUGUAUCACCUGAAUCAAAUGGUAGUACCAGGAAUCAAUCCAACAACAGGUCAGCAGCAAAGUGUUUGUUUGCUAUUCUUGUUUGUUGUCUGCUUUACCAUGGAGUUGCUUGCAGUUGAUCUGAGCCUGCUUUUGUCUUACUCUAAAGAGGCCGCUUAACCAGUGUUUCCCAAGUAGGCAAGAUAGAGACGGACCAUCAGAACUCCAAUCAUUUUCAGACUCACUAAAAUCCCGAUUAAAUGCCUUCUCAACGAGGUAAAUCCCAUCUCUACCAACUUGGGCUGUGUAAGCUUUGAUCAACUCUGAAUCCAUUCUUGAUGCAAUUGAUAGUACAAAAAACAAUAUUAAGGAACACAAGAAGCUGUAAGGAUAGGUUUUUCUCUCAUGGCAUGUUAGUGGAAGAUCUUGGCUCAGAAGUUGGAAGAGAGGGUAAUGCUGGAAUUGCCACGAUGUCGUGUAUGAUGGACGUCUGGAAACAAGAGAAAACAGUGGAUAAAGACUGUAUCUGUAUCAGAUAACUCAGCAAAUAGUACUCCAAGUGAAUCAAACAAUGAGCAUAGAUCAGAGUCUAAUGAUGACCAUUUUGUGAGUGAAAGGUGUUCAGGGAGUGUGUUCUGCUAGUUCUGGCUCAAGCUGAGCUGCAUUCUCAGAAUCUGCAUCAGCGAUAGCAUCUUCAUUUGUGAAGGUUAGUUAACUUUGAUCCCCUUGAUAUAGUGGAGUUUAGUUUAAGAAUUGUUGUGUCCUUGACGGUUUUUCACAAUAAAGUAGUUGCUUUACUCAGCUUUGAUGAGCUUUUCUCGUUUACUCACAUUUUUUCAAAUCGGAAGUAACAAAAUUAUGAAAAAUGUGAUCCAUCCCCUGAGGUAAUAAAUUGUAAGUAACAAUCGCUUAUGAACUUCUUUUACUUAAGAUCUUUUUGUCUUUCAGUUUGAGCAGAGACAAGAAGAUGAUAUACUUAGAAGUCACUGGUUGUGUUCUUUUCCAUAAAGAAGUCAUUGAUGAUUGAAUGCUUAAAGGAUCUCUCAACCAUGAGGCAGGAGCCUCUUUGUGAAGUGCAUUGACAUACUCAUAAUUUUAUAGGUUUUAGCAUGCAUUUUACUUAAGAUUUUGUGUCUCAUGCAUGCAUUCUUAUAGUUUUCUUAGUGUUUUUGUCCAAAUUGUGUCAUUAUAGGUUUUGCAUUAGGUCCUAGUGUGUCUAUGCAUGUUUGGAGUGUUAUUAGGUGCUUUUGUAGAUUAAAAGAGACAUGGAGACAAUUGGGAUCGGAGCCAGUGCAUGACAAGAAAAGGAGAUGCAUUACCUCUGCCGAUGCAUCUCAAAGAUCAGUAAGAUCGAGGAUUUCAACACAGAACUGGCCUUCCAGCUUAUCAUAAAGGUUGUAGGUAGUCUAGCUACCUUUCCAUUGCAGUUAAAAGAAAGUUAUUCUGAUCGGUGGUCAGGAAGUUACACCCAAUAAAACAUAAGCAUGUCUCUCAGCCAAAACUCGGAUCAAGCCAAUGCAACUACAAGAUCGAGCUGAAUGGAAAGCGUACACACCGAUCCAGCCCUGGAAUUCUUCCUAAUAUUUGUUUACAAUUGAGUUUCCUUUACAAUGGAAGUGGUCUCGAGUUAUUCUGACCAGUUGCUCGAAAGUUAUGACUGAAUGAGCAUGAAGAUACCCGUCUUUUGGUUACAUGCCAAGGGUCAGUGUCUGGCCUUGCUUCCGCCGGUGAUCAGGAAGUGCUUCACCUGGGAAUCAGCCUUGGAACACUUUCAAGUCGACACAAGAAGCAGGUGCAAGUGAUGAACUCCUCAAGAAUCUGCACCGGGACACAUCCAAGCCAGUUCACAGACCAGUGCAAGUUGCGAAUACACCAAGAUUCUGCCUUGGUCAUUUGCCUUGGUCAAGAAGGGACCCAGUGCAGCUUGCCUCAGUCACUGCCUAGGCUCCUCUAACCCAGUGCAGCACUCAAUUCACAUGUUCUCCAUUUGCCUCGGCCACUACCUCGACUCAGAUCAUACCCGGUGCAACAUCAAACACUUCACCUCAGUUAGCACCCCGGGUUUGAAACAGACCAGUGCAGCCUGCGAACACACCAAAAUCUUGCACCGGUCUACUUUCUCGGGUGGUCUAACUCGGUGCAGACCAGUCUUGACCCUGUUGGAGCCGGGUCAGGAUCCAAUUUGUCCUGAGCUGACCUGGUUCGCCCACACUUAGUAUAUAUAUGUUUUUAACCUAAUUUUGCAAGAUAUCUUUCAUUCUCUUUAGUUUCCUUUCUUUUUUGGUGAAAGAAAUAACCUGUGUAAGAGAUAUCCCUUGUGUUAUUUCAAUUUAAUUUGGUUUCUUAUCAUCUUUCUUCUUUCCUUAAUUAUUAAUCAUGCUUAACAUCACUUUUUGCAAAGAAAAUAGUAUGUUAAGUAUGAUUAGUGAGUAUUCUUUCAUUAAGCUUUUGGUAUGUAGAUUAUGAUGUUUAGAUGCUAGAUUGUGAUGUUUAGGUGCUCGAUUCUACUUUUCCUAUUCUUAUUUGGUUGUUCUCUAUGCUAGAUCUUUCACAAUUAGCUUGAUCUAGACCGAAGGCAUUUUCCAUCCAGAAAGUGUUUAAUGAUAUGCCUGAAAGAGCCAUUUAAGAUUUUAAUGUUUUGAUCACAUGAGAAUGCUUGUUUGAAGAUUAAAUGGCAUGUUAGAUCUGAUUCUUUAUGAUUUCUGAUUAUUGUUGCACUAUUGAGAGUUAGGUUUGCUAAUGAUGAUUUGAAAUGUGAUUAAUGUCUUAAGAAAUGAUUAGUUUUGUUUAAGAGUUUUAAGUUAAAAAGAAAUUGUAUUUUUUGAAUACUUUAGUAUCAUAAAGUAGUAUUGAAUCAAUUAUCACACCUAGAGGCUUAGCUUUUUAUAUAUUUGAAUCUAUCUUUGUUAAGUUGUUAGUUGUUUUUUUUUUUGUUAACCACUUUGCUUGUUUAGUUUUAAUCAUUUGGUCUUGUUUAAUCACAACACCAUCUUGUUCAUUUGGAUUAAGCUAGUUUUUUUUAUAACUUUAGUGUUUAAAUCUUCAUUUGGAUGAACUUGUUAAGGAAUUGAUCUAAGAAAUAUCCUUUUAUCAUGCAUACAUAAAACUAAAGGAAGAUACCAUAGAAGAGAGAAAAUUGUGGGGUUGUUUGUCUAUUACCAAUUUCUCUUCUGUGUAUGUUAUUAUAUUACUAAUAAUUGUUGUUUCUUCAGCUUCUUGCAUGCCAAAUCAAAUUCACGACAAAUAUAUAUAUAUAUAUAUACUAAGAAUAAAUUUAGUGGGUAAUGAAUAUUCUGUAGUAUUGUUGAUUCUUUAAGGUUAAGCUUUGUUUAUCUGAUAGAAUCGAGUCUUGUCGGUGUCUAACCGUUGCUUUUCCUGACUCAUUAGAGCAGAAAGAUUGAUCUGUGUUUUACUGUAGAUCAAAGUCAAGCAUCUUUAUUUGGACACCACACAAGCAUAGGAGAGAGUUUUAACAAAGUCAGUACAUAUUUACAACAGAAAACUUAACUAGCAGAGACCGUGGAAAAUAACGUGAUCUUAAAUUUGAAGCUGAUGCAAGAUAGUUGCUUGCCAUUCUUGUCGUUCAUCGUCAUCUUAAGCGUGUAAGUGCCCUGUUUCAAAGAGACGUAUUGUUAGAUCAAGGAAGCCAAAUCUUGACCUAGCUGAUUAUGAUGGGAAACUGAGUCUUAAGACAAAUAGGAAGCAUAUCUCAAACCAUUUGUCAAAUGAACAUAACCAACAUAUCCUUAAGUUCAAGCGUUGAGAUAAAAACCAAGAUAUGGUCAAAAGGAAAUGAACAAUCACAUUGUUAGGAGAUCUUACGGGUGGUGUAAAUACAGGCAAAGUUUGGGAAUGAGAAAGGACGAAGCUGCCUGGUGCGAUCGGGCAGGAAGUCUCAUUGCAGAGGUCAUGAGUUUCGGUAUGGAUAUGAACCCCAACGAAUGAAACGCUGAUCACUACUUUUCCUCCAGAGAUGUCUUCAUCUAAUUCACAACAACACACAAGAUUUUAUCAAGGAAUGCACAAGAUUAUGUUUCUAACUUUUCAAUAAUAUAAAUAGAAGCAGGAAGAUCAUAAUUACCAGUAGAACCCGAUAUCUUAAAUGUUGCGGGUUUGCCACUCACUACGGGGUCAGGAGAGAUCUCCACACCCUUGACCUUAACGGGAUCGAGCCUCUUAUCUAUAACAGUCGCAAGUACAGAGCAAAAUCCAGUUCAGCAUAAGCAAAGUAAAAGACUAGUAGUAUCAUGCAGAUAAACAGAGAAGAGUAAAGUAUACAUCACUGAUAAAGAAACAUGAAAAUUUGAAAUGUAAAAAAAAAAAAAAUUAACCUUUAUGUAAUUGCAUAACCAAGAACAGAAAAUAACUUGUAUUUAACAGUCGCAAAAAAAAACAACUUGUAUUUAACAAAUAUUUUUAAAAAUCCCUAUUUUCUUGCAAGCAAUUGAUGAAAGGGUAAAUGAAGCACUCUACAAACAAACUUUUAGCAUCUAUGAAACUGAUUUUCACAUGCAUCAAGAGCGAAACAGAAAAAAAAAAAAUUAGUUUUUUGCAAGAAUUGAUUAAACCAGAGUCAUAUCAUUUUGUACCCUCAAAUUGAAAGUAGCAGAUCGGAGUAGGCUCUAAAUUCAAGGUCAAUAACCAAAAUUCAGAGUAAAAUAUGCAAUAUUUAAGGUUAUGUGAUGAGUCUUAACCAUAUUUGUUACUUAAAAGAGGAAGAAGAGAGUUUGGGUACAAACCGCAGGAGCGGAAAGAAGUGGCCAGCAGAGAAGGUAAGAGGAAGAGUGUGAACAGGAGAAGAAGCAGAGGAUGAGCGUGAGAAAUUGCCAUGGAUGAUGAGUGAUUUGCAGAUGGCGAAGAAGGAAUUGUGAUUUGAUGAAGAUGACGAGAUGAAGCUCGUCGAUUUUACAGGUGUCGAAAGAGUUUGGUAAGUAGAUAUGGAAUUUAACGGUUUCCUGAAUACACCGAACCAUCCAACGGUUGCAGAUUUUAGCUACAUUUAAAAACAUAUAUAUUUUGACUUUUUCAAUAAUUUUUUUUUGAUUUUCAAUAGAACUCUUGGUUGGCAAAUCAGUUGCUUAUUAUAAGAGACUAAAUGAAUAUCUGCAUAUAUAUAUGUAUGCGGAUUUUUUUGUUAAAAUAUUUUUUAAUUUGAUAAAUUAGUUAAUGCUUAAUAAUAAAAAAAUUUCAAUCAUUCCUGUUACAUAAAAAUUAAAAAUUGAAGUAAGAAAAGUUUUCUCUUCCAUUAUCUUUAAAAUAUUAUUUUUCAAAAUUCGCAUCAUUAUUUUUUUAUGAAAAUUUCAUUUGGUCUCGAAACAUAUUCGUACAUGAAAAAAAUGAUACAAUUACAAAUUUAGAUCAAUUUUUUCUUCACCAUUUUAAAAGAACACACUAAUAUUAAUGUAUAUCUGUGUGAAGGUGUCAAGUUUUACCUUAAAUAAAAUCAAUAGCCACAAAAUACACCGUUGAUCGAUUGUAAUACUUAGGGAUCGAAUCCACAGGGAAGGAAGGAAGUCUAGAAUCAAAAAAAAUUUAUAAUGGUUUUGGUAGUAUCUUUAAAACGUAAAAACUAAUCAACGAGAAAUUACGGGAAUUAAAAUGACCUAAUAACUAAACUUAAUGAAAUCGACUAAAAACGAGAAAAACGGCUAAACCUAAUUGCUUAAAUGAAAAUCAAUUAAGAGAAUGAAAAUAAUGAACUAAAGCUUGAAAUAAAAUCGAUGUAAAUCUAUAGGAAAGAAGGCGCUGGGUUUCAGAGAAGUUUUCUCUGGGGUAUGAACGAUUCAAAACAUUGUUAGAAAGUAAAUUAGAUAAGAUCUUAGCUUAAACUUUUCGAACUAGAGUCACGGACGUAUGAAUACGCCACUAUCGUGAUCAUAGACAACUAUCUCUCUUAACCCUGACCAGUAGGUUUCCACUCUGACCCUCGAAAAGAAAAGAUGCAUUAUAUUUAAGACUCGUCAGCAUUCACAAAUUGCCCAUAGGUAGGUUUCCACUCCUAUGUUUGUUUUGCUCUCCCAAACUAGAUCUGACACCGGAUGAACACGUUCGUGUCACCAAGCAUCUGGAUCAGAUUGUAGUUUAUGACACUACUCUCAUGCAGUAAAAAUAAAUUCAGAAGAAAAAGUUCUAAGAUUCGGCUUCAAUAGCUCAUGGAAUCCUCAUCGAACAUAUAUAUCCCCACCAAAAAUCCCUUAGACGCAACAAUAAAACUACUCAGACAUGAUGAACGAAAUCAAAAACAUAGUAUUAAAAAGUAGAGCAAUAAUCAAAAUUGAAAAAGAAAUAACAAGGGUUCAAGAGACAAAUCUCUCUCUCCCUAAACCUAAAAACAAAAGCUUAAAGUAAAAUUUCUUCUAAAAUAUUUUGUCUCUCCUAAAAACGACCUAAAUGAUAAGUAUUUAUAGUCUCCAAUGCUCUCUGGUGUCUAGGGUUCCGGAAUUGAGGCUGAGAAAAUGAUUUGGGCUUCAGAAAUGGGCCUUCAAGUUCGGAGAUGGCUGGCCGCGGUCGGGAAGUGCGUGACCGCGGGGAAUAGGUGUUUGGCCGCGGUCGGGAAGCCUCUAACCCUGGUGAAAUGGCUGUUGGUCGUGGGUGGAAAUGCUUGCCGGCUGGUUUACGGGACAUCUUGCUCUUGCGUAUCUUUUGAUUGAACCGUUAGAUUGCCAAGCUGUAAAGUGUGCUGGAAAGCUGAUACUUCCAUCUUUGGGAUCUCCAAAUUUGAGCUGGCUCAGACGGUGAGAAGGCCUUCAAUCGGGGGUGAACUUCUGACGGUUUGACUCUGAGCUGAAAAUCUGGUUUUCUAUCCAUUUUGUUAAGUUUUUCCCUAAGUUUCCAGAAAAGAGUCUUGGAACUACAAAUACUAGAAAAACGUAAUAAAAGUACUUGAAAACAAUAAAAACAUAGAAAAAGUAGUUCAAAACGAUCCAUAAAAGUGGUCAAAAUACGGUGUUAUCACACACACAUCAAACUAAGUAAAUUAACCAACAAUGAAUUAAUUUCUUCCACGACUGUCUCUCUCACUUGUUUGUCCUAGCCGCUUUAAACAGUACCUUAGAGUUUUUAGAGGCUUCUCCGUCGAGAGCCUCACCGUUCCUUUUCUUAAGUACUUUAGUUGGCUGGUAAAUCGAAUUGAACCAGGAGGCAGAUUCUUCUUCUCUGGCAGUGUGCAGCGUAGAGCAAUCUCCUCUUUGAAGUGGUGCUGUAUUAGAUGCAGUAAAGGUAGAUCGGUUUUGCGACUACUCCGUUGUCCCGUGCUGCUGGAGAACGGCGGUUGGAGAUCGGAAGAAAGGAAAUCGAGAAUCAUGAUUACUCCGUUGAUCUGUGCCAUUGGCGGAUGGCGAUUGGAGAUCGGAAGAAAGUGAAUCGAAACUAACGACUACUCUGUUGAUCCGUGCUGCUGGAGAAUCAUCCCAUACACUUGUCCCCGAGCUCAAAGAGGCACCAAUGACUCGUUCCAAAACAAGGAGACUGAGGGAAGGGUUCAAUUUGGCCGUAGAAGCAUUACUAAGCACCAUGGAGUAUGGAGAUGCAUUCAAAACCGGUUCACAAGAGCACUACAUGCGAGACAAUCCCAAAGGACCCGAUUUAGACAUAAAAGAAGAUUUUGCGUGUUUGAGCCUCAAAGAGAGUCAGCCUUGACGAGAACAAGGUAUGCAUGUUUACUUGGAAGGAAAUGGAGUUUGGAACACCAAUAAUCUCGAAGAGACCGCCUCGGAGCUUCAAGAUACACCAAUCUCAAGAAUAGAAACCAAUAGCAAUCAAAUGGAACAAGUGGAAGGUCUUGAAGCUGGACACGAGAAGAAACUCAAAGAACUCACAAGACACGACGUUAGCAGGACUCAAGACGAAGAAAACAUCAAGACUAACAAGCUACAUGGACCGGAAUGCGACUUAACCAACUUCACACCAAGCAAGCCCACAACCGGCCAUAACUAGGUAUUUUCGAUUUAUACAAUCUGUGCAGGUAACAUGGAAGUAUCCUAGUGGUGUCUAACACGCUAGAGAGCAUCAGAGGUCCACGGAAAAAGUCCAGAAAAAGUUGCACGUAGUUAGUUUUUUUUCUUUUUAUUUUCAAGUGAAUUUUCCAUUUUUGUGUCCAAAUUAGACGCUUUGCCAUUUUUGCUUUAAUUCUUUUACAAGUCGUGUUUUUUUUAGUCUUUAGUGUCGUUUUUCUUGUUAAGUGUUGAACCCUAGAAGGUUCAAAGCUGAAAGACUAUUUAUAAAGUCCCACACGUAGCUGUUGUACUCAACUUUUACCCUAUCAAUAAAAUAACGAUGUUUUCCUCUUAGCUUGUGCUUGAGAGCCUUUUGCUUGUGUUCUUGCGUUUGAGAUUCACCGAGAGAUAAGUUUGCAGUAUCAGAGAUUCUCACAUCAUCUAUGUGGUGCCAUCGAUCCAUUUCACAACCAUUCAUUGAUCCCUCAAGAGAGAGCGUCAUAGCCAGCUUGACAGAUCCCAUCUCGAUACAAGCCUUGUGGAAACAAGUCUUAUCUUACCAUCCCCAUCCAUUGAUCCACACGAGAGAGCGUGAAAGCCAGUGUGUUGAUCCCACCAAGCCAUUGAUUCCAAAAUCUUAUAAGCCUCACCCGAGUCUUAUAUCAUUUUGGUAUCAGAGCCAAAGGUUCCUGCCUUUGGUCUUCUAUCUUUUACACUUGUAGUUUAUUUGUUCGCACUCGUUUAGUUCUUUGAAUUCAUAAAACUGAAAACCCUAGAAAAAUUUAGUUAGUUUGCUUGCGUAUUCAUUAGUCAAAAAAAGAAAAAGAAAAAGAAUCCGUUGCAUUGUUAGUUUAAAACCGUCGUCUUUAGUUUAUUGCAACCCAAAUUUUGAAAACCCUAUAUAAGUUAUCUAGUUUUAUCUAAGUGCCGAGUUCAUCUAUUUUAGUGCCUUUUUAUUCGGUGGUACUUUUGACUUGUUUGUUGUUUUUUUUAGUACAAAGACAUUUAAGUGAGUCUAGUUAACACCAUGGCCGAUGGAGAACCAGUUCCGAAUGAUGCUCUUGUUCAAAUGAUGACCGCAAUGAGGGAAGAUUUAAGGAACAUAACUCAACAAAUGGGUAACAUUCGUCAAGAAUUUGGAGCAAUGAUAGACCGAGUUGAAGCACAACCAAGGAGAGCCCCAGUUCGAAGGGCACAAAUUCCAGCUGGUGAUGCGAGUGAUGAUGAAGAGAUGCCCGAGUUGGAGGAUGAUCUUCCACCCAAUCCUCUUCAACAUCGACAAUAGAGGAGACCGGAUCCUCUAAGGAGGAAUCCAGCAAGGGUAGUAGAUACUCGAGAGAAAACUCAUGAUCUUAAACUAACACCUCCUACUUUUUGCAGGAAAAUCUGAUCAUGAAGCAUACUUGGAUUAGGAGAGGAGACUAUAGCACAUCUUUGAGUGCUAUGGCUACACUGAACACAAGAAGGUGGCUGUUGCGGCAGCACAGCUCACUGACAAUGCAUUGGCGUGGUGGGACAGAAAUGUGGCCGAGAGGAGAAGGCAACGUUUUGGACCGGUCAUAACUUGGAGUGACAUGAAAUUCCUCUUACUUAAGUAUGUACAUGAACACUAUCAUAGAUACUUACAAAAGCGUUUUCGCAAGUUGUCUCAGGGAGACAGGAGUGUAGAUGAGUACUUUGAGGAAUAUGAGAAGCUGAUGAACUCACUGGAGCUAGAAGAAUCGGAUAAGGCCUUAAUGGCACAAUUCAUUGACGACUUGCAAGAGAGAAUUGCAAGAAAGGUGGAGAGAGCUCAAUACAGUGGAUUGCACAAGUUGUUUCAUCUUUCCGUACAAGUGGAGCAGCAGAUCAAGCGCAAAACAACCCUCACCAACCGCAACCGUACGAAUCAAACCUGGAACACCAGCAGCUCUAAACCCGUAGACAAGGGCAAAGCCGAAGAGAUCGACUCAAGGUAUAAAGGCAAAAAUGUCGAGGCUCCCAAGUUCAACCGAGAUGAGCCAGGUAAGUCAUCUAACAAUACUUCAAGAAUUCGUGACAUAACAUGUUUUAGAUGUCAAGGUAGGGGUCACAUGUCAAGGGAGUGUCCAAAUUAACGAGUCAUGAUCAUCACACCUAGUGGGGAUUAUGAAUCUCAAGAUGAACAAGAAGACGACUCUAAUGACAUAGAUGAGGAGGUCGAGUAUUCUGAUACUGGUGAACUAUUAUUAACUCGCCGAGUACUAAGUGUUCUUGUUCACCCCGAGGAAACAGCCCAAAGAGAAAACAUUUUCCACACUAUAUGAACCGUCAGAAACAAGGUAUGUAACCUUAUUAUAGAUGGUGGUUCAUGCACUAACGUGGCUAGCAAGUAUAUGGUGGACAGAUUAGGUCUUGAGAAGACAAAGCACCCUCGCAUUUAUAAGUUAAGGUGGUGAAACGAUCAGACCGAGCUCAAGAUUUUCGAGCAAGUAUCAGUGCCUUUUAGUAUUGGCAAGUACCAUGAUCAAGUCACUUGUGACGUGGUGCCAAAGCAAGCAGGGCAUCUACUACUCGGUAGGCCGUGGCAAUUUGACCGAGCAACAAACCACAAUGGCUGCACCAAUCAUUACUCUUUCAUGCACAAGGAGCGUAAGUACAAUCUUGCACCUCUUAGCCCCACCGAGGUACAUGAAAUGCAAGUGCAUAUGAACAAAGAGGCUGAGAUAAGUAAAAAUAAUCUUUAUCUAUCAUCUCGUGAUAUUUGUAAAACCAUGAGUGCCAAUGGCACAGUGCUACUAAUGAUGUUUAAAGGGUGUUUGAGCGCAGGCAUAGGUGACUCUGAGAUCCCACCCAAAGUGCAAACUAUCCUGAAUAAGUUUAGAGAUGUGUUUCCCGAAGAGAUACCCCCAGGUUUACCACCACUUCGUGGAAUAAAGCACCAAAUUGACUUAGUUCCCAGAUCAACAUUGCCCAAUAAGCCAGCUUAUAGGAUGAAUCCUGAGGAGACUAAGGUGUUAGAGAGGCAAAUGCGAGACCUAAUGGACAAAGGCUAUAUCCAGGAGAGCCUCAGUCCUUGUGCUGUGCCAGUUCUCGUAGUGCCAAAGAAAGAUGGUACAUGGAGAAUGUGUGUGGACUGCCGUGCCAUCAACAUCAUCACCAUCAAAUAUAGGCACCCCAUUCCACGCCUAGAUGACAUGUUGGACGAGCUGAGUGGAUCCACAAUCUUCUCAAAGGUGGACUUAAAGAGUGGAUACCAAGUGGAAAACCGCAUUUAAGACCAAACAAGGUUUGUAUGAGUGGUUAGUUAUGCCUUUUGGCUUGACUAAUGCACCAAACACCUUCAUGCGCCUUAUAAGAACUAGGUUUUUCGAGCCUAUAUAAGUAAAUUUGUAGUUGUUUAUUUCGAUGAUAUACUUAUAUAUAGUAAGAACCUUAAUGAUCAUCUUCAACACCUCGAACUAGUGCUUAAAACACUUCGCAAGGAAGACCUAUAUUCUAACCUUAAGAAAUGCAUAUUUUGUACUAACCGGCUUGUUUUCUUAGGUUUUUUAAUAAGUGAACAGGGGUUACAAGUAGACGAGGAGAAGAUCAAGGAAAUACGAAAGUGGCCUACACCAACUACAAUCGGCCAUGUCAGGAGUUUUCAUGGUUUGGCCAGCUUCUACAGACGUUUUAUGCGAGAUUUCAGCACGGUGGCAGCCCCACUCACCGCGUUGAUCAAGAAAAACGUGCCAUUCUCAUGGGGACCAGCUCAAGAUGCAGCUUUUGAAGCCAUGAAGAAACGUUGAACCCAAGCACCUAUUCUAGCCCUACCUGAGUUUGAUGAAAUGUUUGAGGUGGAGUGCGAUGCAUCAGGAGUGGGAAUUGGAGCUGUGCUAAAUCAAAGAAAGAGACCAGUGGCAUUCUUUAGUGAAAAACUAAGUGGAACUACAUUAAACUAUCCCACAUACGACAAAGAGUUAUAUGCCUUAGUCCGAGCAUUGGAGACUUGGCAACAUCACUUGCUGUCCAAGGAAUUCCUUAUUCAUACUGAUCACGAGACCUUGAAGCACUUAAGAGGACUAACCGCGCUUAAGAGACACCAUGCUAAAUAGCUGGAGUUCAUAGAGACUUUCCAUUAUGUGAUCAAGUACAAGAAGGGGCAAGAGAAUGUGGUGGCCAAUGCACUCUCAAGAAGACAUGCAUUGAUCUCUACUAUGGAGGCAAAGGUACCCAGGUUUGAGCAUAUCAAGGAGUUAUACAAAGAUGAUCCAGAAUUCGGAGAAGCUUAUCAAGGGCAUGGAAAAUGAGCUUUUAGCUCGUACCACUUGCACGAUGGGUUUCUUUUCCGAGACAAGAGGCUAUGUGUUCCCCAAGGAUCUUUGAGGGAUCUAUUGCUGAAGGAGGCACACGGUGGAGGCUUCUUGUCAUUUUGGAGUGGACAAGACACUGGCCGUGAUAGCUGAUCACUUCUUCUGGCCGCACCCCAAGAAAGAUGUGGAGAGACAUUGUUCACGCCGUGUUACUUGUCACAAGGCCAAGUCCAGGUUACAUCCUCAUAGUUUAUACUUACCUUUACCUAUUCCUAAAGGACCAUGGGUGGAUAUUUCUAUGAAUUUCGUACUAGGCUUGCCCAAGAUCAGGCACAAGGACUCGAUCUUUGUUGUUGUGGAUCGCUUUUCAAAAAUGGUGCAUUUCAUUCCCUGUGACAAGUCCAAUGAUGCCACACAAAACGCAGAUUUCUUCUUCAAAGAGGUGGUGAGACUAUAUGGAGUGCCAAGAACGAUUGUGUCUGACCGAGACUCUAAGUUCUUAAGCCACUUUUGGAGAACCCUUUGGAGAAAGCUUGGCACCAAGCUUCUAUUCUCUACAACUUGUUAUCCUCAAAUGAAUGUACAAACUGAAGUGGUAAACUGUACAUUAUCUACUUUACUUAGGGUCACUCUUGGUCGAAAUUUAAAAAAGUGGUUAGAUUUUUUGCAUUUCAUUGAAUUCGCUUAUAAUCAUGCUACUCACUCGGCUACUAAGAUGCCUCCUUUUGAAGUUGUGUAUGGUUUUAAUCCAUUAACGCCCUUGGAUCUUUAACCCAUCCCACAAGCUGAGCAAGUCUACUUAGAUGGUCUUAAGAAAAGGGAUUUUGUGAAAAAAAUACAUCAGAAGGUCCGAGAUAACAUAGUGAAGAAAACGGAAGAAUACAAAAGGACGCAAGAAACUUGUAUUCGAACCAGGAGAGUGGCUUUGGCUGCACAUGAGACCAGAAAGAUUCUCACAACAAAGGAUCUCGAAGCUUGCACCUUGCGGAGAUGGGCCUUUCAAAGUUCUAGAAAAGAUCAAAGACAAUGCGUACCGAUUGGAACUUCCAGGUGAUUUUAAUAACUCACAUAGUUUUAAUGUUACUGAUUUGUCUCCUUGUGAUUCAUGUAAUACAGUUUUGAGGACAACACCUCUUGAAGAGGGAGGGAAUGAUGAGGUCAUCAAACCAGAAUCAACCCAUACACUUGUCCCCGAGCUCAAAGAGGUGCCAAUGACUCGUUCCAAUACAAGGAGGCUGAGGGAAGGGUUCAAUUUGGCCGUAGAAGCAUUACUAAGCACCAUGGAGCUUGGAGAUGCAUUCAAAACCGGUUUGCAAGAGCACUACAUGCAAGACAAGCCCAAAAGACCCGAUUUAGACAUAAUGGAAGGUUUCGCGAGUUUGAGCCUCAAAGAGAGCCAGACUCAACAAGAACAAGGUAUGCAUGUUUAGUUGGCAGGAAAUGGAGUUCGGAACACCAAGAAUCUCGAAGAGACUGCCUCGGAGCUUCAAGAUACACCAAUCUCAAAACAAGAAGCCGAUAACGAUCAAAUGGAACAAGUGGAAGGUCUUGAUUCUGGACACAAGAAGAUACUCAAAGAACUCACAGGACACGACGUUAGCAGGACUCAAGACGAAGAAAAAAUCAAGACUAGCAAGCUACAUGGACCGGAACGCAACUUAAUCACCUUCACACCAAUCGAGCCCACAACCGGCCAUAACUAAGUAUUUUCGAUAUGUACAAUCUGUGCAGGUAACAUGGAAGUAUCAUAGUGGUGUCUAACACGCUAGAGAGCAUCAGAGGUGCACGGAACAAGUCCAGAAAAAGUUGCACAUAGUUAGUUUCUUUUCUUUUUAUUUGUAAGUGAACUUUCCAUUUUUGUGUCCAAAUGAGACGCUUUGCCAUUUUUGCUUUAUUUCUUUUACAAGUCCUGUUGUUUUUCGUCUUUAAUGUCGUUUUUCUUGUUAAGUGUCAAACCCUAGAAGGUUCAAAGCUGACGGACUAUUUAUAAAGUCCCACACGCAGCUGUUGUACUCAACUUUUACCCUAUCAAUAAAAUAACGCUGUUUUCCUCUAAGCUUGUGCUUGAGAGCCUUUUGCUUGUGUUCUUGCCUGUGAGAUUCACCGAGAGACAAAGCAGUAUCAGAGAUUCUCGUAUCAUCUCUGUGGUGCCAUCGAUCCACUUCACAACCAUUCAUCAAUCCCUCAAGAGAGAGCGUCAUAGCCAGCUUGACAGAUCCCAUCUCGAUUCAAACCUUGUGAAAACAAGUCUUGUCUUACCAUCCCCAUCCAUUGAUCCAUACGAGAGAGCGUGAAAGCCAGCGUGUUGAUCCCACCAAGCCAUUGAUUACACAAUCUUAUAAGCCUCACCCGUGUCCUAUACCAAAAGGUAUUCAAGACUCACGACUAUUCCGUUGACCCGUGUCACAAGAGGUCGGCUGUUGGAGAUUGGAGGAAAGCGAUUCGAGACUCACAACUACUUCGUUGACCCGUUCCCCUAGUGGACGGUGGUUGGAGAUCGUAGGAAAGGAGUCACGCUGAGGCGGCGCCGAGAUGCGUUUUCACGGUGGAAAUCAAAGAGGUGAUUCGGAGGAAGAGCACUGCAAGUCGAUGGUGGUUUAGCCGUGGUUGGUGAUUCGACCUAAGCGACCCAAGCGAUUUCUGGCGGUGGCGAAGGGAGUUUGCUGGCCCUAAGCAAGCCAACGUUUUUGGUUUCUGCCGUUGACCAGAUCGACAAUUAAGCUUUGAGAAUAAUUUGGUUUUUUACUUUUGGUUCAAUUUCGAUUGUAAAUCUGGUUACUCUUGAUUUGGGUCGCAAAACUUAUAUAAUAUUUCUAUUUAAAAAAUGGACAGUAUACACAAAAAUAAUCUUUUUAUAUGGUGUGAUGCUACAUCAAAAAAUAUUCUUUCUACAGUGGAUCCAUGAUUCAAUAUUAAAAUCAUAAAUAAUCUUUUCAAACAUAUUCUUAAUUAAUUUUGUUUAUGACUAACUUUACUCACACAUCUAUUGAAAUUUCCUAUCAACAUGUUUGAUCAUGAACGGAACCUGAUGACCCUUGACCAAUCUUAUCUGUAAAACAUGAAAACUUUGAAUUUAUUCUAUAAUUUCACAAAUAUUUUCCUGAAUGUAUUUUGCUUAGUUUUAUGGAUGUGUGCUGGAUGAUAAACUUAUCGGAAACCAAUAUUUAUUAAAAUCUACAAAUAUUUUGUUUUUAACCAUUUAAAUAUCUAACUAUUUUAUUACAGAAUUAAAUAUCGCAGUUUGAGAUGCCAAACUAUUUUAGUCUCAGAGUUAGACAACACUAAUACCAUGUUAACCCUGUAACUAACCAUUGUUGUGAAAACUUAGAUACUUUAUUAAUCACUGGAAUGUAUAUAUAGAGUACAUAUGGAAUCUAGGUUAAGUACAAUGCCCUGAUGGGCCUAAUGGGCCGGUAUAAGAGUCCAUAUAUGAUAUGUGUUAUAACACUCCCCCUUGGACGAGUGAACCGGGCCAGCUACUCAAUCGGGAUCUCGAUAAUGCGCUGGGGAAUGUUGCCUCAUUAAAACCUUACCAGGAAAAACCCAGUGGGACAAAACCAUGGUGAAGGAAAAAGAGUACAACACGCAUUACUCCCCCUGAUUGUAGCAUCACUGCAGAUCUCUAAGUCUAUACAUUCCUAUCUGUUUGACGAGCUUCCGGUGUGUUGAAGUAGGCAAUGAUUUGGUGAAGAGGUCAGCUGAAUUCUCACUGGAUCGGACCUGCUGAACGCUGAGAGUGCCGUCCUUCUGCCAGUCUGAGGUUGAGAAGAACUUCGGUAGAAUGUGCUUCGUCCGAUCUCCUUUGAUAUAUCCUUCCUUGAGCUGAGCUAUGCAUGCCGCGUUGUCUUCAUACAUCACCGUGGGCUGUGUGUCUUCGUCCAUACCACAAUCUCUGCGGAUGUGCUGAGUCAUGGAGCGCAGCCAGACGCAUUCCCUACUAGCCUCAUGAAUGGCUAGGAUUUCAGCAUGGUUUGAUGAAGUGGCAGUGAGUGUCUGCUUCAUUGAUCUCCAAGAGAUGGCUGUUCCUCCAUGCGUAAAAACGUAGCCAGUUUGAGACUUGGCAGUGUGCGGAUCUGAUAGAUAUCCUGCAUCGGCAAAGCCGACUAACCCAUCUUUAUUUUUGUUAGUAUAGAAGAGUCCUAAGUCUUGAGUACCUCGAAGGUAUCUUAGGAGAUGUUUUAUACCGUUCCAGUGCCUCUGAGUUGGGGAUGAACUAUAUCGAGCGAGGAGGUUCACGGCGAAACAUAUGUCUGGUCUAGUGUGACUAGCCAGGUACAUUAACGCUCCUACAGCACUGAGGUAUGGCUUUUCAGGACCAAGAAUUUCUUCAUCAUCCUUUUUGGGACCAAGAGGGUCAUCACUUAAGCUUCUAACUACCAUUGGGCUGGUCAAUGGGUGAGCUUGGUCCAUAUUAAAUCGCUUGAGUACCUUUUCGAUAUAAGCCGAUUGAUGCACAAGGAUUCCUCCUUUGAUGUACUCAAGUUGUAAUCCCAAACAGUACUUUGUUUUGCCUAGGUCUUUCAUUUCGAAUUCUGCUUUUAAGCAGUCGACUGUUUGGGAGAUCUCACCAGAUGUUCCGAGGAUGUUUAGAUCAUCCACGUAUACUGCUAUGAUUACAAAUCCUUUGUUUGAGUACUUCUUGAUGAAGAUGCAUGGACUGAUGGGGUCAUUUUUGUAGCCUUCUUUGAUGAGGUAAUCGCUGAGGCGGUUGUACCACAUACGCCCACUUUGUUUCAGUCCAUACAAGGAUUUGUUCAGCCUGAUGCAGUAUUGAUCUCGAGAUGCAUUUUUGUCUUUUAGUUCAAUGCCAUCUGGGAGUCUCAUAUAUAUUUCGUUGUCCAGGGGCCCAUAGAGAUAUGCGGUUACAACAUCCAUUAACCGCAGAUCAAGAUUUUCUCUUAUGGCCAGACUUAUGAGGAAUCGGAAUGUUGUUGCAUCCACCACUGGAGAAUAAGUCUCCUCAUAAUCGAUUCCGGGUCUCUGUGAGAAUCCUUGUGCUACAAGCCGUGCUUUGUAUCGAACGACUUCACCGAGUUCGUUCCUUUUGCGCACAAAGACCCAUUUGUGGCCCACUGGCUUGAUGUGUGAUGGGGUCCGGAUGAUCGGACCGAACACGUUUCUGAGUUUGAGACUCUUUAACUCCACGUUUAUGGCUUCUUUCCAUUUUAGCCAAUCUGUUCUAUGUGUACACUGUGUUAUUGACGUGGGUUCUAGAUCCUCUUGCGUGAGCGCAAUAUCAAGUGCUACUUUGUAUGCAAAGAGUGCAUUUAAGUCGACUUCUUUUCGAUUCCAUUGUAUUCCGGACAUAUUGUAAUUGAUGGAGAUCUCAUUGUUAUCUUCUGAACCUGGAGAUUCGGCGUCCCGAACUUCCAUUGAGGGUUCAUUAGAUUGAGUCUCAGCCACGGCUAUGUCUGAUAUUGCAGGAAUCCCGGUUUCGGUUAUUGCACCUUUCUUUGAUUUCCGGGGAUUCUUAUCUUUGGAACCGAGAGGUCUGCCCCGUUUGAGACGUGGUGCAGACUCUGUAGCAACUUGGGUCUGUCCCGUUGGGACGGCUAUUCGUACUGGUGCAUUACAAGCUGGGAUGUACGAUUUGGUUACUUUGGUCGGGUCAGCAAAGGAAUCUGGCAAUUGAUUAGCUAGCUUUUGAUAAUGAAUAAUCUUUUGGAUCUCUGAAUCACAUUCUAGAGUCCGAGGAUCUUGCCAAUUUAAUGAUGUUUGAUUCCAUGAAAGAUCUUUGACCAGCUUGUUUGUCUCACCACCUAAAGAGGGAUAUACCGAUUCAUCGAAUUGGCAAUCCGCAUAUCUGGCCUUGAAGAGAUCUCCAGUGGUUGGCUCGAGAUAUCUUAUGAUGGUGGGAGAGUCAAAACCAACAUAUAUUCCCAUCCUUCUUUGAGGUCCCAUUUUGGUUCGAUGUGGUGGAGCAAUGGGUACAUAUACUGAACACCCAAAUAUUUUGAGAUGGGAGAUGUCUGGCUCAUGACCCGAGAGUAGUUGGGAUGGGGAAUAUUUGUGUUCACUAGAUGGCCGGAUGCGUAUGAGUUCAGCAGCAUGUAAUACUGCAUGUCCCCAUGCUGAGGCCGGGAGCUUUGAUCUCAUGAGUAAUGGUCGGGCUAUCCAUUGAAUGCGUUUAAUGAAUGAUUCAGCCAAUCCAUUUUGAGUAUGGACAUGUGCUACAGGAUGUUCCACGGUUACCCCCAUGGCCAUACAGUAGUCAUUAAACGCUUGUGAGGUAAAUUCACCAGCAUUGUCAAGGCGGAUAGUCUUUAGUGGGAAGUCAGGGAAAUGGGCCCGCAAUUUGAUGAUUUGGGCCAAGAACCUAGCGAAGGCUUGGUUCCGAGAGGACAAGAGACAAACAUAUGACCAACGGGUCGAUGCGUCUAUAAGGACCAUGAAGUACCGGAAUGGUCCGGAAGAUGGAUGUAUAGGUCCACAGAUAUCGCCCUGGAUUCUUUCUAGGAAAUGAAGUGUUUGUUUAGAGAUUUUAACUGGUGAAGGCCGAGUGAUCAAUUUGCCUUGAGAACAAGCUGUGCACAUGAGGUGUUGAGGAUAAGCUCGGUUUUCUUUGAGGGUAUGCCCUUGAGAGUUUUGAAUUAGUUUACGCAUCAUAUUUGCACCGGGAUGACCGAGCCGGUCGUGCCAAAUAGUAUAAUCAGUAAACCGGGCUUUGAGAGUGGUAUUAGCUUCAAUCAUACUGACUUUAGCAUGGUAAAGUCCAGUAGAGAGCGCGGGUAUGGUUUCGAGGAUUUGUUUAUGGCCGUCUACGGUUUUAGUGACUAGGAGGGAUUCUUUGUUCCCUUGACCUUGGGUUUCUAUGUGGAAACCAUUCUGUCUUAUAUCCUUGAAGCUCAGAAGAUUUCUCUUCGAACUAGGAGAAUAUAGAGCAUCUGGUAUUUUAAGUUGUGUGCCAUUUGAUAGCAACACAUAGGCAUGGCCAUAUCCUUCGAUAAGGUUUGAGGGACCCGCGAUGGUGCUAAUAUUUGCGGUUUGAUAGGUUAGGUUUAUGAAGUAACUUUUGUUUCUUAAGAUAGUGUGGCUGGAUCCACUAUCUACGACUAUGGUUUCCAUUUGCUGGUGUGCUUCAUUAUGAAUAGAAGAUAGAAUUCGGUAUUGAGAAAUUCAGAAAAUGUGAUAAAUCAUAAAGUAAAGCAGUGUCUGAGAAUAAAGGCAAAUGGAAAAAAAAAAAAUGAAACAAAUCCCAAAAUGAAAAAAAAAUAAAGAACAAAAUCAAAUUGUAUCAGAGUUUCAGAUGAUUGAAUUAAUCGAGGAGAUCAGCUGUUUCAUAGUCCAUGGGGUCGGUCUGCUCGUUUGUGGUGUUCUCAUCACCAAGGAGGUCGUCACCUUCCAGGUUAGCAGCAUCGACUGGCUGAGUCAUGUUGGCUUCAGCAGGAGCUUUUCCGUACUUCUGGUAUAGAUCGCAGUGGAUCUUGGGGGUGCGACAUUGCUUUGUUGGGUGGUUGAACAUCCCACAUCUGGUACAAGCAGAGUGAUCGGGGUUGGUGUGGCGGGUCGGCUUGGUGAUGCCUCGACCACGACCAGGACCAUAACUGAGGUUAGGUUGGUUGCCACGACCAUGUCCGCGUCCACGUCUUCCACGUCCAUGUCCUCGGCCAUUACCACGUCCAUUACCACGUCCACGGCGGUGAUCUGAGGAUCUAUCGGGUUGAACAUGGUAGGACUCUUGACGAGAAGCUGGGACAGGAGCCGAUCCCGGGGGCCUCAUAGCGCUGUUCCUCAUAAGCAGCUGGUUAUUCUUCUCAGCGAGGAGAAGACAGGACAACAAGUCUUCGUACAAUGUGUGUUUCAUUGCACGGUAUUGUUGUUGGAGCACAACAUUCUCUGUGCUGAAUGUGGAUAAUGUUUUCUCGAGGAGAUCAUUAUCUGUCACAUUCUCGCCACAGAGUUUCCGGAUGGCAACAAUACGAAAGAGUUCGUUGUUGUAAUCAUCUACGGAUUUGUAGUCCUGGAACCGAAGGUUCUUCCAGUCGAAAUCUGCCUGAGGCAACUGGACCAUUUUCUGAUGGUCAUAUCGCUUUUUCAGCGCUUGCCACAAUUCAAGUGGAUUCUCAAGAGUGAGAUAUUGCUGCUUAAGGCUCGGGGCCAGAUGAUGGCGUAUGUGACAUAUCGCCUGAGACUGUCCCUUACGGGAUGCGGUGUUACCGUCGGUAAUACAUGCAUCGAGUUCUUUCGAUGCAAGGAACAAGCGCAUGUCUAGGGUCCACUCGAGGUAGUUAUCUCCGGAGACGUGAAGGGCCUCGAAUUCACAUUUCUGAAUGUUUGACAUCUGAAACAUGAGAUUGAUUUUGUUAGGGAUUGUUUUGAGAAAAUUUUGAAUGCUGAUGAUGAAACUUUCUAUUUUGAGAAUAUUUCUAUUUUAGGAAAGUUUCUAAAUUUGGAAAGUUUCUAAUUUGGGUAAUUUUCUAAAUGAGGAAAGUUUCUAUGUCGGGAAAAUUUCUAUAUGAGGAAAGUUUUUAUAUGAGGAAACUUUCUAUUAGAGGGAACUUUCUCAGAAAUAGUAAAUUUUAAAGGGUAUGGUUUUAGUUACCCCGAACAUGAUGUCGGUUUAAUAGCUGUGAUUUAAUCGGUUAAAGCCGAAUAUAAUUUCGGUUAAUGAGAACCAGGUUUAGCCGGUUUUAGGCGGUUUAGGAGGAACCCUAGGGGAGCCGAAUAUGAUUAGGGUUUUAUCUAGGGUUUUAACGGUUUGGAAAACAUAUUUUGGAUGUGAUUUCGAGAUCUAUAGGAUCUGUGGUCGAUGGUUUUAAUAAUUUCACAAGGACAACAAAGAAAUCACGUGAAAAGGACUAGGGUUUAAGCAUUAUGACUUACGAUUUUGAAGAUUACAAAAUCGUGAAUCAAGCUUAGGAUUUAGGGUUGAUUUUCUUAGUUUAUUCAAUCAAGUGUUUCAAGCAAGAGAAUCAACAAUCAAAUAAGCUGCAACAAGCUUAUUAAACAUGAAGAAAAUCGAAUAGGUUUAUGCCAUAAACAUGGCCAAAAACGGUUGUUAGGUUUUUGUAGAUUAGGGUUUUAUAAAACGAGUUUAAAACCUUUGAACAUGCAUAAACUUGUAAUUUAAACAAUCAAUCAACAAGUUAUCAAUCAAUCAUCAGAGUAUCAAACACUUUCAAUCAAUUAGAGAUCGAUUUUUUUUUUUUUUUAUAGGGUUUUGAAGUGUUUAAACAACAGGUUCUAUGGCUUUCAGUUUUAGAAGAUACCUUUUCCACCUUUGGAUUUCUGACAGGCUAAUGAAACUAGGAGCUAAUAGACCUCAGUUAGCCGCUACAAAUUCCAAGGAUUGAUCACCAAAACUGGAGAAGCUGCUGGUUGAAGAAGGAAAAACUCGGAUCUGGUUUUUUUUUUUUUUUUUUUCGGUUGAUCGUCGUGUACUGUAAGUGUGCGUGAGGGCGCGUCCGACGUUGGAUCGACAAAAGGUUUUCACCAGUAGAUUCGUCUCGUCGAGGGCUUCGAUUUGAUAUGUAGAUCGUCUUCUGGUUCCUCACGGUUUGGAAGAUAUGCGUCUUUUAAGUUUCGACUUGCUUUUAGGGUUUUGGUGGUGGCCGGAUUUAUUAGGGUUUUUCGCUCAGAGAGUCUUAUCGUGCUGAUAACGUGUUGUGAAAACUUAGAAACUUUAUUAAUCACUGGAAUGUAUAUAUAGAGUACAUAGGGAAUCUAGGUUAAGUACAAUGCCCUGAUGGACCUAAUGGGCCGGUAUAAAAGUCCAUAUAUGAUAUGUGUUAUAACAACCAUUAAAUUUUUUUGUUGAUUCUUUAAUGUUGUUUCAUUAUUCAAGACAACAAUUUUUAAACCCUUUAAAGUUAUUCUCUUUUCUUCGCCUUAUUCUUUAAACUCUUCUUUAAAUAUAAUUUUUUAUUUUUAAAAUAUAAAUUAUAUAUAUAUAUAUAUAUAUAUAUAUAUAUAUAUAUAUAUAUAUGAAUGAGAGUAUAAUGAUUCUGUACAUAAUGUACAUAAUUAUAAUGGGUAUCGUUCACAAUAAAAUAUUUAAAAGAAAAAAAAAGAGAAUGCCCAAACAAACAAAAAAGAAUUUAACAGUUACAAUUUUUUAGCACAUUUUUUUACCUUUCAGCGUAUCAGUUCUUUGAAUAUACAAUCCAAUUGAAAAAUAUAUUUGAGUGUAAUGUAAUUGGAACAAUAUUUGGACUCCCAAACUAAUACAACAACUUCUACUUCAAAGCAAUAAAAUUUCUUCUUUUUUUUUUUCAGUUUUCUCAAUAGUACUGUUGGACUGGUUAAUUAUUUGUUUUUUUGUUCAAUUAAUUUUUCUUUUUUAAUUUGGAACUUUUUUAUGUGAAUUGAUGAGUUAAAAAUCUUUCAAAGUAUUAGUUGUCUUUCUAUUUAAUAUUUUGAUCCAUUUGCCGCCCUAUAAAGCACAAAUUUCCUAUUAUUUUAUUUUUAGUUUUAGAUUCAAUCAACCAUUUGAAAUACACAGAAUUUAGACAAUAAAUCAAUAUAUAAAAUAUCCAAAACUCGCAAGUUAUGAAUUCUAUAUUCUCUAUCACCAAUAAGGCAAUAACUCCUACUAUUACAAGUACACUAUCAACCUCUUAUCCAUCAGGAGCUUAGGCAAAUCUCCAUUUUAAUUACUAUCAACUUUGAUCAUCUGCAAUCACUAAUGAGAAGUCAAAGUCACCAAAAACAAUCUUGAAAAUAUAUAGCCUUAAAUAUCCCAAAUUAACAGUUUUAGGAAAUUGACCACUAGUUUGGAAGGGCAUACAAGCAAACUAACGAACCAAUAGAUGAAUAUAAAUUUAUCUAUGCAACAGUUUCUUAUAAGCAUAUAUAUAUUGUAUAUAUAUAUAUAGUUUAAGUAUAGUUUCUAUGUGUUGACCUAGUCGUUGAAAGUACUACACCAUUCCUUAAACCCUAUUUGAAGAUCAAGAAUUGUUUUCAAACCAUCAUGCAAGAUUGUGUUUGACCUUAUAAAUCAAUUGUUAGGGUCGGUUUUACCCCAAUCGGAUAAAACCAUCUCGAAAAUGACUAAGUACCGGAGAAAACCAAUUAGGCAAGAAGGAACAGCUGCCCGCCAGAUACGAACCGAGCCGACCCACGAAACAAGUGGGCCGAGCUGUGCUCACCAAGACGAGAGGGCCGAGCCGUGGAAAAAGAUAGAUGGGCCGAGCCGUGAGAGGAGUAGGCCAAACUCAAGUGGGCCGAACCGUGAGGAGGAAAUGGGUGAGCCGCGUAUGAGAGAAGAUGGGCCGAGCCGUACACCAGUGAAGAUGGGCCGAGCCGUGUGGGCCGAGCCGUUACCUUUCGAGAUGGACCGAACCGAAGUCUUGAAGGGAGAAAGCCCAUAAAAAUCCUAGGCGAUGCCUUGAGGCGGUGGCCGCAUAAAGCGAUAAGGAAAUGUUCCUAAAAUCUCUCCCGAGAUUCUCGGCUAGGCGGUUUAGAAAGUUAGUAUAAAUAGGACAAUGUAUGCAAUUCAUUCGGUAACUUCGGAAACCCUAAGCAACAAUACCUAAACACUUUCACAGCAAUAAAAACCUUCUUUGAUCUUACUGUUCUUGCGAUUACCCUAAAAAUUUCAGAUCCCUUAGUUUUUUCUUACAAAUCUUUGGUUGUGCGAGUUUUGGCUCACACAAUUUGGCGCCGUCUGUGGGGGAGUCGAAACUUUUUUACUCUAAAUCGACGAGACUUUAAGAUCUGAAGAACAUGGCGAGCAACACCCUCGACGAUAACAACAACAACAACAACAACGAUAACGGCGCGGAGAAGGACGCUCCAGCAUCAGGCACAACGACGGCGACGACCGAAACCCAAGAGGAGAUGCGAAACAUGAUGGCUGCAUUGAUGAAGAUGAUCGACGAGCAGGACAAAAGAAAUGAGGCGAUUACAGAGAGGCUCGACGCGAUGGCGGCCGAGCAACGACACCCAAAUUGGAGAGCCAGAAUCUCCGACUCGAUAGAUGGAAUCCGGAGACGCUUCGAUUUCUCAAUGCCUGCAAAGGCCUCGGGAAGCGGCGCAAGGAAUCCCUUGGCUCCACCAAUGUUUCGUCCUCUCGGCGAGCAGACUCCCGCGGCAACCCGAGUCAACAUGACCGAGCCGCCUCCACUCCGUCGGAACUCAAGGCGACGAGCCGGCGAAGAAGAGAAUGACGCGAUCUACGUGGACGCCCAACAGAACGAUGGAACCACGAACUCGCAACAGAACGGCUCAGCUCGGCGAAUAAGCCAAGAAGAGCUCGGCUCAGCACUAAAUGGCGUCCGGACUGACGAAAUCACCGAUCCGGCUCGCGGCGACAACCCGACUGAAGAAGAAGAAAACCUCCAAUGGAUCGAGCAGGCGGAACGCGAAGACGAGCCGAGGAGAGAAGAGCGGGAGCGACUCCCCCAAUCAAAGGGAAUGACUCACACGCAAACCCUCGAAAUCAAAGAGCUGCGAGCCUCAAUGGCUCGGACAGUAGCCGAGAUACGCGCCAUGAUGUCUCAAGUGCAUAACGCGACGAGUGCUGCGCCCGAGAUCGGUCGGAUGCUUGAAGAAACCCAGAGAACACCGUUCACGGCGAGAAUCACGGAGGCUAGGAUUCCCGAGCCCGGGAAGAUGAGAAUACCGUUCUACGAAAGAACGACCGAUGCGAAAGCACACAUCACAGCGUUUCGGAUAGCAAUGGGACGAGCUUUCACAAAGAAUGCUGCCAAACUGACCGAGCGGGAAGUAGAUGCCGGAUAUUGCUUGCUCUUCGUGGAACAUCUCAAGGGAGCCGCGCUCGAGUGGUUUUCAAGGCAGGAGCGGAAUUCAAUCGGCAGUUUCCAACAGCUCUCCGCCUUGUUCCUUAAACAAUACUCGAUGUUUAUGGAUAGAGGAACUUCUGAUGCCGACUUGUGGACGUUAUCCCAAGGACCAAACGAACCGCUUCGGGAUUACAUGGCAGUUUCAAGGCGGUCGUAUCCAAAAUAGAAGGAAUAAGCGACAAAGCUGCUCUCGAAGCUCUGAAAUGCUCUUUGUGGUACAAAUCCGAAUUCCGACGAGAAAUGGCACUCAACACGCCACAAACGAUUCAAGAUGCCUUGCAUCGGUCAUCAGACUUCAUCAUAAACGUGGAAGAGAUGAAGAAUCUAGACGAGCAGUACGAAGCAACGAAAGCAGCAAUCCGAAGCUCAAUUUUGACGCGCCCCUCAAAGAAAGGCAAUCCAUCAAAGAACGCAACAACGCAGAGCUCAGACGAACUUAGAAGCGGAAGUGCCCAUAACUACCAAGUAGGCACUGAACGCGGAAAAGGAGAGCCGCGCAACAACACUUGGGUAAGAAAGCCCACCAACUACGACGAAAAAGCAUUCUGCGAGUAUCACCAGACCUACAGACAUUCAACGGCACAAUGCCAAACUUUAGGAGCAAAACUCGAAGCUAAGAUGGCGGCGGGAGAGCUCCAGAACGCGGUUAACCUUAAAGACCUCGUCCCUAAUGAACUAAAAGAAGGAGCCGAGCCGAGCAGCGCGGCAGAACCCGCAAAUCCUCCCCGACGGAGCGAUAACACAACAUGAUCAUGGGUGGAUCUCAAUAUUACCAAGAUACGGUGUCCUCCAUCAAAGCUUAUCAGCGCCGAGCCGAAGCGAAAAAAAAUUGGACAGAACCGACCGAUAUCCCGAAUACAGUGAUCUCCUUCGCCGAGGAGGAAACGGCAGGAAUCGAUAGACCACACAACGAUCCACUGGUGAUCAAACUGAUGAUCAGGGAUCACGAUGUAGCGAGGGUGCUCAUCGAUACUGGGAGCUCGGUAGACGUCAUUUUGAGGGAGACACUCAGAAGGAUGGGAAUCGAUCUCUCCGAGGUGACGACGAUCCCCAAACCUCUAACCGGAUUUUCAGGAGAAACAACGAUGACUAUGGGAACAAUUAGGCUCCCUGUGGUAGUUGGCGGAGUCACUAGGAUCGUCGAAUUCUGCAUCACCGAUCACCCAGCAAUCUACAAUGCGAUUAUGGGAACUCCAUGGAUCAACGCGAUGAGGGCGGUCCCUGCCUCAAAUUCCCGACUCCAGCAGGCAUCAAAACGAUAUGGGGAAAUCAGAAGGAGUCGCGAAUGUGCUGCUUAGCGGAGCACAAUCUGAGGAAUCCCGUCACCGACGCAUGAGCAGACAUAGAUCGCAAAAAGAUGAAGACGGACCGAGAGCCUGCAAACGAGCUCUCAAAACUCUUAUAGAAAUUACAGAUCGCGGAGAGCCACGAAACGCGCACCGAGCCGGUAUGUGAUGCAGUGGACUCGGUGUGCAUAGACGAAGCGUGUCCAGAACGAUGCGUCGAAAUCGGAGCCAAACUAGAAGAACCUCUGAGAAGCAAACUUCUUUCCCUCCUCAAAGAGAACAUCAACACUUUUGCAUGGACAGCGGAAGAUAUGUCGGGCAUAAACAUCGAUGUGACCUGUCACGAGCUGAACAUGGACCCAUCCUUCAAACCAAUCAAGCAAAAAAGAAGGAAGCUCGGACCCGAACGAGCUAAAGCAGUUAACGACGAAGUGGAGAGAUUGCUCAAAGUAGGAUCAAUUGCCGAGGCCAAAUAUCCAGACUGGCUUGCGAAUCCAGUGGUUGUGAAGAAGAAGAACGGCAAGUGGCGGGUCUGUGUAGAUUUCACUGACCUCAACAAGGCGUGCCCAAAAGACAGUCCCUCUACCGCACAUCGACCGGCUCGUCGAAGCCACUGCGGGAAAUAGGCUGUUAACAUUUAUGGACGCAUUCUCCGGCUACAACCAAAUCCUGAUGCAUCCUGAUGAUCGGGAAAAAAUGGCAUUUAUAACUGAUCGUGGGAUAUACUGCCACAAAGUCAUGCCGUUCGGACUCAAUAACGCAGGGGCAACAUAUCAAUGGCUCGUCAAUAAAAUGUUCGCGGAUCAGCUCGGAAAAACCAUGGAGAUAUACAUCGACGACAUGUUAGUCAAAUCACUCGAAGAGAAAGAUCAUGUCGCGCACCUACGAGAAUGCUUCGAACAGUUGAACAAACACAACAUGAAACUGAACCCGGCGAAGUGCAGAUUUGCGGUCACCUCGGGGGAGUUUCUCGGCUAUCUGGUAACUCACCGAGGCAUCGAAGCGAAUCCCAAACAGAUCAAGGCAUUAAUCGAGAUGCCCUCUCCAAGGAGGAAGCGAGAAGUGCAAAGGCUUACUGGAAGGGUCGCUGCGCUAAACAGGUUCAUUUCCCGUUCCACCGACAAGUGCCUGCCUUUCUACGACACCCUUCGGGGAAAUACGAAAUUCGAGUGGGACGAGCGAUGGGAAGCAGAUUUCCAUGAAUUGAAGAGUUAUCUGGCAAGCCCGCCGAUCUUGGCGAAACCAGUUGAAGGAGAGCCUCUCUUCCUCUACAUCGCCGUAUCUGCUACAACUGUGAGUGGGGUGCUUAUAAGAGAAGAACGAUCCGAGAAAAAACCCAUUUUCUACGUCAGCCAGACACUGACCAACGCCGAGACCCGCUACCCCCAGAUCGAGAAAGUCGCCCUAGCCGUCGUAAUCUCGGCUCGCAAGCUGCGUCCGUAUUUUCAAUCACAUUCGAUUGUGGUGCUCGCUACACUUCCGCUGCGCUCGAUCCUACACAGCCCGAGCCAAUCUGGCCGGCUCGCCAAAUGGGCCAUAGAGUUAAGCGAGUACGACAUCGAGUAUCGGAACAGGUCGUCCCCAAAAUCACAGGUGCUUGCAGAUUUUCUCAUCGAACUUCUGGCCGAAGCGAUGAACGAGCCAACCCCAGACGAAGUAUGGAUGUUGCACGUCGACGGAUCGUCGUCUAAACACGGCUCGGGAAUAGGAAUCCGUCUCACCUCUCCCACCGGAGAAAUAUUGGAGCAGUCUUUUCGCCUGAAAUUCCACGCCUCGAACAAUGAAGCAGAAUACGAAGCGCUGAUCGCCGGCAUACGACUAGCACAGGGAAUCAGAGUUCGAAAGAUAAGAACCUUUUGCGAUUCACAGCUCGUAGCAUGUCAAUUCAACGGCGUAUACGAGGCGAAGGACGGACGAAUGGGAGCUUACCUCAAGGUGAUCAGAGAGUUGGUGCAAAAGUUCGACGAGUUCGAAAUCACACGAAUACCCCGAGGCGAAAACACCUCGGGUGACGCCUUGGCAGCACUUGCUUCGACUUCAGACCCGGAUCUCCGACGGACACUUCCAGUCGAAUUCAUCGAACGUCCUAGCAUCGAAGAGGUAGAAGGAGUUCGGCUGAUAAACCCUCCCAAGCAGGAACCAGAAAACGACGAAGCAGUCGCUAUGGAUGUAGACGCCUCACCAGCCGAGCUGGAGUACGGCUGCGACAAAGAAUGGUUCGGAGCAAUCCGAGUGUAUAUCGCCGAUGGAGAAGUACUAACCAACAAAUGGGAAGCCCGCAAUUGAAAGGCAUCCUUGGUCUCGAUACGCCUUUUAAGCAAUGCCACCUUGGCGCUUUUGGCUCUCCUAGCUUCCUCGAGGCGAAUCACCGAGGCGGAAACCUUGUCGAUAUCGGCACGAAGAACUAUCUUCUCCUCUUCUAGCCUCGACACCCUGGUCAUCGCCUCGUCCAGCUUCCCCUUCGCCGCCGCGGUCUCGUUCCGGGCCUCGUCCAGGGGACGUUCGACCUUGGACAGGUCCGCCUCGUAUUCAGCCAUCAGCUCGUUGAUGGCUGCUACAAACUGCAAAGAAUAAUACGCGUUAAACACUUAGUAAGAAUUUGAUAAAAUAAGGAGAGUAAACAGAACGUACCUUGGUACCGCGCUGUGCCCUCGCGCCAUACGACCUCGGUCUCCUCAGCUUCUCAAGAGGAGGAAGACGCGUGUUCUCAUUGUUAACAUGUGUAAACAUCAUUGCCGAGGCGUCAGGGUCGUCGACGACCAGUUUGCAUGAAGCGGGAUCACCGGGAGCCUGCUUGCGCUUCUUCUUGGCCGGCUCGUCCUUUUGAAUAGCUACGCCCUUCCCCUUAUCAGCGGCCGAACGUUUUCGGCCAGAAUCAUGCUUCUGUAAAACCGAAGUCGGGGCCUCGAUGACUUCGAAAGAGCCUGAAUAGCCGAGUUGGAAGGAGUUUUACUCCGCGCCGCAGAGUCAUCUUUGGGCGCCUCGGGAAUAAUUUUGCCCGGUUCCACCUCGGGCACUGCUUCUUUCUCAGUCAUCUCGGCAAUGUUCGCCUCCGCGGCUUGGACCAUGCCUUCACCUUCACGGCUCGGCGGAUCAUCCUGAGGGACAGCCUCGGUCUCUGUUUGAGCCGCCUCAACGGCUCGUCUCACAGCUUCUUCUUCUUCACGCCUUUUCUUAUCUCUAAGAGUAAUGAUCACCAUUUUCUCCCUUGUGUCUAGUGAGGAAUUUGAAGACGAAGAGCUAACAGGAACUCCGGCAAGAAUGGUUCGUGCUCUUUCCACUCUCUCGAAUGUAAAAUGCUUCCUCCAAUUAACUCUCCGAGCCACAAGAGAAUCUCGGACAACAAAGAGGUCGUCAGGAAUUAGGGGAAGAAUGUUCCGAACUGCAAAAACAACAAGAAAAUAAUCAGCUUAGUAAGGGAAGAUUAUACAAUAACAGUUCCGAGCCGAGGCAAAUCUUCGGAUCGACUACCAAGUGGUCCCCAAGCAGUCUUGGUUUUUUGAACGUAAUCCUCGCCGACUGACGCCUCAUUCACCAAGACAAAGAAGAAGCGCUCGGUCCAAAACUGAUCCUUGAUUGGAAAACCACCUAUGAUCCGGCGGUUGGACUUGUUGGAGAUGUAAAAUCUGUCUCCCUUCGGAGCUUUUCUGAUCUCCAACAAGUUUAGCAGGUGAUUCAGUUCGAUAUCGAGCCCGCAUUCAAAACUUCGAACCAGAAUACCGAUCAUGUGCCGCAGACCCCUCGGCAUGAUCUGCCCGAUUGAGAUCCCAUGUUUCCAGAGGUACUCAAGGAUAACUCCGGGGAUCGGGAACUAGAGAAAACAAAGCCCAAAGAACGCCUCGAACAGAGUAAAGUGAUUCUCAGGGGUUUGUCGGCUUGGUCAUUCUUCUCUGGAAGGACGAACUCUACCGCCUUGGAUAUCUCGAAACGACAUCUCAACGCCUCGAGUGAGUCAGGGGAGGAGAGCGUAGAGCCGGGCGGGUCAGGUUUUUGUCUUUUCACUCGUUUUGGCUUCCCUCGCCCAGAUGAAGAAGCACCUCGGGAUGCCAUGAGACGUUCUAAUUCACGCUUCGCCUCGAACAGAUCAAAGGGAAACGCUUCCUCCUCAGCUUUCACUGCAGCAUGAUUAACAUCUUCGUCGAGAGCGGGACCUUGAGGGCGGCUCGUCGAAACCGACGGCUCGUCAUCUGGAGAGCGAGCGCCUGACGGACUUGAGCAAUUCGACGCCUCGUUGCUUUCGGAUGAACGGUUAGAAGGGCUCGGCGAGAUAGACGCCUCGGAGGACCCUGUUACACCUCUCGCCUCGGCGUCUACACGGCUCGGCCCGUAGUCAAAGAGUGAAUCUAAUGAAUCGUUGGAAUGGUUCGACAUGAUUUACAGCUGGAACGGAAAAUACAAUUCUACGCGGCCAACUUUCAUCGGAAAAAGAUCUGAGGCAGCGGAAACCUCGGAACCCUAGCCGGAAAAUAAAUAAACUAGAGAGAGAAAGAAGAGAGAAGGGAGAGCUACCUUUUAGUGAAAACGAAUGGAUCUGAAGAUUAUGAGAAGGAACGAAGGAGCUCACCUAUUUAUAGGAAAACCAAAGCGCGUGAAGUCCGCGUGGACCUCGGGAUGGCGCAAAGGUGUUCAGUGGGGGCGCAUGAAGUCCGCGGCGAAUGCGUAACCUCUUGGCGCGUCCGUCAUACACGCCAACACUCAAGAUGCCUUGGAAAGAACUAACAGCCGCUCUAUCCAGAUAAACCGAGCACAUGACACAGCUAUGGUUAUCUGAGAAUAUCUUAUCAAGCUGUGUGAGCCGAACCAUGCUUUGUCGAUACGGCUCGACAAUUUCAUAAGAACGCCUCGUCGUUAUCGUUAACGCGAAACGGCUCGGCAAUCUUCUUAGAAAAAAACGCCUCGUCGUUUAUUCUGCUCGGCAUAACUUUCACAAAACGCCUCGUCGUUUAUUCGGCUCGGCAUAACUUUCACAAAACGCCUUGUCGUUUAUUCGGCUCAGCAUAACUUUUACAAAACGCCUCAUCGUUUAUUCGGCUCGGCAUAACUUUCACAAAACGCCUCGUCGUUUAUUCGGCUCGGCAUAACUUUUACAAAACGCCUCGUCGUUUAUUUGGCUCGGAAUUACUUUUACAAAACGCCUCGUCGUUUAUUCGCCCCGGCAUAACUUUCGCAAAUCGCCUCGCGUACAAUCCUUUUCCUAAAGAUAUCUCAUCAAGCAGCACAGAUUGCGCCACGCCUCGUCGUUAACAAAACGGCUCGGCAUUAUCUCUUAUCUUGACACGCCUCGUCGCUAUACAUAGCUCGGCACUACAUAAACACCACGUCGUUGAAAACAGCUCGGUGCUAUUUUUGUCAAAGUAACCUCAUCUCUUAACGGCUCGGAAAUUUCCUUCGAACAGCCUCGCCGAAGACAGCUCGCUUGUAUGCGUCGUCAAAGAACGGCUUGGCAUUUUUAUUCCCAAAACGCCUCACCUGGAAUUGUUCUGCGACGGUUUAACUCGAUAUUUUAUCCCAUGGCUAGGAGCAAUGAACCUCGUCACUCUUGUAUCCGAAACCGACGAGCUGGGGGGCUAACUGUUGGGGUCGGUUUCACCCCAAUAAGAUAAUACCAUCUCGAAAAUGACCAAGUACCGGAGAAAACCAAUUAGGCAAGAAGGAACAGCUGCCCGCCAGAUACGAACCGAGCCGACCCAUGAAACAAGUGGGCCGAGCUGUGCUCACCAAGACGAGCGGGCCGAGCCGUGGAAAAAGAUAGAUGGGCCGAGCCGUGAGAGGAGUAAACCAAACUCAAGUGGGCCGAACCGUGAGGAGGAAAUGGGCGAGCCGCGUAUGAGAGAAGAUGGGCCGAGCCGUACACCAAUGAAGAUGGGCCGAGCCGUGCAAGAAGUAGAGUGGGCCGAGCCGUUACCUUUCGACAUGGACCGAACCGAAGUCUUGAAGGGAGAAAGCCCAUAAAAACCCUAGGCGUUGCCUUGAGGCGGUGGCCGCAUAAAGCGAUAAGGAAAUGUUCCUAAAAUCUCUCCCAAGAUUCUCGGCUAGGCGGAUUAGAAAGUUAGUAUAAAUAGACAAUGUAUGCAAUUCAUUCGGUAACUUUGGAAACCCUAAGCAACAAUACCUAAACACUUUCACAGCAAUAAAAAUCUUCUUUGAUCUUACUGUUCUUGCGAUUACCCUAGAAAUUUCGGAUCCCUUAGUUUUUUCUUACAAAUCUUUGGUUGUGCGAGUUUUGGCUCACACAUCAAUCAGUUUUCUCCAUGAUCGCCUAGAAUUGUUUUUUGUGGCGAUUAAGUAAUGAUCUCCCCAUUCUUUUAUUAUCAGCCUUCAAAAAAACGAAUAUCACUUUUUCUACUACUUAGUAAGUAUUGAAAUAUUCUGCGAUCAACAGGACCCCUUUGGGAACCCACUCGCGGUAUCCAGUUUUCGGGAGCCACUCCAAAAUACUCGUUUGUUGCAUGGCUAGCUGAAAAAUACAGGAUCUCAACUGGGACGAGAAUGGCGAAAUGGAAUAUCUCGGCGUCUACAGGAUGUUCUUUCUGCGACGAACCAUUUGAAAGCAGAGAACAUUUAUUCUUUGCAUGCUCAUAUACAAAAAAUGUGUGGAAAGACCUGGUGGAUGGGAUCAAGGGAACUGGUUUUACAAACCUUUGGAUGGAAGUGAUUGAAAGCAUAACAAAUCGGCCAUAUGAUAAAACUAGAACUUUCAUCAUCCGAUACAUAUUUCAAGUAACGGUUCAUGCGAUCUGGUGCGAGAGGAAUAGCAGAAGACAUGGAGAAAAACCAACUCCACCAGGCAUUCUCAUCAAGAAUUUCGAUAUUGUAAUGAGGAACAGGCUGAGUACUCUUCAACUCAAAGGCAAGGGGGGGGGGGGUGUACGAAGAAGGGCUGUGUAUUUGGUUCGAUGCAAGAAGAAACCCAUAACAAAAUGGUUUCUUUUUAAGAGUUUUUCAAAUAACGUUAACAGUUUAUUUUUUUUUCUUGAAUAUAAUUUAACAUUUUAUUCAAAAAAAAGUAGUAUAUAAAUAUUGGAAUUUGAAAAUAUAAUUUACCGAGGUAGAGAUAGUGGAAUGAAACCCUAUGAGAAUAUUAAUUUGCGGAAGACACUUAUCACAGGUAAAGCAGAUCUGCCAUAUUCUACGAAGCAAGUUGGCGGGCAUGGACAGAGCAGCCCUUCUCAAACUCUCAUCAUCCUCAAGAUCCAAUCAAAACUCAGCAGAGUGUUUUUCCAUCGACAUGGUUCAGCUUCAUUCAAAGGUAGAGGAAUUCAUCAUCGAUUUACCUUUCUUCUUUUCUCUACAAUCACAUUACUUGCUUCACACAGGUUUCAGUUACUCACAUGCCAUAUGUAAUCUUGCUUAUAAAAAUAUUUCUGUAAGUGAGAAGAGAUUAGAUAAAUAAAGUAUGGAGUUUUAAAGAAAAAAAGAAAGAGUACAAAAUAUGUCUUCUUAAAAGAGAGAAUAUAAGUAACAUAAUUUAAAGAGGUGUAUUAAAUAAAGAAUCGCAGUUGGAAGAGUGAAAUUUUAAUGGUUCUCUGUUGACUAAGAAUUUUUGAGAACUGCAAAUGUCAUUUUUAAGAAGAAAAACUUGAUAUUAUUAUGAUUUUAUCAAUGCUGAUGUGUCAAAAUGGUAGAUGUUGAUGUGUCAUGAUUGUGAGACACAACUCAAUUUUUAUAUAAUAGAUAUUGCUUUUCCUAGAUCAAGCAAAAACUAUGGAAUGGAGAACAAUGUUACUUCUGGUCGAGUAAUUGGUCUCCUUUUGGGAACAUAAAGAGGUACCUGUCUUAGGAAAGACCUGUCUGUAUGGGUAUUCCAUAAACCACAACAUUGGCAGAGCUUUGGAAAAAUGGAAAUUGAGUGAUGCCAGCUGCACGAUCAGAUUCUCAUGUUAGAGUCCAGUCAUUUCUCUCUACUUUAUCUCUAACUGAAGCGCUAGAUUACUAUGAGUGGUGGCCUGACAAUGUUAAAUUCUUUGUCUACUCAACAAAUGUUAUCUACAACUUACUAAGAGAUUUCUAAAGGUAUUCAACUUUCUUGUUUGGCUGAUGGUUUUGAAUCAAAACCCAACUCGUGACAGAUUAAUUCAAUGGGGCCUUCAUACAGAUCCUAGAUGCCUCCAUGCAACAGCCAGGUAGAAUCUCGUUCCCAUUUAUACUUUGAAUGCAGUUUCACUUGGGAAAUCUGGAGGAAUCUCUCAUCUCGAUGCAAUUUUGCAUCCCCUCGCGACUGGAACUCAAUACUGGUUCAAUUGAGAAGCUUCACGGCUUCAAAAUUACCGAGAAAACUGCUCCUAAUUGUCUGGUAAUCAACAAUAUAUGCAAUCUGGUCAGAGGGGAGCAAUAGAUUGCAUCGACAGGUAUUCAAAUCUGUAGGAACAUUAACCCAAGAGAUAGACUCACUGGUGAGGAUUUGGAUCGCUGCUCGUAGAUGGUAGUGACUUGAUGUGGUCGUGUCGAGGGUUGUCAAGUUUUACCCUAAAUGAAAUCAAUAGCCGCAAGUGCACAGCUGAUCGAUUGUAGUACUUAGGGAUCAAAUCCACAGGGAAGGUGGAUCUUUCCUGCAAAAGCCUUUAAAAGAAAUAUAAAGUAAGGAAGUCUAGAACCAAGCGAUUUUUGUGAGGGUUUUGGUGGUGUCUUUAAAAUGUAAAAACUAAUCUUAACAGGAAAAUACGGGCAUUAAAAUGACCUAAUAACUAAACUUAACGAAAACGACUAAAAACAAAAAAAACGGCUAAACCUAAUUGCUUAAAUGAAAAUCAAUUGAAAGAGUAAAGAUACUAGACUAAAGUCUGAAUGAAAAUCGGUGUAAAUCUAUAGAAAAGAAGGCGCUGGGGUUCAGGGAUGUUUUCUCAGGGGUAUGAACGAUUCAAAACAUUCCUAGAUAGUAAAUUUGAAAAGAUCUUAGCUUAAAAUUUUUGAACUGGAGUCACGGACGUAUGAAUACGCCAUUGUCGUGAUCAUAGACAACUAUCUCUCUCAACCCUGACCAGUAGGUUUCCACUCUGGCCUUGGAAGAGAAAAGAUGCAUUAUGUUUAAGACUCGUCAGCAUUCAAAAAUCGCCCAUAGGUAGGUUUCCACUCCUACAUUUGUUUUGCUCUCCCAAACUAGAUCUGACAUCGGAUGAACACUUUCGUGUCACCAAGCAUCUGGAUCAGAUUAUAGUUCAUGACGCUACUCUCAUGCAGUAAAAACGAAUCAGAAGAAAAAGUUCUAAGAUUCGGCUCAAUAGCUCAUGGAAUCCUCAUCGAACAUAAGUAUCCCCAUCGAAAAUCCCUUAGACCCAACAAUAAAACUACUCAGACAUGAUAAACAAAAUCAAAAACAUAGUAUUAAAAAGUAGAACAGAAACCGAAAUUGAAAAAGAAAGAACAAGGGUUCAAGAAAUAGAUCUCUCUCGCCCUAAAACCUAAAAACAAACCUUAAAGUAAAAUUUCUGUAAAGUAUUUCGUCUCUCUUCUUCCUCUCCUAAAAACGACCUAAAUGAUAUGUAUUUAUAGUAUCCAAUACUCUCUGGUGUCUAGGGUUCCGAAAUUGAGGCUGGGAAAAUGAUACGGGCUUCAGAAAUGGGCCUCCGAACUCGGAGUUGGCUGGCCGCGGUCAGAAUGUACGUGACCGCGGGGAAUGGAUGACUGGCCACGGUCGGGGAGCUUGUGACCGCGAGGAAUGGGUUGUUGGCCGCGCGUGGAAACGCUUUCCGGCUGGUUUAUGGGACAUCUUGCUCUUCGCGUAUCUUUUGAUUGAACCGUUGGAUUGCCAAGCUGUAAAGUGUGCUGGAAAGCUGAUACUUCCAUCUUUGAGAUCUCCAAAUUUUAGCUGGAUCAGACGGUGAGAAGGCCUUCAAUCGGGGGUGAACUUCUGACGGUUUGACUCUGAGCUGAAAAUCUGGUCUUCUAUCCAUUUUGUUAAGCUUUUUCUUAAGUUUGCUGAAAAGAGUCUUGGAACUACAAAUACUAGAAAAAUAUAAUAAAAGUACUUGAAAGAAAUUAAAAACAUAGAAAAAAUAUUUCAAAAGGAUCCAUAAAAGUGGUCAAAAUACGGUGUUAUCAACUCCCCCAGACUUAAACUUUUGUUUGUAAAGUGGUCAAAAUACGGUGUUAUCAACUCCUCCAGACUUAAACCUUUGUUUGUACUCAAACAAAGCAAAAGUCUAAACUGGUUAAGUGAAAACAAAAAUAGGAAAUGCACAAAUCUCAGAGACAUGAACUCCUAAAUUAGGACCAAAGAUCGUGCAUCAAUCCACAACUUAGUCUAGAAAAUUCUCACCAAUACACAAAAGAUACUAGUCCACUUUUUCCGUCAUGCAAAACUUGAACAAUCUAAAUCUUGAUUCAAGUCAACUAGCUCUCUACAUUCAUUAAAUGCAAUAGUGAAUUCUCAUUAAAGACAUCAUCCAGGGUAGACGACAUUAAAGGGCUGUUUAAGUGGUGGAGUUAAAGUGUUUCGGGUUACCUGAUGAAUCUGGAGGAUGCAAGACAAUAUGCAAAACCGCAAGAGAGAUAAGGACCUGUUGAUGACCGCAAUUUUCAGUCACUUCUUCUUGCCCAAUGUUGUUGCAUCCUUUCUUGUAAACAGCUAUUCCCCCAGACUUAGAUUUUUUCCGGGAAUCAGAAAAUGAUCUCCAAAACUCCAUAAAAAUCGAACUCCAGUUGCCUUUGGACUUAAAAUUCGACCUUCAGUUGCCUUUGGACUUAAAAUUCGACCUCGCUAUGCUAUUUAAGGCUUUUAUUUCCUUUCCUUUCUUAUUUUCGGAAUCUUUUUUUUUUUUUGGAAAGGAAAUGCCUUUUAAAGAGAGAGAGACUAGAGGACGAGAUUGUACCAAAAUUUGAGAUUUUUCUAAGGCAAACUGAGCUUCCUCUUGUGUUGAAUCCUUCUGGGAGCUUUUCUGGCUAAUCGCAGGUCUCUGUCUUUGGUGACUGAAAACUGCGUCGUUCCUCUUUCUCUCCAACGUUUUUACACAUAUCUGCAUAUAAGACAAUAGAAAACAAGAGUGCAUGUGGUUUGAAAGAGGAUUGGUUAAGGUGGGGAACUAGAUAAAGAUGAACUAGCCAUUCAAGAUCAACAUAGAGUAAUAAAAAGGAUAAAGGAGUCCUGAAUGUAUAUAUUUAGAGUGCAUUUUAGAGUCCUCAUCAUGUGUUUUCCCAUGUAAAUUGAGUCUUUAGGCGUCAAAAUAGGAUUUAGGGCUUGCAUUAGGUCCCAAAGAGUUUUGCAUGUUUUGAAGUCUUAAUCAGGUGCUUUGGAAGUCAUAUGGAGCUUAAGAAGAGGAGCAGAGAAGAAAACGGUGAAGAAAAGGAUCAAAAAUGGUGAAAACCGCUUGGAGGAAUUUCUCGGCCAAAACUCGUACCGGCUGGACAGAAACCUCGGUCAAAAAGCUUACCGAACGCUCAUUACCGGCCAAAACCCUUACCGAUCGACGAAAAUCGACCAAAGACGAGUAUCGGGUGCAAAAUACCACGGGUUAAGUUUUGGCUGAGGCGAGAAGAAUUUUACGGCUAAAAAGCUUACCGCGGUACAUAGCCCUCAGUCAUUUUCCUUACCGCGGGAAGCUUUUCUCGACCAAAACCUGUCUUUGCCCGCGCAUUUCAAAUAUCAGCAAUCCGGGGAACCUUCCGGUCCGAAUCAGUUGGCGGGGUCUUCAUAAAAGUUGGAGAUAAUCAAGCAAAGAUCCCAGAGCAGUUGGAAUCAUAAAAUUCGGACCAGUGAGGAGAAAGAUACAGCUUCCGGAAGAUGCACCAGCAUUACGCGCAUCCGAGAACCAAACGGCGGAUUCCAAAGAUCACGGUGGACGGAGCCUUUCCGGACCGAACUAGCCUGCCCGGUCUUCAUCAAAGCUUGAGAUCUGUGAAGGAAAUUCUCAGAACAGUUGGAAUAGCUCAGUUCGGAGCAGUGGUUCAAAAGAUAAGGUCUCCGGAGUUCACAUUGGUUCAAAAGCUUAUUUUCCGGUGAAUCCGAUGCGGUGCAAAGAUGUGAAAUCCAGGAAGCCUUCCACUUCCCAAGCUCCGACGGUUCCUUCACCAAAGUUCGAUCUUAUUGAGUCAUCUUGACUAUGGAACUGGUUUCAGAGUUACUGGAGUCGUGUGUUGAAAGUUACUGUUUCCGGAAGGCAAUAUGGUCGAUACGAGCCCAAAUGAGUUGCGAUACACGCUAAGUGUUUUCUCAGGGCUCGGCAUCAUUACCUCGACAUCGUACAAGUCAAGGCUCAUAUCUUGGGAGUAUUCUGGACUAGACCUCGUGCUGAUGCCUCGGCAUGUUGGGAUCAAGGCAUGCACACGUAAGAAGUGAAGCUGGAAACGACUAAGUGUUGAACGUGCACCUCGGUGUAAUGACCUCGGCGUGCAUGCCGGACUCUGUUCUCCCAAACCCCUCGACUACCAAGCCCCUCGGCAUUUUAUCCCGAGGUCCCUUGUCACAAACCCAGAAUCAAGAACAAGACGGCUCAAGAACACAAAAGUGAAGAUGGAUCGAAGACUAGGGUUCAUGCAUGUUCUUGACGUGUUCUUCACGAGAUCUUCAUUUGGAUCCUGACUCACGUGCACUCCUCGACAUGAAGACCUCGGCUUCACACUCCGAUACACCGUGGCACUCACCCAUCAACCCAAGAAGGCGGCUCAGUACCCGGUUUGUUCCGGGCUGACCCGCGACACUUUCCCUUUGCUAUAAAUACAUUUUAGGACCAAAAACCUAAUCAUCUUAUCUCUUAUCUGUUUUUAGCUCUAAGAACUUGCCUCUUUUGUGAAACUUGAUUAAUCUAAUCCGAUAUCUCGUUUUUGCAUCAGAAUCUUGUUCUUUCUUCAUUUCUUUUAUCAUCCAGCAUCAAACUCCUUAUCAUGACUAGCUACACAUCUUGCAAAAGACUUAGUGAGCUCGUUAUGAUCAGUGAGUAGUCGUUUAAGCGGCUUUAGAUAGGUAGAUUAGGGUGCUUUCAAGAUAGAUUAAUGGGUUUAGGUGUCUAGUCUUGCAUGUUUCAUUCUUUAACCGACGAGAUGAUAUGUUCAUAAUUUGCAUCAUUUAGGUUGCAUAAAUCAUUCCAAAUCAUGUUUUAUUUCAUGCAUUUUAGGUCCUUAGGGUUUGUUUUAGAACUUAGGAGAUGCAUUAAGUCCCAAUGAGUCUAUUGCAUGUUUUGAGUGUCUAUCAGGUGAAUAUGGAGCUGAAAAGAUGAAUCCAGGAGGUGGAAUGGUGAGCAAAGCUUGAAAAAAGUGGAAAAUUGGGUCCUGGGAGAUUAUCGGCCAUUCUCGCUGGCCAGGAAGGUUUUACCGGCCAUUUCCAUGUACCGCGGGUGAACUUUGUCGACCAAAACACGUACCGCGAAUGAAGUGCAUCGGCCAAAAUCUCCGGGUAUGAACGUGUCUCAGAAAUCGCCUGUCCGGGGAGCCUUCCGGUCCGAUUCAGAUGGCGGGUCCUUCAUAGAAGUUGGAGAGCAUUGGAGCACGGUCUCAUAGCAAGUGGAAUCGUGGAAUUCGGACGCGUGAGCAGAGAGAUAAGCUUGUCGGAAGGAACCCCAGUCUCGCAGGUAUUCCGGACCGAGCAGAUCAGUUCUAAAGGAUGCGAAGGACGGUGCACUUCCAGGCCGAUUUAGUUUCCGGGUCCUUCAUGAGAACCAUAGACAUUUGAGCCUUCUUUCCAGAACGUCCAAGAGCAUUCAAUUCGGAUCUAUGAGCAGAAAGAUACAGUCUCCGGAAUGGACACAUGUCUAGACGCCUCUAUCUGGUCGUGUACAUGCACUGCAAAGAUGUGCCCUCCAGGAAGCCUUACACUUCCCAAGCACCGAAGCUUUCUUCACAAAAGUUGGAGAUAAAUGAGUCCUCUGUCUUCUGCAACCGAAAUCAUUCAAUUCGGACAAGUCUCAUAGGAGUUACACUCUCCGGAAUGCGAAGUGGUCUAAGCUGCUCUGGAUGCUGCGAGUUGGAGAGGAAGGAGACCAAGCCGCAGCAACACUCGCAAAUCACUCCGACUUGAGCCUGCGACCUAGGUGCAAUAGAGACCAACCCGCACAGUUUGUACAUUCCCCAGAAACCGCCUUAGCCCUGCGAGUUGGAGAGGAAGGGGACCAAGCCGCAGCAACACUCGCAAAACACUCCUACUUAGGCGUGCGGCUAAGACAAGGCGAUUCAGGCUUCACAAGACAAGUCUCCAUCUACUGCGACUUAGGUGUGCGACCUGGGACAUACUGGACUGACCCGCAGGAUUUCCACUUGACCCAACUGAGCCGGGUCAGUACCCGGUUUGUUCCGGGCUGACCCGGUUCAUUAGCACUUAGUAUAUAUAGCUUUUUGGAGAAAAACCCUAGACAUGUUAUCUUCUACUUAGUUUUCUCUCUAGUUUUCUUUCCUUUUUAGUGUAAAAACGUUUUUGAUUAAGAGAUAUCUGAAGGGAUUUGAUCAUUCCAAGUCUGUUUCUUAUCAUCUCAUCACCUCAUUUCUACUUCUAAUCAUGAUUAACAUCAUCUCUUGCAAAAGAUUAGAUGUGUUCUUCAUGAUUAGUGAGUAGUCAUCUUUUAAACUUCUAGGUGUGUAGAUUAGGGUGCUUAGAUGUUUGAUUGGUGAUGUUUAGGGUUUAGAUUCUCAUUCCAUUUCCUUAGUUAGUUGCUCCCAAUGCCAGAUUUCCUUGGGAAAGUGAAAUCUGGGUUCAUAGGCAUUUCAUGCACCAAAAGUGUUUGAUGAAAUGCCUGAAUGAGCUAACUUAAGGGUUUAUGCCUUUUUCAUCAUGGGAAUGAUUUGUUAAAUGCAUGAAUGACAUAUUAGAACUGUUUCUUAAUGCUCAUUGAUUCAUAUUUCACAAAUGAUGAUUUGGUUUGAAAGUGGAUUAGUGUAGAGAUUAAUGCCUUCAUGAGAGGAUUAGUCUAGAUUAGAGUUCUAAGUUGAAAUGUUUGAGAUCAUGUGAUUGCUUGUUAUGUCUUUCUGUAUAAGAUUCAGUCUUCUUGGUUGAGAGAUUGUUUGGUCACUUAUUAGGCUUGAUGCAUUAUGCUUGCUGAUUGCUUGAUUAUAUCUAAUGGUUGUUAGACUUGAUUAAGUGAUUUGCAAAGGGAUUAUUGUCAUGGGAAUGAAUUAAUCUGAUUAAGAAGCCUAGACUAAAGAGUAGCAAGUGUUGCAUUAUGUUCUUAGCAUCAUGAUUCAAUAUCUAAAGCACCCUAAUCAAUGAUCACAUCUAGAGGUUUAGCUUUUAUCAUUUGCUUAAUCACCAUCAUCUUGUUUUGUUUGCUUGCUUAGUUCAUUAAUCAUAGCUUGUUUGUUUCUUGUUUUAUGCUUUCUUGUUGCUGGUUUCACAAAACUCAUCUUUGAUUACUUGACUUAAGAACCUAUCACAUAAACUAGUGCCUAACUACCACACAUAUGGAUUGACACCCCUUAUACUACUUUGACAAGGGGAUUGAUAACCCAACUAAGGCUUAAAAACCUUAGUUAUCACGAGAUCUCUAGGCUGGAUCCAAGCACAUCACUUGAGGUUCAGAUCUGAGACAUAUCUCGCAUCAAAAGUGUUUGUAGAAAUGUCUGAACCACUCGGUUAAGGGUUUAAGAGUCUUUCAUCGCGAGAGUGAUAGUUUGUUCUCUUAAAUGACAUUUUUUGAACUGAAUCUUAUUGCUGACUGAUUCAUGCUUCUCAAAAGGGAUUUUGGUAUGAAAGAGGAUCAAUUUAGAUGUUUAAUACUUUCUUGAGAAGAUUAACAUGCCUUGAGUUCAAAGUUAAAUGAAAUCGCUUGAUAAAAUGAUUCAUUAACCCAUUAGUUUAGCUUGGAAGCACCCGAGUCAAGUAUCCUGUCUAAAGCUUCUGCCUUUAUCAUAUAUUAUCAUCAUCCGAAUCAUUUGCUUGUUAUUUGCAUCUUCACUUAGUUUAAAUCUCAUCAUUUGUUUUACUUUUAUGCUCAUUUGCUUGUUACUUAGUCUAGCUAAAAACCUUUACUAUUCUCUCUUGACUUAAGAUGACAAAUGACAUAGAUAGUGUCUCCACUACAAGUUUGGUUUGAUAACCCUUUGUACUACAAGGACAAGGGAAUUGAUAACCUCUUUAAAGGGUGAAAACUCUUAGUUAUCAAUUGGCGCCGUUGCCAACUUGUGGGAGCAUUAUUCUCUUAUUUGUUCUUAAGAUCAAGACUUUACUUUCUUUUGUUUUACUAACUCUUUUUCAAGUUCUUGUUUUGAUUUCAGGUGCAUGAAAACCAGGUCUCGUAGCACAGAACCGCCUUUACCAUAUGACAAUAACAUCAACACGAUUGAGAGGCGUGCUCGCGAGAGAGAACGACACUUUGAAAGACUUGGAAUGGCAGAACAGCAAAGGAUCGAGCAACAGGCUCAAGAAGCCGAGCACCAGGCUCAGGCUAAUCAGGCGCAGGCGGGAAGAAAUGAACAACAAGCCUAUGUUAACCAACAACAGGCUCAAAGAAACGAGAGGCUUGCUCAGCAAAACCAACAACAAGCUAAUAGGAACGAGCAACAAGCCCAACAUGUUCAUCCGCCACCGCCACAAGUUCAGAGACAACCUCCUCCGGUCUUUGUUGGAGAGAACGACCGAGCUAAUGUGCACCAAUACCGAGCCGGGAUUCAAGCUCCACCAGUUCAGAAUAACAACUUUGAAGUUAAAGCUUCCCUGCUCAAUAUUGUGCAGAACUCAAAAUUUCAUGGUCUAGCCGGAGAAGACCCUCUUGAGCAUCUAGAUCAGUUUGAUCGAGUUUGCGACUUAACCAAGAUCAAUGGCGUUUCAGAAGAUAGCUUCAAGCUACGUUUGUUCCCAUUCAGCCUCGGUGAUAAAGCUCACCAGUGGGAAAAGAACCUCCCGAGGGGUUCUAUACAAACAUGGGAGCAGUGUAAACAGGCGUUCUUAUCAAAGUUCUUUUCCACAUCACGCACGGCUAAGCUCCGGAAUCAGAUCUCAAGUUUCACGCAGCACAACAAUGAGAGCUUUAGUGAGGCUUGGGAACGGUUUAGAAGCUAUACUAACCAAUGCCCACACCACGGCUUCUCAGAGGCAUCCCUCUUGAGUACUUUAUACCGAGGUGCACUCCCCAAGAUUAGAAACCAACUCGAUACAGCCUCAAAUGGAAAUUUUCUUAGGAAAGAAAUCAAUGCCGCAAUGGAACUAGUCGAGAACCUAGCCAUGUCUAAUGACACGUAUGGAAAGGAUUUUGAUAGGGCAAACCGUACAGGGGGAUCUAGUGAUGAACAUCAUAUGAAAAAGGAUAUAAGAGAGCUUCAGAGCAAGCUUGACAAGGUUUUAAUGGCGACUCAAAAGCCAAUACACUUUGUAGGCAAGUUUGAUGAGCAAGGGCCAAGUUUUGACAAUGUUAAUGAAGAUGGUCUAACUCAAGAGGAGCUGAAUUACAUAGGGAAUCAGCAGAGGUAUCAGCGGUUUAACAACUACAACAGUAACCCAAACCUCUCAUACAGAAAUCCGAAUGUAGCUAACCCUCAAGACCAAGUGUACCCUGCUCAACAACAACAAAGCUAUGCUCAAAAAGCUCCCUUUCAGAAUACCUUCCAGCCCAAGCAACAGUUUAGUGAGCCACAGCAAGGCUACACUCAGCAGAAUCAAGCGGCUCAGGGUAACAACUUCACCAGCCAACCGCAGCAACACAAGUUUCCACCAGGGUUCAAUCCGCAGCCGAUGAGUAAUCAGCAACAGAUUCAGGGAUCGGGUCAGAAUCAGAUGGGAACAGAUGUCUGUGGGAUUUUACAGCAACUGUUACAGGGUCAGCAGAGAGUGGAAAGCCAGCACACGAGAAUGCAGCAAGAUAUCAGAGAGCUUAAGCAGAAUCAAGCCUCUACAUCAUCAAGAGGUCCGGCUUUACCAGGUAAACCGGAGCCGAACCCCAAGGAGUAUGUGAACGCCAUCACAUUAAGGAGUGGUAAAGAAUUACAAGCUCCAACGCCUAAGACAAAGCUCAUUGAGGCCAAUGAGCAAUUAGAGGGGGAGUCAGCCUCAGAUGAUGCGUGUAAAGAAGCGGUUUUUGAGAAGGAACCGAUCAAGGGCAAAGGAAAAGAGGUGGAAAAGACAAUUGAGCUUGAAAAGCCAUACGUUCCACCACCACCUUACCAACCCAAGAUACCAUUCCCAGGGCGUUUCAAAAAGAAAAUCUUAGACAAGGCCAAGGCGGUCUUUGAGAAACACUUGGAGAACACGCAACUUACCUUACCCAUCAUAGAUGCUUUCUUAGCUAUACCUCAGCUUGGAAAGUUUCUAAAGGACGCAAUUCUCAACAAGACAAAGGAGCUCCAGGGUAUGGUAAUACUGAACCAUGAGUGCAGCGCCAUAAUACAAAGAAGAUCUAUACCAAGGAAGCUAUCCGAUCCGGGCAGCUUUACUUUACCGUGUGCUUUAGGUCACUUGAAGUUCUCAAACUGCUUGUGUGAUCUAGGAGCUUCUGUGAGCUUGAUGCCUUACACAGUGGCCAAGAGAUUGGGAUACAAAAGCUACAAGUCGGCCAAGAUCUCUCUUGUAUUAGCUGAUAGAUCGGUCCGAUUACCGGUGGGGUUGCUUGAAGAUUUACCUUUGAGAAUCGGUGAGAUAGAAAUCCCCACGGACUUCAUAGUUCUUGAGAUGGACGAGGAACCAUUAGACCCUAUUAUCUUGGGCCGACCGUUCUUGGCGACCGCAGGAGCCAUAAUCGAUGUGAGAGGGGGCAUGAUCGAACUACACAUCGGUUCCGGGACUAUGAAGUUCAACGUGAAGGAAAUGAUGAAGAAACCGACCAUUGGAGGUCAGGUUUUCUAUGUGGAGGUAAUGGAGGAGCUAGCUGAUGAGCUCCUAGAAGAGUUAAACGCAGAAGACCCAUUACAAGUGGUCUUGACACGGGAACAAAGCGAGCACGGGUACUUGAACGAGGAAAGCGAGGUGUACAAGCGUCUUUUGGACCAACCGAGGGAAGUUGGAGCUGAGGCGAGGUUUUUGGAGCUCAGGAAGAGUGGCCUCGACAUAUUAGACAACGAGGGAUCCAAGGGAACAGAGGAAACACCUCGGGAUAUCAUGGCCGUGACAGCUUAUGCCGAGGCCGAUGGUAAACCGCGCGAGAACAAGGAAAAGGCCGAGGAAGCUGUUCCGGGCCAAUGCAGCUUUGAUGCCGAUUGGAAUGAGGCUGACGCACCCCCUGUUGAGCUCAAGCCUCUACCAACAGGGCUCAGGUACGCGUUCUUGGGUCUAAACUCCACUUUUCCAGUGAUCAUAAACGAUAGCUUGCUUGAACAUGAAGAACGUGCAUUGCUUAAUGAAAUAAGAAAAUUCAGGAGAGCCAUAUGGUAUUCCUUGGCUGACAUUAGAGGAAUCUCUCCUGAUAUAUGCACUCACAGGAUCCACCUAGAGGACCAAGCCAUGUCCUCUAUUGAGCACCAACGUCGCCUUAACCCGAACCUUAAAGAGGUAGUUAAGAAAGAGAUACUUAAGCUCCUUGAGGCAGGGAUAAUAUAUCCAAUCUCUGACUCUCGGUGGGUAUCUCCUGUACACGUUGUGCCCAAGAAAGGUGGGAUCACGGUGGUGAAAAACGAUAAGGAUGAACUCAUAGCCCAAAGAACUAUAACCGGCCAUCGCAUGUGCAUUGAUUAUAGGAAACUGAAUUCUGCAUCAAGAAAAGAUCAUUUUCCUUUACCAUUCAUUGAUCAAAUGCUUGAACGGCUAGUUAAUCAUCCUUAUUUUUGUUUUCUUGAUGGAUACUCGGGGUUCUUUCAAAUACCUAUAGACCCCCGAGAUCAAGAGAAAACGACAUUUACUUGCCCUUAUGGCACUUAUGCUUAUAGGAGAAUGCCUUUCGGUUUGUGUAAGGCACCGGGCCACUUUUCAAAGAUGUAUGAUGCACAUUUUCUCUGAUCUAAUUGAAGAGAAAGUUGAGGUGUUUAUGGAUGAUUUCUCCGUAUACGGCUCCUCUUUCUCCGAAUGUCUUGCUAAUCUAUCUCAGGUUCUAAAGCGAUGUGAGGAGCAUAGGCUUGUCUUGAACUGGGAGAAGUGCCAUUUCACGGUCCAAGAAGGCAUUGUCUUGGGACACAAGGUAUCAGAGAAGGGUAUUGAGGUGGACAAGGCUAAGAUCGAGGUGAUGGUGAACCUACAAGCUCCGAAUUCUGUAACAGGAAUAAGAAGCUUCCUUGGGCACGCAGGGUUCUAUAGGCGGUUCAUUAAAGAUUUCUCCAAGAUAGCUAGACCCUUGACGAGGCUAUUGUGUAAAGAGGUGGAGUUUAUCUUUGAUGAAGAAUGUGAGGAAGCGUUUAAGAGAAUCAAGGAGGCUUUGAUCAGUGCACCGAUUGUACAAGCUCCCGAUUGGUCUUUACCAUUCGAAGUGAUGACUGAUGCAUCUGACUAUGCCGUGGGGGCUGUCUUGGGGCAGAAGAAAGAUAAAAAGCUCCAUGUGAUCUACUAUGCAAGCUGCACCUUGGACUCGACUCAAGAAAAGUAUGCCACCACCGAGAAGGAAAUGCUUGCCAUUGUGUUUGCAUUUGACAAAUUCAGGAGUUAUCUAGUGGGAUCAAAGGUCACGGUUUACACGGAUCAUGCGGCCUUGAGGUAUCUGAUGUCUAAGAAGGACGCUAAGCCAAGGCUGUUGAGAUGGGUCCUAUUGCUCCAAGAGUUUGACAUGGAGAUACUCGACAAGAAAGGAAUUGAAAACGGGGCCGCAGAUCACCUCUCAAGGCUGAGGAUUGAAGAACAGGUCCCUAUAGAUGAUGCUUUACCCGAGGAACAUCUCAUGUUAGCCCGGUCUUACUUAGAAGUGGAGGAAGCCAACACGAUCAAGUAAAGAAGCCUCCCAUGGUUCGCGGAUCUUGUGAACUACUUGUCUUGCGGUUUAGAGCCACCGGAUCUUGAUACUUAUCAGAGGAAGAAGUUCUUUAGAGAUGUAAUGAGAUAUCAUUGGGACGAGCCGUACCUUUACGUGCUUAACAAGGACCAUCUCUAUAGGCGAUGCUUGGCCGAAGAAGAGAUCCAUCCGGUGCUACAAGAAUGCCACGCUUCAUCGUAUGGUGGUCACUUAGGUGCAUUCAAGACGGUUGCCAAAGUUUUACAAAGCUGUUUCUGGUGGCCGACUAUGUUCAAGGACGCUCAAGAUGUAGUCUCGAGGUGUGAAGCUUGUCAAAGACACGGUAACAUAUCCAAGAGGAAUGAGAUGCCCCAAAAUCCAAUCUUUGAAGUAGAGGUCUUCGACUGUUGGGGCAUUGACUUCAUGGGUCCCUUUGUAAGCUCAUACGGGAACCAAUAUAUCCUUGUCGCGGUGGACUAUGUGAGUAAAUGGGUUGAAGCGGUCGCAUCUCCAACCAACGAUUCAAAAGUGGUGGUAAAACUCUUUAAGAUCAUCAUUUUCCCACGAUUUGGAGUUCCAAGAGCUGUUAUCAGUGAUGGGGGAAGCCAUUUCAUCAACAAGACGCUUGAGAGUCUUUUGAAGAAACAUGGAGUGAAGCACAAGGUAGCCUCACCUUAUCAUCCACAAACUAAUGGCCAAGUGGAGGUCUCUAACCGACAGAUUAAGGCCAUUUUGGAAAGAACGGUGAGCUCAUCUAGGAAGGAUUGGAGCAAGAAACUUGAUGAUGCUUUGUGGGCUUACAGAACCGCAUACAAGACACCCAUUGGAACCUCACCGUUUAACUUGCUCUAUGGGAAAAGCUGUCAUCUACCGGUUGAGUUGGAAUACAAAGCCUUGUGGGCAGUGAAACUUCUGAACUUUGACAUCAAGACCGCACAAGAGAAGAGGGUUUUACAGCUUCAUGAGCUCGAGGAGAUCCGUUUAGAUGCUUUUGAGAGCUCUAAGAUCUACAAGGAAAGGACCAAGGCGCUCCAUGACAAAAAGAUACACAAGAGAGAGUUCAAAGAAGGGGACCAAGUUCUGUUGUUCAACUCAAGACUUAAGCUAUUCCCUGGGAAGCUGAGGUCUAGGUGGUCCGGUCCGUUCACAAUUCUUGAAGUAAGGCCUUAUGGAGUCGUUGUGUUAAAAGGAAAAGAUGGACAAGGUUUUGUGGUAAACGGUCAGAGGAUAAAGCACUACUUGGCAUCAGAAACAAGAGAGGGAGCUACCUCAGUUCCUCUUCUUGAACCGGAAUCAGCCUGAAAAGGUAUGAAAAUUCAAACUUAGAGACGUUAAACAAAGUGCUCUUGGGAGACACCCCAAGCUUAUCCUUGUACAUAUUUCGUUUUUCAUCUUCUUUUUUUUUAUUUGAAACUUUUUGAAGGGUUUGUUAAGUGUUUCAGGAGUUAGACAGUGAACCUUGAGGAUGAAAGUAAGAAAAGGCUUGAAAAAGACACGGCCUGAUGAUUUAAGUCAGAGAGUAUUCAUAGCCUCGGUAUCGACCCUCGGUAUAUUCAUACCGCGGUCACCUUUUGCCGAGUGAAAGCUUGAGAACCUCAGCUAAACUCCUUGACUUAAUUUCAUCAUGGCCGUGUCUGAGAAUAGCUGUGGUGAAAUGACUAAGUGUGGGGGAGGCUCACGGUGUAAACACCUCGGUAUAAUUAUACCGAGGGGCGAUGUUCUCUUGAAACGGUCAAAAACCUCGAUCCGAGGCCGCGACUAGUUUACACCAAGGCCAGCCCGUUUAAGCCCCCAAGCACCAAGUGUUCUUUGUUAAAACAAGUGACCUCGGCAUGAUACCCUCGUGGUGGAGCGUGCCGAGGUGCCCAGUUUCAAGAACGUUCAAAAACAAGAACACUUGGGACACUUAGAUCGAAGAAGAAGGUUUGCGCGGUCUGAGGAAAAGACUUGAAGGCCACGGAGAAUUACGCGUUAGCAUGAGCUCAAACCACUCGGCUUGGUGCCCUCGGGGUGGAACAAGUCGAGGCCGCUCAUGUUAGCACAAGAAAAAUCACUCUAGACCGUACGGCCCAUGGCAUCCCCAUGCCGCGCCAUUUGAAGGCUUUGCGCGGUAAUUUGAAUUUGAACGCCCGGUCAAGAUGGUUUUUGGCGCGGUCAACGGCUGGAGCUGGAGGAGAAGGGGGGACCAGUCCCACUACAGUCCAAACGCCAGCUGGAAAGCGCGCUCCAGCCCAUACCAGCCUCCAUAUCGAGCUAAAACGCAGAGUUUGCCUUCUUCACUCUUUUCGCUGCAUUUCGCGAACACAACUCUCUCAUUUCUCAUUCAUUUCACGUGAUUUCAAGCAUUCUAGACUUGUUAGGGUGUUGUCUAUUCUGCAUACGCAUCUCACUGAGCUUGAAUCUUGGAUUCCCAAAGGUAUUUGCAUCUUAAAGAACUCAUCUUUUUCCUUCAUUCUUUGCGAGCUUAAAUGUUUGUAAAAUGUGGAAUCGAUUCUUUUAGAACAUAUUGGCCUUUGGGAACAAUUUUAAAAAUUCUAUCAGGAUAGACAACACAUGAAAAACUGGUCUUUGCUCUGAAAAUCACUUGUUCUUGAGUUUUUAAAAUUCUUGAGAAAAUGCGCUUGGAAUCGGCUUAAAUGGUGAACCGAGUUGUUGAGCUGAACUGACUAGAUAUCUUGUCUCUCUCCGGUUGUUCUAGCUUGUUGAUACUCUCUUUCAUGUUUGAAAAAGCUAUAAAUCUGGUCUUGUUAGAGAAAAAGCUCUGUUCUUGCCAUCUUGAGAUACAUGUGCUUAUCGAUAUACUUGAUUCUAACGGUUUCUUUGAGAAUCUGCCUUGCAGAUGACCGCGACCGAGCUGUUCCUACUCAUGAGACGAACAAAAACGAGGUCCAGAGGAGGGGUACGAAAGGAAAAGCCGUGGCCGUGGCACGCAAUGGAGGAACAAGCAAGAAAACCUCGACAAGACCCGAUGGCGAGCCAGCUGCUAAACGAGCAAGGAACGCUGAGCUCACUCCGACACAAGCUCCUGAAUCAAGAAGGAAUGGGAAGCAGGCAGCCGUUGGAUCCGACGAGGAUGAGCUCAGAGCCAUAGUCCCCCAUGAAGCCAACUGUGGCAAGAAGGCCAAGAAGGAACCAAAGCCCGAGCCCGAGGAAGAACAUUUCCCAACUACUGAGGAGUACUUGGACCACUUUAACUCUAUAAGAGUGGCUCAAGGUCGGUUCCCUGAUGUGGAGUUGUUGAAGAAGCUCGAGAUACUCGAAGAUGUUACCCUCAUCUUUCAAAACAUGGGCCUGGCCGAGUUCUUCACGAUGAGCGAUGUUGCUUAUGAGGGGAUCACACAACAGUUUCUUGCCACUUUGGAGGUUGUCAUCUAUCCCAAGAGAGAUCCCAAGCGUUUACAUGGCAAAGGGUUCAGCCACAUUGAGUUUGACAUGGAAGGCGUGCACUACAAGGUCAGUUUCAAGGAGCUUGAUGAGAUAUUUGGGUUUGAAAGGAACGGAAGCUCGCUUGACAAGUUUGUGUAUCCAAAAGAAGAGUUGGCUGCCCUGUGGGAAACAAUAGCUUUCGGACCUUACUUGGGAGGCAAGAGCAAGACGAGUUGCAUCAGGAACCCUGCGAUCAGAUACACCAACCGAGUUCUCGCCUCUACAUUCUUCUCGACCUAUAACCCUGGUGUUAUUCAUACGGCCGAGCUCGAGCUGUUGGGACAUGGACUGAAGCCGCUCAUCACUCAAAUGAAGAACAAGAAGGAGUUCCAAGGGCCAAUACAUGUACCCUCUCUAGGCGCGUUCUUUGCGAUACAAAUGCUUACUUACAGGCACAAUGUGUGGUGCGACCGAAAGAAGAAAGGAGCAAGGAGGCUUCAGAACGGUUGGAUUGUCACCAAGAUUUUGAGAGCUCAAGGGUUCAUAUUCCCUGAUUCACCAUAAAGCCCGAGUCUCACUGAUGAGCAAUACCUAAGUAAAAGUGGAUUCUUUGGAGGCAAGUCAGGGGGUAGAUGGGUUUACAACUUCACACUGAUGCACAGAGACGGCACACAGGUUCUACUGCCUAACCGAGGCCUCACCAUGCUUGAUAAGCAGUGUAACGUCUCCUUCUAUGUCCUCAAGGAUCAGUUGUACAACCCAUCUCUCGACCCACCAAUGCGCAAGUGCACCAAGGCAGCACCUAGCAAACCGCAGAACGAGAACGGCCCGGCCGGAUGUGAGAAUGAAGAAGAGAGGCACGCUGAGAGAAGGACAGGAGCAGGCCGAUACCAUUUUGAUCCAUACGUGUGGGGUGAGCCUGAAUACCAUACCAAGAAGCUGUAUUCGCGAGUGAACACUCUCCAAAAGUGGUGUAAGUGGCAAGACAAGACCAUUCACGCGUUGGUGGACUGUGUAAGGCACCUGAAAAAGAAAGUCAAGCAACUCACCAGACCAUCUUCUCCGGACAAGAACUCGGCAACCUCAACCGCACCGGUUACACAAGAAGAGGUUGGAGAAAGCUCAAACGCGAGGAACACAGAGUUUCCACCAGGCAAAGAGGACUGGAUCGAUCCUGCCUCGGCAUUCUUACCGGAACCCUCGGAAAGCAGCCCACCACGUCAGUCCACACCCUCCUGCUCAACGUCAAAUCCCUCGUACUACUUGGGAUCCGACCUCUCCGACUGAGGUAUCGACUUCAAACUCUUGUACAUAUGCAUCUUGUAUAUACCAUAUUGCAUUCGUUUAGUUUGUCUUUUUACUUCUCUCAUACGCUUUUAUAACACAAGGGACUGUGUUAUUUAAGUGUGGGGGAGGAGCUUUGUGUUUUCUGAUCUUGUUUUCUUUGUUCUUAUUUGACUUUUGCAUUCUUGAGUCUCAUUUAGCUUAAUACAUAUGAUAAAACCGCCUCAUUCUAGUUGCAUCUCGCAUUCUAAGAUCGAGUCUAGCUGCAUCAUGUAGGAUUGCAUCAGUGAAAGGAGCAAUGAUAGAUUUUUUCCUAGAGAGUAAAUCACUUGAGAACUUGAACUAAAUAUGCUUGUGAAACUCAUUCUGUGCUUGUAAAGCUUGAAACGAUUUGAAUCUGAGAAGCAAGUUUGAAUUACACUCAACUCUAGCUAAGUGAUAACCCUGAACUUGAAUUGUAAAUAUCUUUUGAUGUAUUGCUUGAAUAGGCUUGUGGAUACCGAUAUACAUACUUGAGCUAGAAUCGUUGUUUUCACCACCCUCCUUCCUUAGCUCAAGUAGCUGAAUCCGCAUCAUGGAUCAGUUCCCUCACCUUGAACCCAUCUUUCUUUCGAGCCAAUGUUUGUGUGUGAAUUGUAAGGCCACCUUGGACUGAACUUAGCAGAAAGUGUUAGGUUUAGAGCGACAAGGGCAUGUCUCAUUGAGUGCUAUGUUCCAACAUCAAGGAACUGAGAGUAUUGGCGAGGAAUAAGUGUGGGGGAAAAGACUUGUUGGUGAGUGGAAAAAGGUGAGUUGAGUGGAAAAGAGAAAGGGGAAUGAAAGAAAAAGAAUUGAGUCUUGGAUUUGAAAAGAUGAGCUCUGAUGUUUUUAAAUGAAAAAUUUAGUCUCUGAAAUGAAAAGAAGCCAAAAGGGCUCAAGUGUUCUAAAAUGAAAAGAAAAGAGGCUAUACGCUAUGAAAGAAAAGAGCUGUGUGAAUAAGUGAACACCAAGGCUUGAGAAUUAAAACAAAAAGUGAGUCCCCUAGUGAAAAGAAAACGAUUGUGAAAGAGUGAGGAUCUUGAGAGGGUGAGCAAGUGAGAAAGCUUUGAGUGGAGUAUGGGGUGUGAUGAGUCUUGCCCUUGUAUGCAUCGGUUGCUUUUUACCUUUAGCAUUCUGCCAAAGUUUGGUCGUUCAAAGAGAGAUCCCUUGCUGCAUUACACCCGCUUGAAUAUUGAUGAGAUCAUUUUUAUCUCAUGACCUUACCCUAGCCAAGCCAGCCUAUUUGAACAUUGCAUCAUUUGAUUCACCGGUUACGAACUUAAUGAAUGUGAAAGAGUUGAAUGUGAUAAUGACUUGUGGAGAUUCCGUGCUUUAGUUGGAAAAUAUCUGAGUAUAGCUUUGCAUUGCAUAUUUGAGCAUGAAUCCGAGUUCUCUUUGUGAUCACUUCUCUCUAAAAAGGAAAUAUGAGCUCCAUCUGCACUACAACCUCUUUCUCUCAUUUGUUCUCUUCGCUUGAGGACAAGCAAAGGACAAGUGUGGGGGAGUUGAUAUGUCUAUAUUUUACAUCAUUUAGAGUGCAUUUUAGAGUCCUCAUCAUGUGUUUUCCCAUGUAAAUUGAGUCUUUAGGCGUCAAAAUAGGAUUUAGGGCUUGCAUUAGGUCCCAAAGAGUUUUGCAUGUUUUGAAGUCUUAAUCAGGUGCUUUGGAAGUCAUUUGGAGCUUAAGAAGAGGAGCAGAGAAGAAAACGGUGAAGAAAAGGGUCAAAAAUGGUGAAAACCGCUUGGAGGAAUUUCUCGGCCAAAACUCGUACCGGCUGGACAGAAACCUCGGUCAAAAAGAUUACCGAACGCUCAUUACCGGCCAAAACCCUUACCGAUCGACCAAAAUCGACUAAAGACGAGUAUCGGGUGCAAAAUACCACGGGUUAAGUUUUGGCCGAGGCGAGAAGAAUUUUACGGCUAAAAAGCUUACCGCGUUACAUAGCCCUCGGUCAUUUUCCUUACCGCGGGAAGCUUUUCUCGACCAAAACCUGUCUUUGCCCGCGCAUUUCAAAGAUCAGCAAUCCGGGGAACCUUCCGGUCCGAAUCAGUUGGCGGGGUCUUCAUCAAAGUUGGCGAGAAUCAAGCAAAGAUCCCAGAGCAGUUGAAAUCAUCCAAUUCGAACCAGUGAAGAGAAAGAUACAGCUUCCGGAAGAUGCACCAGCAUUACGCGCAUCCGAGAACCAAACGGCGGAUUCCAAAGAUCACGGCGGACGGAGCCUUUCCGGACCGCACUAGCCUGCCCGGUCUUCAUCAAAGUUUGAGAUCUGUGAAGGAAAUUCUCAGAACAGUUGGAAUCGCUCAGUUCGGAGCAGUGGUUCAAAAGAUAAGGUCUCCGGAGUUCACAUUGGUUCAAAAGCUUAUUUUCCGGUGAAUCUGAUGCGGUGCAAAGAUGUGAAAUCCAGGAAGCCUUCCACUUCCCAAGCUCCGACGGUUCCUUCACCAAAGUUCGAGCUUAUUGAUUCAUCUUGACUAUGGAACUGGUCUCAGAGAAAUUGGAGUCGUGUGUUGAAAGUUACUGUUUCCGGAAGGCAAUAUGGUCGAUCCGAGCCCAAAUGAGUUGCGAUACACGCUAAGUGUUUUCUCAGGGCUCGGCAUCAUUACCUCGACAUCGUCCAAGUCAAGGCUCAUAUCUUGGGAGUAUUAUGGACUAGACCUCGUGCUGAUGCCUCGGCAUGUUGGGAUCAAGGCAUGCACACGUAAGAAGUGAAGCUGGAAACGACUAAGUGUUGAACGUGCACCUCGGUGUAAUGACCUCGGCGUGCAUGCCGGACUCUGUUCUCCCGAACCCCUCGACUACCAAGCCCCUCGGCAUUUUAUCCCGAGGUCCCUUGUCACAAACCCAGAAUCAAGAACAAGACGGCUCAAGAACACACACGUGAAGAUGGAUCGAAGACUAGGGUUCAUGCAUGUUCUUGACGUGUUCUUCACGAGAUCUUCAUUUGGAUCCGGACUCACGUGCACUCCUCGACAUGAAGACCUCGGCUUCACACUCCGACACACCGUGGCACUCACCCAUCAACCCAAGAAGGCGGCUCAGUACCCGGUUUGUUCCGGGCUGACCCGCGACACUCUCCCUUUGCUAUAAAUACAUUUUAGGACCAAAAACCUAAUCAUCUUAUCUCUUAUCUGUUUUUAGCUCUAAGAACUUGCCUCUUUUGUGAAACUUGAUUAAUCUAAUCCGAUAUCUCAUUUUUGCAUCAUAAUCUUGUUCUUUCUUCAUUUCUUUUAUCAUCCAGCAUCAAACUCCUUACCAUGACUAGCUACACGUCUUGCAAAAGACUUAGUGAGCUCGUUAUGAUCAGUGAGUAGUCAUUUAAGCGGCUUUAGAUAGGUAGAUUAGGGUGCUUUCAAGAUAGAUUAAUGGGUUUAGGUGUCUAGUAUUGCAUGUUUCAUUCUUUAACCGACGAGAUCUCUAGGCUGGAUCCAAGCACAUCACUUGAGGUUCAGAUCUGAGACAUAUCUCGCAUCAAAAGUGUUUGUAGAAAUGUCUGAACCACUCGGUUAAGGGUUUAAGAGUCUUUCAUCGCGAGAGUGAUAGUUUGUUCUCUUAAAUGACAUUUUUUGAACUGAAUCUUAUUGCUGACUGAUUCAUGCUUCUCAAAAGGGAUUUUGGUAUGAAAGAGGAUCAGUUUAGAUGUUUAAUACUUUCAUGAGAAGAUUAACAUGCCUUGAGUUCAAAGUUAAAUGAAAUCGCUUGAUAAAAUGAUUCAUUAACCCAUUAGUUUAGCUUGGAAGCACCCGAGUCAAGUAUCCUGUCUAAAGCUUCUGCCUUUAUCAUAUAUUAUCAUCAUCCGAAUCAUUUGCUUGUUAUUUGCAUCUUCACUUAGUUUAAAUCUCAUCAUUUGUUUUACUUUUAUGCUCAUUUGCUUGUUACUUAGUCUAGCUAAAAACCUUUACUAUUCUCUCUUGACUUAAGGUGACAAAUGACAUAGAUAGUGUCUCCACUACAAGUUUGGUUUGAUAACCCCUUGUACUACAAGGACAGGGGAAUUGAUAACCUCUUUAAAGGGUGAAAACUCUUAGUUAUCAAUUAGCAAACGAAAUCCUCUGGUUUGGCCAGUCCAUUAUAGCUCCGGAAGUUGCUAGAAAAUACCAUCCGAGAAUCAGUGGAUGUGUUGCGUCUCUCGUUUCGACAAUGUAGAAGUCAACAUGCACGAUGCAAUCUCCUAUUCUCAAAGGAAUGUCAUGAGGUAUUCCUUGAGGUGUUGCAUUGGAAUCAUCAGCUAGACUAAUCUUUGCUGUAGUCCUGCGCAGGUGUUUAAUACCAAGUCUCAAAGCAAUUGACUUGGACAUCAUGUUAAGACAAGCUCCAGAAUCACAAAGCACGUUUUUAAACAUUUCUCCUCUAAUAGAACAACAGAUGAGAAACUGACAUGCACCUUCGAUUUUGUGAAGUGUUCAAACAGGUUUACCUCUUCUGGCAUGAUUGAACAAGUCUUCUAUUUCAGAGAUUGAUUCCUUGCUCUCAAGAAGUAGUGGCCUAUAAUGAAGUCCUUGCAAGCUCUGGCAAAGGUGAUUCCUUCAGGCAAAUUUCGAACUACAUCAUUGAAUUCGUCAAGCUUUUCUUUGCUGAUUUUGUUGGUGUAGUAGCUGCAGUCUUCAGGUUUUUGAAGGUGGAUCGCAUACACAGCUGCUUCUGGUGAUGUCAUGUAUCGAGCUCGCAUAAAGUAUCUAUGGAUAUCCUCUUUAGACUCUUUGCAGUACCUGAAAAAGACUUGCAAACGACCAAGCUUCCAGAUUUCAUCAAAGCUUAGGUGAGCAGGGAAUAACCUAACCAUAUUGUUAAACUCUAUGAGCUUCUCCCUACUGAUGUUGUUGGUGAUCCAUUGAAUUUCUCCUGAACUUUCUUCUGAGGAAUAUCCUGCGUUUGGAUCUUCUACAAACAACCCAUACUCUUCAUCUUCAGAGUAUUGCUCUUCAUACUCAUCUUCACAUGACAAAGCCAUGUUACCGAGCAAUGACUUGUCUUCGUCUUCAGAUCCUUGGGUGCUGAUGGAGCAAAUUAGUUGUUGAUGGAGGGGUUUAGUCAUCCCAGGAGGUGUAUCAGUCGAGCAACUGCUUGUAUGAAUUGAACGGUGCUGUUUUGGAACGUUUUUUGAGCCGGCCUUGACUGCAGGAGACACAACCGCGGGAAAACGCCCAUGGGCCCCGGGUAGGCCGAGCACAACCACGGGAAGGGGCUUCUUGGCCGCGGUCGGAAGCGACGCGACCGCGAGAAAGUGUCUCCGAGUUGAUUGUCUGCUGUUGCUUGCUCCUUUGCUUCCUGGACGAUCUCCUAGGUCUUCUGGCUUGAUGUACUUCCUCUCUGGACUUGAGUCUUUAGUUUUGGCUGCUGGAAUCUGCUCUCCAAGUCCUUGUAUGAUCUCUUCAACCUUUUCUUCAACUUCAUCAAGAGCAUAUAAUACUUUGUCAUGGUUGAGUCAAGCUCUUCGGUUUUGUCAAUGACUUUGUAAACCUUCUCUGAAACUUCGACAGUAAAGUCAUAAGACUUGCUCUUAGCUUCGUUGAGGGCUUUGUCCACAUCUUCAAGUUUGAAAUCCAGGUCCGUGACUUUGUUUUUAGUGUUGCAGAGCUCGUAGUUGUGCUUUGCUUGCUCUUCCUCCAUGUUGUCGAACCUGUUAGCGAUCAUGGCUGCGUCCUUGGUUGCUCGUUCUUCAAUUGAUUUGACUUGUGAAGCUAGGUUAUCGAUCUUCUCAUUGAAAAGUUUUGAUAUUCCGUCAAUCCUUUCGUUAAGAGCGGCUGUAGUGGCUGCUUGAGCUUCUAUGAACUGCUUGAUUUCGCCUUCGACUCAAUCGGUUACUUAGCUGGACGUUCUCAUCUUGCUGUAGAACCUGGUGAGGUAGGCGAUACAUAGGUGGUCUAGGGUUUACCAUUGGAGGCACGUAGGGCUCGUUUAGGAACGUUCUGUAGUCUUCGAUUCGAACUUCUUCGUAGAGAUCGCGUAGGUACUGCUUUUCUCUGCAUCUGGUGGCUUGAGGAGUGUUGUAAAAACCUCCCUCAUAGUAGGGAUGUCGAUUUAUAGGAUCCAUUGCUUCUGGAAUGGAAACAAAAUAACCAAAAAAUGGAAAUAUGCUGAAAAACGGGUUCUAGAAUCGAUUUACCAACCUUUCUUAGGGUUUUGCGGAAAAGAAAACGCGUGCCUUCCCCGGCAACGGCCCCAAAAACUUGGUGGUGACUUGAUGUGGUCGUGUCAAGGGUUGUCAAGUUUUACUCUAAAUGAAAUCAAUAGCCGCAAGUGCACAGCUGAUCGAUUGUAGUACUUAGGGAUCGAAUCCACAGGGAAGGAGGAUCUUUCCUGCAAAAGCCUUCGAAAGAAAUAUAAAGUAACGAAGUCUAGAAUCAGGCGAUUUUUGUGAGGGUUUUGGUGGUGUCUUUAAAACGUAAAAACUAAUCUUAACGGGAAAAUACGGGAAUUCAAAUGCCUAAUAACUAAACUUAACGAAAACGACUAAAAACGAGAAAAACGGCUAAACCAAAUAGCUUAAAUGAAAAUCGAUUGAAAAAGUAAAAAUACUAGACUAAAGCCUGAAUGAAAAUCGGUGUAAAUCUAUAGAAAAGAAGGCGCUGAGGUUCAGGGAAGUUUUAUCAGGGGUAUGAACGAUUCAAAACAUUGCUAGAGAGUAAAUUUGAUAAGAUCUUAGCUUAAACUUUUUGAACUGGAGUCACGGACUUAUGAAUACGCCACUGUCGUGAUCAUAGACAACUAUCUCUCUCAACCCUGACCUGUAGGUUUCCACUCUGGCCCUGGAAGAAAAAAGAUGAAUUAUGUUUAAGACUCGUCAGCAUUCACAAAUCGCCCAUAGGUAGGUUUCCACUCCUAUGUUUGUUUUGCUCUCCCAAACUAGAUCUGACACCGGAUGAACACUUUCGUGUCACCAAGCAUCUAGAUCAAAUUGUAGUUCAUGACGCUACUCUCAUGCAGUAAAAACGAAUUCAGAAGAAAAAGUUCUAAGAUUCGGCUCAAUAACUCAUGGAAUCCUCAUCGAACAUAAGUAUCCCCAACGAAAAUCCCUUAGACCCAACAAUAAAACUACUCAGACAUGAUAAACGAAAUCAAAAACAUAGUAUUAAAAAGUAGAACAGAAACCGAAAUUGAAAAAGAAAGAACAAGGGUUCAAGAGAUAGAUCUCUCUCUCCCUAAAACCUAAAAACAAACCUUAAAGUAAAAUUUCAGUAAAGUAUUUCGUCUCUCUUCUUUCUCUCCUAAAAAUGACCUAAAUGAUAUGUAUUUAGUCUCCAAUACUCUCUGGUGUCUAGGGUUCCGAAAUUGAGGCUGGGAAAAUGAUCUGGGCUUCAGAAAUGGGCCUCCGAACUCGGAGUUGGCUGGCCGCGGUCAGAAUGUACGUGACCGCGGGGAAGGGAUGACUGGCCGCGGUCAGGGAGCUUGGGACCGGGAGGAAUGGGCUGUUGGCCGCGGGUGGAAACGCUUGCCGGCUGGUUUACGGGACAUCUUGCUCUUCGCGCAUCUUUUGAUUGAACCGUUGGAUUGCCAAGCUGUAAAGUGUGGUUGAUAGCUGAUACAUCCAUCUUUGAGAUCUCCAAAUUUGAGCUGGAUCAGACGGUGAGAAGGCCUUCAAUCGGGGGUGAAUUUCUGACGGUUUGACUCUGAGCUGAAAAUCUGGUCUUCUAUCCAUUUUGUUAAGUUUUUUCCUUAGUUUCCUAAAAAGAGUCUUGGAACUACAAAUACUAGAAAAAUGUAAUAAAAGUACUUGAAAGCAAAUAAAAACAUAGAAAAAGUAUUUCAAAAUGAUCCAUAAAAGUGGUCAAAAUACGGUGUUAUCAGUAGACUGUCUAACCCGACACAAGCUUCAGCGAAUUUGCAGUUGUGGCUCUCACUGUUAUGGAUUGGUUAAGGAUGGUAUGAAAAAAAAAAAAUUAUUUAGAAAAACUUGAUUUGCCGAUUAGCUUAGGUUGUCCAAACGCUUUGAUUGGCUAUCAGACAACUAUUGAAUCCUGGUGGAUUGAUGACCCAUGCAAUCUCCUCAGCGAACUUCAUGAUUUAUCUAUUUCUUCAUCUUUUGGUGUGAAUUGGUCAAGUCCAUGGGCCUAGGAAAUUCAUAUUGGUUCAAAUUAGGUUCUCUAAACUCUGUGUUGGGUUAUUUAUCAUUGGGCCUUUAGGCACUGUAAUAUUUUUCUUCUCAUGCAUUUAAUAGAAAGUCUUUUAUCAAAAAAAAAAAAAUAAUAAAAAUUUCUUACAUCAACAUCAUCAUUUUAUAAGUAUCCGAGAAGAUGCUAACAGACAGACGUUUUCUCUCUCAUCUCUCUCUCAAUUUUUUUUUUGGGUAAGAUGUUAAAUAUAUUACCAUUUUCGGAUUUUACACUGUAUAUGUUGGAAGGCCAACUUAUUACAAGAAACAAAGGCAGAAAUAGAGUACAAAUUAAGGAGGGUAGAAGAUGAAGCCAAAAUAGAGCUAGAGGAGAGAAGAAGAAGCGUCAUUCCUGGCAGGAAAGGAGAGGAGAUGGUCUCUUAGCAAACGAUCAAGGGAGCUCAUGAAAGGCACUACCGGCGUUGGCGAGGCCGAGAAAAUCCGAGCAUUACGUUCCUUCUAGAGGAUAUAAACGAGAGCUUGCAAGAUGAUCCAGAUGAUAAUGGCAGGGCCCGAUCGAUGAUUUACUUGGUUCUGGGAGAUCCAUGCAACAAUAGAGACAAGAUCCAGGGGCGCGUUCGGCCAAAAAGAAGACGCAAAGCAGUUCCAGAUAGCUGAUGAAAACUGGCAUUCAAAGAAGAGAUGCAUAUGCGUUUCCAAACCACCAGAGCACAACACACAUUCAGGAGCACCAUUCAACCCCCAUCGCCUCAAUCUAUCCUUGGUGGGAAGCCGUGACAACAUAGCUAACCAAGUGAUAAACGAGUGACUAGGAACAGGUUCCUUAAACCAGACAAUCUUAUCCCAAGAGACUUGAGGAGAACAACUACGAAUAAGCUCCCAAAUUACCUUAGAAGAGAAAACAUUCACAUACGUACCCGAGUCAUUCCGCCAUAAGUAUUGAUCUCGACCGCGAUCGACAGACGGUGGAGUAAUGGUCGAUAAGGCAAUUUGGAGAGCUUGGGCUUCCUCUGAUCUAGCUGCAGGCAUCCUCCACAUUCCAUUCUGAGAGGCAUGGACUAUGUGAGCAUCAAGAUGAAUCUGCAGCUGACGAGGACCAUUAUCCCCAACGAAUGAUAUAAGUGGUCCCAGGUCUUUCCAAGAGUCGUAGCAGAAAGAUGCAUCAUCACCAUUUCCUAUGACACAACUCAUGAAAUCCACCACACAAUGCUUCAGCUGAAGCAUACUUCAAACAGGUCUGGAGAACCGGUUGGAAUCCUCUGUAAUCCAGAUACUUUUCCUUCUAAACACAUGCGAUUUUAGCCAAGCUACCCAGAGGGACAUGGAUUGGGAGAAGAAGUUCCAGAUGUGUUUAAGUCGGAAGAUCAUCUCAUAGUCUUCAAGGAGCCUGAGUCCAAGCCCGCCUUCAGAUUUAGGCUUACAGACAUCACGUCAUGCCACUCUUGCACCGAUGGCAUUUAUAGUCUUGUUUUUCCAGAGAAAACUUGAGCAUAGCGAGUUGAUAGUCUUGUAAAAAUGCUUUGGAAGCACAAAUACAUAACUCCAGAAAUUCACCAUACCGUAGAUAACGGAUGAAACCAAUCUAAUCUUUCCCGUGAAAGACAUGUGUUUCACUGUCCAAUAGUGGAGCUUUGAUGUAAUCCUCUCAGCAAAUGGCUGUAGAGUUGCAAAAAAUAUUCUUGAGGGAUUCAGAGGAAGACCCAAAUAUUUGGUCGGGAAUGAUCCAAUCUGAAAUCCAGCCAGAUCACCAAGAACUGCAGAUUCAAUAUCAUAAUAAACCCCAAAGAAAAUCUCAGACUUUGAUGCAUUCAUAUCCAGACCACACAUUUCUUUGAACUCCUUCAAGGUUUCCUUAAUGCCUGAAAUAGAAGCCCACGAUCCGUCAAGGUCAGCCGCAAAGAGAAGGUGAGUAACCUUGGGAUCAGCACAGUUUGGAUGAAGCCUUAUCUUGCCAAGGUCCACGGAUCUUUCCAAAAGUUUAGACAAGACUUUCAUUACCAUAAUGAAGAUAUUGUAAGACAUUGAAUCACCUUGGCGCAGGCCUUUCAUUCCAUUGAAGAAGCCUGCCAACUCGCCAUUUAUUGAGAUAGAAAACCGAGGAGAAGUGACACAUUCCUUAAUCCACGCUCUGAAUAAGGGAAGAAACUGCUGAGAUUCAAGGACUUUAAAGUGAAAUCCUAUCAAAGGCUUUCCUCAUAUCCACCUUUAACAUGCAGCUUUUGGGGCAUGAUGACUUCUGAUAAUCCCUAAUCAACUCAGAUGCCAGUAACACGUUUUCACCGAGGCUCUUUCCUAUAAAGAAUGCCGCUUGGUUGAGACUUAUCCACUGUUGUAGGACUGGUUUCAUCUUGCUUGUGAUGAUCUUUGAAAUAACUUUGUACACAAGAUUGCAGCAGCUAAUGGGUCGGUAAUCACCAAGCUGACAUGCUUCACGCCUCUUUGGAAUAAGAGUGAUAGAAGUGUUAUUUAGGUCCUUCAAAAGCCGACCGUUCCUGAAGAAUUCUGGAACCGCAGCAAUAACAUCACCACCGGUCACUUCCCAAGUUGAUAUCAGAAACUCAACAGAGUAGCCAUCAGGACCAGAGCUCUUAUUUAGAGGCAUACAAAAGAUAAUACUCUUAAUCUCUUCAGCCGAUACCUCCUUUUGUAUUGCAUUCUGAUUGUUAGAGCAGCGAAAUGGCAACAGGUCUUGCAAAAAAUCAACAGAGACAGGGGAAGAGACUAAAUCAGUCUUCCCCAAGAUGUCCUUAAAAUAAACCGCAGAAUGCAUUUUAAUCUCCUUCGUUUAAUCAAAAACAUUUCCAUGGGAGUGUCUAACGAAAUGAAUAUAGUUCCGAGUAUUCCGCUGAGGAACUGACUUGUGAAAGAAAGACGUACUUCUAUCACCAAGAUACAACCACUGAACACGGGACCUUUGACGAUAUAAUUUCUCCUCAGUUGUUACGAGAGUGUGCCAUUUGGCCCUGGCAACAUGCUCUUCACAAACCAAGAGUAAUAGAUCGCGAGGAUAGGAUAGAUAUUUGCAGCUCAGAGAUCUUUUCAGCUUGCUCUUUCACUCGAGUAGAGAUGCCACUAUAAUGGUGAGUGUUUAACUUACGCAGAACCGGUUUCAAAAGCUUCAUAGACCUUGUCAAUUUGAAUUGAUUUAAGCCUUGAAUACUCUAAGAAUUACAAGCCUCAGUGAUAGAUUCUAGAUACUGAGGAUGAUCCAUAAUAUGCCGGAAAAACUUGAAAGGUUUGUGAACCUGGCGAUGAGUAAAAGGAACAUGAAACAGACAAGCAGAGUGGUCGGAUUACAGCGGUUCCAAUAAAUUGCAAUAAGCAUCAGGAAACGACAUUGUCUAAGCCUGAUUUAUCAGAGCAUGAUCGAUUCUCUUGGAGAUAGGUUUGUCUUCACUAUUGUUCCACCAGGAGAAAGAUAGGCCUUUGGUUUGAGCUUCAAAUAAUCCUGCGUCUUGAAGCGCUAUAUUUAUAUCUUCCAUAUCACAAGUGUCAACGUCAAUAGAUGGGUGAUUUCAGUGCUGAGAUGCACGCAUUAUCUGGUUGAAGUCACCUAAUACAGCCCAUGGGUGCUGAGAUACUGGUGUCGUUUCAUUCAAAAAACCCACUCCUUCCAUAACAGAGUCCCCUCCUCCACUGAAUUAAAGCCGUAUACAAAAGUAACCGUGAGGUUGAUAUUCUGCUCUCGGAUAAAGAUACCACAGGUCACCGCUUGAACAGAAGCUUUAUAGAUAAGCACUGAGACACUAGGAUCCUAUACAACAACAAUCCGAGCUGUCUAGUGAUAAUCAAAAUUCCUGAAAAAUCUCUAUGCCACAGGGAUAGCUCUUGAGAUCCUACUUUUAUUUAUUUCCUGAAUAUGCGUUUCACUGAACGCUCCAAAAAGAGGCAUAUGGAUAUUAAUCCAAUCUUUGAUCAUAGGAUAGCGUCUAUCGCUGUUGAGUCCCCUUAUAUUCCACGCAAAAAAACAUUAUAUAUGUAUAUUAGUGGUGUUUUGCAGCCUUGCGGCCACUCUUCCGGUGAGAAACCAAUAAAAAAGGUACUUCCAUAUCCUUAGAUACUUGACUGAUAGCAUGCGGAGUAGUCGAACCAGCAACUUUUACCACUGAACCUCUAACCAAAAAAAAUUCAUCAACCUUAGCAUCACUCAUCGAGGGUCGAGUAUGCACCUCUGGAACGAUCGCAACAGGCUCAGCAUUGAUUUCAAGUAGAGCAUCCACCUACGAAGCAGGGAGAUUUCUAACAACAUCCAUCCCCACAUGAACCUUGACCUCAGGUUUCUGAGAUUCUCCGGCAUUAGACUCCGGAGUUGUAGUUUCCACAGCACCCACUUCCUCUCCCAAAUGUUCCUGAGAACCACCAUUGACAACCUGAUCACUUGAAGAGGUACCUUCCUUCCCGGUUAGCUCCUUCGCGACAGAAAGGCUGAUGCCUGUUUCUUCUAGCUCUGGAGUGGCCAGCGCGAGACCUCUUGACCCUCCUAGUACCAAUACUGGGCGAAAGAGUGAUAUUCCUUCAAUUCAUGAGAUGAUAGUCAAAGACUCAAUGACAAGUUUGGUAACCAAAACUGUUGCAGUCACACAUUUCUGAGGCAGCCAAGGGGGUAUGAUAAAGAAAUCAGGACUUCACGGCCACUCGAGAACCCGGAGAUAACCUUAUCUGGCAGAUCUUUCAUCAGAUCAAUCCUCACAAAAAAAUUUGCAACUUUGAAUAUUUCCUUGCAGGCUGUUUCUGGUGCGAGAGAUAUUGGUUUUUCUACUGCAGUAGCGAUCCUGCAUAGACUCUCCUUGUUAACAACACAUACAGAACGUCGCAAAACUCCACUGGAACAAUUGCAGAGGUUAGCGGGGGUUUAUCCGGGUCAUAGUUGGGAGCCCAAGGAGCAACAAACACGGAAAACCCUGCAAUAUACCACAUAUUCUAGCUAAGAAGAUGUUCUCUGUUCUUUGCAUUCACUACUUUAAGAAGAUAAGAACCAGAUCCAAUGUUAUGGACGAAGAUCCUUGGUCCCGUGCGAGCAAAGAUGGCGUUAACCACCCUGGUAAUCCUCCCCAUAUCGGGAAAGUCACCGUGAAAGCGAGCAAAGACAAAGUCUUUAAACUCUUCCUUGGCCGCAUCGAGGUUCUCGUCUGUAAUAAGGACAAACAAAACACCGGAUACGUGCUGAGUUGGGACACUAUUUCCUCAAGCUAGGAUGAGUUCUUAAGAAGACUUGACAACUUACGGCCAGAUGCAGCAGGCCCUUAGCCACAGAGGCAUUUACGGGUGCGGAAGAAAUACCGGAGGCUGAGCCGUCAUCAGCAUCUGAGGGUAAAUCAGACUCUUCAUUCACCGGCGGAAGCACCAGCGAUGGCAGAUUUGAGCUUGACUUGAUUCCCAAGGAAGUCCGACAUGUUUGUCUGUAAGUCCGACUUGUUAGGUUUUUAAUUUUUUUUGUUUGUUUUCAUCUCCUUCUGCAGCAUCUCAUCUUCUCUGGUCGGAGAAGACAAAUCCGAUGUGUUUGUUCAGAGACUCUGUUGAUACCGAGUAUCACACAAAGAGCUUAGGAGAUUUUAUUUCUUUUAUAGCUGAAUUCAAUGUGACUGCCUACGUACUUUUAAAAGAUGGAUCAAGUCAUUUGUAGUUCAUAUUACAGAAAAAUAAGAAGAAGAUGUGUUUUAGGGUUUUAUUGUGGAGUUCUGAAUAAUGAAUGAUGACCUUCUCUAUGUAGAGCUCUUGUAUUAAUAGGUGAUGAAGCCAGUAGCUUUUCUUUUUUCUUCUUGUACUUGUUAUUGCAGAUUUUCUUAUUUUUCGAAGCUGAUAAAAACAAAUUUCUUUUUUCUCGGGGAUUUAUCUUUUAAGAAAAAUUUCUUUCAUAGAUAAGAUUAUGAGAUCUUCUGCAAAAUCCGGAAAUUAAUGCCGAUAUUGUAAAUCGGGCUUUAGGGUCCUGGAGGCUGUUAAUGGGUCGAGUAUUCUUCGGAUAUUAACCAUCAUAAACCAGGAUCCAUUGGGCCGAUCUCGAGUCAUACUGAUGUGGUGUGUGUCGGGGGUGUCAAGUUUUACCCUAAAUGAAAUCAAUAGCCGCAAGUGCACAGCUGAUCGAUUGUAGUACUUAGGGAUCGAAUCCACAGGGAAGGAGGAUCUUUCCUGCAAGAGCCUUCGAAAGAAAUAUAAAGUAAGGAACUCUAGAACCAGGCGAGUUUUGAGGGGGUUUUGGUGGUGUGUUUAUAACAUAAAAACGAAUCUUAGAGAGAAAAUACGGUAAUUAAAAUGACCUAAUAACUAAACUUAACGAAAACGGGUAAAAACGAGAAAAACGGCUAGACCUAAUUGCUAAGUGAAAAUAGAUUUAAAGAGUAAAGAUACUAGACUAAAGCUUGAAUGAAAAUUGGUGUAAAUCUAUAAGAAAAGAGGCGCUGGGGUUCAAGGAAGUUUUCUCAGGGGUAUGAACGAUUCAAAACAUUUCUGGAGAGUAAAUUUGAUAAGAUCUUAGCUUAAAAUUUUCGAACUGGAGUCACGGACGUAUGAAUACGCCACUGUCGUGAUCAUAGACAACUAUCGCUCUCAACCCUGACCAGUAGGUUUCCACUCUGGCCCUGGAAAAGAAGAGGUGCAUUAUGUUUAAGACUCGUCAGCAUUCACAAAUCGCUCAUAGGUAGGUUUCCACUCCUAUGUUUGUUUUGCUCUCUCAAACUAAAUCUGACACUGGAUGAACACUUUCGUGUCACCAAGCAUCUGGAUCAGAUUGUAGUUCAUAACGCUACUCUCAUGCAGUAAAAACGAAUUCAGAAGAAAAAGUUCUAAGAGUCGGCUCAAAAGCUCAUGGAAUCCUCAUCGAACAUAUAUAUCCCCAUCGAAAAUCCCUUAGUCCCAACAAUAAAACUACUCAGACAUAAUAAACGAAAUCAAAAACAUAGUACUAAAAAGUAGAAUAGAAAACGAAAUUGAAAAAGAAAGAACAAGGGUUCAAGAGACAGAUCUCUCUCUCCCUAAAACCUAAAAACAAAGCUUAAAGUAAAAUUUCUGUAAAGUAUUUCGUCUCUCUCCUUCUCUCUUUAAAAACGACCUAAAUGACAUGUAUUUAUAGUCUCUAAUACUCUCUGGUGUCUAGGGUUCCGGAAUUGAGGCUGGAAAAAUGAUACGGGCUUCAGAAAUGGGCCUUCAAAGUUGGAGUUAGCUGGCCGCGGUCGGGAUGUGCAUGACCGCAGGGAAUGGGUGGCUGGCCGUGGUCGCGGUGGUUGUGACCGUGGAGAAUGGUCUGUUGGCCGUGGGUGGAAACGCUUGUCGGCUGGUUUACGGGAUAUCUUGCUCUUCGCGUAUCUUUUGAUUGAACCGUUGGAUUGCCAAGCUGUAAAGUGUGCUGGAAAGCUGAUACUUCCAUCUUUAAGAUCUCCAAAUUUGAGCUGGAUCAGACGGUGAGAAGGCCUUCAAUCGGGGGUGAACUUCUGACAGUUUGACUCUGAGCUGAAAUCUGAUAUUCUAUCCAUUUUGUUAAACUUUUCCCUAAGUUACCUGAAAAGAGUCUUGGAACUACAAAUACUUGAAAAACGUGAUAAAAGUACUUAAAAGAAAUUAAAAAUAUAGAAAAAGUAUUUCAAAACGAUCCAUAAAAGUUGUCAAAAUACGGUGUUAUCACAUACCGGGCUAAACCAGAGGUGUGGAGUACACCUCCAACAGUAAGCCCCCCCUCUCAGUCCGGAGUAUAUGUAGGAGUUCGGCAGAUUUCAUGAAUAUAUUUAGUCCGGUGUGAACUGAGAUUGGUGAAUUCUUGCGAGGCUGUUAGCUCGGUUUAUAAGAGUUUCAACUCAGUCUGCUGCGAAUUGUGAUAAUUCGGCUUACAUUUGCCAAUGUUGAGAACUCGGCUUAUGGUGCAAAUCUGAGGAGUUUGGCUUAAGUUUUGUGAGUUAAAUGAACUCGGCCUGGGGACUCAAGUGAGCUUUCUUGUGCUGGAAGAGCGUGAGACGUACUCUUGUAAACACAUAAUACAUACUCAAGGUUUCCUAAGUCUAACCAGAGUGUGUGAGAUGGGCUCGGCUUAUUGUUCUCGCUGGCUUAGGAAUUUAAAAAUGCGAGACUGGCCCCCAACUUUUAAAGUGUGGAUUUUACUACGGCAGCAUGAGGAUGUUCGCAAGACGAAUCUCAACUUUUGAAGUUUGCAUUCAUGGAGAAUGCAAUCGAACAACUGGCUAGGAAGUCGAUGUAAAACCGAUGAGUUUGGUCGGGACUGCGAACAUGUGAGUUUGGCUUAGAGGGACAGACCCUGAAUUUGAAGGAGCUCGGUUGACGAGCUGAAAAAACUUUGUUUGAAGUUUGAAGAUAAUGGGUUCGAGCCGAGGAACUGAAGUUGUCCGAGCUGACAAACUAAAGUUUGACAAAAUUUAAGCUAAUAAAAUAAAUCUGAUGAACUGACACCCAAAAUUUACCAACUCAAAUUCUGAAAUCCAAAACUGACGAACUGAAGUUCUAAUUCUGGGUCAAAAAUGAAUCGAACUGAAGUUCUGAAAUUUUGAACAGAAACUGAUCUGAUAUCAACUGAGACUCUAGGUAGACGACCUGAUCUUCUGAAUAGAAACUGAUUCUAACUGAGAUUCAAAGCAUACUGAUGCCAAGCUGAAAUGAAAUUCUUAGCUGACUGAAGCCGAACUAAAAAUGUGAUUUGAAACUGAAAAUCAUACUGAAACUGAAGGAUCUGAGAGUGAUGAACUGAAGCAGACAUAUGGAAUCUAGCAAACUUGAGGCUUGAUGAGAUGUGUCAAUAUCAGCUUAGAUGUAUCAUUAGGAGUUUUAGCUCGGUAGAGGUGUUGAAGUGUGAGCUUAAGUGGAAGCUCGGAGCACCUCUAUGGAGCUUGGCUUGGAGGUGAACAGUAGCUCGGCUUGGAGGGACGGACGCUGUAAUAGAAUGGAGAGUAUUUUUGAAUAAUAGAUAAAAAUCUCGAUUGAUGAUACCUGGAUUUUGGGGAGCUCGGUUUGCGAGCUGGUGAGAUAUCAAUGUUAAGCAUGAUGACUUUGAGCUUUUGAUUGUUCUUUGAGCUUAUGCUGUAUCUGUUGACUGUUGCUCAAGUGUCCUUGUUGGAGCAACAAUUUUGUAAGUCCUGUGAUGUGUUGAUAGAAAUUGUGAAGAUAUCUUUUUUGAGAUUUGGAAUCAUAACACUUAGCAUGGAAAACUAUACUUAACUUUUUGUUGCUGGUGUGAGAUUAUGAAACUCAUUGUCACAAGUCUGUGAAAUUGACCGGAUCUGAAUAUUCAAAAUAUCUUCUCAAAGACUGGUUUAUAUGAUGUAGACUUUGCUCGAUGUUGAGUCGACGCUCAGAUAAAUCAGGCAUGAAUUAAAGCGAAUCGGUGAUCAGAGAGACAGAGACGUUGUUUUCGGUUGACAAAGAGGACGACAAGAUCAAACAUGUUGUCGAUGGGAAAGAGACUGUGUGAUGGAUUUCGCUGAAAACUGAGACAACAUCGUUAUGAACUUUGGCGGAGACCAUGGAGACAUUGGAGAGAUUGAUAACAACGCUAAGCAGACCCAUGUUCAGCAAGGAAACCAAGAGAGGUCAGAGACUUCGUUGGCUGGAGAGUUCGGACUUAUCAUUGAGAGAUUGAAGUUUGUAGAACGGAGGUGAUAUCAAUCGUGAGGAGCAGAGACGAAGCUUGUUUAUAUUCACAUUGUAAAUUUGAGGAGCUUGGCGAGAUGAUGUCAGAAGCUUGGAAAUCGUAUCAAAAGCUUAAUACAUAAAUCAGCGAAUGAGUUUGUGAACAGGCUUCUACUCGUUUUGCAACCUUAUUACUCGGGUGUAAAGCUUGUCGGUACAGGUGAUGGAGGACUUUCUAUUCCAAAAUCGAUGUGAAUGGAGCAGAUUCGACUCUGGCACGCAAGAGAGAUCAUGAACUAUCAUACAAGUUGCAUCUAUGCUCAUGAUAUUCUAUAGGUAACUUUCGUCUCCUAUAGUGAUCUCGCUCGUUCGACUCUAGGUCAGGAUGAAUAAUACAUCACUGUCAUUGCUUCUUGCAUCCUAUGAUCAGUUUCUAAGUGGCCAGCAAAUAAUUGUGCAUUAACAAUAAGAAUGAAUGAAAAAUUCCUAAAAUAUUAUGAACCCUAAAUCUAACAAUUCAUCAAAUCAAGACAUAAAUUUUUUUUUGAAAUAAUCCUUGUAAACUCAAAUGGAAAAUUACUCAGACAUAGUGUAACAAAGCAUCAUAAAAGUAUUAAAGGUUGCUAAAAAUACUUGGAAUCCUAUGGAUGAAGACAUGGUCAGGAGGAACCCCUCUUAUAGAAAGCACUAUGAAGUACAACAAUAUGUUGAACUACUUCAACAAGUCAACGCGUAAGAUAUCCAGCAUCUGAUGUGCGUACUGUAGUAUCUACUAAAAUGGGUUGGAAUGACGGGAUGCCUAAUCUAUGUAGGGUUGCUGAAAAAUUGAAUAAAAGUAAAGUAAAGAACGAAAAACAAAGAUAAAGAUGAAGAUCCAAUGGUGCCCUCCUCAGUGGCUCUUCUUUGAAGACUGCUACUCUCUAAGAAUUCUAAUAAAAUUGGGCAUACCAUCUUUGAAUGACCUCAAAGAGGUACAUAUAAUCUUUGGAGUCUUCAAGAAUGUCUAGGAUUUUCAGAAUAAAUUACGAAAAUGACUUAGACUUGAAAAAGGCUUCUAAGGGUCGGAUCUAGGCCCACAGUAGUUGCAGAAGUUGCACCCAUGGAGAAACAUCCUCCGCCCGAGGGUGAGAGCUGUUUCAUCUUCGAGACUGUGCUCGUAUACCUUCAGUGCAUCGAAAAUAUCUGGAGAUCUAAUCGUUGGAUUGCGUCCAAACUAACUGCAUUAGAAAGCUGGUGUCUCCUCUAUGUUGUGUCAAAAUAUGGAGAUGAUCAGACGGUGAUAAAAUAUUUAUUUGUUGUCAAAAUUCUGACGGUCUGAAUUUUAUCCAAAAAUGUACUCCUGCUCCAAUUGCACUCAUUUAAUCUAAGUUUCUUGAAAAUUCUUUUGAAAAUCUAAAACAUGGAAAUCACUUAUAAACUAUUGGAAAAAAAAGUGAAAACACAUGCAUAAGAUAUUAAAAUCAACCAUAAAAUAUUCAAAAUAUAGUGUUAUCAAUAUCCAUGUGAAUGUAGUACACAUAUACGUAGGUAAAUGGAUAUGCAUGCAUAUCCAUACACAUAUGCAUACACAUAUGGUAUAUGUCUUCGCAGAAAAAUAAAUAUGUAUGCGUAUUCACAUAUAUAUGGUAUGUGCCUAAGUAACUAUAUGAAUAUGCAUGUGUUCUCUCCAUUAAAUUUGAAUCACAUCUAAGUUAAAAAAAUUAUGAAAUUUGUAUUAGAGAAAAAAAUAGUUAUAAUUGAUAGUGCAACAAUAAUUGUUUGAAUAAUUUUGAUGAGAAGAAAAAGAAAAGGCAAAACAAAAGAUAUGGGAUUUGAGGCAAGAAUAAUAAUAAAAUUAUAAGAAAAUAGUAGACGAGUAAUUAUUUAUUGAUAAAGCAUAUAAAGAUCAAAACACAGAUAAAAGAAAAUACAAGUGUGCUAUAUCUUAAAAAUGUAUAUAUGUAAUAUUGUAGUUUCCAAAAAACUGUCUAGGAUAAGCAUUGGCAUGUUGCCAAAUAGCCCGAAAUACAUUAUAAGACAAAAUAUUUUAGUUUUUGGUAAUUUUGAUUUUCUAUUGAUGUUGCUACGGGUUGCUACGGGGUAAUGACCAGAGGAGUGUUAUCAUUCAUCACCAUAUGACAGAGAGGUGUUGUUAUGAAAAGUUGGUAGUAGUUUAGUGGUUUUAUGAACUUAUCUCUUCCUUUUUGUAUAAGGGGUGUGAUUGUAUCUGGUUACACGUUUUGUCUUUUGGGCCUUUAGGCAAAACUUUAUGUUGGGCCACCCCACACGCCCAUCCAGUCUGUCUCUUUCACGGCGCACUCGCUGUUGCUCCUAGUGUUUUUCAGUGGUCUUAUAACGUUAGAAGAAUUCACGUCGUUCUCACUGCCUCUCAGUACCUUUUUGCGAUCGCCCUCACCAAACCGACUUAAAUCCAAACAAAGUCAAUUCACAUAAAUUUACGUGUUGUUUUGAAAAUAAGGACAUUUUUAAGUUUUUAUUUGAGAAAAGAGUAGUUUUAUGUUUUAAUUAGUUAGGAUAGGGACAUACUUUCAUAAUACCAAACUUACCAUUAUUUCUGAGAGAGAGACAGAGAAAUAUGUCCCUUAGAAAAAGACAGACGCAGAAAUACCGUGGGUCCCAGGCGUAGUCUGUGUCUGCGCGCGUAACAGCCGGGAGGAGAGCACUCACGUGUGAUUGGGUCAUUUUUUGGGCCUGAUUUCGAAUUUCGGAAUAAAAAUUCCAAAAACCACCAUACUGGGCUUCGGUUAUGGGCCAGAAACUACCCAACUUAUUAGACGCAAAACUAUCCUUCCCAUUCUAUUUUUUUUUUGGCGGGAAAAUUGUGGUUAAUUAGAGAUAAUAGAGAUAAAUUGGUUAAAAUAAGAAACAAAGUACCCUAACCAAAUUAGAAACCCUAACUAAAUUAGAAACCCUAGUUUCCCUUUACAAAAGAUGUUGAAAUUGAAGAAGAAAUUAUGCGAUGAUCAAGAAGACAACAACCACGGUUAGUUACUUAAUCCUAUUAUUGUACACCCAUAGAUUUGUCAUUGUUAUUUUCGAAUUUUUCGUUCUGGUGUUCGCUAUUUGCCAGUAGUUUUUUAGAUAUGGUGUUCGCGAUUUGCAGUGGAUGCGUUCAUUCUUGUUAUGGCGGGAACGUGGAUAAGGUACUAUACAGGAGAUUGGGAUUUCAAAAUGGACAUAUCUCGUCGUGGAAGGUGCAUAAAUUGCAAAGAUGUGUCCGGACCAGAUGAUUUGAGAAAUCUGAUUGCGCAUGAGUUCAGAUUAGACCCGAGAGUUGUUUCGGUGGAGAUUUCCUACUGGUUUGAUGAUGUUCUAGCUGAGCUUAAUGGUGAUGGGAGUUGUCCAUGUGUGAUAGUUACUCCUCGAGAGUACAAAUUCUUCCUUUCGCUGCAUAAGUCUGACAAGUCUGUGAAUUUAUUUGUGACAUUCAAGGAGUCAGUAAAUGGUAAAAUGGUGAGAUUGAAACGGAAGGAAAGUCUUGAAGUUCAAAUUGCUAGGGAACGGCGAAAGUCCUUAAGGCCAACAAACUUCAUAGCCUCUUCUUCGGCAGAGUCUAGUCAACCCGAUGAUGAAGCAGAUGAAGAAGAUAUCGAUGAUUGUUUGCUGAUAGCACAUGCCGAGAAAGUAGAGGCAGAGGCCGCAAUGAACACCUCCAAAGGUGUACAACCUGAAGCUGUCUCUGUAAUCCAUCCUCCAUUGGGAUUAAAAAUGUCCCAAGAAUCAGAGAAAGUAGAGGCUAAGGCCAGCACUAACACUUCCGUUAAUGUAAAACCUAAUGUUCCAAGUCACGCUGUCUCUGUUGACCACCCUGAGUUGGAAUUAAAAAUGUCCCAAGAAUCAGACGAGGCGAGAGAUUCGGAAGAGAAGGAAGCUGAUGAUGUUGACGAUGACGCAUACGGCUCUGAUGAUGAUUAUGAUCCGGAUUAUGAUUUUGACUGGUGGAAUGAUUAUGUACUAGCAGAUGGUAAGGGUUUCCAUUCUAAACCUGGAUUUGAUGAGGAUAAGGAUGACUCUGGUAGUUCAGGGGGUUGUGGAAGUACUCGCGGAAGUGAGCCGAGUGAUUCAAACCGUAUGGACUCCUCCAAUGUCUUAACGGAGAGUCCUAUUCAUUUUCCUGGAAGAAAGAGGACUGUAUGUGAGAAGGUUCUGGCUCCCAAUGGAGAUGAUGAUGAUUUUGUGCAGACUCCGACAGGUGAUGUCGGUUGGGGGCGUCAGAAUGGCGGUGCAGAGCUGAAGAAAGCGAUUAAACGUACAGAACUAUAUGGAUUUCCGGAUGUGGCACCAGUCUAUGAUGAAAUGGGAGGGGAUUUCGAUGAACUUGAUUUGUCAAAUGAAGAUAGAGAGAUAUGGGUUGAGAAAAAGUUCAGGAACAAGGAACACUUUAAAAUCACGUUGGCCAUCAAUGCGCUGAAGAAUAUAGUGACGUUCGAAUUCAAAAAGCAUGCGAAGAAGUACACAGUCGCCGAAUGUCCAUCAAAGAUAUGUGAUUGGAGGGUGUUGGGGUGUCAAGUUGGCGAGUCUGCGUUGUAUGAGGUGAGGAAGGCGUGCUUGAAGCAUACAUGCCACCCGGAUACAAGAAAGAAAUUUUCUAAGCAUGCUACUUCUAAAGUCAUGGCGGCUCUGCUGAAGUCUAAGUAUGAGAAUGCAAUAGUUGGUCCACGUGCGAGUGAGCUACCUGCGAUUGUUCUCUCCGAAUAUAAUAUUACAGCCUCGUACUGGAAAUGCUGGAAAGCAAAGGAGCUGGCUAUAUACUCUGCUCACGGAACAGAGGAGACUUCUUUCAAAUUAUUACCGAUUUACCUCCAUGUGCUCAAGUAUGCUAACCCCGACACCAUAACGCAUUUGUCAACGGAGACGGAGAGAGAUGAAAAAGAUGGAAAAUGUAUUACCAGGUUUAAGUCCGUAUUUAUGGCAUUGGCUGCGUGUAUAUCUUGAUGGAAACAUUUGAAACAAGUAGUUGUUGUUGAUGGGACUCACCUGACUGGUAAGUAUAAGGGUUGUCUAUUAACGGCCAGUGGACAAGAUUCUAAUUACCAGGUUUUUCCAAUAGCGUUCGCCGUUGUCGAUGCAGAGUCUGACCAGACAUGGAGGUGGUUCUUUGAGAAGUUGGUAGACAUUAUUCCAGAUUCCUCUGAUCUUACUAUUAUCUCGGAUAGGCACGGUGGAAUUGCCAAAGCUAAAAAGAAAUGGUAUCCACAGUCACACCACGGUGCAUGUCUUGUCCAUAUCCAGAGAAAUGUUCACGGUAAAUACAAAGGUUCCGGUCAUAAAGGGUUGGUCGGAAAGGCUGGAGAAGCGUUCACAGUUUCUAAUUUCAAGAAACUAUACGCAAGGCUGAAGGAUGUUGAUUAUCGUUGUUGGGAGUACAUGGAAAAAAUCCCUCUUGCGCUGUGGACUAGAUCACACUUUUCUGGUCAAAGGUAUAAUAUGACCUCCAGUAACAUUGCAGAGUCUCUGAACAAUGCAUUAUUCGCUGCAAGAGACAGUCCAAUCGUUGCAAUGCUAGAAUUUAUCAGGCGAAUGUUAAGUAGGUGGCUUGAAUGCAGAAGAGAGAAAAUUCAAAAGAUGGAUGGUGACAUUCCAGAAGAAGUUGACAAGUUAAUUCGCUGCACUAUCGGUUCAAGGCAUUUCUUUGUGGGAGGUUGAAGUGAGUUCUGAAUUCGGUGUACGGCGGCUUGUUGAUCUCCUAAACAAAACAUGCUCAUGUCUAGAGUUUCAGACAUUGGAAUACCCUUGCGGACAUGCAAUGGCCGCGGCUAGGCUUCGGCAAGUGGAGUACAGCAGUUUGGUUGAUCCAAUUCUUAAGAAAUCAAUUUGGAGUGCAACAGUUUGUGGCAAAAUCCUACCAGUGCCCGACCCUGACGACUUUCGUAUCCCAGCAGAGGUGCGUGACCUUACGAUUAUGCCAUCUAAGUCAAAACGUCCAUCAGGAAGGCCUACGACGAAGAGAAAACUUUCAGCAGGAGAGUAUCCUCAGGUUAGUGUACACUAAACAAUUAUUUUUUCCCCAGUCAUACUGAUUAUUGAUUACAGAUUACUGAUAUACGUUGUUGCAGCUGCGAAAAAAAAGAAGCCAAACAAAUGCUCGAGAUGUGGAAAUCCCGGCCAUAACCGGGCAAAAUGCAAGGAAUCAUUGGGUUGACCGGGUGUGGCUUUUGUGUGUCUUUUGUUGUGUGAUGGAAAUAGCGAGCCACAUUGUUUUUUGUGUGUCUCUUGUUGGUUUUUUUGUGGGGAUCUUGCUUUGUUUUUCGGGUUUGUUUCUAGCGUACACUAUGUUUCCCUAUAUUUAAAAUUGGAAAGGCAUGAACUAUGUUAUAUUUGUUAUGAAAUUUAUGAUGUUUACUGAACAGUCUACACAGUUUGUGUACACCUGUGACGGUGGACACAGUUUGUGUACACUGUGAUGGUGGACAACAUGAAUCAGUUUACAUUAUAUGGUGCAUGCGCAUUAUGGCUUAUGUAUAAGUUUACAUUAUAUGGUGUACGCAUAUAAAUUUAGGUGUAUGCACAUUAUGGGUUAUUUUUAGGGUUUAGGGCUUAGGGUUUACGAUGUAGGGUUUAGGGUUUAGCUUAUUAAGGGAAUCAAAAUAAUUAUCAAAGACAUGGUUCUAUAGCAGAGAAAGAAAACAUUAUCUAGAAAACGGACAAUGAUCGUGUCUUUGAUGAAAUUGUAGGACAGGACAGCACCAAUAAACGGUUUUUUCAAAAAUCAAGUCAUUACGUUUUUGAAAACCGCAAUAAUGAAAACGGUGUAUGAGGAAUAAACGCGACCCAAAAAAAUCAAAUUGGAAAUGACAAAAACUAAUUAAGUACCUUUUUGAAACCCGUUGCACCGUUUGACCGACUCGUUUUCCUCUCUUUACUUUAUAAUGUUUUUCCUGUCGUCCUCUAUAAAAACUGUCCCCUGCCUUCUUCAGUGAAACAAGUUUCCGGAGACAGAAAAAGUUAAUUACAGCAGAAGUUAAUUACACAGAAAAUUAAUAGUUACUUUUUAAAAAUGUACUCUGCCAAAGUGAUCUCAUUGCAAUUGAAGGAGGUGGAGAGGAAAAACAGUCCAUGUUUCAGUAUAGGUAUUAUGUGGUUCUUUUGAAAAUAGGGGGUUUAGUUUAGUUUUAGUUUUUGAGGAUCGGUCUUUUACAUCGUCUACCUAAUUAGUGUUUUGCCGAUUGCAUUAGGACCUGUGGGUGAGGACUUGUAUCACUGGGAAGCUAUCAUAAGGGGGCCUAAAGGUUCACCCUAUGAGAAUGGUGUUUUCAAACUAGACAUUCACUUUCCACUUGACUACUCUUUUGCGCCACCGAGGGUAAGGAAUGAAGCAUAUAAUUGCUCUCUCAAACUGCUGUAUUUUUAGGGUUCGGGAUUUAGUCAAUAAAGAUUUCAAUUACUAAUAACACUGUUUUUUUUCAGGUGAUGUUCAAAACAAAUAGGUAUCACCCAAACGUUAUACAUAUGGGAACAUUUUUCUUAAGAUNNNNNNNNNNNNNNNNNNNNNNNNNNNNNNNNNNNNNNNNNNNNNNNNNNNNNNNNNNNNNNNNNNNNNNNNNNNNNNNNNNNNNNNNNNNNNNNNNNNNNNNNNNNNNNNNNNNNNNNNNNNNNNNNNNNNNNNNNNNNNNNNNNNNNNNNNNNNNNNNNNNNNNNNNNNNNNNNNNNNNNNNNNNNNNNNNNNNNNNNNNNNNNNNNNNNNNNNNNNNNNNNNNNNNNNNNNNNNNNNNNNNNNNNNNNNNNNNNNNNNNNNNNNNNNNNNNNNNNNNNNNNNNNNNNNNNNNNNNNNNNNNNNNNNNNNNNNNNNNNNNNNNNNNNNNNNNNNNNNNNNNNNNNNNNNNNNNNNNNNNNNNNNNNNNNNNNNNNNNNNNNNNNNNNNNNNNNNNNNNNNNNNNNNNNNNNNNNNNNNNNNNNNNNNNNNNNNNNNNNNNNNNNNNNNNNNNNNNNNNNNNNNNNNNNNNNNNNNNNNNNNNNNNNNNNNNNNNNNNNNNNNNNNNNNNNNNNNNNNNNNNNNNNNNNNNNNNNNNNNNNNNNNNNNNNNNNNNNNNNNNNNNNNNNNNNNNNNNNNNNNNNNNNNNNNNNNNNNNNNNNNNNNNNNNNNNNNNNNNNNNNNNNNNNNNNNNNNNNNNNNNNNNNNNNNNNNNNNNNNNNNNNNNNNNNNNNNNNNNNNNNNNNNNNNNNNNNNNNNNNNNNNNNNNNNNNNNNNNNNNNNNNNNNNNNNNNNNNNNNNNNNNNNNNNNNNNNNNNNNNNNNNNNNNNNNNNNNNNNNNNNNNNNNNNNNNNNNNNNNNNNNNNNNNNNNNNNNNNNNNNNNNNNNNNNNNNNNNNNNNNNNNNNNNNNNNNNNNNNNNNNNNNNNNNNNNNNNNNNNNNNNNNNNNNNNNNNNNNNNNNNNNNNNNNNNNNNNNNNNNNNNNNNNNNNNNNNNNNNNNNNNNNNNNNNNNNNNNNNNNNNNNNNNNNNNNNNNNNNNNNNNNNNNNNNNNNNNNNNNNNNNNNNNNNNNNNNNNNNNNNNNNNNNNNNNNNNNNNNNNNNNNNNNNNNNNNNNNNNNNNNNNNNNNNNNNNNNNNNNNNNNNNNNNNNNNNNNNNNNNNNNNNNNNNNNNNNNNNNNNNNNNNNNNNNNNNNNNNNNNNNNNNNNNNNNNNNNNNNNNNNNNNNNNNNNNNNNNNNNNNNNNNNNNNNNNNNNNNNNNNNNNNNNNNNNNNNNNNNNNNNNNNNNNNNNNNNNNNNNNNNNNNNNNNNNNNNNNNNNNNNNNNNNNNNNNNNNNNNNNNNNNNNNAAAUAAAUCGUUAUUGUGUUUUGCUUAAUAAUCUAAAUUUGGUUUAAAUCAGGGCUUAACUGUGUAUACAUGUCUAUGUAAUCAGGUACUGACGGAAAUACACCAAAUGUUAACUGCCCCCCAAAUAAGUGAAUGACAUUUUUUUGUUGAAGAAAUUGCUAGGAUUUACGUGGAAGACAGGGCUGCAUUUGAAACCACUGCACUUGCAUGGACGGUGGAGCAUGCCGGAGGACCAUGAACUCCUGAAUUGUGCUAUUAAUUUUGUUUGUUGAAUUGUGUUAUUUCUUUUGCAAAAAAAUAAGACCAAUAUUUUGUUACCGUGUUUUUCUUGAGAAGUUUAUGACUUUAUAUUAAAUUUUUUAUAUGAUUAUAGUUUUUAUGUUUACGAUUUGAUAAAUUGUCCAAGCAUAAAUUUACGUGGAAGACAGGGCUGCAUUUGAAACCACUGCACUUGCAUGGACGGUGGAGCACGCCGGAGGACCAUGAACUCCUGAAUUGUGCUAUUAAUUUUGUUUGUUGAAUUGUGUUAUUUCUUUUGCAAAAAAAUAAGACCAAUAUUUUGUUACCGUGUUUUUCUUGAGAAGUUUAUGACUUUAUAUUAAAUUUUUUAUAUGAAUUUAUGGUUUUUAUGUUUAUGAUUUGAUAAAUUGUCCAAGCAUAAAUUGUCCAAGGAUUUCAUGAAACAUAAGUCAUCCAAUAUUAAUUCAAACAUUGUUCAUUACAUACUAAAAUAAAAUAUAGGUGUACACUUCAUAUAGUGUACACUUCAGAAGAUGUACACCAUAAACUUAUUUUUAAGGGAGGAUUGCUGUCGUAACCUAAAUGUUAGGUAAAAUUAGCAAANNNNNNNNNNNNNNNNNNNNNNNNNNNNNNNNNNNNNNNNNNNNNNNNNNNNNNNNNNNNNNNNNNNNNNNNNNNNNNNNNNNNNNNNNNNNNNNNNNNNUCACUUAACAAAAAUAGAUAUAUCGACUAAGUUUAUAAAAACUCACCUGUAACCCUUUCGACAAUCCACCGUCGGAACCACCGCCGAACACUUGUUUCCUGCAACACCCAAAAAAAUAGGGUUACAGAUUUCCUCACCGCCGUAGGUCCGUUCCCGCCUGUAUGAUGUCGCUGACAGCCGCAAAGACGGAGAACAGUGACGGAGGCAAAGAUCGCGAAAAAAAUAACGAAAUAUAAAUGAAAACAAAAAAAAAACGACUUACCGGAGAUGACGAAAGCACUGGUAAGAACGACGGAGGAUAGGAGACAAACUAAAACACCGAGGAUCUGUAGAUUCUUCGUCAUCGUCGGAGAAGAAGGAGGAGCAGAGAGUCGAAAUCGCCUCUAGGGUUUUUUCGGGGAGGGAAAUAAACUGAAAUGACGGUUUAUUUUUCAUCCCUCAAUUAAAUCCUAUUUUCCAAAUUUUGAUUUUUUGUAUUUUUGAUAUAUUUAUGUAUAUAUAUUAUAUAUUUAUGUAUAUAGGUCUCAUAUAUUAUACAUUUAUGUAUAUAUUUAUGUAUCAAUUAAAUCCUAUUUUCCAAAUUUUGAUUUUUUUGUAUUUUUGAUAUAUUUAUGUAUAGAUAUUAUAUAUUUAUGUAUAUAGGUCUCAUGUAUAUUGAAUAUCUGUGUAUAAUUAUGUAUUUACGAAAUUUUAAAAAAAUCAACAAAAACAGUUUUUUUUAUGUAAGGGACCUUAGUGUCUUUUCCCUGCUGGUAAGGUUAGUGUAGCAAAAAUGUAAGGAGGGUAGGUUACAUGAGCAAACUGACCAUUUUGUAAAGUCAUUCUAGUCAAUAUUCUCUAUUUUUAAAGCAUUUCGCAGAUACGCCUAGCACACCAAUAUAUGAAGCAUCCAUUGCAAACUACUCGGAUCUCAGUUCGAAAUGAUCAAAUGCACAAUCAGACAGCUUGAUGACGACGUUAUUUGGAUAUGAAAAUGAGUUUGAGUACGUAUCCAUGUAUGCAGUUCCGUAAUAUGAAAUCUCAAGAAUUAACUCCUCACCUAAUUGUCGCACGCGCUCUGACUGUAGACUUCCGUGAUGCGUUGCCAACAGUUGCAAUGUUUGGCUUGUGGAACAAAGGUCACCCAAGCAAACGCUGAACAUGGCCGACGCCAGGGUCGACAGAGCGUCGGUGGGAACAUUUGGUUCCAGCAUGGUCCUACUUGCAAUGAGAUCUGCGCCUCUGGUUGCAAGUCUCAGGCCUUCCCAGUAUCUUGCCUCAGGGUUUCCAGUCGCCAAACAUUUCAGAAAGAAUGGGCGUCUUUCCUUUCCAGGGCAUAUGUCGCUGAGGACACAGCAAAGGGCAUAAAUGUUGGAAGAUUUGAGGACAUCGUCAUUGAAAACAAGCCGGAGGGUGCGCUUUCCAGCGCGGACAAAUGGUCUGAGUCGCCAAAAUGCUUCACUGCCGAGCCUCUUGAGGAUUUCGAUAAGAAUUUCAUCAGGCAAGUCUGGGAGCGUCAUGUUCGGUUUAGGGUUUGUUAUGUUUGGUUAAGGGUUUGUAUUCGUUUGAAAGGAGGCAAGUUUUGUUAAGACAAAGCAAAAUCAUCAUAUAUGGACUUCAGUGGUGUGUGGUUGGGGGGUGGAGAAUUUAUUAUACGGUUGAAAAUAAUAUAAUAGUGUUCUCCCUUUUAGUAAAUAGUUCACCUAAUCAUUUUCUACCCCCCCCCCCAUUUUUUAAGAAUAAUGGUCAGUUCGCUUUUAUUAAAGUGCCCAAAACUAGUUUCAUUUAUAAUGUAGUGCUGUGUUGGGGUCAGUUUAGCAGUUAUUGAAGUGGCUCUUAACUUUAUACCAACCACGAAUUAGGACAUUUAUAUAUCUAUCCACCCUGUCUACAAAUAAAGCGAAUCAAAUUUAUUUUUCAACAAAGUUAAACAACAAUGCACUACUUAAACGAUGAUGUUUUAGGGUUAAUAGUAAAGAAACUAUCUGAAGAUGACUCCUAUCAUCUUGGCCCCUUUAUUCGCGCAGGAAAACAUGGAAGAGCCAUCGCGUUCACCAACGACGUGUUACGGUCUGCAGCCAUCUCUCGAUUGGUUGAGUCACUGAUCGACGUAUCCCCUAACAACCCUUACCGCCCAUUCUUUGAGCGUUGUCUUGGCGCCUAUAAUCCACAAGCUAUUUAUUUUGAAGCCAUUAGAGUUGCCGUGAGUGAGCGAUGAUUGUAUUCAGCGAUUUCAGUGCUUAACCGACUUGUCCCAUGUGAUAAACAUGCUACUUUCGCAUGUGCCAUGUUUGAAAUUUGCGUCGGACGUCCACGAAGGGCUAAAAAACUCCUCACGUAUAUAUUCACUCUACACGUCCCUUAUGCGGCUAAUGAAAUGAAGCUGUUAGCGCACGACGUUAUACGUCACGUAUGGGAGUUCGCUCUGGGGCCGUUUCAAGAUACGUGGGGUAGCCUUUGGUCCUUCCCCAUCACCCUACAAGAAGAACCUAUAUCGGAGUGUGUAGAUGAGCAUUACGAUGGCACAAAUACACCAGACUUCGAGUAUUGCCUUCUACAAUGCACGGCUCUGCGCAUAAGAUAUUUUCUUUAGUCUAGUUAUUUUAAUUGCAAGUACUUGUUUAAUUUUUGUAGUAAAUUAAAGGUAGAAAGUAAGUGAACAUCACUUCACAAACUUAUUGUAACAAGUAGCUACUAAAAAUGUAACUAGUUGUAACAAUGUAACUAGUAGUUUAAUUUCUGUAGUUGGUAAACAUCACUUCACAAACUUAUUGUAAUAUUACUUCUGUUCAUCUACACACUAAACCCUGCAACUACUAAUUGUCUUACCAUUAACUAUUUCUCAACAAGAAGUACCCAUCGAAUUCAAUAUAUAGUUUCAUAAUAUUGCGAAGAAAGUUCACCCUACACAAACCCUAUAACCUUCCCAAAAAUGCCAGAUUUACCAUAUUUACCAGAUCAUGUUUUCGAAAUCAUUGUCAAGAAAGUUGCUGAGUCUGACUGCAUCUACCUUGGACCGAUUAUUCUGGCAAGGACCCGUGGUAGAGAUAUUGCGUUUAGCGCGGAAGUACUCAGAUCGGCAUACCUAUGGACAUUGCAUGACACACCAUCUCGGAUAUACCCUGGAGGAGUAUAUCGGCAUUUAUUCCUGCGCUGCUUAGCGUCGAGAAAUCCACGGGCCAUAUUGGUCGAAGCUAUAAGGUUCAUGUCAACAGAGGAGAAGAUCUAUACCGCCAUCAGGAUGCUAAAUAAGCUCGUUCCAUCAGACGUCUAUGCCUCUUACAGCUGUGCCAUUUUGCAAAUAUGCGUGGGUCCCCCUAACAGAGGGAAAAAACUUCUAAAGAUGGUUUUCAGGUACCACUAUCCUCAUGAUUCUCGUGAAAUUCGUGAAGUCGCCAAAGAUAUAGUAUCCUUAUUCUGGUCAUACAAGAAAAAGUUCAGGUACCCCAGUCUCAUUCAUGAAGACACCUCUGCGUCGUGCGAAGUGUAUCACGAGAAUUGCAUUAUAUUGUGACAUGUGAAAAAUGUUAUCUUAGAUGUUCGGCAGAACGCAUAGCAAAAAUGCUUUAGUAUCGAUGUGCUAUUUAUAGCAAAAAUAAAUAUGAAGUUUAAAAACAGCCUUAUGUCUAUCAGCUUUAUGUCUAAAAAGGUAUACGAUCCCGUAUACCAAUGUUCAUGGACGUAUAUAGGUGUACGUUUACGUUAAAAUUGGUGUAUGUAUUCAUCGUUCUUUAAAAAAGUGUAAUGUUAUUUUACUUUCAAACUGCUAUAUGUUUCCAAUCUUUUCUAAUCCCGUAUACAUAAGUAGGUGUACGUCUAUAGGUAUACGGUAAUAGGUAUACGUAAGUCGGUGUACGUCUAUAGGUAUACAUAAGUAGGUGUACGUCUAUACGUCUAUAGGUAUAUGGUAAUAGGUGUACAUAAAUAAUUACAGUGAAUAGGUGUACAUAAUUAAUUACUGUCCUAGAUGAAAUGAUAUCCAACCACUUUCAUUUCGAUUUUUGGAAAGGCCAAAUUCUCCAUAUUUAAAAAUUUUCAAACACCUUUAUGAUUAAUUACUACAUUUAGGAACAUAAGUAUCAUAAAUAUCAUAAAAUCAACUACUAAGAUAGAUUAUGUUUAUACAAAAGUAAGAGUUGCAACUAAAAAACGAAAGUAGACAUGCAAUUUGAAAAACAUCCGUUGUAGUUCGGAAUGACAACAAAAAAUAAUUAAAGAGACACGAUUGCAACAAAAUACUAAUAUUACGGCUUUCACCAAUCGAGCAUAAACGGCCAGCUUGGAACGACGUUCCUAAUGAAGCGGAAGAACCUUUGGGUCUCUUGGGCCCAGAAACAGGUUGUGCACUUUGGCUGCUUAAAAUCUUCUGCAAACCACUGGAGCCAGUAAUUGAUAACCCCGCGUUGACAGGUGUACAGCGCCAGGAAUCUCGGAUGAAAGGCAGCCACUUUCUCAGCGAAAUCGACUGGUAAAUCAAAAUUCCAUCCGUGUGGAACGUCGGCCAGCAACAACCGGCUCAUCCUCCUCCGAUUUUGCACCGUGAGCCUGCCCAAAUACUCCUCUGCACGGACGAAGUCUUCCGGCACUGCUCUGAGCCACAUCCCGUACACAAAAAUGUCUCGGUCGUAGCCUCUCUCCGCAGCAUCCCUUAUCAAUUCCACGCCUUCACCAUCGUGGAAGAAAAAGUAGGCUUGCAUCCUCCUCUGGAAAAUAACCUCUGGAUUACCCGCGUCAUAGAAUCUCCUCAUCAUCGGUGGGUAAUGUGGAACCGCCGCUUGUUCAUGCACGAUUUCGGCAGGAUCAAUCGCUCGAUAGAAACCCCUGCUUGUGCCGAUACGGUUGAAACGAGAACAUACAGUACGGAGGCGGGCUAUUUCCCUUAUAGUUGGGUUUGUAGCGGCCAGAAUUGUUUCCAGCAAUUCAUCAGUGAGUGAGAGAAGAUAGGAAAAAUCACCAUCACCACCUCUGUUUCUCCUUGGAACCAUCGUUUAUUUCGAUGAAAAGAGAAAAGAUAAGAAAAUGGAUUGAGGAAGAGGAGAAAGGAUUGAAAAUAAAAUGAAAGAGGAAGUUAUGAUGGUUGUAAGUAGGAUGUUACACUGAAGGGAUUGAAUUUAAAGAGGUAGUGCGGUUUUAAUAGAGCCGAAUAGCUGUCUUUGAAGAGAGACGUUGAAAAGAGACAAAAAUGUGUCUUUUCGUUUACCGGCAAAAUUAAAUUACCACAAUAAAUACAGAGAAUAACCAAAUCCAAGCAAAUUUCACCGUUAAACUUUUAUGAUGAAUGAUUUAAUUUAAUUUAUGAUAUACCACAAUACAUUUAUAAUUUCUGCCACAAUACUAUUAUUAUUUAUGAUUAAAUCGAAAUUUCAAUAACAACACAGACCUUUUUUAUACUUUGGAAACUAUAUUUCUUUUCUCAACAUCAGGUUAACCGAGAUAUAGAGUACAGAUUGAGUCCACAUAGACGAAAUCAUGAUUAGUUUGAAAAUAUGCGUACAGAAAUAUGUAAGGUGAGACUUUAAAUAGAUAAUGACGUUUGUAUACCAAAUAUUCUCCGAAAUUUUCCACGAAAGAGAUAAUGUCGUUUGUAUACUCAAAAUAUAUAAUAUGUGAUAAAUGUCUGUAACAUUCAGGUGUACAAAUUUAAGUGUACAUAUUGAGUCCAGAUUGAGUAGUUCUCUUUUUCUAGUUAUUAGGCGUACAGAGAGAGGUAAACUGAGACUUUAAAGAUAUAAGAGAUAAUGCUUCUCGAAAAACUGCCACAACCACCCACCGAAUUAAAGUAUACAUAGAUAGAAACCAAAACAAAGUACACCUACAUACAUAGAAGGCCUAAAUAAGUACGUGUACAGAUCCUAAACAAAAUAUUAAAUCAUAAAGUACGAAAUAUGGAAUCUAAUCGAUUACAUAAACCAAAAAAACAUAUUCGCGGAUGCUAAUCUAAUCGAUGAAUUCUGAAAUAACAGCAACGCCGAGGUGUACACAACGCAGGUGUACACACCGAGGUGUACACAGCGAAACUGGUUGAGUUUCACCAAUUAGUCACCAUUUUUCCAUUGAAGGCCUAGACCUCACUGCAUACCAAACAAAUACGAAGAACUUUUGCGUUUCCUGUGCCCAGAAACACGACGUGCAUAUGCUUGGCCCCUUUAACAAUUCGUCAUGCCAAUCAAGUUGAGCAUUGGCAACACCACAGCUACAAGACCAAAGUGUGGCAAACUGAGCAUUAGUUUCAAAUCUCCUCUUCGAGAAUUCUUUAGGCAAAUUAUUGACAUAACCACGCUCACCUCGAUCAAGAACUUUCCGAAUUAUUCUCCUCACUGCCCCGCUGCCUAGUUUUGAAAGAUACUCUAAACCCACGGGGUCUUCGACCACUGCUUUCAUGUACAUGCCAUACAUGUAAAUACCUGUUUCGUAACCCAUAUCUGCAGAUUCCUUGAUGAGUUUUAUGCCACAUCUGUCUCCACGGCAGAAGUAGUCUUGCAUCCCCUUCAUGAACAGCAAACCCGGAUUGCGUGCGUCAUACAUCCUCCUCAAUAAGUUGGGAAAUUCCCAACUUGCGAUAGGCAUAUCGAAAUCUUCGGGAAUAGGCAUCUCCAAUUCCACGAGAUCAACCGAUGCUAGAAAAUUUUUGGUUUCUGUGCAGGCCUGGAACCGUUUGCAAACUUGCUUUAGUGUGAAAAUAUGUUGGACGGAGUUGCAACUGUAUGCGAGAACCUUCUCCAAUAGAUCGUCGGGUAGCGCCAUCAGAGGGGACUGACAAUCACGGAUAUCUGCAUCACAUCGCCCUCUCUUUGGUGCCAUAGUUAAUUUGUGAGGUUGAUUUGUGAAGAAAACGGUUGUUUAUGGAGAAGGAAUAACUGCGGUUUAGGAUUUGUGAGGAUAACGGUUGUUUAUGUUGCAUAUAUAUAAUUAUUAAAAAAUCCCACUAACUGAGAGCGUAUACAUUAAAUGCAGUUACCGUUCAGAUUAUAAAUGAGUUUGUAAAAUUGGUGGCUAAACAAAAAAAUUUGUGUUGUACACCCAUUUGAUGUACACCUAAAUGGAUAUUGGUGUACAAAUACAAAUUAAGCCGGGAACAAAGUAUUCACACACCAAUUAAUAAAUACUAAAAUAAAUUAAAGUAUAACCAAAUUAAUCUUGAUGUACACCCAUUUGAUGCAUUUGAUGUACAACUAAACGCAUAUUGGUGUACGGAUACCAAAUUAUUCCCGGAACUACGAAUUGACACACCAAUUAAUAGAUUGUAAAGUACACUAAAUUAUAAGCAUAUAAAUUAUCAAAUAAACCCACAUCCUAAACAUUAUCAAACACAUAAUCCAACAAAUACACCUUUCAUAAAUUGUCAAGUUCAACAUUAAACUUCACCAUUCGUCCUAAGCGUUGGCAACAGCCGGAUUCCCAACAAAAUCUUCGUAUGAGUCCAUGGCGUAUUUCUCCCUUAACCUUUCAACGUCAUCGUCCGUUAUAAAACCCAUAUCUUCCACUCCAAGCCCUGCAGCAUGCACCUCUAAGAAUUUGGCCGCACAUGGGCCACAGUCACCGGAUCUCUUGUUCUGAUAUAUGCCCUCCAAACGACUCCAUGUGUAAGGGGUGGUGCGUAGGCCUUCCGUUAAUUUUCUAUCCAAAUAACGCUUCAAUAUAAAUGGCAUACUUUGACACAAAGGCGCCAUAUACUGCUCCACAGCCGCUUCAUCAUUAUGACUGAUGAAUGAGUCCAAAAUCUUUAUGUUGCCCAUUUUAAAGUCAAUUACAAGGCCCACCCAAUGCUCAGACCCCUAGUUCAUCGGGACGUAUACAACGUCCACAAACUGUAGAAACAUUUGCCUCUGACGUUGAUUAGCCCACUUUGCAGGUUUUCCCAAUACAAUGCCCUGAAUGGUUUUCCUCCAGUCAUACUGAUUUUUUUCUCCAGAUAUGAAAUCAUUGUAGUAGUUGCCGAUGAUGGAUAUAAACAAGGUGUCUACAAAUGCUACCCUGUCUUUCAAGUAUAUUUCACCUCUACGUCUCCAAAGCAUGGCCAUUAUGACUUGCAUGUGCUGACGAAUAACAAAACAUAAAUUACAUAUAUUACAGAUAAUUAAAGAUUCAGUAAGUACUAACUAUAUACUUACCAUCGUGUUAACCCACUCAGUAGGCUUCGCAAUUUGUAGGAAGAAUUGAUUGUUCACAGUAUGACCAGUGACAAUGCAAAAGUCGCUGAAAUGAGAGCAAUUGGUAACUGAUAACAAUUAAAGUUUAAGGAUAAAUUGCUUUGAAUACGAUAUAAUUUACAUGUUUCUUUCACGCGAUAAUAACUCCUGGAAUGCCUUGAAGUGGUCUUGUUCCACUGUUUCGAGUGGUUUGUAUGGAGCUUUCGAUCUGGAUACAAAUAGAGCUUUCACCUUUGAAUCUGCGGUGUAAAUAUCUCGAAUCUUGUCCGACCGUACGCGUGCGCGUUUUCCUCUAGCUCAUCCUCCUCUUCCUGUUCCUCUACCUGUUCCUCCUCUUCCUGUUCCUCUACUUUUUCUCUUUACACCAGACGAUCCCUCAACUUCUUUUGGGGGUUUUGGAGUACAAGGGGUCUUCUGCGAAGCAUCACUUGCAUCCUCAGGCGCAGUAUGGUAAUCUUUCCCCGCAUUUGAGUCCUCCUCAUUAGCACAGCCUACAAACCACCGUAACAAUAAAGCGUAUAACAUAUCAAUCGUAUACCUAGCGUAUACCUAAAGAGCACUGUAUACACAUGCAUAUCAUAUGAACAAGUUUAAUGUCUGGCCUGUGCAUCCAGUGCAUCUGUCUGCGCUUCAUUUUUCUUAUAUGCGUAGCUCAAUGGGUGAGGAGUCUGAGGUUUGUAGACUACUAAGGUGCCUGACACCAAAUUUGUUCUACCACCAUCCACCUGAAUAAGUCAUAAAAAACAUAGCACAGUACACACACGUUAUGAAACUUAAUAGAGUCAGCUGCUGACUAAACAAUUAGCUCACCUCGUUGAGGCCAGAAGGUGGAUCUUCAUCCGGAUUGACGAAGUAAGGAGGUGGACGAGUUGUUCCUGAAUUGGCUUGUUCAGGUUCAGGGGUCUUCGUCGGAGCUUCUGGAGUCUUCAAGUACGCAUGGUCCCUAGGAGAAUAAUGGUCCCCGCCGUAGUAAGUAGAGAUCCCUUCUUCAUCAUCUCUUUCUUUCUGGUGUACACAUCUUGGGGGUGUACACCAUCAUCAUGGUGUACGCUAGACUGUGCACCAUCAUAACCUCCUUCUUCACCUCCAUCUUCGGCUUCGUCUUCAUCUUCAUCCGGUUUUUGACCACCUUUUUUGGAUUCUGUCCUUCGUCAUCCUGUUCCCCAUCUUCUUUUGACUGGUGUACAUCGUUAUCUUCUUCGUCCUGUUGGUAUACGCCCAAUCUCUUGUCCAACUCUGUCUUAAUCUUACGAAGUAGCAAAUUAUUCUGACUUACUAUCCAUCUUUUAAGAUCUUUAAUCUGUCCACUUUGAGGGGUUUCAUCUUCCGAUAGAUUAGAAGAGUUCUUGCCCCUGCCUUUCUUCCUCUGCAUCUUACGUUUUUCAGUUUGAUGAGUUAUCAGUUUCUUCUUCGGUCGGGUGGAUGGCUCAGGUUCCUGUUCAUUGGUAACCUCGUCAUCUGCAUCACUAAGAUCCACGAUAGGUGUCGGUGCCACUGCAAAAUCCGAAGGUGUAAAUUUGUACCCCUCGGCCAUGAGUUCCUGCAUGAAUGCAACUUCGGCAUCCUCUACCUCAUCUCCCCAACACAAUUCUUUCUGUUGGUCAUUGUCACCAUCAUCCACUACCAUCUGUUCACAGACAACUAAGACAAAAACAACAAUUGCAAAAUUACCAACCAAAAUGAUAAAGUACUUAUCUUUUAAGACAAGUACUACAAAAUAAGACUACAAAUAGUACUAAAUAUAAUACUACAAAUAAUUUACCAGAGGUUUGGAUUCUACGACAAGUAUGUCCCCAAGAUGUAGUAGUGUGAUAACGUUUUGACAGCCUUCGGGAUCUUCAACGAAAGUCUUCAAGUUAUCAGGUUGAGGAAUUUUGGAAACCAACAUUGGUAUAGAUUGGAGGGCCAUGAGUUGUAGUGAUAGAGGGAAGCCAUAGCAUACACUGGUUUUCUGUUUAAGUUGACGGCGCAAUCGUGUUAAAGGAUUCUCCCUUUUCUCGGCAUCCGUGAUUGCCUUCGGAGCUUGAAAACGAGAUAUUGUUUUGUUAAAGGAUACCCUCCCCCAUGGAUACAGCAUGAACCUAUCCAAGUCAGUCAACAUCUCAAUGUAUUUCUCGGUGAGGGCCAGAUUUUUGCUAUUGCAAAACAGAACACCGUUGACAAGAACGAUUAGGGCCAAUGGAAGCCGUUUCCAUCGGGGUAGAUCCGGGUCCUUUAGCAUUUCUAGCACAUCAAAAACGUUCAUAGCGCUCGAUCUUCCGAACAGGUCUUUCCAGAUUCCUAUCUUUCCGACAUCUUCUUCUUCUUCUGUGCUAUCAGGUUCGGGAUUGCAAUUCAAUCCAGUGAUUUCCUUAAACUCCCGUAUCGAAUAAUUCAGAGGCUGUCCACCAAAGAGGAACCAAAUCUCGUGUUUCUUCGUGGUCACAAGUUGUCGUGAUAGAAGGGCAUGGACUAGUUUGGCGCUGUUGCAACAUCUUGCAACAGGUAGAUGGAAUAACUUCCCAAACUGGGAAUGAAGUAGCUUCUCAAGAUCUUCAGUACCCUUUAACGCCUCAACAAGGAGGCCAAUGACAUUGGCCUUUAAAUAUAUGUUCAACCGAGCACCAACGGGGUAGCAACCAUCGCCGAGGACCCUUUUUGGUAGUUUUUCCGAAAGGUUAUUUGAAGCUUCUCCAUCUUCCAUGCCUGUAUUCGAAGGUUCUCCGUCUUCCAUUCCUGUAUUUGAACCAAAACAACAAUUCCGAAAUGCAGGAAAGAUAUAAUAUUCUGGAUAAACAGUUAAAUGCAAACCAGGGGAAAAGUUUGAGGGAAAGGAGUUCGAAGGAGUUCGAAAGAGAGAACAGAGAUCUGGAAAAACUACCAUAUUCGUAUGCUCUCCUAUAUAAACUUCUGUAACUGUUUCUAGAUAAUAUAAGAGUAAUCCAACCGUUUGAAUUCAAUAUAUAGACAUAAGUACUAGAGUUCAUAACCGCUAAUACAUAAAUCAGGCCAAUCAGGCGCCCCGUUUCAAUCUUAAUUUGAGUUACAAACCGCCAGUACAGUUCAGACAAGGUCGAAGUUCAUAAAUGUAACUUACUUUUAGAAUUCUGAGCAGUCCAUUCUAGAAGAAGAGGAGCGAAUUGUACUUUGGAUCUACACCGCCGGCGUGGAUUGAGACGACUCGCGUGAAUGGAAUGUUCAACCCAGUCACUCCGUCGCGGUGGCAUGGGCGGUAUGGGCGACUGCUCCGUCGGAGCUGUCUUCGAGUUACUCUGGAGCACUGCCUCGACACCGGAGGCACGGUGUUGUUGCGCCUUAACGAAUUUUGUACUCUCCGCGCCAUUACAACGGUCAAUCGGAUGGCUAAUCGGAGAUGGAUUGCCCGAGAUGCUAGAUGGACUACGUCGAGAUGUGGAUCCCAAAUUUAAUUUUUAAUUUAAAUGUUGGGGUGUCGAUAAAUUAUACAUUUGGUUUUACUUCGGUUUAUGAUAUUGGACUUCGGUUUAUAAAUUUGUGUAAUCGGUUUACCAAAUCGGAUUUAAUCAGCAAUUUUUAGUUAUUUUACUUCAAUAAUGGCAAUUUUGAAAAUAAAAAAUAGCUUUAAGGCCCUUGUGGGGAGACAAACAGUAAAAACAGUCUUAUCCUUCCUUGGUUUUGAAAACAUCCUAUUCCUCUAAUUUAAAACUUAAAAACUACGAGCGCGAGGCCAAGAUGCCACAAAUGGGAAAAAAAUGGCUAAAAAGCCAUAAGGAAAAUUGUUUAAUAUUUUUGAUUUCUUUUUAAUAUCGAAAUCCUGGAAAAUCCAAAUCAAUCCCUGAAAGUUCGAUUUAUUUAUAACAAAACCUGAGUCAAACCCAAAUAAUGACCCAUUUACCCGAGAACCGACCCGAUUCAAUUUUUUUUUGAUAUUUUGAAUUUUCAUUUUAUGAAAAACCGUUUUCUUUCUUUCUAAUUUCUUUCUUUUUUCUCAUACUCCUUUUUUUGAAACGACUCUCGACUCCUUUCUUCCUUUCUUCAACUUCCCACUCCUUUGAGCGAAUCGGUUUCUUUUGAAUCGGUUUCUUUUUGAAACUACUCCAAUAUCUUCACUUUAUAACUUCCCCUCCCUUUCUUCACUUUAAUUGUGUUUUCUCAACUUCCCUAAGCAAAAAUCAAAAAUCGCAACUAGAAUCCCGAAUCUAUGGCGAAGGUGAGAAAUAAGGGCAAGGUGUAUGACACUGCUUCAGCGGCGAAAUCUUCAGCGGCGGAUGCCGAAAACCAGCCCGGAAGCGAAAACAAGGAGACCGAAAAACCGGCGGAAGGAAAGCCGGCUGAAACCGAGCACAGCCCAGAAAACGAGAACCCUAAGAAUCGGGUGGAAGGAAAUCCGCCAGAAAUCGAAGAACCUGAAAUCGGGAAACCUAAAAGUCCGGCGGCAGAAAGGGAAGUAAACCCGGCUGAAAUCGAAGAAAGUCCAAACGAGAACCAUCCUAGAUUCGUGAACGACGAACCGAGCACUGCCACGGCGAAGGAAAACGAAGAGGAAGAAGUGCAAGUGCAAGAGAAGGAGAACGAUGAGGAAGAGGCUGAAGAGGAAGAGGCGGAUGGAGGGGAAGAGAAGGAGAACGAAGAGGAAGAGGCUGAAGGAGAGGAAGAGAAGGAGAAGGAAGAGGAAGAGGCGGAUGGAGUGGAAGAGAACAAAAAUGAAGAGGCGGAAGGAGAGGAAGAGAACGAGAAUGAAGAGGAAGAGGCAGAAGGAUUGGAAGAGAACCAAGAGGAAGAGGAGGAAGAGGAGGAAGGAGUGGGAGAGGAAGCGGAUAUGGAGAACCAAGAGGAAGAGAUGGAAGGUGUGGAAGAGAACCACGAGGAAGAUGAGAAUGCUCUAGCGGAAGAAGAAAUGCGAGAGGACAAUUUACAAGAGGUAUGUGUGUUUAAGAUUUUGGUAUGUGGACAACUAGAAAAAAUAUGAAGAAACUUGUUUUUUUGGUCAUAGGACAAGUAGGGACAACUAUGUUGAUUAUGAAAUAUCUGGUAUGUGGACAACUGGGACAAGUUAGUUUGUAUAUAGGAUAAGGUACUUGGAAAACUGGGACAAGUUCAAAUAAUUUAUAUAACAUUGUGUUACUCUUCUGAAUUUCAGGAUGCCGAUGAUGAAAUGAUGCCAAUGGGGCCUGAGAAGCUUUAUUUCGGUCCAACCGAAUAUAGCAAGGCGUGUAAGAUAAUUACAAGAUGUGUAGUUAAGUGUACCCUUGAUGUGAUCAGAAAUCUGCCUGAAGAGUUGGAGUGGUUCAAAUUGCAUCCGCAAUUCAAGCACCUGUUUCAUAUGUAUAAGGAGCCAAAUCAUAUGAAUCAAGGGUUGUGGAUGCUUCUUCUGCACACAGCUUAUACUGAGAAGCAAAAUGAGGCGUGGUUUGUGGUAAAUAGAGUGCCUAUUCGAUACUCUUUGAGGGAGCAUGCACUGCUAUGUGGUCUUGACUGCCAUGACUACCAUGCGAAUUAUAAGAAGUUGGGUAAGAUGAAAUUUGUAAAAAAGCAGUUUGGCAGGGGUGACAAAGUCAAGAUCGGAGAAGUGGAAGCAAAGCUAGCAGAAAUGAAGGAAUCCUCUUUGGACAGGAAGAGGAUGGCACUACUGUUGUUUCUAUGCAAAGUAUUGAAGGCGAAGUCAAAGUUUGAUGGAUACAUUGACCCAUUCUUGCUCGCAGCAGCCGGAGAUCUGAAGCUGUGCAGAACGUUUCCUUGGGGGCGUUACACGUUUGACGAGACUAUAAGGGAGAUCAAGCGUGUGGUCUCUAAGUUCAAUGGCAGCGUAAAGCCUAAAGGAGCUGAAUGCACAAUCUCUGGUUUCAUUCUUCCUCUACAGGUAUGUCUUUGAUAAUAGAUUAUCUGUUUGGUAUAGGACAAAUAGGACAACUUUUUAGAUUAAUAUAUGUUAGGUCGAUAGACAACAUGGACAACUAUGUGGAUUCGUUAUAUGUUAGGUCGAUGGACAACUGGGACAACUAGUUAGUUGUACUUUAAUUUGGUUUGUGGACAACUCGGACAACUUGGACAACUAUUGAGUUGUAAUUAAAUUUGGUCUGUGGACAACUAGGACAACUGGGACAAAUAUUUAGAUUGAUUUGUGUUUUGACUUUGUAGAUUCUUGCGUUUGAGUGCAUUCCAAGUCUGGGAAAGAGGUUUCGUGAAACUGUCCAUGCUGAGCCUAACUGUCCAAGGAUUUGUAAGCAUAGGUUCACUGAUGUAGCCAUGAGAGGUAUUCCUUUGGAUGACAUCAACCAAGCUAUUGGCACUAGUGCUGAGGUCAGUGAUUUUUGAUUAUUGCUAUUAGCUUGAUAUUAAACAUGGUUGGUGAAGAAAUGUAAUAAGUGGUAUUUGUUGAUAUUAUCAGGACAUUUGUAGCAUUUUGGAGGCUGACUCGGAUGAAGAAGAGCUAUUGGCGGCAAUCCUGGAUUCGAUGAUGGUAUCGGAUAUAUUGACAUAAUCGUCGAGGGCUGGACGGAUCACUUAACCAAGAAGAAGAAAAAGAUUGUUUGGAGAGAGCUGUAUGAGGCUGAUAUUGCUUCAGGGGUUCAAGUCCCUGCUAUGGAACCAAGGGAAGAUGAGCCCAUAUCAGUGGCUCAGCUGGCGGCGUCAUUGGUGGAGCUGAAGGCGUCAUUGGUGGAGCUGAAGGCGUCAAUGGAGAAGAAGCAAGAGGAGAUUGUAGAGAAGGUAGAAGGCAUGGAUAGAAGAUUGAAAACUCUUGAGGGGAUGGUACCUCCAUCAGGGCUUAUCUCCGAUACAGCACGGCCAUGCUCACCAGUGCAUUCGUCAGCACCAACACGAUCACCAGUGGACUCGCCAGUACCAACACGAUCACCAGCGCCACCAGCCUCAGAGCACUCUCCACUUGUAACAGAUCCUCCAGCUGUUGCCACCACACCUCUUGCACCAGGUCCCUCCUUAUACGCAGCAGGUCCCUCCUUAUACGCAGCAGGUUCAUCGACAGUGGAAGAAGAGAGAGAGGCAAUGAAAGCCCUAAUAUACGAACUUGGCAAAGGACUAUUUAAGAGGACGAAGAAAGGAUGUAAGAAGAAACCGCAACCAAGCGAGCUCCCACCACGCGAGCUCCCACCACGUCCUAAGAGAACCCAUGCACCAUCGAAACAUGUGUCAUCCCCUUUUACUGAAGAGAGACAUGCUAAGAAGAAAAGUGAGAAGAAGGGUGAAUAAUAUGUGGGGGUAUUUAUGGUUUUAGGAUAACUUAUGCUCUUAUGAACUUAUGUUUAUUUGAUAACUUAUGCUUUUGGAUAUUGUUUGUUUGUUGGAUAUUGCUUGUUUGCUGGAUAUUGAUUGUUUGCUGGAUAUUUAUGGGUUUGUGUAUUGACAACUGGGACAACUGUAUUAGUUAUCGGUAACAUAUAGGACAACUGGGACAACUGUAUUAGUUAUCGGUAACAUAUAGGACAACUAGGACAACUUGUAUCAGUUAUCGGUAACAUAUAGGACAACUAGGAUAAUAAUUAUAAUUUUAUUUCAUAUAGAAUUUUUUAGAAACGGACAACACGAGACAACAACAAAACUUAAAAUGAGGAAAUCAAAUUCGAAAUACAAAGUUGUUACUUAAAAAUAAAUGAAACCAUAGCAAACACCAUGAAAAAGGUGAUUAUCACAUAUCCAUCACCCCUGUUUGCAACCAAGUCCUUCAGUUUUCCCAGCUCUCUUUCCAUCCCAGCCAUAACCUCUCUGAGUUGCCUAAUUUCGGAUUCAUGUGUGUCAAAGGAGCUAUUAUUGUGAAUGCAGUUUCUGACAACACCCAUGCUUUGCAGCUCUUCAUCCCAUAAUUAACAUUAUCAACUCGAAGGUUCAGCAGUGAUAACUCUUCUUGAACAGCAUCGUCCCACCACUUCCAAAUGUGGUCAUGAUUGCGAUGAGGUCCCUUAGUAACGAUGCGAUGAACUUCCAAUUAGUUAGAUUUUCCGAAGCCCUAAACUCGAAAUCGCGAGAAUUGAAACUAAACCUAAACCAAUUCAACCUAGAUCUAAACCUAAACCCAGAACUCCAAAAGUUAUUACCUCAAUCGGCCAAUCUGGACAAGUGUACAUUUUCCAACCUCUUGUGGCUUCAGAUUUCGAUUCCUUGAUCACCAUAAGGCGGCCACACCAGCACGUUUCUCGCAUACCAUCUUCUCCAUCAGCUCGAUAAUAUGAACUGUCCUAUGAGUGCUUCGAUUCAGAAGAAUCCGAACUGUAACUAGGCAUUUUUGGAUGUGGCGCGCCUAAGAAGCCUAAACCCUAGAUUUCGAUUUAGGGGAAAACUUCUGAAUUUCUCUUUCCUAAUCUUUUAUAAAGGGGGCUACUUAACAAAAUGCGGAGUUUCUCUCCCGAAGCAGUAUUUAACAUAUUUAACAUAUGUGUCGGCGCCGCCAUUUUUGUUGACCACGUGCUGCAUCAUCCCUUAAACAGAAAACAACUGUGCAUAGUUGUACCCCUUUGUCCUAUUGUCCAAAAUUGUUCAUAGUUGUCCAUUUUGGUUAUUCUAAUUGUCCUUGGACAUAAAUCUAUAAUUUACAAUUGUCAUUUUACCUAUUCACUUAUUCUAAUCGUUUAGUACUAGAUGACAAUAAAAUUUGCCCUAAAUCAUUUAAAUUGUGUUUUUCCCCUUGCAAGAUGGUUCUAUUAUGAAAGAGUUACAUGUAGCAUAUGAGGUUGUUGAUGAGAAUCCCAUACUUUGUUUCACUAAACCAAUUUGUACUUGUCUAUUAUCAUUAUUAUUGGUCUCUUAUAUAUUUUAAAGGUUAACUAUGUCUUCUUUAUGGUUUGUAAGGUUGAAUUCGUUAUGUUGACCAGAGUUUUGACUUUUCAAAAUUAGCACUUAGUUGUACCGUGUUGUCCAGUUGUCCCAUUAAUUGGUCAAAUUUGAAAAGAAUUAGUUGUACCGUGUUGUCUAGUUGUCCCAUUUAUUGGCCAAAUUUGAAAAGAAUUAGUUGUACCGUGUUGUCUAGUUGUCCCAUUUAUUGGCCAAAUUUGAAAACAAUUAUUUGUACCGUGUUGUCCAGUUGUCCUGCUAAACCCAGAAAAUACAAAUACCAUUUCAACGACCAGUUGUCCUUUACAGAAAGCCGAAAUACAAAUCGCAAAUUUAAACUUCACUCGGGUUACCACCUUGGUUAUCACCUUGGUUUUCUUCUUGAUCUUCAUCUGUGUUAAGCGGUUCAAACCAACGACCAAUAUGUAUGCCUGGAUUGGCCCUGUUACUUUGUUUACGGCGUGCUUCUCCGGUUGAAGGGUAGCGCUUGUCUCGCUUUCUCCCUGAUUUUUUUGUGUAGUCUGGCGGCAAGAUGACUAACUUUUCAAUUUCCUCUGGAAUAAUCCAUGUUGACUGAUGUGGAACCAAAUAAAUGGUUCUGUAAUAAGCUAACGCCCAUGUGUCAAUCCUGUAAUAUUUCAGGCACAGUUCAUGGAGGUGUAUCUCCCUCCUUCUGUUGGGGUUACGCAUCAGUGCCAUGUCCGCGGCUAUUGCAUGAACACAGGGAAUCUUGUCUAUAUCAAGCACCUGCAGGUACGAGUUUUUCUUAACAAAUCGACCAAAUAACUCUUCCCAUCAGUCCCAAUCACACUGUAUUCAAGCUCAAAAUGGUUAAGCUCAGUGACAAAUAAGCCAUUUGCAAUUGCACAUAGAUUAUGCAGCUGGUUCUCCACAUAUGGCACCAAUUUCUUCGUGUCUGAAGCAAUAGCACUGCCUUUCCUAUGCUUGUUGAACCAUUCAGACACUUUUUCUAUGUAUGCAUCAAUCAAAGGUAGUAAGGCAUACUUCCUUGCCUUCUUGAAGACACUGUUCAUAUAUUCACAAGCAUUGCUUGUGUCCAAGUUGUACUUGUCUCCUUUGAAGUAACAUCUUGCCCAUUUUUCAAGAUGAACACUGUUAUCUAAAUACUCAGCUGCUUUUGGAAACCACCUCUUAAACUAUGCGUAUGCACUUACAAACUCAACUUCUGUGUAUUUGUGAGCGCAUUCUCUGAAUUUUUCUGCACACAAAUCCUUACAUCCGACCCUAGCCUUCCCUCUCACGUUCUGUGACAAAUGCCAAACGCAAAAUCCAUGCUGAGACAGAGGAUACACCUCCUGGACUGCCUUAACAAUGCUUUUAUGCCUGUCACUCAUAAAAACCAGCUCUUCAUCAUCAGGUAUUACAGUUUUCAGUGUUUCAAAAAACCAAGACCAACUAGCAUCUUUCUCCUUAUCAAUCACACCCAUUGCAAUGGGGUAAUGGUGAUGAUUUGGGUCCUGACCUAUGGCAAAAACAAGCAUACCACCAUAAACACUCUUCAGAAAAGUUGCAUCCACAACUAUGACUUUUCUCAUUGCUCUAAACCCUUCAAUACUAGUGCCCAAAACGACAAAGAGAUAUUUGAAUUUAUUUCUGGCAUCCAGUUUCACACUUGUUACUGUCCCAGGAUUAACAAGCUGCAACAUGUAAAGAUAACAAUACAAUUUGCGAUAACUUUCUUCAGGACUGCCCCUCACCUCACUGAUAGCUAGUUUUUUCCCUCUCAAAGCAGUAGAAUAGGACACAUUAACGUGAGCUUCAUUUUGAACAACUUUGAUCAAAGCUUUAGGCGCAGGGGUGUCUACUUCACCUGGAUAGACCCCACGCAAAACAUCUGCUACUACUUGUGGUGUGCCUUUCCUUUUAUUCUGAAUUGUGCUUGCAACAACCCUAGAGCAUGUAUGGAUAUUCCUAUACACUCUAAUACUGAAAUAAGUAGAAUCUUGCAUCCUUACGGCAUGUAGAUACAAUGGACAACCAUGUUCAGCAUGGACAACAGUUCCCAAUACUCAGCUUUCUCUCACUUGUACCAUUUGUACCAGUUGUCCCACAUCUACAGUAAUAAUGUUGUACCAGUUGUCCGAUAACUAUAAUUUGUACUAAUUGUCCACCCCUCUUAGUUGUACCACUUGUACCAAUUAUCUCAACUGUCCUAGUUAUACCACUUGUCCCAAUUCAUCAUUCACAACCUAGAACUACAAUUCACCUCGAUUCGAUUCAGCUACAUUCAGCUAGAUUCAAUAACAAAAAUUAACUAAUCGACCCAUAUAAGUGUUUACAUUGUCCAAUGUGUUUACUCAAACUCCAAGAUUUCACAAAUCCAUCAUCUAAAUCGAAAAUUCCCAAAUUUUUGUUUCUUACCUAAUAGCUCUGUACUCGACUUCCAGGCGCUAGAAGACGACAACGACGAGUGCAGAAGAGAUUGACGCGGUGACUCGGCCUGAUAUUUUUCGAUUUUAGCUCAAGAUUCGAUUCAGCUGAAUUCAAACCAGAAAUCGUUCUCAUGCAAGAGGAGAGAGAAGAGAAAAGCGAUGAGAAAAAAAAUUUUAAUUUCUUUUACUUUCAUUAAUUAAAUUAUUUUUAUUUAAUUUCGAAAUAAAUAAUAACAAAAUUUCGAAAUAUCUAAAAUAAAAGAAAAUCAAAAAUGUCAUAAUCAUUUUUCAUUAAGAAUAAUUUUGAAAUUACACUUCACGCAUGUAAACUCAAUUAUGGCAUUUUAAAAUUACACUUCAGGCAUGUAAAUUCAAUUAUGGCACCUCUAGUCAUUAGCUUCCAAUUUAUGGUAAUUUAGCAUUUCUUUCAAAAACUAUUCAUUCAGCAAUUUUCUAUAAAUUUACAUUAGUCUCAGCUUGCUAGGCACUAUAUAAUAAUUUUAGGAUUCUUUUCGUUAGGUCGAUUCAUUCUCUUUGGCUGAAACCCACCGAUCUGUUGAGAAAAAGACGUCUUCUUGAUUAUAUUAAAUUACUACAAAUUUUAAUAUCAAAAACACAAAAUUGUAAUACUGCAUAAAUUUUAACGAAAAACAAGAUGGUUUACCACCGAAGUGGGCAAAAGUCUAAACCGUACCAAACUGCAUUAAGACUCCAAUACACUUAAAAUAAUAUAAGGAUGAGGCAAAUGUUGGAGACAAAACCCAUGUGGGCAAAGGUCUCUCUCUCUCUAAAGGGUUACUUACUGCUGGGCACAUUGCACCCUCUGUGCACCUCCAGGAUGUUCAUCAUCAUCAUCGUCAUCAUCAUAAGCCUCUCUUUGAGCUUGUGCUUUCCUUCUCAUCUCAUCUUCAAUGUUGACAUCGUGCAGCGUAGUCUCCUCGCACUCAUCUAUCUCCAUGUCACUCAGCUGAGUUGUUGAAGGCUUAGGCAAAACAGCUUCAAGCGCCUUGGUCUGGUUAGGGCUAAGAGAGUCCGGGAACUCCACUGUGAAGUGGAUAUAGAGCUUACCCUUCAUGAAUGGCCUCUGGUAUAUUGGCAUCCCUUCAUCGCUUAUCGCCUUGUAUGAAUCUACCAAAACACAUCAAAAUCAAUCCUGUUUCAAUCAAAGGGAGGUUAUAGUAGAGCCAAAGUAUCAGCAAGUGUCUGAAUACAUACCAGGUUUCACGACCUCCCCCGGAUUAGAUUUGACGAGAAGAUUUCUGCCAUCCAAGUGGGUCAGGACGAAUUGGAAGCCACAUAGAGCUUCGGUCAGAGAAAGAGUGUGCUCUACAAAGAGGUCUUCUCCCUUUCUCUUGAACUUUGGAUGCUCUUUCUGCUGAAGGACAAACACUAUAUCUCCAGUGACGGUGUCAGGCUGUUUCAACACGGACAAAAAAGGUUAUAAGUCAGUAGAAAGAAGAAAAAACAAUGUCGUUUAAGCAUUAGAGUAAAUGUCUGAGGGUAGAGACCGCUUCAUCUGCUUGUCCUUCGAAUGUGAUCUUCUGACUGUGUUGCAUUCCCUUCUCUACAUUCACUUCAAGCACCUUCUUCUCAGGGAUCACCUUGUCUCCUUUGCAUUGUGGACACCUGUCCCGAUCGUUGAUGGUCUCACCUGUGCCUUUGCACUCAUUACAGGCAUGCUGCAUCUGCUGGAUCAUUCCAGGUCCGAGCUGCCUAAUUGUCACCUUCAUACCUGUACCCUGACACCCACCACAUUUCAGGGAGGCUCCAGAUUUUGAACCCUUUCUGCAUUAACAAAACAAAAACCACAAAUUAAGAACCUCUUUCAGCAUCAAGAGUCUCAUAGAAUAAAGCAGACACAGAAAUCGAAGUAGUAUGAACGAACCCGUUACACUUUGAGCAGAGAGCAUUCCUAGAAAGUGAAAGCUUCUUCGUUGUUCCAAGGUACACGUCUUCAAGAGAAACCUUCAGGGGAUGGACAACAUCUUCACCACGCCUCUGCCUCCUUCCCCGGCUGCUACCACCACCUAUUCAGAAACAAAAUUAUUCAAAUCAUCCGAAAGAAAAUCCUAGAUAAUCGUAAUCAGAUUUAAACCAGAGAAUAGAGAACGUCCAAGAGACUCUACCUCCAAAUGGGCUCCCACCAAAGAAGGAUGAGAAGAUAUCAAACGGGUCAUGCCCACCUCCUCCACCACCCAUUCCUUCCUUGAGUGCAUCCUCUCCAUACUGAUCAUAAAUCUCUCGCUUCUCCGGGUCACUAAGAACUUCAUAAGCCUGAGCUAGCUCUUUGAACUGCAAAGAGAUCAUUGAAUUAUGCUCAAUCAAGGUCGCAAAUUUAACACAAACCAUUUACAAUACGCUCCAAAACUUAACAAAGGAACAGGGUUUUUAAUCACACCAUUGUCACGAGGAUGAAAGCUCAAUCCAUUAGAAUCUAUAGAUUAAACGAAACGUCUAAAACACAGCUUUAUAGCAAAAAGUCUUGUGAUUUUCUCCACUGCAUAGUAAAACAUCUCAAUUACGCACAUCGAAGCUCAAAAUUGUCUUGGUCCACAUAAAAUUCCCCUUAAUUCGCUUCAACACGAUUCAAGAACCUAAAAACUCGAACUUUUCAGAUCGGAUCAAAAAUCGAGAUUAAAACCACAAUAGAAUCACAAUCAAAACCUCAAUCGAUCGGAAAAAUCACAAUCAAACUAAAAAACCAAAACAGAUCGAAUUUCACAGAAUCUAAGCGUAAAGGAAAGGGAUCUAGGGUAAACAAAAACAAAACCUUUUCGGGAUCUCCACCCUUAUCGGGAUGGUUCUUGAUUGCAGCUUUUUUGUAAGCUUUCUUGAGAUCUUCUGGAGAUGCGGUCUUUGGAACACCUAAGAUCUCGUAGAACUUAGUGUUGUCGCUCUUCUUCGAGGGUCCUCGCCCGAACAUUUUUUCUCCCUUCUUACGAAAACCCUACAGAUCAGAGAGAGAGAGAAAGAGAGAAAAUUGUCUCUCUUUUGAUGGCGGAGCAGAGAGACGAAGAUGUGUUAUUUGUUGUUGUGGCUGCUGUGUUCUGUGUGAAUGACUCUCUUAUGCUUAAUUGCGUUUUGCUUUUGUUCGAGGUUUUGUGAAGUGGAAGUCUCUAGAAUGUUUUAUAACUUUCUUUUUUCCUUUUUUCUGUUUUGUUUUUUCUUUAAACUACUUUUAAUUCUUCUCCAAUACGAAACAGCCCGUAUAGACCAAAAUAAAUUUUAAAAGGGAGAAAAACAAUUACCUUUUUUAUCGGGUGAAAAAACAUUUACCUAAUAAACUAUUCUUUAAAAAAUUAUAUUAAUUUCCACCAUUUUGUAAAGAGUAUAGUUCUUAGAAUUUAACGCGAUUUUUUGCUGUAAAAUCAUAAUUUAUCUAAUUUAAGUUUUAUAUCAUUUAAAUCAUUUUAAAUAUAAUAAAUAUAGGCAGAUUUUUUUUAAAAAAUACUUAAUUUUAUACAUUUUAAAAAAUAUCUGAACGAUUUUUUUUAAAAAAAAUGAAACGACUAAAAUAUAACAAAUUAACUUUACAACACAACUCAACAGUAAAUAUGAUUAAAUUUAGUUAAGAAAAAAAAUUAUAUAUGUAUAUAGUUAAAUUUUAGGUUGCGUUGUUUGAUUAAAACGAAAUCUAUACCUACAUAUGAUACAAAUCUUGAUAUAUAUUUUAAAAAUAAGCAAUUUCAGACUAUGCAUUAAAAUAUAUAGUCAAUUUUGAAUUUGAACCAUUUGUACUUUCAAUUUUGACUUUUCUUUUUAUUUUGAAAAUAAAUUUGGAUUAUCAUCAUUUCAUAAAAUGAAAAGAAAUUAAACUAUCUCGAAAGAGGAGUCAUUGCUUCUAUCUAGAAGGUAGAGCUGGCCCUUUUUGGAGGAGGAGAGGAAUGGAUGAGCAAAUCCAAUCCAGAUGAUCUGAAACUUGGUAAGAAUAUCCAUAACUCCUAGAUUUAGUUGUAGUCGAAAGUAAUUUUAUUUAUAUUUACAGUUAAAAUUAUUAGCGUUUUUCCGAAAUGUAUCUACGUAGAUUGAAUCUAUGAGUAGCCAAUUUUGGAAGUGUUUUCCAAUCAACAAAAAGAGACGGAUGCUGAUAUUCAUAUUGUUGGAAAUGUCUUGCAGCUAGCUUUACAAGUCUUUUUCCGAUCUUAAAUACAUUAAAUAUGUAGAAAGUUGUCACUGAUUUAUUUUCUAAAGAAAAAAAUAGAAAUAUGUGAUCUAAAAUAUGAUGUUGGUAACCCAAAAAGCGUAUAUCUAAUUUUUAUAAUUCAAAGACCAUAAUGCUAUUUGAGAAAGUUUUCAUUUUUGGGAAAUUUCUAUUUCAGAAUUUUGGAAAAUUUUCUAUUUAUGAAAGUUUCUAUUAAAGAAACUCUAUUCCAAUCGCAGAGUUCAUGACAUUGGUUCUCAAAUGCAACUGCUUUGACUGAAUGACUGCUUUCUUUUACCACAGUACACAUUAUCUCUAAUGCUGUUUUAUAGGUUCUAUUAGUUUAAGGCAAGGAUAUUUUCUGAGAAUUUCUCCAAUACUUUGUUUAGUUCAUUAGUAGGCAUAUGGUGUUAAGUAUAUGGAUGUAUGUGUUAUAUUGAGUGAAAUUUAUGUGAUAAUAAUGUUGAUUUCUACAUGAAUACAUCCUCAUUUGCAUCAUUCAUACAUGUGAUAGUAAGAAUUUUUCAAUCCUUGAUCAAUUCCCCAACUACUCAUGUCAUUGUAGCACUUGAGGUAUCAAUCCAAAUAGAGAGAUUCUAGACACUAAGACUAUGAGGAUCAAUUCUUAAUCCAAGUCUAAUAAGCAGAUGAGUUGGUAACCAAGAUUAUCUAAAAGCAUAUAACAAAACAAACAAGAACAAACAGUAAUUAAGAAUUAAACAAGCAAGAGAAACUAAACAAACACUCAAAUUCAAAUAAAGAGAAAGCUAAACCUCUAGAUGUGAUCAUUGAUCAGGGUGCUUUAAAUGUGAAUUCAUGAUGCUAAGCAAACAAUGCAACACUUUCAAAUCUUUAGUCUAGACUUCCAAUUCAGAUUAAUUCAUUCUCAUGACAGAAAUCCUUUUGUUAAUUACCAAUUCAAGACUAAUUCCCAUUAGAUGAAUAAAAAAUCAACAAGCAUAAAGGUCCAAGUCUAAAAUGACCAGACAGCCUCUUUGUGCAUCAAAAUAAGAGCUAAAAAAGACUGAAUCUUAUACAGAAAGAUAAAGCAAGCAUCACAUGAUCUCAAAUUCCAAUUAACUUAGAACCCUAAUCUAGAUUAAUCCUCUCAUGAAGGCAUUAACCUCUACACUAAUCCAUUUUCAAACCAAAUCAUCAUUUGUGAAAUAUGAAUCAAUGAGCAUUAAGAAACAGUUCUAAUAUGCCAUUCAUGCAUUUAACAAUCAUUCCCAUGACAUUAAUGCAUAAAUCAUUAGUUAGCUUUCAUUCAGGCAUUUCAUCAAACACUUUUGGUGCAUGAAAAACUCAGAUUCUAGACCCAAGUGAUGUGCAAGAUCUAGCAUUAAGAUCAGCUAACUAAGGAAAGGAGAAGAGAAUCUAAGCUUAAACAAUCAUUAAUCUACAUCUAAGCACCCUAAUCUACACACCUAGAAGCUUAAAAGAUGACUACUCACUAAUCAUGAAGAACACAUCUAAUCUUUUGCAAGAGAUGAUGUUAAUCAUGAUUAGAAGCAGAAAUGAGAUGAUGAGAUGAUAAGAAACAGACUUAGAUUGAUUAAAUCCUUGAGAUAUCUCUUAAUCAAAAACGUUUUUACACUAAAAAGGAAAGAAAACUAGAGAGAAACUAAGAGAGAAGAUAACAUCCCUAGGGUUUUUCUCCAAAAAACUAUAUAUACUAAGUGCUAAUGAACCGAGUCGGCCCGGAACAAACCGGGUCCUGACCCGGCUUUAGUGGGUAAAGUGGAAAUCUUGCGGGUUGGUCCAGUGUCUCCCAGGUAGCAUGCCCAAGUCGCAGUAGAUGAAGAACUUGUCUUGUGAGACUUAAAUCGCUUUAUCUUAGCCGCACGCCCAAGUAGGAGUGUUUUACGAGUCUUGCUGCGGCUUAAUCUUCUUCUUCUUCAACUCGCAGGACCAAGGCGGUUUCUGGGGAAUGUACAAACCGUGCGGGUUGGUCUCCUUGCUCCCAGCCAGCACGCCCAAGUCGGAGUAGAUUGCGAGUGAUCAUGCGGCUUGGUUCCAGCGUCUCCCAGGUAGCAUGCCCAAGUCGCAGUAUUGUGGACUUAGCAAUUUUCUUGCUCGGGAGCCUCAGACCUCAUCCAUUGAUAGCUUACCCGCACUUCUCAACUCGCAGCAUCAAUUUCCAGGCAUUCGUCUUCAGGCCUGCGAGUUAACCAAGUCGCAAGGCUUUCUCGCAGCAUUCAGAGCAGCUUGGACCACUUCGCAUUCCAGAGAGUGUAACUUCUAAGAUACCUGUCCGAAUUGAGUGAUUCUGGUUGCAGAGGAUAGAGGACUCAUAUAUCUCCAACUUUGGCGAAGGAAGCUUCGGUGCUUGGGAAGUGGAAGGCUUCCUGGAGGGCUCAUCUUUGCAGUGCAUUUACACGAUCAGAGAGAGGCGUCUAGACAUGUGUCCAUUCCGGAGACCGUAUCUUCCUGCUCAUAGCUCCGAAUUGAAUACUCGUGGACGUUCUGGAAAGAUGACUCAAAUGUCUCUAAUUCUCAUGAAGGCCUCGGAAACUGAAUCGGCAUGGAAGUGCACCGUCAUUCGAAUUCUUUGGAGCUCAUCGGUUUGGUCCAAAACGGCAGCGAGACAGGAGUUUCUUCCGCCGAGCUUAACUUUCUGCUCACACGUCCGAAUUGAGUGAUUCUACUUGAUAUAGAACCGUGAUCUAACCCUCUCAAGCUUUUAUGAAGCCCCCAACAACUGAAUCGGACCGGAAGGUUCCCCGGACAGGCGAUCAUUCAGGAGUAUCGGAUUGCUCCGGAAUGGAUGCGAGAGAGGUCUGUCUUCCGGUGACCGUAUCUUUCAGCUCAGUGCUCCAAAUGCCUUUAUUCAACCUUUCCUGGGUUUUUGACUCAAUUAUCUCCAACUUUUCUGAAGACCCUGUAAGCUGAAUCGGCCGGCAAGAGCUUCCGGUGACGCAAUUUCGGAAAUGUAUCUGCACCCGGGAUUUUUGGCCGAGAGACUUGACCGCGGUACGUGUUUUUGGCCGAGAAAGCUACCCGCGGGAAGGAUUUUGGCCGAGAAUCUUCGGCCAUCAGUACAUCAUUUUGCCGAGAAACCCAAAAUUGCUCCUUUUCACCAUUUUUGAUAAGUUCAACUCCAUUUCUUCAUCUGAAUCACAUCCUCCACUCCAAAUAAACUCCAAAAUCACCUGUUUAACACUCCAAAACAUGCAAAACUCUCUUGGACCUAAUGCAAUCUCCUAAGUCCUAAAACAAUGCCUAAAGACCUAAAAUGCAUGUAAAUGAGACAUGAUUUGGACUAGAAUAUGUACAUUAAAUGAUGCAAUUUAUGAAUAUAUCAACUCCCCCACACUUAUCAUUUGCUUAUCCUCAAGCAAAAAGAACAAAUGAGAGAAAGAGGGUGAAUGCAUUGGGAGCUCAUUUUUCCUUUGAAAGAGAAAAGUGACCACUAAGAGAAUUCAAGUUCAUGCUCAAUAUGCAAUGCAAGACCAUACUCUGAUGUAUCAACUCAACAGUAAUCUCCACAAGUUCUCUUAUUCCUCAACUCUUUGACAUUCAUUAAGCUCUUUACCAAGUGGAUCAAAUGAUGCAAUGUUCAAACAAGCAAAGUUUGGCUAGGGUGAGGUAAUGAGACUAAAAUGAUCUCAUCAGUGCCUGAGUGGGUUCAAUGCAGCAAGGGGAUCUCUCUAUGAAUGAUCAAACUUUGGCAGAAUGCUAAAGGUAAAAAGCAACCUAUGCAUACAAGGGCAAGGACUCAUCCCACCCCACAUUCUACUCAAAGCUUUCUCACUUGCUCAACCUCUCAAGAACCCCACUUUACACACUCAUUUUCCUCUCACUAGGGGACUCACUUUUCACUUUCACACUCAAGUCUUGGAGUUCAAACUUUACAUAGCUCUUUUUCACUUUCUUUUGUAACUUCUAGCCUCUUUUUCUUUCUUUUUUAAAACAUUUGAGCUCUUGGGCUUCUUUUCUUUUCUUUUCACUUAGAGGCUAGACUUUUUCUUUUCAAAACACUAGAGCUCACUUUCUUUGACUCAAAACUCCAAGACUGAUUUCUUUUCUUUUUGUAUCCCCUAGUUCUCACCAUUCUCCUUUUAUUUCCACUCAUCUCUCCUUUUUCCACUCACCAACAAGUAUUCCCCCACACUUAGUUAUUGCCAAAUCUCUCAGCUCCUUGAUGGUGGAACUUAACACUCAAUGAGACUUGCCCUUGUCGCUCUAAACCUAACACUUUCUGCUAAGUUUGAUCCAAGGUGGCCUUUCAAUCACACACAAACAUUUGGCUUGAAGGAAGGAUGGGUUCAAGGUGAGGAAAACUGAUCUAUUAUGCAGAUUCAGCUAUUUGAGCUAAGGAAGAGGAUGGUAAAAACAGGAUUCUAGCUCAAAUAUGUAUAUAGGUAUCCACAAGCUUAUUCAAACAAUGCAUCACAAGAUAAUUUCAAGUCAAGUUCAAGGUUUCCGCUUAUUAGAGUUGAGUUCAAUUCAAACUUGCUUCUCAGAUUCAAAUCAUUUCAAGCCUUGCAAGCACAGAAAUCAUUUCACAAGCAUAUUUAAUCCAAAUUCUCAAAGUGAUGUACUCUCAAGGAAAGAACCUAUCAUUACUCCCAUUUGCAUAUGAUGCAACCUAUAUGAAAAUGCAAACUAGACUCAACUUAAAAUGUGAAUGCAACUACAUGAGCAUUUUUUGUGAAAAUUUUUCAGAUUUUUCCAUUUUUUUUUUUGGUUUUUUUAUAUGCACUUAGAUGAAUGCAAAAUGAGACUCAAAGUGAAAAGGAAAAUAAGAGCACAAUAUACAUGAUUAGUAAACACAAAACCCCUCCCCCACACUUAAAUAACACAGUCCCUUGUGUUAUAAAAGCAUGAGAAAGAGGAAAAAUCAAACAUGAAAUGCAAAAGAUAAAGAAAAAUGCUAAAUGCUCAUUUACAAGUGUUUGGAGUGAUACCUGGUAUGGUUCUUGUGCAAAAGGGGAGUGAGUAUCUGCACCAGAUGAGGCCAGACACACUUGGAGAUGGAUUUGGCUUGGCCUGAACUCCCUUGUGCGGCAUGGACUUGUCUUGGACCAACUCGCAGACUUUGGGACAUAGAUACCUCGGCCUUUCUUCCCAUGCUGCGGCCUAGCCUCCAUGCUUCCCAGGUAGCACGCCUAACUCGGAGUAAUUUGCGAGUCUUCAUGCGGGUUAGCUUCCUUGGGUUUCAGGUAGCAGCACCAGGUCGCAGGUUUUUGGACUUAAACACCUCGGCCACUUUUCUUUUUGGUGCGGCCUGGUUUCCUUGCUCCCAGCCUGCACGCACAGGCCGGAGUAAUUUGCGAAUGGACGUGCGGCCUAGCUUCCUCUCUUCUGACCCGCACUCUCAAGCCGCAGUAUUUGGGACUUAAACACUUCGGGCCUCUUCAUGGUUUUGUGCGGCUUGGUCUUCUUACACCAGGUAGCACGCCCAGGCCGGAGUAAUUUGCGAGUUGGGCUGCGACCUGGGCUCUUCUUGCACCAAGCCGCACAUCUAGGUAGCACUCAGGCGCCCUCCAAGCUUUUCAGACCUUAAACACUUCUCUCAGCCCUCUCACAUGCUCCAUUUCAUUUAUCACUGGGCUAUGUCCUCCAAAAAUCACCUAGAACCUGAGACCAACUCACAAAACCCAUCAAAAAGUUCUAAAAUAUAGAAGAAAAGAAAAGAAAUCAAAAGAACUAUGUACAAAGAUAAGCUUGGGGUGUCUCCCAAGAGCACUUUGUUUAAAGUCACUAAGUUUGACUUCUUACACUCUUUUUAGUGAGGGAGAGGAGGAGCUUUGAUGCUCCUGGUCUUGUCCAUGAAUUCAAGCAUGAGGUCCUUGUUCAUCAGCUCUUGGACACCAUCAGAUCCUUUGUCUAUGAACUCUGGUGUGAGGAUAGCUCUGACUUUGGCAAAUGGUCUUGAUCUUCCAUUGCCUUUAACCUUGUAUUCAACAGCUCCACCAACAAACUUCCAAGGAGUGAGAGUUAAGACCUGAGAAGAUGACUCAAGAGUGAAUGGUCUGGUUCUUGGUGGGUUCUUGUCUUGAGACCCUGAGCCAUUGCCUUUGUUGCUGCUGAUCUCCUUCUCACUUGGUGUAGGAGAUAGAGAUUCCAAGCAAGCUUCAUCAUCACUAAAGAAAUCCCCUUCAAACUCAAGAUCAGGUCUUAUUAGGGAUUCUUUCUUUUUCUCAACAGAUGCAAGGGGUUGAGCUUCUUCUAUAGUUCCAAUACUCCCCACAUACAUCAUCCCAUAGUGUUUCAACUCAUCAGAAUCAUCAGAUAUAACUCCACAAAACCCAAAGAGGAGGCUUAAGAGGAUAAGAUACUUCAUCAUCUACCUUAGCAAGCACCACUCUUUGAGUAUCAAAGUCCAUCCUUGCUCCUGUGGUGUUCAGAAAUGGAGUUCCAAGCAAAAGAGGUAGCUCUUUUGUCUUCUUCAUCUUCAUAACUACAAAAUCUGUUGGAACUAUGCAUUCACCAAUUUUCAAUGGGUAGUCUUCGAGGAUUCCAUAUGGUUUCUUUGAGGAUGAAUCUCCAAAGGUGAUUGACAUGGGGUGAUGCUUAAGACUCUUGAUCCCUAGUCUCUCCACCAUGUCUAAAGACAUUACACUGAUGCUUGAUCUAGAAUCACACAAAGCAUUGUCCACUUUCAAAUUUCCAAGAGAGCAUGAGAUGGAGAACUUUCCUGGGUUACCUAGCUUAGGAAUAGAUUUGGGUUUCACCCUUGUUGAGCCAGUGCUAGAGACUCCAUCAGAUGUCCUUCCUUGAACCAUUCUCUGAUCCUUUCCUUCAGCAAUCUCAGAAUCAUUCUUUUUCAUAUCAAAACAAGCUGCCUCCCCACCUUCUUUCUCAAUGUCCUCAUUGAGAUCACAGAACAGGAAGUCAAACUCCUCUAUGAUGGCGUCCUCAUCAUCUUGUGUUAGGCACUUUGCACUUGAGACAUUGCCAUGGAGAAGAUCCUCAAUUUCUUGGACAGCAGCAUGAUUCUCAUCAUUUGAGAGGAUGGCAUUGCAGUAUUCUGUUGGAUGUGCUACUGAUGUCCUUGGUAAAGAUCUUUGAGCUUGAGAACUGCAGUGGCCCUUGUUGUUCUCUAGAGUCUUGACUUUGGAAGCCAAGGUUUUAAGCUGAGAUAGAAGAUCAGAAUAACUGCAAUCCACCUUGUUGUUCAUCUCUGCCAUUUUCUUGUUAAAGUCCAUGGCACCACUUGCUUGACCUUUGAGGAUUUCCUGCAGCAGGUUCUGCACUUCUUGAUCCUUAUUCUCUGAGUUCUGUUGGAGACUUUGUUGUUGGGGAAGGACAAAACCUUGUUGUUGAGUGUUUUGAGGAUAGAAGUUCUGGUUUGGGGGGAUUCUUGUAGUGGGUAAAGCCCUUUUGGUAACCUUUUUGGCCACCUACAAAGUUCACCUCAGUUGUGAUGUCUUCCCUUUGAAAUGUGUCUUGAAACACAUGAUUCACAUCUCUAACAAAGUUGGCUGACUGAUGAGAAGCUAAGAGAAGUGUGUCUAGCUUCUCAUUGAGAGACUUGAUGUCUUUCCUUGUCCUUUCCUCUUCAGCACUCACAGCUCCUCUUGAAUUCCUUUCAAAGUCUGAUCCAUAAAGCUCAUCACUCUGAGUUACAUUCUCCACUAGGGUCAUGGCAUCAUUGACUUCCUUGGUCAUGAAAUUACCAUUUGAAGCUGUGUCCAAGAGAAGUCUGACCUUUGGUAAAGUACCUCUGUAGAAGGUACUUAGCAGCUGACAAUCUGAGAAUCCAUGGUGAGGGCAUUGCAUGGUAUACCCUCUAAAUCUUUCCCAAGCCUCACAAAAUGAUUCAUGGUUCUUCUGAAUGAAACUUGAGAUUUCAUUUCUUAACCUUGCUGUUCUUGAUGAAGAGAAGAACUUGGUUAGAAAUGCUCUUUUGCAUUGCUCCCAAGUUGUGACUGAUCCUUGAGGUAGAGACUUUUCCCACUGAUGAGCUUUGUCUCCUAGAGAAAAAGGAAAUAGCCUCAACUUGAAACUGUCCUCACUCACUCCAUUCAUCUUAGUUAGAUCACAAACUCUAUCAAAGUUGUCAAUGUGAUCUAAUGGGUCUUCUAAUGCCAAGCCAUGGAACCUGUUUGAUUGCACCAUGUUGAUCAGGCCAGAUUUGAUCUCAAAAUCGUUUUCAGGUGUUGGGGCUUGAAUCCCAUGUCUUUGACCCUGAGCAUUGGCCUCAUCACCAGCUCCCACAACUUGUCUUGGACGUGGAGUUGGUGGGUCUUGCUGAUUCUGGUGGUUUCCAUUACCACCAUGAGCCUGUUGCCCUUGAUCCAUACCCAACCUCUCAAUGUGCUCAGCUCUUUCUCUUUGUCUCCUUGCUUGACUUCUGGUGUUCAUACACCUGAAAACAAAGACAGCACUUGAAAGGUAAUCAGUAAAACAAUAGAAAAUAACUUGAUCUCAAGAAGAUCCAAAGUCCUAAUGCUAGAAUGAACUCUCCAAUUGGCAACGGCGCCAAAUUGAUAGUAGGAAUUUUACAAUCCUUGAUCAAUUCCUCAACUACUCAUGUCAUUGUAGCACUUGAGGUAUCAAUCCAAAUGGAGAGAUUCUAGACACUAAGACUAUGAGGAUCAAUUCUUAAUCCAAGUCUAAUAAGCAGAUGAGUUGGUAACCAAGAUUAUCUAAAAGCAUAUAACAAAACAAGCAAGAACAAACAGUAAUUAAGAAUUAAACAAGCAAGAGAAACUAAACAAACACUCAAAUUCAAAUAAAGAGAAAGCUAAACCUCUAGAUGUGAUCAUUGAUCAGGGUGCUUUAAAUGUGAAUUCAUGAUGCUAAGCAAACAAUGCAACACUUUCAAAUCUUUAGUCUAGACUUCCAAUUCAGAUUAAUUCAUUCUCAUGACAGAAAUCCCUUUGUUAAUUACCAAUUCAAAACUAAUUCCCAUUAGAUGAAUAAACAGUCAACAAGCAUAAGGGUCCAAGUCUAAAAUGACCAGACAGCCUCUUUGUGCAUCAAAAUAAAAGCUAAGAAAGACUGAAUCUUAUACAGAAAGAUAAAGCAAGCAUCACAUGAUCUCAAAUUCCAAUUAACUUAGAACCCUAAUCUAGAUUAAUCCUCUCAUGAAGGCACUAACCUCUACACUAAUUUAUUUUCAAACCAAAUCAUCAUUUGUGAAAUAUGAAUCAAUGAGCAUUAAGAAACAGUUCUAAUAUGUCAUUCAUGCAUUUAAAAAUCAUUCCCAUGACAUUAAUGCAUAAACCCUUAGUUAGCUUUCAUUCAGGCAUUUCAUCAAACACUUUUGGUGCAUGAAAAACCCAGAUUCUAGACCCAAAUGAUGUGUAAGGAUCUAGCAUUAGGAUCAGCUAACUAAGGAAAAGAGAAGAGAAUCUAAGCUUAAACAAUCAUUAAUCUACAUCUAAGCACCCUAAUCUACAUACCUAGAAGCUUAAAAGAUGACUACUCACUAAUCAUGAAGAACACAUCUAAUCUUUUGCAAGAGAUGAUGUUAAUCAUGAUUAGAAGCAGAAAUGAGAUGAUGAGAUGAUAAGAAACAGACUUAGAUUGAUUAAAUCCUUGAGAUAUCUCUUAAUCAAAAACGUUUUUACACUAAAAAGGAAAGAAAACUAGAGAAAAACUAAGAGAGAAGAUAACAUCCCUAGGGUUUUUCUCCAAAAAGCUAUAUUUACUAAGUGCUAAUGAACCGGGUCGGCCCGGAACAAACCGGGUCCUGACCCGGCUUUAGUGGGUAAAGUGGAAAUCCUGCGGGUUGGUCCAGUGUCUCCCAGGUAGCAUGCCCAAGUGGCAGUAGAUGAAGAACUUGUCUUGUGAGACUUAAAUCGCUUUGUCUUAGCCGCACGCCCAAGUAGGAGUGUUUUACGAGUCUUGCUGCGGCUUAAUCUUCUUCUUCUUCAACUCGCAGGACCAAGGCGGUUUCUGGGGAUGUACAAACCGUGCGGGUUGGUCUCCUUGCUCCCAGCCAGCACGCCCAAGUCGGAGUAGAUUGCGAGUGAUCAUGCGGCUUGGUUCCAGCGUCUCCCAGGUAGCAUGCCCAAGUCGCAGUAUUGUGGACUUAGCAAUUUUCUUGCUCGGGAGCCUCAGACCUCAUCCAUUGAUAGCUUACCCGCACUUCUCAACUCGCAGCAUCAAUUUCCAGGCAUUCGUCUUCAGGCCUGCGAGUUAACCAAGUCGCAAGGCUUUCUCGCAGCAUUCAGAGCAGCUUGGACCACUUCGCAUUCCAGAGAGUGUAACUUCUAAGAUACCUGUCCGAAUUGAGUGAUUCUGGUUGCAGAGGAUAGAAGACUCAUAUAUCUCCAACUUUGGCGAAGAAAGCUUCGGUGCUUGGGAAGUGGAAGGCUUCCUGGAGGGCUCAUCUUUGCAGUGCAUUUACACGAUCAGAGAGAGGCGUCUAGACAUGUGUCCAUUCCGGAGACCGUAUCUUCCUGCUCAUAGCUCCGAAUUGAAUACUCGUGGACGUUCUGAAAAGAGGACUCAAAUGUCCCUGAUUCUCAUGAAGGCCUUGGAAACUGAAUCGGCAUGGAAGUGCACCGUCAUUCGAAUUCUUCGGAGCUCAUCGGUUUGGUCCAAAUCGGCAGCGAGACAGGAGUUUCUUCCGCCGAGCUUAACUUUCUGCUCACGCGUCCGAAUUGAGUGAUUCUACUUGAUAUAGAACCGUGAUCUAACUUUCUAAAACUUUGAUGAAGCCCCUGACAACUGAAUCGGACCGGAAGGUUCCCCGGACAGGCGAUCAUUCAGGAGUAUCGGAUUGCUCCAGAAUGGAUGCGAGAGAGGUCUGUCUUCCGGUGACCGUAUCUUUCAUCUCAGUGCUCCAAAUGCCUUUAUUCAACCUGUCCUGGGUUCUUGACUCAAUUAUCUCCAACUUUUCUGAAGACCCUGUAAGCUGAAUCGGCCGGCAAGAGCUUCCGGUGACGCGAUUUCGGAAAUGUAUCUGCACCCGGGAUUUUUGGCCGAGAGACUUGACCGCGGUACGUGUUUUUGGUCGAGAAAGCUACCCGCGGGAAGGAUUUUGGCCGAGAAUAUUCGGCCAUCCAGUACAUCAUUUUGCCGAGAAACCCAAAUUGCUCUUUUCACCAUUUUUGAUAAGUUCAACAUUCAAAUAUUAUUGACUUCAUAAAAUAAUAUUUAUAUAUUUCUUUUGAUUUCAUUCUUAUCUCUGUUAAUAAUUUUAAUUCAUAAAUCGUUUUUAUCAUGUUGAUAUAUUCAUAAAUUACAUCAUUUAAUGUACAUAUUCUAGUCCAAAUCAUGUCUCAUUUACAUGCAUUUUAGGUCUUUAAACAUUGUUUUAGGACUUAGGAGAUUGCAUUAGGUCCAAGGGAGUUUUGCAUGUUUUGGAGUGUUAAACAGGUGCUUUUGGAGUUUAUUUGGAGUGGAGGAUGUGAUUCAGAUGAAUGAGAAUAAGAUAGACGACAUCGUUUUAAAGACAUCCUCAUUCUCAUUUUUCAUCGUUUUAGAGAAAAAUGAGGAUGUGAAUGAGACUGAGAAUGAGAAUGUGAGAACUGAGAACAAAGACAAAAAUGCGAAUGAGAAAGAGGAUGAAGAAAAGAAAGCAUUUGAUGUUAAUCAAUAUCGAAUAGACAAAGAAAUCAAUGAUCAUGAACACUAAGAGAAACUUGAGAAAUUUUCUAGUUGAAAAUGACCAAGUGACAAAGUUUAGUUUGUUUAUCAUUUUUCAAGAGGUUUUAGAAACUUGAGAAAUUUUCUAGUUGAAAAUGAAGAAGAGUCACUCAGUGGAUGGAUUUUUAAGUGAGGCUAUAGACAAAUCAGGUAAUUGAUAAGCAUAUUCAAGAAGAAACUAACAAAUAGAAACCAUUAGAGAGAUGUAUUGUUGCACUGAAAAAUGGUCUUGGUAAAAAGAACAUAGCAUUCAUGAGGAUAGUAGUGAAAUUUUUUUAGGUAUGAUUCAAAUAUUUGUAAAUUUUGAUCCAGUGAUGAAAGAACACAUUAGAUGUUGAUCCUCACCAAAGAUUGAAGACUUUUUGUCAUUCAUAAAAAUCGGAGACAAAAUCGAAGAAGGGUUUUUUACACCCUUCAAUAUGUACGUCUUAAUCUUGGGUGGUUACACACUAGUCGUUGUCAUAAUUUGAAACUUUUACUUUCAGAUUUCGCUUCCUCGUCGAUUGAUGAUAACAAUAACAUUUUUUGGAAUCAUUUAACACAUCUAUUGUUUGUUUGCCUCUACUAUAGAAAAUUGUGUAGUUUUUAGAGAGAUUGUGAAUGGUAUUACAGUUAAACCAUUAUCACAAACUCGUUUCAAGAGCCACAUCCUCAGAUACGGGAUGUAUUGUUUUAUUUAGCAGAAAAUAAUGACAGUUUCAAAAUAAGAAGGGACGUUUAGUCUCUUGCAAUGAUUAAAUCCAUAGAAUUAGACGUUUUGAGUUUUUUUUUUGAAUGAUUAUUUGGUAUAACUUAUAUUUGUUGUGAACAUAAUAAGCAAGAUCCUCUAGUCAUAAGAUAAAAAUAACGAUAUUGUUAUUCCUCAAAUAGAAGGACUAGUUUCUUUUUUGUACAAACUAUAGAGAUAGAAGUUUAAAGCAGCGAAAGUAGAUACUGAACGGAUUGAUAUUGAGAUAAAAAUUGAUCAUGUAUUCUUUGUAAAAGCAUAACAAAGAAUUGUAAAAGGAAACAAUAUCAUGAUGAAGAGUCUGAAAAAGUGGGGUAGAUGUGAAAUUAACUACGAAAGAAAAUUUCAGAAUCAACUACUUAAUCAAAAUUGUGGAUCAAUGUUUAGUUUCUCUUGAAACUAGGUUUGAUCAACCUUUCAAGUUAUGAAAAGACUUUUGGCUUUUGUUUGACCUGAAGAAGCUCAAGUUCGCAAACGAUGACAAAUUUGUGGCUUCUUGCACCAACCAUGAAACUUUUUAAACAUGAUAAUCAUUAUGAUAUUGAUAGCAGUAAUCUAUUUUUGGAGUUAAAGCUUUUCAGAAGAGUUUUACUAAACAAAUUAGAAAGGUAGUCUGAAAUAUUGAAUUAUAUGAAAAAGAUAGAAGGUUGAUAUCCAAAUACAUGGAUUGCAUAUCGCAUAUGAUGAUGAUUUCAGUUUCAGUUGGUUCUGUAGAAAGAAGUUUUUCAAAGUUAAAUUUCAUGAAGUCUUAUCUACAAUUGACUAUACCACAUGAAGGAUUGAAUGAAUUGUUGAUAUUGUCGAUUGAGAAUGUGAGAACUGAGAACAAAGACAAAAAUGUGAAUGAGAAUGAGGAUGAGGAUGAAGAAAAGAAAGCAUUUGAUAUGAAUGAAUAUCGAAUAGACAGAGAAAUCAAUGAUCAUGAACACUAAGAGAAACUUGAGAAAUUUUCUAGUUGAAAAUGACCAAGUGACAAGGUUUUAGUUUGUUUAUCAUUUUUCAAGAGGUUUUAGAAACAUGAAGAAGAGUCACUCAGUGGAUGGAUUUAUGAGUGAGGCUAUAGACGAAUCAGGUAAUAGAUAAGCAUAUUCAAAACGAAACUAACAAAUAGAAACCAUUAGAGAGAUGUAUUGUUGCACUAAAAAAUGGUCUUGGUAAAAAGAAUAUAGCAUUCAUGAAGAUAGUAGUGAAAUUUUUUUCGGUAUGAUUGAAAUAUUUGUAAAUUUUGAUCCAGUGAUGAAAGAACACAUUAGAUGUUGAUCCUCACCAAAGAUUGAAGAUUUUUUGUCAUUCAUCAAAAUCGGAGACAAAAUCGAAGAAGGGUUUUUUACACCCUUCAGUAUGUACGUCUUAAUCUUGGGUUGUUACACACUAUGUCGUAGUCAUAAUUUGAAACUUUUACUUUCAGAUUUCGCUUCCUCGUCGACUAAUGAUAACAAUAACAUUUUUUGGAAUCAUUUAACACAUCUAUUGUUUGUUUGCCUCUACUAUAGAAAAUUGUGAAGUUUUUAGAGAGAUUCUGAAUGGUAUUACAGUUAAACCAUUAUCACAAACUCGUUUCAAAAGCCACAUCAAAAACAUCAAAGCCAUACGAUUUUAAGCUUCUCAGAUACAUGAGGUUUUGUUUUAUUUAGCAGAAAAUAAUGAUAGUUUGAAAAUAAGAAGGGACGUUUAGUCUCUUGCAAUGAUUAAAUCCAUAGAAUUAGAUGUUUUGAGUUUUUUUUUGAAUGAUUAUUUGGUAUAAGUUAUAUUUGUUGUGAACAUAAUAAGCAAGGUCUUCUAUUCAUAAGAUAAAUAUAUCAAUAUUGUUAUUCCUCAAAUAGAAGGACUAGUUUCUUUUUUGUACAAACUAUAGGGAUAGAAGUUUAAAGCAGCGAAAGUAGAUACUGAACGGAUUGAUAUUGAGAUAAAAAUUGAUCAUGUAUUCUUUGUGAAAGCAUAACGUCUUUGUAAAAGGAAACAAUAUCAUGAUGAAUAGUCUGAAAAAGUGGGGUAGAUGUGAAAUUAACUACGAAAGAAAAUUUUAGAAUCAACUACUUAGUCAAAAUUGUGGAUCAAUGUUUGGUUUCUCUUGAAACUAGGUUUGAUCAAUCUUUCAAGUUAUGAAAAGACUUUUGGCUUUUGUUUGACCUGAAGAAGCUUAAGUUAGCAAACGAUGACAAAUUUGUGGCUUCUUGUACCAACCAUGAAAUUUUUUAAACAUGGUAAUCAUUAUGAUAUUGAUAGCAGUAAUCUAUUUUUGGAGUUAAAGCUUUUCAGAAGAGUUUUACUAAACAAAUUAAGAAGGUAGUCUGAAAUAUUGAAUUAUAUGAAAAAGAUAGAAGGUUGAUAUCCAAAUACAUGGAUUGCAUAUCUCAUAUGAUGAUGAUUUCAGUUUCAGUUGGUUCUGUAGAAAUUUGUUUUUCAAAGUUAAAUUUCAUGAAGUCUUAUCUACAGUUGACUAUACCACAUGAAGGAUUGAAUGAAUUAUUGAUAUUGUCAAUUGAAAGGAGCAUAUCUUGAUGAUACAAGCUUGAUGGAUGAACUUGCAUGUAGAAAUGCAAGGAUAACUAUAUUUUAAGAUAAUAAACAGAUUUCUUGUGUUUUAAAACAUUUUAUAGUUUUUGUUUACCACAUUCAUGAUUUUUUUUUAAGUUCAAAAAAAUUACUACAAAAAUGUAUAAAAUGACCUAUUUUUUCUCUAGUAUGCAAUCCUCUAGAACCUAGUAUCGACUCUGAAUGUCUCAGCCUAAUCAAUUAAAUUAUUCAGGAGAUAGUAUCUCAGCCUAGACCAUAUUUAAUUCAUUUGAUUUUGAAUGAUUUUUGUGGAUGACUAUAUGCCAUUUAUGAAAGAAGAGGAAUGAACAAAUACACCAUAUGGCAUACCACUCACUGAAAUUAGUGAGGUUUUUCGGGAGACAUAAUGUCUCAGCUUUGACCAUAUUUAGUUCGUUUAAUUUUGAGUGAUUUAUCAGUUGACAAUAUAUCAUAUAUAAAAGAAGAAGAAUGAACAAAUACACCAUAUGGCUUUGUUUUUGGGAUGUUUACUUUUUCCUCCGUCUUUACUUCCCUAGUUUGACGUUUAAGUCAAAUUCUAUUUUCUCUUUCUCCAAAUUAAUGUUCAUCAUUAUAAUCAUAUCAUAUAUACGAGAAUCUUUUAACGUGUGUGCGGCAUAUAUGAUUUUUAUAACUCAUUAGAUUGUGAUAUUUGUCACGAUUAAUUAUCUUGCCAUACGUUAAUAAUAAUAUAAUAAUUUAAAUGAUCCUUCAAGGAUCUUCACUCUCUCUGUGAUUUUCACAUAUAUAUAUAUAUAUAUCACUAUCAAGUGAUCCAUAUAAAUAUGCACUCACAACAUCUAUAAAGUAUAUAUGUAGAUUUCUAGAUGUCGUUAGGUUCAUAAAGUACCUGAAUGUGAUUGCAUCCAUGACCGGAGAAUAUGUUUCUUCAUAAUCUAUUCCCAGUAUAUAAGAAAAAUCUUGUGCCACAAGUCAGGCUUUAUAUUUUGUGACUUCGUUUUUCUCAUUUCUCUUUCUCACAAAUAUCCAUUUGCACCCAACUGGUAUUACAUCUUCAGGUGUAAUGACUAUUGAUCCAAAGAUAUUUCUUUUAUUCAGAGGGAAUAAUUUAUUUCUCAUAGCCAUUUGCCAUUUCCUCCAUUCAGGUUUUUUAUGGCACUCUGACACGGACCUAGGGUCUGGAUCAUCAUUUUCAUUAUUAAUUUCUUCAGAUACCAAAAAAAAUAUUUUAUAUGUAACAUCUAUCUUACUUCUAGCCCAUAAUUUCCUAGUUUGGGCAAAGUUGUUUUGGAAAUCUCAUAUUUUUCAGUAUUAUGUUCAUCUUCUGGACGAACUUCUUUAUUUGGUUCUUCAGGAACCCUCUCAUAUAUGUUUUUUGGACAUAUAUCUCUAUGUGGUUCUUCUGGAACCUUUUCACAAAUGUCUUCUGGACAUUUUUUUUAUUUGGUUCUUCUAGAACAUUGUCUCCCAAAUUCUUUCUCUUUUCGGGAUUCUUAUCUUUCGACCUCAUCGACCUCCCGCGCUUUGAUUGAACAUGCGGUUCAUUUGCUUUAUUUUCAUCAAUAGCUUGUUCCAGAACAUUUAAUUUUGAUGGAGCAUUAACAGCCUGGAUAUAUGACUUCGUCACCCUUUUUGUAUUUGUGAAUGCAUCAGAUAAUUGGUUUGCCAAAAUUUGCAAAUGUAUAAUUUUCUGAACUUCUACCUCACAUUGAUGGGUGGAAGAUCAAGAUAAACCAAACUUUGUGUACACCAUAUGAUAUCUUUUGAUGAUUCUCUCAAUCCUCCCCCUAACGCAGGAAAUUCAUUUUCAUCAAAGUGGCAAUCGGCAAAACGUGCCGUAAACAUAUCUCCAGUUACUGGUUCAAGAUAUCUGAUUACACUUAGUGAUGUAUAGCCAAUAUAUAUUCUCAAUCUCCUUUGCGGUCCUAUUUUUUUCUUUGUGGAGGGGCUAUUAGAACAUAAACCGCACAUCCAAAAACACGGAGAUGGGAUAUAUUUUGCUAUUUGUCGAGGUCAACUGUAUUGGGGAAUACUCAUUAUAUGCACUUAGUUUCAUCUAGACCAAUGCUCCAGCAUGCAAUAUGGCAUGUCUUGAGACAAUAAUUGGGAGCUUUGUUCAAAAUAUUAAUGGUCGUGCAAUCAACUGCAACCGUUUAAUCAAAGAUUCAGCAUGUCAUUUUGUGUAUGAACAUGCGGAAUCGGAUGCUCAUCAUCGAUUCCUAAUGACAUACAAUAGUCAUUAAAGGGCGUUGAAGUGAAUUCACCAGUGUUGUCAAGCCUGACUUUCUUUAUGGCAUAAUCAUCGAAUUCUGCUCUCAACCUGAUUAUUUGGGCAAUGAAUCUUAUGAAAUCCAUAUUUCUUGUGGUCAAUAGACACAUAUAUGACCAUCUACUGAAUGCGUCAAUUGAUAUCAUAAAAUAUCUAAAUAGUCCGCACGGUGGGUGAAUUGGUCCACAUAUAUCACCAUGUAUUCUUUCAAAGAAUACAGAAUAUUCAUUCCCAAAUUUGGCUGGCGAGGGCCUGAUUAUGAGAUUUCCUUGUGAACAUGCCAUACUGAAAACUCUCCCGAUUGAAAAAUCUUCUAAUUUGAAAGAAUACAGAAUAUUCAUUCCCAAAUCGUGUCAACCCACUCAGUAAGCUUCGUAAUUUGUAGGAAGAAUUGAUUGUUCACAGUAUGACCAGUGACAAUGCAAAAGUCGCUGUAAUGAGAGCAAUUGGUAAUUGAUAACAAUGAAAGUUUAAGGAUAAAUUGCUUUGCAUACAAUAUAACUUACAUGUUUCUUUCACACGAUAAUAACUCCUGGAAUGCCUUGAACUGGUCUUGUUCCACUGUUUCGAGUGGUUUGUACGCAGCUUUCGAUCUGGAUACAAAUAGAGCUUUCACCUUUGAAUCUGCGGUGUAAAUAUCUCGAAACUUUUCCGACCGUAUGCGUGCGCGUUUUCCUCUACCUCUUCCUCCUCUUCCUGUUCCUCUACCUCUUCCUCCUCUUCCUGUUCCUCUACCUCUUCCUCCUCUUCCUGUUCCUCUACUUUUUCUCUUUACACCAGACGAUCCCUCCACUUCUUGUGGGGGUUUUGGAGUACAAGGGGUCUUCUGCGAAGCAUCACUUGCAUCCUUAGGUGCAGUAUGGUAAUCUUUCCCCGCAUUUGAGUCCUCCUCCUUAGCCACAGCCUACAAACCACCGUAACAAUAAAGCGUAUAACAUAUCAAUCGUAUACCUAGCGUAUACCUAAAGAGUACUGUAUACACAUGCAUAUUAUAUGAACAAAUUUAAUGUCUGACCUGUGCAUCCUGUGUAUCUGUUUGCGCUUCAUUUUUCUUAUAUGCGUAGCUCAAUGGGUGAGCAGUCUGAGGUUUGUAGACUAAUAAGGUGCCGGAAACCAAAUUUGUUCAACCACCAUCCACCUGAAUAAGUCAUAAAAAAAUAGCAUAGUACACACCCGUUAUGAAACUUAAUAGAGUCAGCUGCUGACUAAACAAUUAGCUCACCUUGUUGAGGUCAGAAGGUGGAUCUUCAUCCGGAUUGACGAAGUAAGGAGGUGGACGAGUUGUUCCUGAAUUGGCUUGUUCAGGUUCAGGGGUCUUCGUCGGAGCUUCUAGAGUCUUCAAGUACGCAUGGUCCCUGGGAGAAUAAUGGUCCCCGCCGUAGUAAGUAGAGGUCCCUUCUUCAUCAUCUCUUUCUUUCUGGUGUACACCAUCUUGGGGGUGUACACCAUCAUCAUGGCGUACGCUAGACUGUGCACCAUCAUCACCUCCUUCUUCACCUCCAUCUUCGGCUUUGUCUUCAUCUUCAUCCUGUUUUUGACCACCUUUUUUUGGAUUCUGUCAUUCGUCAUCCUGUUCCCCAUCGUCUUUUGACUGGUGUACAUCGUCAUCUUCUUCAACCUGUUGGUAUACACCCAAUCUCUUGUCCAACUCUGUCUUAAUCUUACGAAGGAGCAAUUCAUUCUGACUUAGUAUCCAUCUUUUAAGAUCUUCAAUUUGUCCACUUUCAGGGGUUUCAUCUUCCGAUAGAUUAGAAGAGUUCUUGCCCCUGCCUCUUUUCCUCUGCAUCUUACGUUUUUCAGUUUGAUGAGUUUUCAGUUUCUUCUUCGGUCGGGUGGAUGGCUCAGGUUCCUGUUCUAUUGCUAACCUCGUCCUCUGCAUCACUAAGAUCUACGAUAGGUGCUGGUGCCACUGCAAAAUCCGAAGGUGUGAAUUUGUACCCCUCGGCCAUGAGUUCCUGCAUGAAAUCUCCCCAACGCAAUUCAUUAUGUUCGUCAUUGUCAGCAUCAUCCACUACCAUCUGUUUCACAGACAACUAAGACAAAAAAACAAUUGCAAAAUUACCAACCAAAAUCACAGAGUACUUAUCUUAUAAUACAAGUACUACAAAAUAAGACUACAAAUAGUACUAAAUAUAAUACUACAAAUAAUUUACCAGAGGGUCGGAUUCCACGGCAAGUAUGUCCCCAAGAUGCAAUAGUGUGAUAACGUUUUGACAACCUUCGGGAUCUUCAACGAAAGUCUUCAAGUUAUCAGGUUGAGGAAUCUUGGAAACCAACAUUGGUAUAGAUUGGAGGGCCAUGAGUUGUAGUGAUAGAGGGAAUCCAUAGCAUGCACUGAUUUUCUGUUUAAGUUGACGACGCAAUCGUGUUAAAAGAUUCUCCCUUUUCUCGGCAUCCGUGAUUGUCUUCGGAGCUUGAAAACGAGAUACUGUUUUGUUAAAGGAUACCCUCCCCCAUGGAUACAGCAUGAACCUAUCCAAGUCACUCAGCAUCUCAACGUAUUUCUCGGUGAGGGCCAGAUUUUUGCUAUUGCAAAACAGAACACCGUCGACAAGAACGAUUAAGGCCAAUGGAAGCCGUUUCCAUUGGGGUAGAUCCGGGUCCUUUAGCAUUUCAAGCACAUCAAACACGUUCAUAGCGGUCGUUAUUCCGAACAGGUCUUUCCAGAUUCUUGUCUUUCCGACAUCUUCUUCUUCUGUGUUAUCAGGUUCAGGAUUGCAAUUCAAUCCAGUGAUUUCCUUAAACUCCCGUAUCGAAUAUCUCAGAGGCUGUCCACCAAAGAGGAACCAAAUCUCGUGUUUCUUCGUGGUCACAAGUUGUCGUGAUAGAAGGGCAUGGACUAGUUUGGCGCUGUUGCAAGAUGUUGCAACAAGUAGAUGAAAUAACUUCCCAAACUGGGAAUGAAGUAGCUUCUCAAGAUCUUCAGUACCCUUUAACGCCUCGACAAGGAGGCCAAUGACAUUGGCCUUUGAAUAUAUGUUCAACCGAGCACCAACGGGGUAGCAACCAUCGCCGAGGACCCUUUUUGGUAGUUUUUCCGAAAGGUUAAUUGAAGCUUCUCCAUCUUCCAUGCCUGUAUUUGAAGCUUCUCCGUCUUCCAUUCCUGUAUUUGAACCAAAACAACAAAUCCAAAAUGCAGGAAAAAUAUAAUAUUCUGGAUAAACAGUUAAAUGCAAACCAGGGGAAAAUUUUGAGGGAAAGGAGUUCGAAGGAGUUCAAAAGAGAGAACAGAGAUCUGGAAAAACUACCCUAUUCGUAUGCUCUCAUAUAUAAACUUCUGUAACUGUUUCUAGAUGAUAUAAGAGUAAUCCAACCGUUUGAAUUCAAUAUAUAGACAUAAGUACUAGAGUUCAUAACCGCUAAUACAUAAAUCAGGCCAAUCAGGCGCCCCGUUUCAAUCUUAAUUUGAGUUACAAACCGCCAGUACAGUUCAGACAGGGUCGAAGUUCAUAAAAGUAACUUGCUUUUAAAAUUUUGAGCAGGCCAUUCUAGAAGAAGAGGAGCGAAUUAUACUUUGGAGCUACACCGCCGGCGUGGAUUGAGACGACUCGCAUGAAUGGGAUGUUCAACCCGCUCACUCCGUCGCGGUGGCAUGGGCGGUAUGGGCGACUGCUCCGUCGGAGCUGUCUUCGAGUUACUCCGAAGCACUCGCCUCGACACCGGAGGCACGGUGUUGUUGCGCCUUAACAAUUUUUUUACUCUCCGCACCAUUACAACGGUCAAUCGGAGGGCUAAUCGGAGAUGGAUUGCCGGAGAUGCUAGAUGGACUACAUCCAGAUGUGGAUCCCAAAUUUUAUUUUUAAUUUAAAUGUUGGGGUGUCGAUAGAUUAUACAUUUGGUUUUACUUCGGUUUACGAUAUUGGACUUUGGUUUAUAAUUUUGUGUAAUCGGUUUACCAAAUCAGAUUUUACCAGAAAUUUUUAGUUAUUUUACUUCGAUAAUGGCAAUUUUGAAAAUAAAAAAUUGCUUUAGGGCCCUUGCGGGAAGACAAACAGUAAAAACAGCUAUAUCCUUCCUUGGUUUUGAAAACAUCCUAUUCCUCUAAUUUAAAACUUAAAAACUACCCAUACAACAAUUUUCUCUUUGUUUUUAGGUUUAGGGAGAUAGAGAUCUAUCUUUUGAACCCUUUUUAUUUCUCUUUCAAUACUGAUUUCCUUACACGUUUUCUAUACAAUGAUUUUGCCUUCUUUAAUCAUGUCUGAGUAGUUUACUUGUUGGGUUUAAGGGAAUUUUUGAUUGGGAUCUAUAUGUUCUAUGAGGAUUGUAUGAGCUAUUAAGCCGAAUCCUAUAACUUUUUCUUCUAAACUUAUUUUUAAUACAUGAAAGUAGCGUCAUGAAUUAUAAUCUGAUUUAAGUACUGAGUGUUGCGAGAGUUUUUAUUAUCUGCCUGAUAUAGUUUGAGAAGAGAAAUUCUGCCAUAGGAGAUGAAAGCUACCUAUGGGUGAGUUUUGAAUGUAGACGAGUCUUGUAUAAGCUAUUGCGUGCACCUGUUACCGGGACCAGAGACGAAAGCUACUGGUCAGGGUCGUGGGUGGCAGUUGGUUAUGAUCACGAGAGUAAAAUAAUCAUACAUCUGUGCUCGAGUUCUAAAAGUUUUAGCUAUGAUAUUUCUAUUUACUUUUUAGCAUGUUUUGAAUCGAUUAUACCACAGAGAUAUUUCCAAACAAACCAGCGUUUUUUUUAUAAGUUCUUACAUUGAUUUUCUCUUUAUUUACCUUAGGUUUUUUUUUUUAGUUUUUUAAUCGAUUUUCUUAAGCACUUUUUCCUUUUCUCGUUUAAUUUAGGAUUUACCUUUUUUUAGUAACAUCAAAACCCGUAUAAAAAUCAAUUAUGUUUAGACUUCCUUAUUCAAUCUUUUUCAAAAAAAUUUUGCAGAAAAUAUCCUCAUUCCAUAUAGAUUCAAUUCCUAAAUACUACAAUUGAUUAAUUGUGCACUUGCGGAUUUCAUUUGUUUCUAUCUAGGUUAAAAUUUGCUCACAUCCCACAGAUCACAUCACCGAACCGAGAUCCGAACACAUAUCUGAAAUAUCUCAAAAAUUUUAAAACCCAUUUAUUCUUAUAUAAAAAUAUCUCUGUUGUUCUUCAAUUUUUUUCUUAUUGUCGACAUAAAUAUUUAAGAAGUCUAAAUAAAAAAUUUUGAAUCCCUAAAUCAAUAAAACAUGUGAACUUGAUAGAAGUGUUUUGGCUGAUUUUGGUUUUCUUGAAAUAAAAUUUUCUUGUUUAUUGUUUUCUUCUUUGAUUUUCAGGUUUUUUGGAUAUUGUGAAUACAUUUAGAUAUUUUAGAUCCAGAUCCAAACUAUAUUCAAAAAAGAUAAUUUUUUAAUGUUUAAGGAGAUGUGAAGAGUAAAGAAAUGUUUAUUUUUUUCUCUGUCUAUUGAUUCGAAUAUCUGAAUCGUUCUAAAAAUCUUGGCUGUCGACUAAAAACCUUUUAGAAAUUCUAAAACGUCAAAAGAAAAAAUAGAUUUUAAUUUUAAAAUUUUAAAUACCAUCCAGCAAAAUAUUAUUACUGUAAAAGAAUUCUAGAAACAGUUAUUUUCAAAAGGUAUUUCUUUAAACGAAAAGCUAAUUUUUUCCCUUAAAAAAAGAUACAACUUUUUGGAGUUUUUCCCAGUCGAAAGUGUGAUGAAGCUGUGGAAAACGACGAAGACGAACGCGAAAGCCACAAACUCAGCCCAUUCCCACCGUUCAAACUCACACUCACACACACACUCUCACAACAAUCUCUCUUCACAAAUCCCAAAACAUUUCGAAAAUGCUCCUUCCCAAAACCCUAACGCUUCUCGUCUCCUCCGUCGCGAUUCUAACCAUCGCCGGCGGUUUCCAUAGCGCCGUCGCGUUCGGCGGAAACGGAGGAGGUAACACAAACAAUGUCUACUCUCCUUGCUCCGACACGAGGAUCCAGAGAUCUGACGGAUUCACAUUCGGAAUCGCCUUCUCUUCGCGUCCGUCUUUCUUCCUCAACCAGACGGUUCUCUCUCCCUGCGACCGUCGACUUAGCCUCGCCGCCAUGAACUCUCAGCUCUCUGUCUUCCGUCCAAAGAUCGACGAGAUCUCACUACUCUCUAUCAACACCUCCGCUUUCUUCCCGGUAAAUUUGAUUUCCGAAAAUGUUCAAAAACAAAAGUCUGAUUUCGGUCAAAUCUGGUCAUUUUUUUAUUUGCUAAUUAAACUAAUUUUGGAUUAGAUUAAUCAAAUUAUGAAAUAUCUAUUGAAAAACUCUUCAGAGUUUUCGAUUUGGUUGACUUUGGCUUCUUGACUCUGACUACACUCACUACACUAAUUAGAUUGCUUCAUGUAGAUAAGUAUCAGAUUGAAUUGAUAAGAAUCAGAUUUGUUUGUUUUUUCUGGGAUCAAAAGUUAGUCAUGAAUCUUUCUAAUUUAGGUAAGAAAACUAACAGUUACAAUCUUAAAUCAUUACGAAAAUGGAAUUGACUAGUACUAUACAUUACUUGAAGUGGUUAGUGAAAUCCAAAGUUAGAUUAUCCAAUUCUGAGUAGGAGGAAUAUAUGAGUGGAUUUGAUUGACUUUGGCUUCUUGAAUAUUCCAUUUUGUUGACCUUACCUGACUACACUAGUAACUAGAUUGCUUCAUGUCUAGUAAUGAUAAUUCUUUAGUGUAAAUAUCAGGUUGAAUAGAAAAGUGUCAUCACAUUUGGUUUUAUAUGUCCACAAAUUUAUCGUUAGGUGAGAAAAUUACAGGGUCAAUGUUAAAUUAUAAUGCAAAUGAGCUUACAAGUACUACUUGAAUUGAUUAGUGAUGUCCAAAGUUCAUUUUUCCGAGUAAGAUUGAUGAAGAAAACCAGAAUCUUAUAAUCCGUUCAGAGUGUAGAUAAGGAAAAUGCAUAUAUAUAUAUAUAUAUAUAUAUAUAUAUAUGAGUUGAUUUUGGCUUAUUCAAGAGUGAAAGUUGACAUUACACGAAUACACUAAUUAGAUUGCUUCACGUAUAUUAAUGAUAAUUCUGCAGUUUAAAAUAUCAGUUUUGUAUAGAUAAGUACCAGAUUUGGUUUUAUGUGAAUCACAAAUCAAACGAUGAUCAUAGUAUACUUGAAUUGGUUAUUGAUGUCCAAAGUUUGAUUUUUUAAUACAGAUUAGUGAAGAAAAAUCAGAACGUUUCUUUAUGUGACCAUGCUAAAUAUGUUGCAUAAUCUAUUCAGGACAACUAUGGUGGAUAUAUGGUUGCAUUUGCUGGUCGGAAAUACGCGGCGAGGUCUCCUCCGGCUUUUAUAGCUAACACAACCUUCACCGUAACCAGUUUUACUUUGGUAAUAAAGUCUUUUAAAAGAAUCUGAUCAUGUAGAAUUCACUCAAGAGCUAUAAUUUAUGUGUGAUGUUACGUUUUAAAAGGUGAUGGAGUUUCAGAAAGGUAGGCUUCAGAACCUAUACUGGAAGAGAGAUGGGUGUGCGUCGUGCAAAGGGAAUUCAAACUUUGUGUGUCUCAACAAGCAAGAUUGUGCUAUCAGAACGCCGAGCUGCAAAGGCCGUGGAGGUACAGUGGACUGUAGUCUCGGUAUCCAGCUGGCGUUUUCCGGCACCGAUAAACACUUGGCGGUUCUCAACUCGUGGUAUGAAGUCGAGAACCUUAAGCAGUAUUCUCUUUACGGUCUUUAUUCAAACCUCAAGAGCUCGCUUACCAGUCAGUUCAACAAUUUCUUCUGAAGCUUUUUCACAGUCUUGAAGAGGUUUAGUGUUUGUUUUGUAGCAUGUAGUAGGUAACUUUCUUUUGGUGACUUAUCUAAUUAGUUCAUGGAAUGUAAGACCAAAUUCGCAGAAAUGGUUAUGGUAGGAACCGGAAUUUGAACCGGAACGUCUCUAUUCCGGAAUCUAACACCAAAUCUGGUUUGUUUUAACUUAUUUUAUAACUGCUCAACUUUGAUUUUGACAUCUGUCACUUAAAUAUUAAUUAAUAAAUUUUAAAUCACUUAAAGAAUAUAAAAAAUUUGUUUUAUUAAUUAAUACUAGUAUUUAUAUUAAUGUUAAAAAAAAUUUUAUGUUAUCCUAUAUAUUAAAUGAGAAUGUAGUUUAAUGAAAAAAUCUGAUUUAUUUUAAUUUGAUUGGCUUAAAAAAGCUUCCUUGCUUAUGUCAAUGAUAACGUUUAUUUCACGUCAAAUGUGACAUGGCAAAGACGCGCUGAUGUACAAAAUUCUGAUUGGUUUCAGUUUAAUGAGAAAAAAAUAAUAANNNNNNNNNNNNNNNNNNNNNNNNNNNNNNNNNNNNNNNNNNNNNNNNNNNNNNNNNNNNNNNNNNNNNNNNNNNNNNNNNNNNNNNNNNNNNNNNNNNNNNNNNNNNNNNNNNNNNNNNNNGCAGGUGAGAGGCGACAUAAUACGGAUUCUUUUAUUUUUGUUUUAGAAAAUAGUCAAUUAAUUACAAAUAUAUUCAAAAAUAUCAAUUCACUAUUAAAUUCGGAAUAAUCAAUAAAUAAUAUAUAAAGAUUAAAUUCAAAUUAUUUUACAAGGAAAUAACUCUAUUUAUAUUAAUAUUAGAUUUAAAAUGUAAAUCUAUUAUAUUCGUAUUCACGUAAAUUUAAAUUUAAAGCAACAAUUUUUUUUUAAAAAAAGAGAUUAUAUAAUUCAAGUAGGAUACUGGCCCGCACGCAUGUGCGGGUUUGAACGUUUUUUAAAAGAUUGGAUAUAAUUGAGGUGAUGUUAAAUAUAAUUGAGGUGAUGUUAAAUAUAUUGGUUUGAACGUUUUUUAAAAGAUUGGAUAUAAUUGAGGUGAUGUUAAAUAUAUUGAAAGUCAGUAGGUUGGUUUCUGAUGGGCUCAUAUUGGUAUAUAGAUCGCGACGAAUUACAAAAUAUUUAGUCAUUGACCAGUAUUUUGUCAUACAGUAAAACCUCUAUAAAUUAAUACUCGAUAAAUUAAUAAUCAUUAUAAAUUAAUAAAUUUUGCUGGUCCCAAGUCGGGCCAAUAUAAAAAUCUAUCAAAUUCGAUAAGAUAAUAAGAUAAUAAUUUAUUUUGAAACCCUUAUAUAAAUUUAAGGUCCCAACAAAAACAUAAAUUAAUAAUGAUAUAAAUUUAUGUAAAUAUAUGUAAAUACAAUAUUCUAAAAUAUGACUAAUGUAUUUGUUGUGGACAAAAAAAAAAGACUAAUGUAUUUGUUUUUACUUAAAAUUGAAAUCUCAUUGGUUCUCAUCUCUCUAAUUAUUUUUUUAUAUGAUAAUUGAUUUUCUUACCUUUAAAUAUUUUUAAAUGUAUUGUAGUGUUAUCUUCAAUUUUAUCAUCAGUAAUACUGAUAGUAGCUAUGAUUUUUUUAUAAACUUUAAACUUAUGAACAUAUAUAUUUUUACAUGGACAAUCCAAUAUGGUGUUAAAAACUAUUUUAUUGUGAUAGUUAUGAUUCUUAAUCAUAAUUUAUAUCAUGAGAUUUGUUAAAAUUUUAAAAUAUAAUAUUAUUACAAAGAAAUGUUUAGAAAAUUAUAUGCAAAAAGCAAAUUUUUUCUAUAAAUUAAUAAUUAUUAAUUUAUAGAUAAAUUAAUAUCAUGAUAAAUUAAUAAAUUAUCAUGGUCCUAACAUUAUUAAUUUAUAGGGGUUUUACUGUAUAUUCAUAUAACGGUUUAUUUGUUACUACUACUACAUAUAUUAUGUAAUGACAACAAUACAUUUAACUUAUACUAAGAGCGUCUAGGUGAUUCGUCAUGCGGACCAACCACCUAUUCGCUCUUAAGACCAGUUGACUAUUAUAAAAAAAAUAUUGGCUAGAAUACUGAGCCGCACACAUGUGCGGCAUGAUUGGUGUUAUAAUUUUUUUUUUAAUACACAUGUGCGUCAGUAUAGCUUGUGAGAUAAGUUUUGAUAAUAUAUAAAUAUAAAUUAAGACAAAAUUUUCAAAUCGUUAUAAUUUUCCAAAAGUGUAGCAUGAAGAUAAUAAUUAAAAUGUGAUAUUCAAGAAUUUACACUUCGAAUAUUCCAUAAACGAUUGGUCGAUAUUAUUUUAUAUAUAUUAAUUAAAUAUUUUUGAAUUUUAUUUUUCUAAAAUAUAAUAUAUAUGUAGGAAUAUUUCUUGGUAGAAAAUAUCUGAAAAAUAUUGCGAUCUUUAAUUUGGUCAAUAAGAUUUUAUUGACGUACAUAAAAUUUAUGCUGUAUUUGAUUUGGGUAAGUAAUUUAAUUGUAAUCAAAAUUCAUCAUUAAUUGCAAUAUUCAAUCAGUUUCAAAUCAUAUAUAGUUGGUUUAGGAAAUUUUGGCUAUGUUUCCUAAAAUCCUAUGAUGAUGCCGAUAAUAAUGCUAAUAAUUAAAUACUUUCUAAAUUAAAUGAUAUUUCAAAUAUAUUCACAGUUUUUUGAUGGGUAAGGUAACUAAGAUCCGCUCAGUUUUAAUUUCCCGGUUAGAAGAUCCGUGUAUUUAGAAUAUAAAUAUAACUAAUCAGGUUAUUUUUAUAUUUCUCUUUCUCAUUAAACAGGAACCAAUCAAAAGUCUCAAUUUAAUCAGUCUUUUUCAUGUCACAUUUGACGUGGAAUAAACGUCAUCAUUGACAUAAGCAAUGACUGUUUUUUAAGCCAAUCAAAUUAAAAUAUCUAGGAUUUUUUCAUUAAACUUCAUUCUCAUUUAAUAUAUAUGAUAAAUUGAUCAAACGAAACUACUUUUUAAUUAGUAAAUGUACUUACAAAGUUGUUUAAUUUCACAUAGAGGCUUCUUCAUCGUAUCUUGCAUGAAAUCAGCUUCCUACAUCUGUAGUUCUGUUGAGAACUCUGCUAGAUCUUGAAAAACAAUUUUUUCUUUUUUGACUGAGUCAAAGGGUGCAUGCUGAUGUAAAUGAGCAACAAAACAAUCCGUAGCCAUCAUAGUUAACCUAAAGUGAAAAAAAGAAAAGCAAAAUCUAUGAAUAUUCUAAAACAUGCUAUAAGAAAAUAUAAAACUACUUCUUUUGCAUCUCAUUAAUGUCAUCAUCCAUGGUUACUAUCAAGAAAAGCAUUCAAAAACCAAAUCAAAUAUUAGAAUCAGAACAUGAUAAAUAUGAACAUCAACAACAUAGAUGGCAAACGGAUAACAAAAAACAAAAAAAUUGGCAUCAGAAACUUUAAAAUAAUGCAUGUUAUGAAUCUGCAUUACUAUUAUACCAUGGUACAUAGAAGAUGACAAUUAGCCACAGUGCCAUUUUUCAAUCAAACUUUGAGAAAUUAGCCUGAAUAUCAUGGAAAACAGGUUUUAAUGCAAAAAUAUAUAACAUAAUAUACUGAUAGUAUUGCCAGGUUUAACACUAAAAAAGUAGAACGAAUCUUUGAAUUAGAUAUGAGCUUCAUAUCAUUGAGAUCCUGCAAAGAAAAAAAAAGAAAGAAAGAACAUCAGUUCAAAUCAUUAUUGAACAUCAGAUCCGGCAAAUGGACUCUCUAUUUAUAUAAGGUGAAAACAUGCGAGGGUUUGUUAGAAUAAAGAAGAAUAAUUCUUUCCAAAUCUUUAUUUUAAAUUUGGCUAAUUAUUUGGUACAUUUGUGAAGCAUAUAUUAAGAAUAUUUGUUAAACAUAUAUUAGGAAGCUUGCAAUCUUUACAACUAUCUCGGAAAUAUUUAAUUUACAACAUUUGAACAAUACAUAAAUUGUGCUUUGCAAGUUUUGAAAAUAAUAUCACAGUUUCGAAUUUAAGGAAAAAAAAAAAUCAGAGUAUUUCAACAAGUAAAUAAUAAAAGAUGCAUUCAAUGAUAUUUACUAAUUCAAAUAUGAAAACAGAAAAAUAUGAAAUAUGUAUUACUAAGAGAAUGUUGUUUACAUGCAUGAUCAUUUUUCUUUAAAUUAUAGGCAGCGAAAUUAAAGGAACAAAUUUUUAAAAUUUAGAAUUUAAGGCAAUAUCCUAAAAUUAUGUGAUUCUAAAUUAUCAUUGAUGCAAUAACGGAGAAUCUGCAUUUAUUGUUUAGAUUUAAUAUUAAGAUUUAUUUUAUUAAAAUUAUAUUUGUUAUUUAUGAAGUUCUAAAUUCCGAAGUUAUAUUUAUAUUUUGCAUAAUUAUGUCAAACUAUUUUACAAAAUACGCUUUCAAAAAUAUGUAAAUAUAUGUUGCUUAAUAAUUUAUUAUUAAAUAAAUUUAUAUAGGAAAAUAUAUAAACAAUACGAAAGAGGAAAAUUAUAUUUUAAAUUAAUAAAUGUCAAAAAAUAAUAAUCUGAAUUUUAAAAUUGUGAAUUAAAGUAAUAUAUAAACAAUUUAAUUAAUUAAACAAUUUUUUGUUAUUAAUAUUCAUAUGAUUUUAAAUAUGUUUCCAAAAAUUAAUUAAUCAUUUUAGCCCAAUAAAAAUAUAGAUUAUCAGAUUUAUUUUUGGGUCCAAAAAUUAUUGAGAUUGCCAUGUCACAUUUGACGUGAAAUAUCUCAUUAAACAGGAGCCAAUCAAAGGAGUGCCCUUGCCAUGUCACAUUUGACGUGGAAUAAACGUCAUCAUUGACAUGAGAAAUGACAGUUUUUUAAGCCAAUCAAAUUAAAACACCUAGGAUUUUUCAUUAAACUACAUUCUCAUUUAAUAUAUACGAUGAUAAAUUGAUCAAACAAAACUACUUUUUAAUUAGUAAAUGUACUUACAAAGUUGUUUAAUUUCACAUAGAGGCUUCUUCAUCGUAUCUUGCAUGAAAUCAGCUUCCUACAUCUGUAGUUCUGUUGAGAACUCUGCUAGAUCUUGAAAAGCAAUUUUUUCUUUUUUGACUGGGUCAAAGGGUGCAUGCUGAUGUAAAUGAGCAACAAAACAAUCCGUAACCAUCAUAGUUAACCUAAAGUGAAAAAAAGAAAAGCAAAAUCUAUGAAUAUUCUAAAACAUGCUAUAAGAAAAUAUAAAACUAUUUCUUUUGCAUCUCAUUAAUGUCAUAAUCCAUGAUUACUACCAAGAAAAGCAUUCAAAAACCAAAUCAAAUAUUAGAAUCAGAACAUGAUAAAUAUGAACAUCAACAACAUAGAUGGUAAACCAAUAACAAAAAAAUAAUAAUAAUUGGCAUCAGAAACUUUAAAAUAAUGCAUGUUAUGAAUAUGCAUUACUAUUAUACCAUGGUACAUAGAAGAUGACAAUUAGCCACGGUGCCAUUUUUCAAUCAACCUUUGAGAGAUUAGCCUGAAUAUCAUGGAAAAACAGGUUUUAAUGCAAAAAUGUAUAACAUAAUAUACUGAUAGUAUUGCCAGGUUUAACACUAACCGAAAAUAUUGAAAAGUAGAACGAAACUUUGAAUUAGAUAUGAGCUUCAUACCAUUGAGAUCCUGCAAAGAAAAAAAAAAGAAAAAAGAACAUCAGAAAUCAUUAUUGAACAUCAGAUCUGGCAAAUGGACUCUCUAUUUAUAUAAGGUGAAAACAUGCGAGGGUUUGUUAGAAUAAAGAAGAAUAAUUCUUUCCAAAUCUUUAUUUUAAAUUUGGCUAAUUAUUUGGUACAUUUGUGAAGCAUAUAUUAAAAAUAUUUGUUAAACAUAUAUUAGGAAGCUUGCAAUCUUUACAACUAUCUCGGAAAUAUUUAAUUUACAACAUUUGAACAAUACAUAAAUUGUGCUUUGCAAGUUUUGAAAAUAAUAUCACAAUUUCAAAUUUAAGGAAAAAAAAUUCAGAGUAUUUCAACAAGUAAAUAAUAAAAGAUGCAUUCAAUGAUAUUUACUAAUUCAAAUAUGAAAACAGAAAAAUAUGAAAUCUGUAUUACUAAGAGAAGGCAUCCUCCACACACUGCCGAAUGUCAAUUUGUGUGAUGUCAAACAUAUGAACGCCAUUCAAUUUUUAUUUUUAGUAUUUAUAAUGUUUUUAAUAAUAAAUCGAUAUUGUUUAUUUUACACUCUUAAAAAUGCACUAACAAACUACUUAUGUUUGAUUUGUUUUGUUUUUAUACAGUUUCUAAGUUUCUGUGAAUUUGUUAAUGUCUCCUAAUCCAGAAAAACAAAACAUUUCAUAUUAGAAAAUCAGGUACGAGCUUUCAAGAUUUCUUACUUAAUCCCCAUAUAUAUAUGUGUGUUAAUGUCUCAUCUUUGUAGAAAUCAUAGGUUUAUUGAAGGAGCCAUCACUAAGAAAUGUCGAAAAUGUUUUCAAUGAUGUUAAGAUACCUUGAUUUUGGAUGACAUUGAGAAGAGCUAUUCUGGUCUUCAGGUACAUUUUUCAUAGAUUUUGCUUUACAUUCUGUGUGCUUAAUGUUACUCCUUUCUCGAUUCUUAUCUGCACUCAUAUUUUGCAUGUUGCUAUAGCAUGUCGCCAAAGUUUCCCCAAGAUUUCAAGAUGGUAUAAAGCUUUCUCCAAACGUAGUUCUAUUAUUAGAGAGUUAUAAUUUUUUAUUGUAUAUAACUCACUAUCUUUUCAUGUGUAGUAUUUUAUUGAAUAUUUGGUCAUUUUGUGCUGGGUUGAUAUUCGAGAUCGAUUUUAGAGAAAACAAAUCACUCAAGAAACUAUUUCCACCAAAAUGGGCCAUGCUUACUGGACCUCUGUUCCUAUCAUGGCUGGUCAUUUUCUUUAUACCUAAAGUUUUUAAUUAGACUCUUAAUCCUCAUCAUUAUUGUGUAAUCUCAUCCCUGACUAAUAAAUGUCAUUAUUGUGUAACGUUUUUUUUUAUUUUGUUUAUUUAUCAGAUAUGAGAUGACUGUUGAGAAGAUCUAAUCAAGGCAGAGAAGUCUUAGAAGAUUGAGCUAGAAAUUGCUCUUUUUUUUUUCUUUACUCUUUGAUUAUAUCUUUGGUAUUUGCAUCAUUUUCCUAAUGUUUUUAUUUGUAUCUUCUAAAUUCUAUUUAUGAAAUUAAAAAUUUCUCUCAUUCUUUAGUUUUAGCGUAAACUUUUAAAUUCAGUUGAAUUUUUACUUUAAAAUUUUGAAAUUAUAAUACUAACCAAAUAAGAAUCUAUAAUCUGUCAACCUUAAGCAUAAUCAAAUUUGAUAAAGAACUCAUAUAUAAAUAUCAUUCAUUAAAUAACCUUUUUAAUAUUUAUUUUUAAAUAUUAAAUUUAUGAUUUGUAGUUACACCAUAUCCCUACAAUAUCGUCAUAAUUUAACCAUUAAAAAUUAGAUAUAGUAAAGCUUUUUUGUAACUGAACCUCAAUCAUUAUUAAGAAGGAUAUUUAGAUUGUCAUAAAAUUUUCUCAUUCAAAAGCAAAAUAAUUCAUUUUUUGUUGAUUAAAUAUUAUACUUUACUAAUUACUAAAUCCUUUAUAAAAAUCAAAAUAGCAUGUAUUUUAAGAAUAUUGAAAAUAUUAAAUGAUUUAAAAAUUAUCAUAAAUGUUAUAUAAGAAACUAAGAAAUAAUAUAAUUAACUGAUUCUAAGAGCCGAUAAGUGGUUUUUCUGCACGUAUGUGCGGACGAACCACCCAGACGCUGUUAGGACAAAAUUUUAUAUAUUAAAUGAGAAUGUUAGUAGUUUGAUUAUGUGUAAGUUUGGAUCAAAAUUCAUUAAUUUGAAUUUAUAAUAAAUUACUAAAAUAUACUAUAUUAUAUAUUUCUAAUCUUUUGAAAAAAAGAAUAAUAAAUUGAAUCACAUAGAUUUUACAUGUUUAUGCCAUUUAAAAUAUGUGAAUCGAUUUGAAAAAGGAUAAAAAUAGUACAAGACGACACAAAACAGAUUACGUGAUUAUUGUAUUUGCUAAAAAUGGUAACUAUCUGAGAACAUAAUGUUUGCGGAUGUAGCACGAGAAAAUUAACAUCUAAUCAUUCCAAAUAACUUUUUUUUAAUAAAAAAAAUUCAUGCAUGCACAUAUAUGUAGACCAACCGGUCAUUAGUAUAUGGUCAACAUAUUUUACACUAAUGACUAACCCAUAUAGAUGUCGAAAAUAUUAAAUUUUUGGUAAUAUCAAUCAUGCCCGCACAAGCAUGCGGGCCAGUAUUCUAGUAACUAAUUAAAAGUAUUAAUAAAUAUGUAUUUAAUUUUUAUAUAACUGUACAUUACUUAAUAAUAUUCAAGAUGUAUUUUAAAUUAAUUUUUAAAAAUUAUUUAUAAUAAAAUACUAACAAAUAACAAAUAAAAUGAUGAUUAUAUUAAUUUUAAUUUUUUAUUAUUGAUUAUUAAUUAUUAUUUAUGUAAAUUUUAAACAAAAAUUUAUGUUACAAUUAAUUAAAAAUAUUAAAUGAUAUUUAUUAAUUUUAAUAUAAUUUAAAUUUUAAAAUAAUAUUUAAUAUAUAUUUUAAAUUAUUUUAAAAUUUUUAGAAUAAAUUUUAACAAAUAAGUAACAAGUGAUGAAUAUAUUAAUUUUUAUACAAAUAUAAAAAAUAUUUUGAAAAAAUUGAAAAGAAAAAUCCGAACGCGUGCGGGUAGUAUUAACAAAGUUUAGGUCAAUAUAUUGAGACUACAAGAUCUCUCCCUCCUCAAGAUCGUCGAUUCUAAUAGCGUCAGACAUUUCUGACUCAACCUCGUCCAAACACUCAUCAUUUCUUAAAAACAGACCCAAUUCAUGCAACAAGGUUCUUGUCAGAUUAGACGUCCCACAGAGAUUAACCAAAUCCUCGUUCAAUCUCAAGAUGUUAUUCUCUUCGAAGUCGAAUGUUAUUUUCAUCUUUCCUCGUUCAAGACGUUCUCUCUCACGUUUCUGUUUCAACUCGGUUUCUGCCGUCAAUCGUGUAGCAAUCUUAGCGGCUUUCAUCCCGGCUUCAAUUCUAGCUUUCUUUUCACGUUGAGUUCUUUCCAUCUGUUCCUUUUCAAUCUAUAUUCUAAUUAGAUCAGCUUUGUUACUCUGGUCAAGAACUUUUCUGUGUUUAGCUCUCAGAAUGGUCUCUGCAAAUUGACCCUUGAGUAUUGCAGCACGAAGAGCCUUCUCAGGUGGUAACGGAGGCAUAGCUGGAAAUGUAUUUUUCAACUCAUUAUCCAAUGAAGCACUGCUUGAGGGUUUAUCAACCUGAGAACUAACAGAACCAUUUCUCUCAUUCUUUGAGCUUAUAGACCCGUUGGAAUGUGGAUCUGACUCGCUUGCCUGUGAACCUGAAGUGUUCUUUACUAGACAAUCCGUUAAUGAAUAAACUUUACUUCCAGAUGAGUUACAGGACUUGAGGCAUAUACAAGUAAUCCUACCACAUUAACCACAUUUGCAGGCUGCAGUUAGAGCUGAACCCUUGCUUGAGAUUUUCACCGAACUGAUACCAAGGCCCUGCUCGAGUUUCUUAAUCCUCAACUUCGUUGCUACAGCUUUCGGUGUGCCAACAGGAGUAUCCGUUUUGAUCUGCACUUUCAGUUUCACAGGCUUUAACAAAAGAGAAACCUUUUCGGACUUGUCUUUCGCUGGUUUUGGCAAUUCCACAGAGAAUCUCCCAGAGGUUGAUGGUGUUUCAGGGCUUCUCUGUCUUACACAAUCCACUUCAACUCCCAAAUAAUUCCGAAAUCUUUUUCUUCUUGAGCGAAUCUCAUCUAACUUCAAAACUCUCCUUGAGCUCCUUUGCCCACUUGUGAACCGAAUUCUCGGGAGGAUUAUACAGCAUCGCAUUGGUAAAGGUUAACCGGAAAUCUGCUGCAAACUCAUCUCCACUGCUGUAAACAUUCUUCAAAAGCUUGGAUUUGAUUGUGCCUAUAUCCAUCGGCUUCGAUAUGACAGUAAAGUAAUCAGGAAUAUUCAACGCAACGGGAUCCACAGGCACAUCAAAUAUCCACCCAUACUCGUGCCCGCUCAAUAAUCUUAACAGUGUUAAACGCUGACUAGCCAAAUCACGGUCUAGCUUUUGCUUCUUCUUCGCAUGAACCUCCUCUAGCUCGUUAGGUCCACGCUUCUUCGAUUGAUUCGUGGCUUUAAUUACAUCUUCACUUAUUGAUUUCUCAACUCUCUUCGCGUCACUGCAUUUGUUAAUAUCUGGAAACUUUUGGAUAGUUUUGAUAGAACCUUCAGGCCCGAAAUUUAUCCUCAGUUUGGUUACUGCAACCAUUCUUACAGAUUCGGAAAAAAGUUGUGGAAGAAAUUUCUCGCAAGGACGAGCGAUUUUGACUGAGACUAUGCACUCGGCGUUAAGCAGAGUGAGGAAAAACAAAAAAGCGGUGAAGAAGGUUUUUUUUUCUUUUUAUUUAGUGAAGUGAGGCGAUUGGAAAGAAAAACGCUUAUUAUUUGAUUUUAGAACAUAGAUUAUGAGCACUAUUUAUUUAUCAGCUAGAAUAGUUUAUGUACUUGAGGUAAAUAUUUAUGUUUUUUUGUCAACCGAGAUAAAUGUUGAGGGUAUAUUGUUGCGAAAAAACUCGUAUAUGAUAUCAUUUAGUAAUUAUUAUUUUGUGAGAAGUUAAAUUGUUAAAACACUCUAUAAAUAUUGUGAUUAACCCUAAACUAUUUUAAAUGUAUUUUUUCAAAUUUUCUCUUUUAAAAAAUAUUAAAAAUGGUGUAGUUUUCAAAUUCUAAACUAAUUUAAAGGUAUUUUUCCAAAUUUUCUCUUUUAAAAAAUAUUAAAAAUAGUGUAGUUUUCAAAUUCUAAACUAAUUUAAAGGUAUUUUUCCAAUUUUUCUUUUAACGAUAUCUCUCCAUUCACAAAAGAAGUCGAAGAAAAUCAUCUCUGCCCAGGAAGCUCUAUCUCGGUUACAAUGAAAGAAAUUUACUCUACGAAUGAAGGAGGUAUUCACCAUGUUCUUGUAGUUUAUUCUUUAAUCUUAUCAAGAAGAAAGAAAGAGGAAGAGGUGAUAAGCCAGUGACUUAUCUGAUGAAGAGACUGUGAAAGCCGGUGACGAUCACGAAGAGAAAGUUUGUGUUUUGAUUAAUUGAUUGAUGGUUUCUAGUUUCUAUAGAAUAUAAUAAAUAUAUAAGACUCUGUUUGUAAAUAUCUAUUCAGAAACCCUAGAGUAAAUCUGUAUAUAUAUGUAUAUUGUAAUCCCUUAUUACUACAAGCAAUAUACAAUCUCCUUUCAUAAACUCUAUAUGGUAUCAGAGUGUUUUUCGUUCUAGACCUCAAAACCCUAUUGCUUCUUCUUCAAGCUCACCUCUGCCGCUAAACACCUUCUCUCAAUGGCACCAUCCACCCCAACCUCUUCUUCCACCAUCAUUGAAGUCACCUCCUCCGCUGAUUCCUCCGCAGGAAUCUUCAACAUCAACAUGAGCAACAUCACCAAACUCUCCUCCAACAACUACCUCACAUGGACCAUCCAAAUCAAAGCCCUUCUCCGCGGCUACAACCUCCUCUCGUACAUCGAACCCACUGCUGCAGCACCACCAAAAACAAUCACGGCUGCAGACAGAGAUGCACCCAACCCGGCGUAUGACUCGUGGAUCCGACAAGAUGCACUACUUUACAGUGCUCUCAUCGGUACACUUGACCCAUCGAACCAGCCGCUAAUCACGAGUGCCAUAACAUCUCUUGAUAACACCAUAUUUUGACCACUUUUAUGGAUCGUUUUGAAAUACUUUCUCUAUGUUUUUAAUUGCUUUUAAGUACUUUUAUUACGUUUUUUCUAGUAUUUGUAGUUCCAAGACUCUUUUCAGGUAACUUUGGGAAAAGCUUAACAAAAUGGAUAGAAAAACCAGAUUUCAGCUCAGAUUCAAACCGUCAGAAGUUCACCUCCGAUUGAAGACCUUCACACCGUCUGAUCCAGCUCAAAUUUAGAGAUCUUAAAGAUGGAAGUAUCAGCUUUCCAGCACACUUUACAUCUUGGCAAUCCAACGGUUCAAUCAAAAGAUACACGAAGAGCAAGAUGUCUCGUAAACCAGCCGGCAAGUGUUUCCACCCGCGGCCAACAGACCAAUCCCCGCGGUCACGCACGUCCCGACCGCGGCCAACCAACCAUUUCCCGUGGUCACGCACAUCCCGACCGCGACCAGCUAAUUCUGACUCCGAAGGCCCAUUUCUGAAGCCCAUAUCAUUUUCCCAGCCUUGAUUCCGGAACCCUAGACCCUAGAGAUGUUUUGAGCACUAUAAAUACAUGUUUUAGAAACCCUAAUUCGUAUGACCUCAUAUGUUCUUAUUGUUUUAGAAUACUUUUUAAGUUUUAGGUUUUAGGGAGAGAGAGAUUUGUCUCUUGAACCCUUGUUCUUUCUUUUUCAAUUUCGGUUUUUAUUCUACUUUUUAGUAUUAUGUUUUUGAUUUCGUUCAUCAUGUCUGAGUAAUUUUAUUGUUGGGAUUGAGGGAUUUUUGAUGGGGAUUUAUAUGUUCGGUGAGGAUUCCAUGAGCUUUUGAGCCGAAUCUUAGAACUUUUUCUUCUGAAUUCGUUUUUACUGCAUGAGAGUAGCGUCAUGAACUACAAUCUCAUCCAGAUGCUUGGUGACACGAAAGUGUUCAUCCGGUGUCAGAUCUAGUUUGGGAGAGCAAAACAAACAUAGGAGUGGAAACCUACCUAUGGGCGAUUUAUGAAUGUUGAGUCUUAAACAUAAUGCAUCUCUUCUUUUCCAGGGCCAGAGUGGAAACCUACUGGUCAGGGUUGAGAGAGAUAGUUGUCUAUGAUCACGACAGUGGCAUAUUCAUACGUCCGUGACUCCAGUUCAAAAAGUUUAAGCUAAGAUCUUAUCAAAUUUACUCUCUAGCAAUGUUUGAAUCGUUCGUACCCCUGAGAAAACUUUCCUGAACCCCAGCGCUCUCUUUUCUUAUUAGAUUUACACCGAUUUUCAUUCAAGCUUUAGUCUAGUAUCUUUACUCUUUCAAUCGAUUUUCAUUUAAGCAAUUAAGUUAGCCGUUUUUUUUCGUUUUUACCCGUUUUCGUUAAGUUUAGUUAUUAGGUCAUUUUAAUUCCUGUAUUUUCUCUUUAAGAUUCAUUUUUACGUUUUAAACACACCACCAAAACCCUCACAAAACUCGCCUGGUUCUAGACUUCCUUACUUUAUAUUUCUUUCGAAGGCUUUUGCAGGAAAGAUCCUCUUUCCCUGUGGAUUCGAUCCCUAAGUACUACAAUCGAUCAGCUGUGCACUUGCGGCUAUUGAUUUCAUUUAGGGUAAAACUUGACACCCUCGACACACACCACAUCAUCUCUCGAUGCCUGGAAUACCCUUGCGUCGACCUACGGCAAACCAACUCGUGGACGCAUCAACCAACUGAAGAUCCAACUUCAACAAAGCACCAAAGGCACCUCCUCCAUUAAUGAGUAUAUGAAGCUCAUCAAAACCAAAGCGGACAGCCUUGCUCUCCUCGGUAGUCCGAUGGACGCUGAAGAUCUCACUGACAUUGUCCUUGCUGGCCUCUCUGAUGAUUUUAAAGCCAUCGUCGACUCUUUUCAUGCUCGCGACACACCAAUAUCGUUCGCAGAGCUUCAUGAAAAACUCAUCACUCGAGAAACGGCUCUCCAAAACCAGUCUCAUUCCUCGAUGAUGCUUCCAGCAACUGCGCACUUUACUCAAGCCUCACCGCAACACCAACAACAAACAAAGCAACGCAACUGGCGCCUCUCCAACUCAAACAACAACUCGUCACAGCAGCAGUAUCGCGGCAACAACAGACAACCCAAACCCUACCUUGGUCGCUGUCAAGCAUGUGGAACUCAAGGACACACCGUCAAACAGUGUCCACAGUUCUGCAUCGUCUCUCAAACCACCAACGCGCCUCUCCACACAAGCUCUUCCCCUUGGCAACCACAGGCGUACAAUGCAACAACGUUGACUUCGGAGACACCUUCAUGGCUUCUCGACAGCGGAGCCUCUCAUCACAUUACCUCCGAUCUGGCGAACUUGUCUCUUCACUCACCAUACUCUGGAGGUGAACAAGUUCAAGUUGGGAAUGGUACCGGAAUACCAAUCACACAUACUGGUCUUUCAUCUCUUUCCACCCCUACUCGAUCCCUUUUACUCAAUGAUGUUCUUCGGUCCCCCAAAUCUCGAAGAACCUUAUCUCUGUCAACAAGUUGUGCACUGACAAUACUGUUUCUGUGGAAUUCUUUCCCUCUUUGUUUCAGGUGAAAGAUCUCAACUCGGGGACGCAAAUACUGCAAGGCAGGCCUAAAGAUGGAGGAUAUGAGUGGCCAACCCAACACCCAAACCCAUUUACUUUCUCAGCUUUUAUUUCAAGUGCUAAAUGUUCUCUCUCUAUUUGGCAUUCAUGCCUAGGACAUCCCGCUUUACCCAUUUUAAAGACCAUUGUUUCAAAUGCUUUACUACCUAUUUCUAAUAAAGAUUUCACUUUUCAUUGCAAUGAUUGCCUCAUAAACAAAAGCCACAAAAACCCUUUCUCUUUGUCGUCACUAACCUCUACACAGCCCCUUGAGCUUGUUUUCUCAGACGUCUGGACAUCACCGGUUUUCUCCAUUGAUGGCUACAAGUACUAUGUCAUCUUUUUGGAUCACUUCACUCAUUACGUGUGGUUCUAUCCUAUUUGACGCAAAUCCGACGUCCAUGACACGUUUGUUCGAUGGAAAGCCAUUGUUGAAAAUCGAUUUGACAAGAAAUUAAAGACUUUCUACAGCGAUAAUUAGGGGUGGGCAUUUUGGUUUAUUUUCGGGUUCGGUUUGAGUUCGGUUCGGUUUGGUUAAUUCGGAUUCAAUAAAAUUUUAACCAAACUCAACUGAAAUAAUUUUGGUUCGGUUUGAAUUCGGUUUGGUUAAGUUCGGUUUAGUUUUAGUUCGGUUUAAUUUUAAUUCAGUUUUAAAAAAAUCAGUUUGAAGAAAAGAAAUGGUGUGUUGGUUUAGGUGAAAUUUCACAUUUCACCAUAUUUCAAAAAACUAGUAUUAUGAACUAACUAAAAAGUUAAAUAAAAUAAGUAUAUUAGUUUUUUGGUUUGGUUCGGUUUAAAAUCAAACCAAACUGAACCGUUCGAGUUGUGAAAAACUUCAACCAAACGGAUUAUAUAUUAAAAAUGGAUUGGUUCAGUUCGGUUUAAGUUCGGUUGGUUCGGUUGGUUCAGUUCCGCUCGUUUUUUUUGCGUAUCCCUAGCGAUAAUGGAGGUGAAUACAUAGCGCUUGCCACUUUUCUCUCCACCAAUGGCGUGUCUCAUCUUACAACACCUCCUCAUACACCCGAACACAAUGGGUUCUCCGAGAGAUGUCACCAACACAUUGUCGAAACAGGUUUGGCGUUACUUUCUCAUGCCUCCAUUCCUGUUAGGUACUGGCCGUACGCUUUCUCUGCUGCUGUGUAUCUGAUCAAUAGGCUCCCCACGGCGACACUCACUGUGUAUCUGAUCAAUAGGCUACCUAAAACUACGUGUUUUUGGGUGUCUUUGCUUUUCCUGGCUCCGCCCUUACACAAAGCACAAGCUUGAAGCUCGCUCUACUCCCUGCGUCUUUCUUGGAUACUCUCAUGCAAAGCGCUUUCCUCUGCCUUGAUCCACAAACCACUAGAGUCUUUGUCUCUCGUCAUGUCCACUUUUUCGAAACAGCCUUCCCCUUUCAUAACCUCAAACCACCAUCAUCCUCUUCCCCAAACACUGCUACACCAUCUUGGUUCCCACCAGCUACCAUACUCCCACCCUCGCCACUCACUCCUCCAUCAUCGGUUCAGCCCCUAGGUUCGGAUCCCUCACCAGCGUUGUCACCUGUUUCCCAUGCGGAGUCUGCUGCUACAGCUCCAUCACUUGAUCCAGGCGAACUCUCGACUUCCCUACCUGAUGAUUCCACUAACGAUACUGGUUCAUUGAUGCAGGUUUCGACUGAUGAGAUGAUUGUUUCUUCCACUAAUGUGCCCUCAAACUCACAUCCGAUGGUCACCCGAUCGAAGAACAACAUUUCAAAGCCAAACAAGAAGUACUCGCUGAUGGCAAUCAAACAAUUAAAUGGUGAAGUGGAACCAACAUGUGUGAGUCAGGCUCUCCAAGACGAGCGGUGGCGUAAGGCGACGAGUGAGGAGUUUGAUUCACAGAUCCGAAAUCACACAUGGGAUCUCAUACCACCAGAUCCUCGAUACAAUCUCAUCGGCAACAAGUGGGUUUUCUGGAUCAAAAGAAACCCAGAUAGCUCCAUUGAUCGGUUCAAAGCACGUCUCGUCGCAAAAGAGUUUCAUCAACGCCCUAGUCUCGAUUAUCAUGACACGUUCAGCCCUGUUGUGAAGCCAACCACAGUUUGCGUUAUUCUUGACAUUGUCGUUGCUCGUAACUGGGUGCUUCGUCAACUUGACGUUAAUAACGCUUUUCUGCAGGGCCAUUUGAAGGAAGAUGUUUAUAUGGUUCAACCUAUUGGUUUUGUGGACAAAGACAGACCUAACUAUGUGUGUAAGCUUCAAAAAGCACUCUAUGGCUUGAAACAAGCCCCUCGCGGGUGGUACAUCGAGCUGCGUACGUUUCUUUUGGCGUCUGGUUUCACCAACUCCCUGGCUGAUGCAUCUCUUUUUAUUCUUCGAUUUGCUGCUGUCUCUCUCUCUAUGUGUUGGUCUAUGUUGACGAUAUCAUCGUAACAGGCAGUGAUUCCACUCGGGUACAACAGUUUAUUGAGCUGCUCAGUGCACGGUUCUCUCUCAAGGAUCAUGGUGAACUCAGUUAUUUUUUGGGAGUUGAAGCUACUCGUUCGCCUGCUGGUCUACUUCUUACUCAGCAAAAAUACAUCUGUGACUUGCUUGCACGUACAAAGAUGUCUGAUGCAAAGCCGUUAGCGACUCCGAUGGUUACUCACGAGCAUCUCACUCUUCUUUCGGGAACACCUCUCAAAGAUGGCACUGAAUAUCGCAACGUCGUUGUCAGCUUACAAUAUCUUCACUUUACACGUCCGGAUAUAGCGUUUGCUGUCAAUAAGCUUUCUCAGUUUAUGCAUCAUCCAACAGAUAUACAUUGGCUCGCUGUCAAACGUCUCAUCCGCUACCUUGCUGGUACGUUUGAACGUGGCAUCUUUCUACGUUCCAAUUCUCCACUUCGCCUUCAUGCAUUCUCCGAUGCAGAUUGGGCAGGGAACCAUGAUGACUAUACUUCCACCAGUGCUCACAUUAUCUAUCUUGGUGCCAACCCCGUCUCAUGGUCCUCACGAAAGCAGAAGACGAUGGCGCGAUCUUCCACUGAGGCUGAAUAUCGAGCUGUUGCUGAUGCUGCUUUGGAACUCCAAUGGGUUGUUGCUCUUCUCCAAGAACUCGGUGUUAAGUCGUCUUCUCAACCAGUUCUUUAUUGCGAUAACGUUGGUGCUACCUACUUAUCUGCCAACCCAGUCUUUCACUCACGUAUGAAGCAUGUUGCUCUUGAUUAUCACUUCAUUCGUGAGCUUGUUCAGUCUGGUUUUCUUUGGAUUUCUCACGUCUCCUCCAAAGAUCAGCUCGCUGAUGCUUUGACCAAGCCGGUUACACGGUCUCUUCUUUCUGGUCAUCUAGACAAGAUUGGGCUCUCUCAGUUACCAGUCGCUCAUCUUGCGGGAGCGUAUAGAAUAUAAUAAAUAUAUAAGACUCUGUUUGUAAAUAUCUAUUCAGAAACCCUAGAGUAAAUCUGUAUAUAUAUAUAUAUAUAUAGAUAUAUAUAUUGUAAUCUCUUAUUACUACAAGCAAUAUACAAUCUCCUUUCCUAAACUCUAUAGUUUCUACAAUGGGAGUUCUAAGGUUAAUAACGUAGCCCGCAUCUUUGUGGUCUAGUGGUAGGGAAGGGUUGUGUGGGGUGUUACACCACUUCACCCAGAUUCGAUCCUCCCUAAAAACAAAAACACAAUUAUGUGGGAAGUCUGGGUUUGGGCCAAAGGCCCAAGCAGUUUGUCUGGUAGUUCAGUAACAGGCGAUUUGGCUACCCCUGGCAUUACUCGGAAGGCAUUUCAAAUUAGGGACAGGUAGUGUGGUGGUCCAUUUGGAUCUCAUGGAUCUCAUGGGCCGUUGACUCGAGUUCGCUCGAAGCUCAUGGUGUCCAUUGAACCGUUGAACCAAGAAGAAGUCCACACUAUAGCAUUUCGAUGCAUUCCUACCGGGGUCAACCGGACCAGCCGAUAGGAUUUAUCAAAAAAAAAAAAAGUUAAUAACGUAAGAAAUGAUAGCAUAAUUGUAAAUAAGAUGAAUGCUAGAUAGAUGUAGGCUUCAAUCUUCAACUUUAAUUCCAUAGACCUCCACCAAGCCCAGAAGACUCAAUCCCUGAUCGUAUCAAUACUCCCGCCGUGAAGACUCACCUUGUCCUCAAGGUGAAUUAAGAAGUUAAUAUCUCCGACUAUCUUCCGCACCACACUUCUAUAGCAGUUAGAAACCAGAAGGCUCCAUAUUUUUGCAUUACCUGUUGUUGCAAACAACUCUGGUGGUCUUUGCAAGUGGAACACUUCAUAAAUGCAACAUUCAGCAAAAAAUGAUUCAAAAUAACCCAUGCUUGACUUGGCAAACAUAUGAUCCUUCCGGCAGCAUCCCCAAUUCCGACAAUGAGAGCCAAAUUUUGUGUCACCAAGAGAAUAGAGACUACACUCACGUUUUGAUCCAUUUGUGUCAUAUCAAUAUUCCCCCAAUGAAGGACCACCUUGUCCUCAAGGUGUAUGCCCACGGCUAGUUAUUUUAAAGGCACUUUGUUGUUACUUACUAAGGGACUGAACCAAAUCAGUGUAUUACAAAACCCAUUUUUUCGUACAUGUCAAUCGGUUGUAGAUAUUUGUGUUAUUGAUUAAUCUUCAAAAUCCAAACCAAAAUUAUAUUGAUUUUCUGGAAAGGAGUAAAUAACUUUUUUGGUUUUGGUUCAAGAGUAUACUUCGUAAACCGAAACCAAAAGAUCAUAUAACUGAAAUGAUCACCCCUUGUUCAAGAGAGCCAAGAUUGUUAGGUAUUCAGUUAACCAUCCAACUUUGAUCUUGGUUUAGAUUUGAUUUAGCUUUGAUUUAGCUUCUAUAACUAUACCAGACGGUUACCUAAUUUAAAACUAAUGGUGUUUUCUGCAAAUUUAUGCUCAGAUCAGAUAUGGAAAAGUAAGAGAUGCAUUAUUCUCAACUCCAUCAAAUAAAAUGAGUUCUUUUCUCUCCAUGAAACCGCAGCCCGUCACAUUACGGUUUCUAUGAACAAGAGCAAAAAGAAGGAAAUCUAAAUCCACAAGGGACGUUACUAAAAAAAAAAUACACUGGUAACUUUUUGUUAAUCUUUGACUAGUUAAUAUUAAUUAUUUGUUAGAGACUUAGAGACUAACCAAUCAUUUAAAUUUUUGAUUUGAUGUACAGCGACUGAUUGGUUAAUUUUUGCUUCAGCUUGUGCCGUUUCUGGUCUCACCGCAAACACAAAUAUAUCCGUGAAUCAAGACACUGAAUCAAAUAUGUGCUUUUCUCUUGAUUGCUUUAUUCUAUUUUGGCUAUGUUGAUGAAGCAAGGUUGGUAACACCAAAGUAAAGAGUCUUCUGGUUAAAAGCAUUUAUGGCAUAAUCAACCUGAAGGUGACCCAACGGAGACUUGAACCGUAGUCCAUACCCGAAUCCAUACCCAAACCCUGGUUUCCCCUGUCUGAGCGACGGGUUUCCUGAAACCGAUUCGACAACAACUUAAUCAAAUUUGUGUCCAAACAACUUCGUCAUGGUUCUUGUUAGGAGCAGGCGACGUGAUCUUACCGGGGACAAGACGGCUUGAGCCUAGGUCUGUUCCACAAUCCAAGAAGAUUGUCCCUUCUGUCAUCUUGUUCUGUAAACAAACAAGGAAAACUCAAUCAAAACUAAAAAAUUUAGAUGCUUCUGAAGACCGAAUCAGAUCUCCACGUACCAAAGGCAAGGCCAAUUCUGUAUUUGCAACGAGGCAUGACCGUCCGGAUCCAACAGCUCCCUCACCAUACCCACGAACACUGCCUAGCCCACCAAUAGCAAAUGCUUGAUAAGGAGCCAUGUCUCCUACAAUUGAACCACCUGUCAGGCUGUCACAAAUAGAGGUAAGAACCACACCAAAACUUAUGAAGCCUCUUCUACUUGUACUUGUCAAGAACAGAGAAUGUAAGAUUAUGUCAGUACCUUGCUAAGAGAAAAGCCGGUCCCAAUCUGACACCUUUUGAUGCAACAAAUUUAAAACGGUUGAAGAUAAGCCACUUGGACACAACAGGAAUACCUUGUUCUAUUUGCAUGCUGAACUGAAAAAAAGCGAGAAACCAGUAUGAGAGAUUAGAAAAAGGUUUUUUUUUAUAGGAUAUGAAACAGAAUAUGAAGAGCUUCUUACAUGAGAAAGACCCUGGUCGUUAGCCUUUGCAAACCGGGAUUCUUGCUUUAAAACUACCAUACUGUCAUGCGUAUUUCCACUGCAUAGCAAAGAUUUCUACGUGAUGUAAAUAUCAGUUUUAUGCUAGAGUUCAAGGAAAGAAACCAAGGGAAAGAGAUAUCUAAUAUCACCUGCAUGUUGUAGGAAAUCCAUCCAGAUCUCUCGUUAUCGAGCGUCCUUCAUCGUUUAAAGGACGCACAUGCUGCACAAAUGGAAGGAAAGUGAUACUCUUUGGCCACGAAGUAAAACAGAAAAGAGAGCCACAACCUUUGUUACAGUCUAGAGAAGGUAUUGAGCGGGUACCUCAAAUUUAACGCUGGUUGUGCUGCUCCAUUUUGAACUUGCUGGCUCACUCAAGUCUAAGCCAACUGCCAAUUUAGACAGGUUUACACCUCCGCUUCCUGACCGGGAAAAAUUGUCAAUUGGAGUUCCAUGGACCCCUAUCUCAGGUGAAAGAGAAUGCUGUGCCAGAUUUAGAAAACUCACUUUCUAAGAUUGUUUCACAAAUUAUUAACAAAAGUAAGGAAGAAAAAUGAGUAAAGCCAAAAUUGUUUCUGUUAUAUUGGAACCUGUAUGAAGAAGCACUGUUGCGGACGCCAUUCAGGUCUAGGUCUCCUAAAAGCCACCAGUACAUUGGAAUCAUACAACCCUUUAUCCCACGAUACAUCAAGCUUCUCGCUUCCUCCGAACAAAUUCGGAUGUUUGAUACAGAGGCUGCAACCAACAGACCCAAAUGAACAUUUCAAUAGUUACUACCAUUUCAGUUCUGCAGAUUAUAUGAAUACCAACGAUAUCAAUUAGCAAUUAAGUCACAGAACUUGCCUGCCAAUCACUAGAGAAAGAGGACUGCAAGUGUCCCUGAACAAACAGCAAAAAAUUGAAUUUUAAUAUCGUUUGAGGAAGAUAAUAAAGGUGGACACAUUUUCAUGAGUAUUGAUUAUAUUCGAGUAAAGUUCAAGAAUUGAACAUGGGAACAAACCUGAAAGCAGGAAACAUUAGAGAAGUACAAAGCUUAUGAGUGAAAUCCACAUUAACAUCAAUCUUGGCUGCAAUAAAAAAAUAAGAAAAUUCACAACCCACCACCCUCAUGAAAUUAACAGAUAUACGAACAAAAUAUACAAAUUUUAUACUUUCAAAGGUCUUCUUAAGCAAUCCCAUCUUAAUCUUCACUAUCAAAAGCAAGACCCAUCCCACAGUAUGGUUUGUAACAAAAAGAAUUCGAAAGUGUUUUCCUUUACAAACAAACAACCAAUUUAUCAUCAUUCGUACACCAUUUUAAUUCACCAAUUAUUACAGAUACAUAAGAACAACCAUAACACAUAAUCAUAUCUAUAAUGGGAAAUGAAGAAACAUGGAAACAAUAAAAUCCUAUUUUAGCCCUCCAAACGAACUUAACAAUUAGUAUAACAAUCAGCCAUCAAAUCCACAAUCAAAUUCCAGAAUUUUACCAUUUUUCCAACAUUAAUCACAUUAGUACUGAUCCAAAACAAAAAAUGUUGAUAAUCUAGAAUAGAAGGAGAGGAAGAGAUGGGUUUUAGAACACAAAAGUGGAACCUCUGCCAGCGUGGAUGCUCUUCUGAGCUCCCAUGGCGAUGGUGUAAGAGAAAGAUCAAACAUGAAGAGAACCAAAGACAAGAACUGGCAUUAAACAAAGCAAAUCGCAGAAGAAAAGGAGGAAUCUUUGUUUCCUAUUUUUCGUCUUUUUUUCCUCUUCGGGAGUGAAUUGCAGAGGAGAGGGGGUAAAGGAUUUGAUGCUUGGGAAUUGGAGAAGAAAGGAAGUUUAGUUUUUAUGGGUUUAUCUCUUUCGUCUUUAUUCUCUUGUGUUUUUCUGGGCUUUAUCCACGUGGGCCGUCUCUACAAUUAUCAAAAUAAAUCAUAUAUAUGAUUUUAGGUGAACUAUCUCCAUUCUACUGCCACAACAUCUGAAUGGAGGACAUCUGUCCUUUUAUCCAAUUAAUUAAUCAUAAAUUUUAAAAUAAAAAGUUAAAAACUAAUUAAAACCACUACUUCUAACUUAAUUUCUCUAUUUAAUGUUUAUUUCACAUGUAUUUAUGUUCAUAACUAUUAAGUUACAUUAAAAUUAAGGCUUUUCACAUUCCUAACAAAAAUAAAUAAACAACAUUUCUAAUCUUUUGAUAUUCAUCUAAAAACUUUUAAUAUUUUUUGUACUAAUUUGAUACUUUUUCGUCCGAUUUAUCCUCAUCAUGUACACCUUCUUCGAAGCUUGUUGUAUGAAAAAAAUUAAAGAUGUAACGUUCUACAUUCAAAGAUUUGACAGUUUUUAUGGGUCAAAUAUCAUAUUAUUAUAACUGCAUUUUAUUGUGAAACAUGAAGUAUAAGGUGGUUCUUGCAGAAUCAUAGCAAUUGUGCAUAUCAUAAAUAUGAGAACAUUAAAAUUCAGAGAUAAUUAUAUGUUUUCAAGCAAUUCAACCCAAAAAUUAUGGCUUUUAUCUACGUCUGUUUUAUUCAUAUCAUUAUGAUUUCUAGAAUAAUAGAAUAAUUUUUCUAUUUACACUACUUCCAAUCUUUCUAAAAAAGUUAGUUGUUUUACAAAGAUUUUACUUUUAAAAAACCUAAUACUAAACAAUCAAACAAAUUACCAUAUUCUUAUAAUUAUAUAUAUAUAUAUAUAUCAACACAAACAUAUUUUUAAAAAUAUUAUGUAAAACAAAACCCGCGCGUAUGCGUGGGUACAAGUCUAGUUAAUAAUAAUAAGGAAAACUAGAUUAUAAUACGUGCGUUCUGGAAAGAUUUUUUUUUUUAUAUCACAUUUUGUAAUAUGAUUUAUGUUUUUUUGUAUAUGUAGAUAUAAUUUAUAUUUUAGAUAUAAUUUAUAUUUUAUAAGUAUAAUUUUCAUAAUAAAUGCCAAAAAAUUAUUUUUUGUUAAAUAUAAUUUAAUUUUGUAGAUUUAAUAUUUUUAUAUUAAAUAUAAUUGUGAUUAUAAAAAUAUAAUUAUAACAUGUCUGUUUGUAUUAAUAGAAAACUAAUUGCGAAUAUAAGUAUAAUUCGCUUGAGGUUUUUAGUCCUUUUUGGAGACAAGUCUUUUGCAAACUAGCAAACGCGUGAAAGUUCGUAAAAUACGAUGGAAGAUUGUUUUUUGAUGGCUCUCUUACGCUCAAGUCAGAAAAUAGUAACGAAAAAACCACAAAAUGGCAAAUUGGAAAGAGAAAAGAUAUCAGAAAACGAGAAAAGAAAAAACGGGUCGAGAACUCUUGUGAAAGGUAGAAAAUACUCGGAUCUAAGUUUAGUGAGUUUUUAGGUGGAAAAAAGAAGAAAUGUAAAGGUUUAUGGGUGGAAAAGCUCCACGGUUUAGGAACCACUGUGGAGUGAAAGUGGAAAUGAUGUGUUGAGAUGUUCGGAGUAAUUACCGGAAAAGAGAGAGUAGUGUAACUUAAGGUUUACGAGUAUCAAGAGAGAUAACAUAAGCCUUAAGAUUGCAAGAGAAUUGAAUCCCUUUCUCGUUAAAAAGAGUUAAAUAUUUAUAGGAUUUUACCAGAAACAGAUUAGUUCGUGGGGUUGCGGGUUGGCCAGGGAUCCGAUUUGGUUGGGUCCGAAUCUUAUGCUUGCAUCAUGAUUUUGACAGACUCACAACCUUUCUUUGGCGUGUUCCUCCUGCUGUGAAACCAUUCAUUGGCAUGUUAUUCUCACCUUCAGCUACGAGUUAGGUUCAGCGGCUCAGACGCGGUAUGGUCUUUGCUGAACUUCUGCUUUUCCUCUGCCUUCUAUGAAUGGUCAUUGUCACCUGACAUGUGUACUAAAUAUGCAUAGCGCAUUAAAUGUCAACCGUGUGGGUUUGUAAAGGGUAUGGGCAAUCGAAUCAGUCCAAAGCAUAUUCCGAAUAUCUAAUGGAAAAAAAAUUGAACAGUGUUUCCCGCUUAAUGGAUUAUUUAUACCUAGCCCUACGUGAUACUGGGACCAGACAGUCGAUGCUGCCUUACUUGUUGAUUCUUUCUUCCGGAUACCUGUGCGGGUUACAUUCAUCAUAUCCCAACCCUUUCAGAUCACUGAACUUAGUUCUAGGACAUAUAGAAAGAACCUCUCAUGCUCUUGACCACUCAGUUCUCAACCUCUUUAUCUCUAACAGCAUGGUAUGCACUGUCGGAUACGAAGAACCCGGGAACAGGUGGUUUUGUGUGCUGGAUCUCUGGAAUCCGAAAGAUUUGAUGUCUGAUGUUAUAUGCUUAAGUCGUAUUGGACCGUAAGCCCAAUACAAAAUCCAAUUUGGCCCAAGGAGACCGUACCUGCCAAAAAAUGUCAUAGAUGCAAUGUGCAAGCACGUGGUUCGUCCACGUGAGAAUCGAGUUUAUCCCAACACUAUUAAAAAUGAUAUACAUUUGGACUCUGCAGAGAGUAUUUUAAUCACUACAUCCAAACACAACCAAAAUAUAUUAAUAAAAAAUACAUUUUAUUUUAUAUUAUAAUUAAUUCUAAAAAUUUAAAUAUUAAUUUAUAUUAUUUAGAUUUUCUUAAAUAUAGGUAAGAUAUUACCUAAAAAAAUCAAAAAUUAAUUUUUAUUGUAGUUUUACAAAUUAAUAAAUAAUUUAGAGCAAUGAUUAUAAUAAAAAGUUAAAAUAAUAUGUUAUUGUAUCUUUAUUUCAUAAUUAAUUAAGCUAAAAUUUAAAAUGUUAGAAAUUAGUAGAUACUUAUAUUAUAGUAAAAAUAAACAUUCAAAAUAGUAAAUAUUUAUAUUAUUAAACAUUUUUAUUCAUAUUUUUAUAAUUGAUAUCCUUUGUGGGUUGAUGUAUCAAAACAUAAGAUAAUGAGCUAAUUCGAGUUAUGUUAAAUGGACGGGUUAACCCAUCUUAACCAAUAGAAACAAAAUUUACAUUGCUAUCAUUUCAACUUACAAAAAUUAUAUAAUAACAAAAUCUAUACUAGUAAAAGAUAAGCAUUUUUAGUCUCUACAUCCGAACACUAUUCUUUUAAAAAUAAAAUCUGUUUGGAAACUCUUUUAAUGAUAAUUCAGUUUGUUUUAACCCAAGUUCAAAAAAUUGUCUGCCUUGACAGUUAAUCGGCUGACUAGGUGCUGAUCGGUGGCAAGCUGUCGCGAUUUGACCUUAAUCGGUUCAAUAAUCGAAUUUUAAAGCACUUUUCUAUGAGUUUUUAAGCUUAAAAUAGAAUGUUUCAUUAUAGAUUCGAAAUCAGACUCACCUAUGUCUUUUAAGGACAUUAAUCCAGCACAUACCACUGAGCCACAAUUUAUUUUUGUGUUUUAUACUCAUAUUUAAUAUAUAAUUGUAUAAAUAAAUAAAAAUACAAAUAAUUAAUCUUCGAUUAAUCUCCUAUUUGUCUGUUAGGCGCUAGGCACCUCGACCGCCCGACUAGCACCUACCAAAAUUUUGAACAUAGGUUUUAACAAAUAUAAAUAUAUAAAAUAAAUUAAUUCUAAAUUUAGGUAUAAUAUCUUUAGAAAAUCUUUAUAUUAGUUUAUAUUUUGUGGCAGUUCGGUUAGAUUUAUAAUCACAGUUCUUUUAGAAUUAAUAUAAAUGAGCGGGUUAUAACUAUUUUUUUAUAAUCAUGGUUAUAUUUAAUACAAAAAAUUAAACUACAAAACUAAAUUAUAUCUAAACAUAAAAAUAAAGUUUUUUCACUUAUUAGAAAAAUUAUACCUACAAAAAUAAAUUUUUAUCUAAAACAUAAAAAUUAUAUCUCAACACACAAAAAUAAUAAUUAUAUUACAAAAUUUGAUAUAAAAAUAUUCCCAUGCUGACGAACGGGUUAAAAUCUAAUUUUAAAAAUUAAAAUUUUUAGACCGAUUGAUCAUGAUAAAAAUAUAAAAUAACUUAUUGUUUAUCAUUUCCAUAAGAUUAUUUAAAUUUGAAUAUUUAUUGUAAAUUAACAAAUGAAUUUGAUAAUUCAUUUAACCUAUAUUUAAGGAACUCCAAACUUACCUAAAUUAAAAUUUUAUUUCGAAAUUAUUUUUAAAAAAUAUUCAAAUAUAAUAUUUUAUAAAUAUUCCACUAAAUUACUUGUUUGGUAAUUGGAAUAGCUAUACACACAAACUAGCCUAAUAUAAAUAUUUUAAAAAAUAUCAUACCUAAAUUCAAUUUUUUUUAAUGUAUUUAUAUUUGGUAAAACAAACUGAAUUAUCAUUAAAACAGUUUCCAAACAGAUUUUGUUUUGAAAAAUAGGAAUGUUUGGAUGCAUAGACUAAAAAUACUUUCCUUUUAAUAGUAUAGGUUCAACUUUUAAAAAUAAUAAAUUUAAAGCAUAUUAUAUGUUAAUUAAUUUUAUAUAGAAAUUUAUCUAAUAAUAAAGUUAUGUAUUUUGAAUUUAAAUUAUAUCAAAUAUUUUCUAUAGUAAUAAUUUAAAAUACUAAAUAAAAAAAAUUUGAGAAAAUCCGGAUAAUCUGGAUCAUAAAUAGAUAAGAAAAAUAAAAAUAAAACUGAGUUAACACUAAAUUAGUUUUGAAAAAGAAAUUUAAAUAAAGUAAAGAGUGUUUGGAUCAAUGAUUAAAAUAUACUCUGCAUCUAAAUGUCUAUCUCUUUUAAUAGUAUAAUGUAAAAUGAAUAACAGAUAAAAACAUAUUAGUUGAUAAAAAGACAUAAAUAUGAAUUUAUGUAUCCAGUUAUAUCAUAUUUUUCUAUUUUAUGUAAUUUGAAUUUUAUAUAAAUAAAAUAUAUUAAAAAUAUUUUCUUACUGAUUAUACUGAUUUAUUAGAGCAUCUGCAAUGGUUACCUCUAUAUUUUAUUUUAAAAAUAGAGUUUUUUAACAAUAACGAAGGGGUUUACUACAAUGAUUGCAUCUAUAUUUGAGUCUAAAUUUUAUUAUUAAUUGCUUAUAAGACCAUUUACUUUUAAUUUUUUUAAAACUUCUAUUUCUUUUAUUUUAAGAAGAAUUCAACAUAAUUAUAUUUUUAAAAUUUUAUUUAUUAUAUUUUGUUAUUGUAUUUUAAACUUUACAUGAUUAUAUAAUUAUUUAUGAUUAAUAUAAUAUAGAUAAAUAUAGCAUUAUGUGAUAUCUUAUUGUUAAAGAUGUCAACUAAAAAGAUAUGCAAGUUUAAAGAUUGUUUUGUAAAUAAAAAAGUUAUACUCUAUUUUUUUUUUUUGUCAAACAGCCUCUUCUCCUAGACCGAAUUUGUUAGCCAAGCCGGUGGAGAGGAGUUUACAUAAAUCAUAUUUCUUGGGCAGAUUCUAGCGCUGUGUGCUAAUGUGUCCGUCUUUGUAUUCUCGCUCGUGGUAUAUGGAUUUCCUCCAAUUGUAAUGAAAAUGCUGGCCAUUCCUCGGGUGCCGACACCAUCUUCACCACAUCAGAACAGUCUGAUCCAAAAGCCACUUCUCUUCGCUGAGUUUCGAUCAUAUAGAGCAUUGCCCAUAGGAGUGCUUCUACUUCUGCAUGUAAAGGAGAUAAACUCCGCCAUAAAUUUUUUGCCCCCAUUAUCGUUUCAUUGGUUUCCUCCUGCCAGUAGUACCAACCUAUACCUGACAUUUUAUCCGUCUUUUUCCAAGAGCUAUCCACAUAGCACUUUGUUUCAGUUAUUGUUCUUUGUGCUUACUCCCAUUAAGUUGCUACUGUUUCCGCUAAUUUGAGCGUCAUUCAUGGAUCUUUAUCGGUAUUUGAGAAUAGUUUGUCAUUUCUCGCCUUCCAGAUGUACCAUACUAUCCAUGGGUAGGAUUCCUUUGAAAUCUCUUUUGGUAUUCGCCAAAACAAGUGAUCAAAAUUUGAGUAAAUCGAACUACCUGGGAACACCGGGGGGGGGGGUGUGGGGGUGUUGGAAUUUUUGAGAAGUCUCAUGUCUGCACUGCUGGAAGACAUUCAAAUAAAACAUGAUUAAUUGUUUUCUAAUCUGCCCCGCAUCUGCUGCAUUGAGCAUCACAUUGAUUCCUCUGUUGUUUAGAUUUUUUGCAACUGCCAAACAGCCUGUCACUGAUUGCCAUAGAAAAUUUUGUAAUUUAGGAGGGCAUCCCAAUUCUGAUAUGUUUGCCAAUAAGGGUCCGAGAUCAGGUCCAUAGAGGUUUUUUGUUUUUUCCUCUGAGUCUUGAUGCUCAAUUUGAUAUCCAGAUUUGACCGUGUAUCGACCUGAUUUUGUGAAAUGUCAGCCCAUUACAUCCGACCUAAAUGUAGUGCUUAUUGACAUCCCUUGUAUUAUUUUCGCAUCCUUUGGAUCUAUUAUGGCAUUGAUUAGCCCCAUAUUCCAAGUACUAGUCCACGGAUCAAUUAGGUGAUUUACCAUGAGAUUUUGGUAGUAAUUAUAACCCUUACAUAAUGCUGAUCUUGGGCGAGAAGAUGGUAUCCAAGGAUCGUUCCAUAUCGAAAUGGAGCAUCCAGAUCCAAAUCUUUCGAUUAGCCCUUUGUUAACCAGAAAUUGAGCUGAGAUGAUACUUCGCCAUCCGGAAUAGGACCUUAUGUUAUCCAUCGGGUCUGCAUUCCGGUAAUAUCUCCCUUUAAAAACUCUCGCAAAUAAGGAGUCUGGCUUUUCUAUUAAUCGCCAUAAUUUUUUUUGCCAAUAAUGCCAUAUUAAAAUCCUCAAUCGACCUAAAUCCCAUGCCCCCAUCAGCUUUGUGACGACACAUCAUUUUCCAUGCUAUCCAAUGCAUCCCUUUUCCUUGGUCAUUCGUGUUCCACAGAAUCUGACAGUGAUACUUGUAAACUUUGUAAUGAUAGAUUUCGGUAGUCGAAAACAUGACAUCACAAAUGUUGGCAUAGCUGAUGCAUAUGAUGAUAUAGAGUAAGAUAUAAAGUACCAAUGCAGAUGAUUUUACUCUAAAAUUAGAGUUUAAAGGCAAAAGUAGAGUACCAUUGCAGAUGCUCUUAGGAUUUUGAAAUUUUGAGAAAGCUCUUCUGCUGUAGAUAAUAGUUCCUGAUGAGUGAGCACAUGGUCAUGAUUGAAUUAACAAUCCACCGUAUAAAGAAAUAAAAUCUAAUGUACCAAGUUUAAUGAUAAAUUCUUGGGUGAACCAUUUUAUUCAUCUCUAUUAUUUUAAAUAAUAAAAAUGUGACCUCCAAUAUUAUAUUUGGUUUAACUACAUUUUUAUGGAGUUUUAUUGAUUUAAAUAAAAAUCUCCACUUUCCCUCAUUACUGUUUCGUAUGAGUCAAUAACGCCAUUUUGUUUCGUGCUUUUGCUUUAUUGUAAUUUCUAUAUUUAAUCAAUAAAACCUCAUAGAGAUGUAAUUUUAUCAAGCGAAAAAACUUUUUAAAUACCUUAACUAUAUAACAUUUACUAUUAAAUAUACAAACUUUUUGGGUUUUAAAAUUACUGAAUACCUCUUUAAUACGCAAACUAUUAUUCACUCUCUCUAUAAUACCCAAACUCUUAAAUAUAAUAGACUUUAUGCCAAAAUACCUAAUUUAACCUUAUUUAUAGAAAAUCAAUUUAUUUUAUCAAAUAAACAAAAUUAUAAUAUUUAUAAAAUAAAAUAAAUUAAAACUAUUAAAAAUAUAUAUUUUUGUCAAAGUACAACUUCUGAGUUUUCUUCGUCAACUUUUCUUAUGAAUUGUCUGUGUAUGCCUUAGGCCAUCUCCAACCAUAGCACCAAAUUUGGUGUCAUGAAUAGUGUAAAAUUUGGUGUAAAAGUGAAUAGUAUUUUUUUUCAUCUCCAACCACAACACCAAAUCUCACACUAAAAACAAUCUUUUAUAUUAUUAUAUUAUCAAAUUUAAAAUUCUCUUUAUUUUUCAUAUUUUGAUGAGUACUUAUUAUUAUAUUAUUAAAUUUAAAAUUCUCUUUAUUAUACCCCGUACUAUCAUUAUUUUAGCGGAAAUGGUAAUCCAGACUAUUAGAAUAUUGUUUAAGGUUAUAUUAUGUCUUUAAAAUUAUUUUGUUGUAUUUAGUUUUUUUAUAAUGUUUUUUGUUUUAAUUUAAUAAUUUUAUGUUUAAAUGUUUAAUUAAAUUUUAUUAUGAAUUUUUAAUCUUAAUUUAUUUAUAUAUUAAUAACAAAAUUUUGUGCAAUUCUAAAUUACAAGAAUGGAUUCUACAUUCUUAAAACCAAUAUAAUUUAAUUAAUUAAUAAAUAGUAAUAUAAUUAUUUGAGUAAAUGAAAAAAAAAAUAUUUUAAUGUUUGGUGUUGUGAAUAGUGUUGCACCAAAUUUGGUGCAACAUUUGGUGCAUCAUUGGAGAAGAAUCAACACCAAAUUCGAUGUUUUGGUGCAUGGUUGGAGAUGGCCUUAAGAAACUCAUAGCUCUAAAAAAAUUGAUAAAAUCCAACGCUUAAUUGCUUGGCAGCGGCGUUCCAAUGCUAGAUUCAUAGUUAUAGAACGGGUCAUGAUUGGGAUUUGAAGCUUUGAUGGACAUUUAAAGAAAUCGAAGCCCGAACAUGUGUUUCCAUCUUCCUCAAAUCUGAGUCAAAUUAGGGAAACGUUGAGUCUAUGAAAUUGAGAAAAAAGUUGAGUCGAGGAAAAUUAUUCUUGCAAAAACAUAACUGGAUUUUUUCGACUUCAUAUUCAACAUCGGACGGAGACUUGAUAGCUUGAUCGGAGAAUCUAUAAAAAGCUAGACCGACGGUGAUUAGAGAGAGAAGAUAUACAACACAUUGGCUAAGACCUAGCUACGUCAGAGCAUCUACUCCAGUGAGUUGCAGCGGUCACAUCAUAGAGAGACGACCAGUAAACCAUGGACCUUCGAGGAGUAGCAUCACAUAACGGUUGUAAGAGAAGUUAUAUGUUUCCAAAAAAACUCGGAUUGGACAUAUAUAAUCAUUUUGGUGAUGGUAACAUGAUUUGAUGGAGAAGAGGAUGGAACAACUAGAUUAACGAUUGAGUUCUCAAAGAAGACGAAAAUCUGAUUUUUUAAAAUAUUUAUUUGUCUUGUAUAUGUUUUUAAUUUAUUUUCCUUGAUAAAUAUUAUAUUUUGUUUUCUCAUAAGAAUAAAUCGAUUUUACAAAAUAAAGAAGGGUAAAAUUGGUAUUUUAGCAUUAAAUCUACAAUAUUUAAGAGUUUGGGUAAUAGAGAGAGAGAGUGAAUAAUAGUUCGUAUUAAAUAGGUACAAAAACAAUUUCAGGUAUUUUUGGAGAAUAGGAAAAGUUUGUGUUUUUCUUUUUAGCAAAUGUUAUAUAGUUGAGAUAUUUUAAAGGUUUUUCCCCUUUUAACUACUUAAAAAAUAUGCUGAAAAAAGGAAAAAAGUACACAAAAUAUUGAAUUUAGUUAGUUUUUUGAGAAAAUUAUUUUAACUUUAAAGAGAGACUAAAAUUAGCAUUUGUUGCAAACAUUACCAUACUCAAGCAUUUCCUGCUCUUUUAAUGCAUUUCUCUCACAAUUCACUUUUAUACGAGCUGAGAUGCUAUGACUUGCAUCCACACACUUGUGUUUUCACUUGACUUCACAACUUGAGCAUCAAAAAAUUCCAGAACAUCACUUCUACAUUUUUUACAGUCUCUAUAACUGAAAAAAAAAUUCAUUUCUGUUUUUCUUAAAAAAAAAAAUACAUUUCUGUUUUUCUUUAUCCUCCAUAGAAUCCAAGGAAAGCUUUUCUUAAGCUGAACAUGCCACUUCAAGUUAGAAAAAUAUAUAUUUAAUUAGGUGUAUAGGAUAAUGAAGAUUUAAUCAAGUAAAUAAGAAAUGUUAAAAUCACUAGUAAAAAAUGGGUGAAAAUUAAAUUUUAUUAUAUGUAAAUGCUAACAAAAGCUCACUAAUGUUAAAGAAAAUGUUUGAUGCUAUACAAAUACAAGCCAUGUUGGGUAGGCUUUUGUUGUUUCAGCAAUAACAACCAAAAUUUAAUAGAAGCAAAAGAAAUGAUGGAUAAUUAAAAGGGUUGACGCUACGAUCAUUUUCACUGGUAUUACCAACGUCACAGGUGUCGCUGAAAAAACAUAGUCCACUUUUGAUAAUUACGAUGGUAGUUGUGUAGAAUUUUGUUACUCUAAACAAACAUGAGAGGUGAUGAAUGAAAUAGUGUUAUUUGAGGGAAUUCAUUAAUACACUGAUAUUAUAACGCAUGGAAUUUUAUUCGAAUUCCUUACAACAACAAAAAAAUAGAUUACAUUUACUGUGGCAAGAUUUUAUUUUUUGGUGUUUUACUAUGACAAAACUUGUCUAGACACUAACCUAAACUGUGGCAACUAAAACCGUUUCUUUAUUUUAAAUAACAAUUUGGUUCUAGUUAAAAAGUGGCUUAUUUAUAUACCAAAAAUCUACUAAACAAAACUGAAAAUAGAAAUGAACUUCUAUACACACCUUUAUUACGAAACAAAAAGAGUACAAAACGGAAACAGUAAUGUGAAACAAACUACAUUUCUAUUAUUAGUCAGUUGCCAUAUCUCUUUAUAACCAAAAUGGGGAAGGUGUUUUACAAACAAACAAAAACAAAUAAAGAGAUUAAACAUAUGUGAAUACAUGAACCCUUCGUUUCAGUUGUUUUUCCUCUAUUUAUUACACCAACCAACUAACAAAAACAUAUGAAUGAUGAAAACCGUUUCCAAAAAAAAUCUGUACUAAUAAAACCCAGAAGUUGCAAAAAUUGAGAUACCAAAACACAAAUAAAAAAUAAGAAGUAGUAACUCAAAAAGCCAUAAAAAGAAUGAAUCCUAAAACCCUAGUUACAAAUUUUCUCAUCAUCCUCCUUGUACAAAUCUCAAACUUAUCAUUAGUUGUAAACUCUUUACAAGCAUACCACAAGAAAAAUGAAAGACGAGAGUUUAGUGUAAAGCCAAACGCUAUUGUACGAAUCGUCAUCUCCAAUGAUCUGUUUGGUGUGGAAAAUAAUGGAAACGCAGGUUUUGUAUGCACAAACGGUAAUAAAGUAUGGAGGAAAAGCAAACCAGGAGAUCGGUUUGUUGUGUACCAAUUCAAGUACGAUGGUAAGAGGAGACAAGGUUUCACGCAUUGUCAUCUCCGAUCUAAUUUCGGGUUUGUAAAUUUUCCAGUUAAUAUUAAUCCAGACACAUCUGCUUAUUGUUACCCUAGCUACAUAUGUGGUUACUCAGUUCAAAAAAAUGGAGUUUUUUACAAGCCUGAGAAGAAGCUUUAUCGAUGGAAGAAGCAGAAGUGAUGUUCAUAUUUACAUGUUGAUGAUGGUGAUGAUGUUGUAUGUGGGUGUUGAAAAUGUAACUAUUUUAAGAAUUUAUAAUCAUUUUGUUUUGUUUAUUUGUAAAAUAAAAAUUACUUAGGAAAAUACAAGUAAAGAACAAUAUUGAAAGAGAUAUUAAUGGAUGAACCAUAAGUAUAGCUAGGAUUUUUUUCUAUGUAUAAGUUAUAAAAUUACAAAAAAUACCUUUGUAUUAAUAGAAAAUAUUCUCUUUUUUUCUAUAUUCUCACGGUUUUCUUUAAUUUUGUAUGUUUACUAGCUUCUUUUUUUCUCCCAAGAUGGUUAGAGGACUAAUUCACCAUUUUUCUAAAGAGAAAAAAAUAAUUUAUAUCUUCAAUCUAAUAUAAAUUAUUGUAAACUAAGUAUCAAAAAGAUUGUUUUAACAUAUUUUGGAAAACUAUGAUUAUAUUAGUUAUUAAUAAAAGUUUGAAGUUUAAAAAAGUAUUUUAAAAUCUUAACCUAUCAUGUAUUAAUAACAAUUAUUAUUGUAUGAAGCCAGAUAGCUAAGUCAACUGAAACAUUAUUGAUAAACUAGAAGAGAACCCGCCAUACGCCGGGAUUAUAGAUUAUUAAUUUUUAUUUUUGUAUUAUUUUUUAUAUUUUUUUAUUCCAUCCAUUGUUUUUUGGAGUUAAUUAAGUUAUGUUUAUGAUGUUUUAAAUUAAAUUUAAAUUUGAUUUAAGUAUGCUUAUGAUUUAAUGUAUGUAAUAUUUUAAAUAGUUUAAAUAGUUUAUAUAGGUUUUAAUAGUUGCGACACAUGUUAAACCCUAAACCCUAUAAUUUUUCUUCAGUUGGUUGACAUUUUAUUAACCUAUUAUUUUCAUUCUUAGUUUCAUUACUUGUUUUGUUUUCACUUGUGAAUAAAUUAUAUUUGUUAGUUCAAAGAUGAUGAGUAAAUCACACGGAAAAAAAGAGAGUAGACAAAAUUAAAUUCUCAAUUUUCUAAUAUUUUUAAUUUUUUAAUUUAUAAUAUUUAAAUUAAAUUUGAAUUUAGUUUAUAUUAUUUUUAAGAUUUAAUAUUUUAAGAUAAUGAAAAUCAUAUUAAAUGGUCGAUUCAUAUAAUAUAAAAAAUAGUUUGUAUAUGUAUUAAUAAUGGAAAUAUAUAUUAAUUUUUAUUGAUUCUAAGUUGUCAAUCCCUAGAGAGUCUCCUCAAACUUUUAUUUAUUAAUUUAGAUAUAAAAAUAUAAGUUUGUCAUAUCAACAAACUAUAUAUUUUUUUAACAUAUCACAUCAUCUUCUUCCACCUAAUAAUUUUACAUUCACUGAACCUUUUCACUCUACCCCAUCAUUUUUAUAUAAUUUAACAUCAUACCUUAUAUUCUUACUUUCUUAAUGUUUAUGUUAUUAUGAUUACAUACUAAUAAAAACAAUAACGAGUUAAAUUUUUUUAGAUAACUUUUUAUUUAUUUUAUAUUCUUCAUUUUUUUGAGUAUCCUAAUUCACAUAAUUAAGUAUAUUAGAGUUAGUUAGAAAAAGAUAAUUAGGUAAAUUAAUGGUAUUGAUAACUUAGGUUUUUAAGCCUUUGGAAGGGUUACCAAUCCCUUGUCUUUGCAGUACAAAGGGUAUCAAUCCAUGCUUGUGGGUUCCAGACACUAGUUUAUGAGCAAUGUAUCUUAAGUCAAGCAAAGCAAAUGAUGUUCUUGGUUCUAAACCUGUGACAAGAUAAGCAAUGAUCUAAAACAGAAAUUAAACAAGAUAAAGAUGCAACUAAGUAAACAAAGCAAGCAAGAUAAGCGGUUAUGAAGAUGAUAGGAUGAUGCAAAGGCCUUAGACAGGAUAAUGAAUUAGAGUGCUUUAACACUAAGCUAGCAAGCUAAUGAACAAACAAUCAAGCAAAUCCAUUUAACAUAAACUCAUUAAGCAAGAUAAUCCUCUUAUGAAGGCAUUAAACUUCUAUGCUAAUCCUCCUUCAUACCAAAUUCUCAUUUGAGAAGCAUGAAUUAGCAAGCAUUAAGAAUCAGUUUAAUAAGUCAUUUAAGUGAACAAACUAUCAUUAUCAUGAUGAAAGAGAUUUAAACCUCUAACAAACUUGGUUUAGACAUUUCAACAAACACUUUUGGUGCAUGAAAGUGCCUUAGAUCUAGACCACAAGUGAUGUGCAAGGAUCUAGCAUAGAGAACAGUUUGUAAGAGAAUGGAUGAUGCAAGAUCUAGCCCCUAAACACGCCAAUUUAGCAUUUAAGCACCCUAAUCUACCUAUCUAAGACCUUAUCAAGGAACUACUCACUAAUCAUGGGAAGCACACUUGAUCUUUUGCAAGAAGUGAUGCUAAACAUGAUUAGAAGCUUGAUUUGAUGAAAAUAAAUGAUGAGAACAAGACUUUUAGAUGCAAAACGAGAUAUCUCUUAUAAAAGCAGCAAGUUUUACACAAAAGAGGCAAGUUCUCUCAAGGAUAAAAGGAUAAGAUAAAAGAUAAGUAGGGUUUUAGUCCCUAAAACUAUUUAUAGUGAAGCUAAGUGAUGCGGGUCAGCCCGGAACAAACCGGGUACUGAACCGGUCUUCUGGGGCAGAUGGGUGAGCUUCGCAGUGUGUGAAAUUCCAAAGCCGAGGUGUUCAUGUCGAGGGCCUCAUGCAAACUUGUGUUGAAAUGAAAAACUCAUCAAGAACGUGCAUGAGCUCUAGUCUUUAAUUCAUCUUCACGUGUGACCGUUAGAGAAAUGUGUUCUUGAUCUGGGCUUGUGGUUCGGUGGCCUCGGUAUGGAUACACCAUGGAGUUAGGUAGAGGUCUGGUGCAUUUCAUUCUACAACCUUGCACCUCGGUAUAGACAAGCCGUGGAGCUAGCUUGAGGUUUUGAUCAUAUUGUUUCGGCAAGAAGUCACCUCGGUGUGUGCACACCAAGGGGACUUUGGUCGAAGGGGUCAGGAAGAGAGAGUCCAAGGUGCAAUGUCGAGGGGUUGAAGCCGAGGUCCAGUUCCACACUUAGACAAAUUUCAAACCAAAUCGCAUAGAUGCUCAGCUUCAACACUUAGUCGUUUUCAGACUUGUUUCUUCAACAUGCAUGCCUUGGUGUUGAAUGAUCGAGGAAUCAGCUCGAGGUUUAGACCAAAAAGCUUCAGAAACAGGCCUCAGUGUAAGACAAUGUCGAGGGAACAACACCAAGGCUUGCAAAACAACUUACCACAGGCGCAAUUCUCAAAAGCCUGUAUCGACCCGCUUGUCUCCUGAUCGCAAUAACUUUCAGCUCAUAACUCCAAAUGACUUGAAACCGGAUUCAAAAGAAAGAUCAAUCAGCCAGCUAAAACUUUAGUGAAGGACCCAUUAGCAUCCUGGGAGUGGAAGGUUUCCCGGACGGCCAAUCUUUGCAAUAUAUCGGAACGAUCAGAAAGAAGCUCCUGGACCCGCGUUCACUCCGGAGACGGUAUCUCUUAGGAAAUAGCUCCAAAUUGGGUGAUCUUAGAUUUUCUGGAGAGAAAAAUCAAAGAAAUUGAAUCUUGAUGAAGGCCCCAACAACUGAAUCUGACUGGAAAGGCAUCGUCUCUCGUAAUCUCUAAAGCACAUUGGAUCGGCUUAAAACAGAAGCGAGACAGGUGUGUCUCCUGAUCGCCUCAACUCUCUGUUCACUGGUCCGAAUUCAGUAAUUUCAACUGUUAUGGAACCCUGACUCGAUCCUCUCUAACUUUGAUGAAGACUCAGACAACUGAAUCGGAUCGGAAGCUUCCCCGGACAGGCAAUCUUUGCCGCGCAUCGAUAGAACAGGUUUUAGCUGAGAACUUCUGCACCGCGGUAAGAAAAAUAUCCGAGAAUCACAUCCCGCUAUAAGAUUUUUAGCCGAUAAAAAUCCAUCCUGCUCGGCACAAAGUUUUAGCCGAUAAAUCUUCACCCGAUACUGGUUUUGGCCGAGAGAAAUCCACCCGACAGCAUUUUUAGCCGAGAUUCUUCUUCCUGCGGUACACGAUCUUGCCGAUAAACUCCUUUAGGCCAUUUUCACCAUUUCUGACCCUUUUCUUCACCGUUUCAACUCCUGAUAACAUCUAUUCUGCUCCAAACAGCCUCAAAAGCACCUGAUAAAGACUCCAAACCAUGAAAGACUCAUUUGGACCUAAUGCAAACCCCUAAGUCCUAAAACAAUGCCUAAAGACCUAAAAUGCAUGAAAUAAGACAUGAUUUGGACCUAAACAUGCAAGCUAAAUGAUGUAAAUUAUAAACAUAUCAACUCCCCCACACUUGUCCUUUGCUUGUCCUCAAGCAAAAAUAACUAAUGAGAGAGAGAGGUUGAAUGCAUUGGGAGUUCAUAUAUCCUAUAGGAAGAGAGAAGUAACUACAAAAAGAUUCAGAUUCCAAGUUGCCAAUUCUACAUGCAAUGCAAGACUUUACUUUGAUGCUUUAAAAUUCAACAAUGAUCUCCACAAGUUUUUCUUAUCCCUCAACUCUUUGACAUUCAUUAAGCUCUUUACCAUGUGAAUCAAGUGAUGCAAGUUCAAGCAAGCAAAGUUUGGCUAAGGAUGAGGCUAUGAGACUCAAAUGAUCUCAUUCAAUGCACAAGCAGGUUCAAUGCAAUUGGGGAUCUCUCAAUGAACGAUCAAACUUUGGCAGAAGGCUAAAGGUAAGGAGCAACCGAUGCAUACAAGAGCAAGACUCAACUCACUCCCCUUACCUAAGAUGCCUCUAACUCACACUCUCACAAUGAACCUCACAACUUUCUUCUCACUCAUUUUCAUCUCUCAAAAGGGUUUCUUUUUCACUUUAGACACACGGCUUGGGAUCUUUAUUUACACACAGAUCUUUUCACACUUUGAAUCAUCUAACCUCUCACUUUCUUUUUAGACACAUGAGCCUUUGACUUCUUUUCUUUUCUUUUGCACUUAGAGGUUAUAAGCUUUUUUCCUUUAAAAAAAACGCUUAGAGCUUUUUUUUUUUCAAAACACAAGACCCAAAACCGGUUUCUUUUCUUUUGAAAACCCUUAGCUCUCAUCACUCUCAUUUUUACAACUCUUUCUCUUUUCUCUCUCAAAAAUAUUUUCUCUCAAAACUCUCACUCAAAGAGACCUCUCCCCCACACUUAUUCACAGCCUAGACCUAACAGUUCCUUGAUGAUGGAACUAGACACUUUGAGACUUGCCUUUGUCGCUCUAAACCUAAUACUUUCUGCUAAGUUUGAUCCAAGGUGGCCUCUCAACACACACAAAACGCUUUUAGCUUGAAAGAGUGUUGGGUUCAGGGUGUGGAACUGAUCCAAAUGUGGAAUCAGCUACUUGAGCUAGGGAAAAAGAGUGGUAAAAACGGGUUCUAGCUCAGAUAUGUAUAUGCGUAUCCACAAUGCUCACUCAAACAAUGCAUCACAAGAUAAUUAAAAGUCAGGUUCAAUGGUUCUCACUUGCUAGAGCUGAGUUCAAUUCAAACUUGUUUCACAGAUCCAAAUCUUUUCAAGUCUCGCAAACAUUGAAGAAUCAACAAACAUGGAAGAUCUAAAUUCUCAAAGUUCUUUUCUCUCAAGGAAAAAAUCUAUCAUAACUCUCAUGAAAUGAUGCCACCUAUAUAAUGCAGCUAGACUCAAUCCUAAAAAUAUGAAUGCAACUAGAAUGAACAUUUAUUUUUGAGAAAUUUUUUCUGAUUUUUCGAUUUUUUUUUUGGUUUUUAUAUGCACUUAGAUGCAACUACAUGAAUGAAUGAGACUCAAGACUCGAAAUGUUAAAUAAGAUUAAAGAAAACAUGAUUAGCAAACAUAAAACUCCUCCCCCACACUUAAAUAACACAGUCCCUUGUGUUAUAAAAUCAUAAGAAAGGAGUGCAAAGCAAAACAAUCAAAAUGCAAAAUGAAAAAAAGUUCUAUAUCCAUAUAUACAAAGGGUUUGGAGAAGUUACCUAGUCGCUGAGGUCAGACCCCACAUAGUAUGAGGGGUUAGACGUGGAUCAUGAUGGAGAUGGCUCCAUUGGUGGGCUGCUUUCUGGUGAAUCAGGGAGGAAGGCGGUUGCUGGAUUGAUCCAAUCUUCUUUUCCCGGUGGGAACUCUGGUGCACAUGCUGUGGAGCUUUCUCAUAUCUCCUCUCUUUGUACCGGUGCUGGGGAAGUGGCCGAGUCUUUGGCUGGUGAGUCAGGUGCUGUGAGCAUCUUCACCUUCUUCUUUAAGUGCCUCACACACUUGACAAGCUUGUGUAUCGUCUUAUCUUUCCACUUACACCAUUGCUGAAGCCCAUUGAGUCUCGUGUAAAGCUUUCUAGUGUGAUACUCUGGUGAACCCCACACAUAAUGGUCAAAAUGAUAUUUGCCUGCACCCAUUAUUCUUUCUGAAACUCGGGGUUCAUCAUUCUCACAACCAGAAGCUUGCGGUUCAUCAUUAGGCAUGCUUGACUCAGCUUUCUCUUCUUUCAUUCCUUUGGGAAGUGGAGGGUCUCUUGAUGGGUUAUAGAGCUGGUAUUUGAGCAAAAUAAAAGAGACACUGUAUCUCUCUUGAAGUGUGGUGAUUGCUCUGUUGGGUAAGAGGACUUGUACUUCGUCUCUUUGAAGCAGCUUAAAGUUAUAAGCCCAUCUGUUCCCAACUUUUCCCUCAAAGAAUCCAUUCUUGCUUAAAUAAUCCUCAUCAAUGAGACUAGGCUUAGCUCUUGUUUCAGGAAAUGCAAAACCUUUGGCUCUCAAGAUCUUGGUCACAAUCCUACCAUUCUGCAGCCUUCGGAUCCCUCAUUAUCUUCUGUCACACCACACAUUGUGCCUGUAAACAAGCAUAUGAAUAGUAAAGAAUGCGCCUAAAGAAGGGACAUGAAUAGGUCCCUCAAACUCUUUCUUGUUCUUGGUGUGAGAGAUGAACGGUUUCAAGCCAAGUCCCAAGAGUUCUAUCUCGUUUAAGUGCAUCACUCCAGGGUUGUAGGUGCUGAAGAACAUACAAGUCAAUGCCCUGUUGGCGUAUCUGAUGGCUGAAUUCCUUAUACAGCUGGUCUUGCUCUUUCCUACAACAUAAGCACCGAACACAAAUGUAUCCCACAGAGCAGCAAUCUCUUAUUUAGGGUAUACAAACUUCUCCAUAGGGCUUUUCUGACAAAACCAAAGAUCUCAUCAAUCUUCCUAAAGCUCACUUCAUAUGCAACCCCAUUGAUCUCAAACUCGAUGUGACCAAAACCGUUCCCAUGGAGUCUUUUUAAAUCCCUCUUGGCAUAGAUGUAAACCUCCAAAGAAGCAAGGAACUGCUGAGUGAUUCCCUCAUAGGCCACAUCUCACAUCUCAAACAAUGAUGCUAAACCCAUAUUUUGAAAAAUGAGCUUAACAUCAUCGAGGAUCUCCAGCUUUCCCAACAGAUCAACAUCAGGGAACCGUCCUUGUGUCACUUGUCCCUUGUUGAACUGGUGCAAAUAUUCUCCAGCAGUGGGCAAAUGGUCCUCUUCUUUCUCAGCUUUUGUUUCCUCCUUCUUUGCCUCUUGAGCACCGUUGGGAAUUGGUUCAAGUGCAGCUUCUCUCUCAGCUUCGGUUUCUGUUCUCUCCUCAUCAGGUGCCUCAGCUAUCUGCUUCCCUUCCUUUUUCGGAUCAGGCACCACCACAAGUGCAAGCUCGGUGUUCUUUGCUCUUUUCGCAGCUGGUUCCUCAUCGACUUUCUUGGUGCCCUUUGAGGUUUUCUUGCUUGUUCCCUCUGAUUUUUCUGAGGCCACAACUUUGCCCUUUUUAUGUUUCUGCUGAAUCUCCUUUUUCUGUGCCAGGGCAGCCGUUCUUUCUGUCAUCUGCAAGACAGCUCUCAAACAGAGAAUGAGCACCAAGUAUCGAAUCACCAAAAUCAUGUUCAAGAGAAAUAUCAAGAACAGAAUUCUCUCAAAAACCAAUGGCUCAAUAAUUUCUCAAGCUAAGAGUGAUCAAGAAACGAGUUUUAACAAUGCUAAACACAGAGUAAAGCAGUCAACUCAGCCAAGAAACAAUUUCGUCAUUAAAGCCGGUUUUAAGGUGCAAUUUCUCAAGAAUUUUAAAAACUCAAGAACAGGCGAUUUUCAAUGCAAGAAUAGGUUUUUCAUGUGUUGUGUAUCCUGUUGGAAUUUCUAAAAUUGUUCCCAAGGCAUCUAACAACCUAAAAGAAUCGAUUCCACACAGAGCAAACUCAAUAUCACCAAAAAUGAGCAUGGAAAAAGAUGAGUUCUUUCAGAUGAAAUAUCUUGAGAAACACAGGAUCGAGCUAAGCGAGAUGAGAAUGCAGGAUAGAAAACUUCUAUAUGAGCUCAAUUCACUUGGAAUCGCGCAAAAUGAAUGAGAAAUGAGAGAGAUAUGCUCUUUCUAAAUGCAGAGAAGGGAAAAGAGAGUAAACUUGGGUUUUUGGCUGAGUAUGGAGUCUGGUAUGGGGCUGGAGUCCUUUACAGCUGUCUUUUGGACUCAUGUGUGAAUGGUCCCCCCCUCCUCUCAAAGACUCCAAGCAUUGACCGCACCCCCAAAACGUUGACCCGUGUUUUUAAAACUCGUUUUCCCGCGCCAGGAGCUUAAAGACCAUGGUAUGGAUAAGGCGAGGGCCGUACAGCCUUUUCUCGUUUUUCUGGGUUGAGCAUCGACGGCCUCGGUGUGUUCCACCCCGAGGGCACCAAACUGAGGGCUUACAACUCGUGCUAACACAGAAAAUCAUCAUGACCCUCAAGCCUUCUUCGUUAACCUUCAAACCUUCUCCAUUGACUCAAGUGUCCAAAGUGUCCCAUUUUGUUCAUGGUCUUUACCGAGCACCUCAGUGUGCUCCACCACGAGGGCAUCACACCGGGGAAUUUUUUUCUAGGUAGAACAAUUUGUUCUUGGGGGAAUAAGCAGCACGGCCUCAGUGUAAACAUGUUGUUGACUUAGAACGAGGCUUUGGACAUUUCUUUUGGACUUUUGGCCUCGGUGUGUUUACACUAAGGGGUCUACACCGAGGGGCUUCCCCCACAAUUGGUCUUUGGCACUCAUCAACUUGAGACCUCGGUGUAACUAGGCCGCGGACUUUGAACGAGGUUUGGCCUGUUUACUUUCGGAAAUCGACCUUGGUAAGUGUAUACCGAGGUAUGUACACCGAGGGUCUCUCCAGCACUUAGUCUCCUUGCUCAUUUCUUCUUCUCUUCAUACGGCCUCGGUAUUCUUAGAGCGAGGAGUUUGGGCACACCGAAUCUUGGGAAGAUGAUGCUUUUGAACAGCUUACACACCACCUUGGAAUCAUUUGUUGGACUCGCAAUUGCCUCUACCCACUUAGAAACAUAAUCAACAUCCACCAAGAUGUAUUGGUUACCAUGUGAGGAGAUGAAAGGCCCCAUGAAAUCUAUGCCCCAACAAUCAAAAACCUCAACUUCAAAGAUCAGAUUCUGAGGCAUUUCAUUUCUCUUUGAGAUAUUUCCAUGUCUCUGACAAGAAUCACAUCUUGAGACCACUCCUUGGGCAUCUUUGAACAUUGUAGGCCACCAAAAUCCUGAUUGCAACACCUUAGCAACCGUCUUGAAAGCUCCCAAGUGUCCUCCGUAGGAUGAACCGUGACACUCUUGUAAAACAGGCUAGACCUCUUCCUCAGCUAGGCACCUCCUAUACAAGUGAUCCUUGUUGAGCACAUACAGGUAUGGCUCAUCCCACCGGUAUCUCCUCACAUCUUUGAAAAUUUUCUUCCUUUGAUAAGCAUCCAUUUCUGGUGGCUCUGUACCGCAAGAGAUAUAGUUAACUAAGUUGGCAAACCAUGGUAAGCUUCUAUCUCUUAUGGUAUCCGCUUGUUCAACCUCCAAGUAAGACUUGAUCACCAUUAGAUGCUCCUCAGGUAAUGAAUCAUCAAAAGGGAUAUCUGAAUCCACUCUUAACCGUGAGAGAUGAUCAGCUGCUCCAUUCUCAAUGCCUUUCUUGUCUUAAACCUCCAUAUCAAACUCUUGUAAGAGCAGAGCCCACCUCAAGAGCCUCGACUUUGCAUCCUUCUUUGUCAUGAGAUAUCUAAGAGCCGCAUGAUCCGUAUACACCACAACCUUUGAACCAACUAGAUAGCUCCUGAACUUGUCAAAUGCAAAUACCAUAGCCAGCAUCUCUUUCUCAGUUGUAGCAUAUUUCUCCUGAGCUGAGUCCAAGGUUCUGCUUGCAUAGUAUAUCACGUGCAGCUUCUUAUCUUUCUUCUGACCCAAAACAGCUCCCACGGCAUAAUCCGAAGCAUCGGUCAUCACUUCAAAGGGCAGAUAAUCUGGAGUCUAGACUAUUGGUGCACUAACAAGAGCUUGUUUGAUCUUGAGAAAGGCCUCCAUGCACUCCUCAUCAAAUACAAACUCAACUUCCUUGCAAAGCAAUCUGUUAGCGGCCUAGCUAUCUUAGAAAAGUCUUUGAUAAACCUUCUAUAGAAACCAACGUGUCCUAAGAAGCUUCUGGUCCCCUUGACCGAGCUUGGAGCUUCCAAGUUAACCAUCAUCUCCACUUUGGCUUUAUCAACCUCAAUCCAUGCCUCAGAAACCUUAUGCCUAAGCAUAAUGCCUUUUUGCACCAUAAAAUGGUAUUUUUCCCAAUUGAGAACCAAGCUGUGCUCCUCACACCUUCUUAAGACCUGAGAAAGAUUAGAAAGAAAAACAGAGAAGGAGGAUCCAUAGACUGAAAAUUCUUCCAUGAAUACCUCUACUUUCUCUCCAAUCAGAUCUGAAAAGAUACUCAUCAUACAGCGUUGGAAAGUAGCAGGAGCAUUGCACAGCCCAAAUGGCAUGCACCUAUAAGCAAAGGUCUCGUAGGGACAGGUAAAUGUGGUAUUCUCUUGGUCUCUUGGAUCUAUUGGGAUUUGGAAGAAUCUAGAGUAACCGUCUAGAAAAAAAAAAAGAAGGGAUGGUUUGCGAGCCUCUCUAACAUUUGGUCAAUAAAAGGGAGAGGAAAAUGGUAUUUCCUAGAGGCUGCAUUCAACUUUCGAUAGUCUAUACACAUUCUAUGACCAGUGAUGGUCCUAGUUGCUAUCAACUCAUCCCUUUCAUUUUUGAUUACUGUCAUUCCUCCCUUUUUGGGCACCACAUGAACUGGUGAAACCCAUCUAGAGUCUGAGAUAGGAUAGAUGAUCCCAACCUCUAGGAGUUUAAGAAUCUUUUUUUUUUCACUACUUCUUUCAAGUUGGGAUUGAGCCUCCUUUGGUGCUCGAUGGAUGACAUAGAUUCCUCUUCAAGGUGAAUCCUAUGAGUGCAUAGGUUGGGUGAGUUAUCCUUUAUAACCAAUUGCUAUCCUAUGUUUCCUCAACUCAUUUAUCAAUGCAUGCUCUUGAUCAGCUAACAACUUAUCAUUAAUGAUCACGUGGUAUGAAGAGUUAGAGCCUAGAAAAGCAUACUUCAGCCCUGUUGGUAGAGGCUUGAGCUCAAUAGGGGGCGCCCUUGACUCGUCCAAUCCGCAUCAAAGCUGCUUUGCUCAUUCGCAGCUCCAUUGAUGUUGAUUUGCUCACUCGGCUCAGCCCUUGCCUCAGCUGAUGAACACACGACCAUGCAUCCCUGAGCUGGUCCCUGACUUGUAUUGGAACCCCUGAUGUCCAAAAUCUCAAGGCCGCUUGCUUUUAGCUCCAAAAACCUUGUUUCUGAAUGAAGUUCCUUGGGCUGAUCCAAAUACCGCUUGUAGGCUUCAUUCUCUUUAGCCAAAUACCCGUGUUCUCCUUGUUCUUUUGUCAAGACAACUUGGAGAGGAUCCUCUGUGUUUAUCUCCUCAAGAAGCUCAUCAGCAAGCUCCUCCAUUGUUUCGAUAUAAAAGACUUGUCCACCUAUGGUCGACUUCUUCAUCAUCUCUUUUACAUUGAACUUCAUGGUCUCUGAUCCAAUGUGCAGCACGAUCAUACCUCCUCUAACAUCUAUGAUCACUCCUGCUGUGGCCAAGAAAGGCCUUCCCAAAAUGAUAGGAUCCACAGGUUCCUCAUCCAUCUCCAAGACUAUAAAGUCUGUUGGGAUUUCAAUCUCACCAAUUUUAAGUGGCAAAUCUUCAAGUAAUCCAAUUGGCAACCUUACUGACCUAUCAGCGAAUAUUAGAGAGAUCCUUACUGGCUUGUAGCUGUUGUACCCCAACCUUUUUGCAAUAGAAUAGGGCAUCAAGCUUACUGAAGCUCCCAAAUCACACUAACAGCUAGCAAACUUCAAAGGACCUAAUGCGCAAGGUAAGGUAAAGCUCCCUGGAUCUGAUAGCUUUCUUGGGACUGUUCUCCUCUGAAUAAUGGCACUGCACUCAUGACUCAGAAUGACCAUUCCUUGUAGUUCCUUGGUCUUGGUCAAGAUUGCAUCUUUUAAGAACUUCCCAAGCUGUGGAAUCAUAAGAAAUGCUUCUAUGAUGGGCAUAGUCAUCUGAGUGUUCUCUAAGGGCUUCUCAAAUACUGCUCUUGCCUUAUCUAGGAUCUGUUUCUUGAAUCUCCCUGAAAAAGGAAGCUUAGGCUGAUAAGGAGGUGGUGAAAUAUAAGGCUUCUCUGGUUCUGAUUCCUUCUCCACCUCUUUAGCUUUUCCUUUCUUUGAAAAAUCAUCCUCUUGCUCAUCCCUUGGGGCUGCCUCCCCACCAGCUUGCUCAUUGUCCUCAAUGAGCACUCUGCUUUGUUCUAGACCUGGUAGCUCUUUGCCACUUCUCAAGGUGAUGGCAUUAACAUAUUCCUCUGGAUUUGGUUCUGGUUUUCCAGGUAGAACUCCUUGGCUUCUUGAAGUGGAAGCUUGAUUCUGCUUAAGCUCCUGAAUCUCUUUCUGCAUGGAUGCAUACUUGGAACCUAGAUCAGAAAACCCACUCUCAACCCUUUGCUUUCCUUGUAACAACUGCUGCAACACUCCACACAACUCUGACCCCAUCUGUUGACCCUGAACCGGCGGCUGCUGACCCAACUGAUGCUGAACCAUCGGCGGCUGACUGAAACCUGGUGGGUACUUCGGUUGCUGAGGCUGACUAGUGUAGUUUCUCCCUUGAAUCUGUUGCUGCGGCUGUCCAUAGCUCUGUUGCUUCUGAACAAACUGUUGUUUAGGCUGAAAUUUCCCUUGAUAAUUGCCUUUGGGAACAUAACUUUGCUGACCCUGAGGAUUCGGAUACACUUGAUCUUGAGGAUUGGCCACAUUGGGGUUCCUAUAUGAGAGGUUCUGAUUUUAGUUGAAGUUGUUAAACCUCUGAUAUCGGUUCUGGUUAAUUGAUCUCUUCUUGAGUGAGGCCAUCCUCAUUUACAUUCUCAAAGCUGGGACCUUGAUCAUUGAACUCGCCUACAAAGUGCAGUGGCUUUUGUAUUGCCACUAAAACCUUGUCGAGCUGGGUCUGAAGCUCUCUGAUAUCCUUUUCCAUCCUCAGCUCUUUGCUAGAUCCCUCAUUUCUAUUCGCCCUGUCGAAAUCUUCUCCAUAAGUGUCAUUAGACAUAGCGAGGUUCUCCACUAAUUCCAAUGCGGCAUUGAUCUCCUUUCCAAGAAAGUUUUCAUUGGAGGCAGUGUCUAGCUGGUUUCUUAUCUUGGGCAGGGCUCCUCUGUACAAAGUACUCAAUAGAGAUGCCUCUGAGAAACCAUGGUAAGGACACUGAUUGGUGUAACUUCGAAACCAUUCCCAAGCUUUUCCAAAGCUUUUGUUAUUAUGCGGUGUAAAGCUGGAGAUUUGGUUCCUUAGCUUAGCGUUCUAGAGGUUGAGAAGAACUUGGAGAGGAAGGCAAGCUUGCACUGCUCCCAAGUUUGUAUUGUUCCUCUAGGCAGGUUUUUCUCCCAUUGAUGCGCCUUGUCGCCUUAGCUGAAGGGAAACAAUCUAAGUUUGAAACUGUCCUCAAAAACACCGUUGAUCUUGGUUAGAUCACACACUCGGUAAAACUGGUCUAAAUGCUCCAAGGGGUCCUCCAUUGGUAAGCCGUGGAACUUAGAGUUCUGCACCAUGUUGAGCAAAGAAACUUUGACUUUGAAGUUGUUAUUCUGAACCGGUGGAGCUUGAAUCCCUGCUCAGUACUGGUGUGCAUUUUCUCUAUCGUUCUCACCAACAAAGACCUGUGGAGCUUGCCUUUGAGCUUGUGGCUGUGGCUGAGGAAUGUGCUGAGCCUGUUGCUCAUUGCGGUUAGCUUGUUGCUGAUUCUGUUGUGCUUGGCGCUCAUUCCUUUGCGCCAUGUUCUGAUUGACAAAAGCCUGUUGCUCGUUCCUCUCAGCCUGUGCCUGGUUUAAAUGAUCCCGAUGCUCGGCUUCUUGAGCCUGUGGCUCAAUCCUUGCUUGUUCAUCCAUACCCAACUGUUCCAAAUGCGCAGCCCUCUCUCUAGCUCUUCUUUCAAGCAGGUUUAUGUUGUUGUUGUAAGGAAGAGGAGGGUCUGAACUUCCGGAGCGUGUUCUCAUACACCUGAUCACUCAAAGACAAAUCCCAAAGACUGAUCAGUAAGACAAAAUAAAAAUUUGAUCUCAAGAACAAGCAAAAACUAAUGCUAAAUCCCCACAAGUUGGCAACGGCGCCAAUUGAUAAAUUAGGUUUUUAAGCCUUUGGAAUGGUUACCAAUCCCUUGUCUUUGCAGUACAAAGGGUAUCAAUCCAUGCUUGUGGGUUCUAGACACUAGUUUAUGAGCAAUGUAUCUUAAGUCAAGCAAAGCAAAUGAUGUUCUUGGUUCUAAACCUGUGACAAGAUAAGCAAUGAUCUAAAACAGAAAUUAAACAAGAUAAAGAUGCAACUAAGUAAACAAAGCAAGCAAGAUAAGCGGUUAUGAAGAUGAUAGGAUGAUGCAAAGGCCUUAGACAGGAUAAUGAAUUAGGGUGCUUUAACACUAAGCUAGCAAGCUAAUGAACAAACAAUCAAGCAAAUCCAUUUAACAUAAAAUCAUUAAGCAAGAUAAUCCUCUCAUGAAGGCAUUAAACUUCUAUGCUAAUCCUCCUUCAUACCAAAUUCUCAUUUGAGAAGCAUGAACUAGCAAGCAUUAAUAAUCAGUUUAAUAAGUCAUUUAAGUGAACAAACUAUCAUUAUCAUGAUGAAAGACACUUAAACCUCUAACAAACUUGGUUCAGACAUUUCAACAAACACUUUUGGUGCAUGAAAGUGCCUUAGAUCUAGACCACAAGUGAUGUGCAAGGAUCUAGCAUAGAGAACAGUUUGUUAGAGAAUGGAUGAUGCAAGAUCUAGCCCCUUAACUCGCUAAUAUAGCAUUUCAGCACCCUAAUCUACCUAUCUAAGACCUUAUAAAGGAACUACUCACUAAUCAUGGGAAGCACACUUGAUCUUUUGCAAGAAGUGAUGCUAAACAUGAUUAGAAGCUUGAUUUGAUCACUAUAAAAAAUGAUUAUUGUUACAAUUACAUAUAUAUUUCGUCAUAAAUUUUCUAUUGUGACGAAAAUAUUACAAUUUUCAAAACAACAUAAUAAAAUCGUCACAACCUAAUAUCCAUUACAAAAACGUUACAAUAGUUAGUGACGAAUAAAAAUGAUAACAAUUUGUAACAUUUUGUGACGAUCUUUAAACAGUUACAAAACCGACACGAAUUAUGACGAAUACGAAUGGUAACAAUUCGUAACAUUUUGUGACAAUCUUUACAGUUACAAAAAUGAAAAAAUUCAUGUCGAAAAAUACUGUUACAAUUACGCAACAAAUUGUGACAAAAGAUUAUCACAUAUUUUUCACAAAUUAUUACUAUAUUUAAGUCACAAAAUUAUCAUAAAUUGUGACCAAAAUAGUUUCUCAACAUCCAUUACAAUUAGUGACUAAAUUAAAGUCACAAAACAACACAAUUUAGUGACUAAUACUAUCACAACUACGUCACAAAUUAUGACAAAAGAUAAUCACAUAAUUGUCACAAAUUUUAUUUGUAUAAUGACUUUUUUUAUUUACAACGUGUUACAAAUUUAUAAAAUAUUUUUAAUUUAAUUAUAGCUAUAUUUUCUUAUAUAAUAAAUAAUAUACAAUAAACCAUUAAAAGAAAGAUAUAAUAAGCAAUUGAUAAUAUUAAUUAACCACCAACAUCCGAAGCAAAGUUACACAAACCAACAUAAAGGAAAUAGUCCUAAUAAAAAAAGUUACACAAACAAACUUAAAAGAAAUAGUCUUAAUAGAAUACUAAAAAAAAAAUCCUAGAGAUAAGUAGAAACAACUUGAUAAAAAGCUAACUAAACAAUACUAAAAAAUUACUAGAAACAUUAAGUGAACUUGCUUGGUGGUGGAAGUGGUGGAGUUAGAUCUAUUGAUAACACCGUAUUUUGACCACUUUUAUGGAUCUUGAAACACUUUUUCUAUGUUUUUAAUUGCUCUCAAGUAAUUUUAUCACGUUUUUUUAGUAUUUGUAGUUCUAAAACUCUUUUCAGGAAACUUAGGGAAAAGCUUAACAAAAUAGAUAGAAGACCAGAUUUUCAGCUCAUAGUCAAACCAUCAGAAGUUCACCCCCGAUUGAAGGCCUUCUCACCGUCUGAUCCAGCUCAAAGUUGGAGAUCUCAAAGAUGGAAGUAUCAGCUUUCCAGCGCACUUUACAGCUUGGCAAUCCAACGGUUCAAUCAAAAGAUACGCGAAGAACAAAAUAUCCCGUAAACCAGCCGGCAAGCAUUUCCACCCGCAGCCAACAGCCAUUUCACCACGGUCAGAGGCUUCCCGACCACGGCCAGCCAUCCAUUCCCCCUGAUCACGCACAUUCCGACCGCGGCCAGCCAACUCCGAGCCCAAAGGCCAAUUUCUGAAGUACAAAAUGAUUCCCUCAUUUGGAGAAACCCUAAGUGACGGCCAGAGAUGUCUUGAGCACUAUAAAUACAUGUCUUAGGAACCCUAAUUCGUAUUAUCACCUUUUACACCAUCUUUUUUUCUUAUUGUUUUUAUACUUUAGAUUUAGGGAGGGAGAGAUCUAUCUCUUGAACCCUUGUUCUUUCUUUUUCAAUUUCGAUUUCUGUUCUACUUUUUAAUACUAUCACUACAAGAAUAUGCACUUUCAAUAGCAUAAUACUAUAGCGGUUUAUUUAUAUCUGCUAUGAAUAAUAUAACCAUGACUUUUACAUAGCGUGAGUACUUUUGUAAACGCUAUGGAUAGUUUAGCGGGAAUACAAAUUGUAAAACGCACUUUAUUUUUUGGGAUUUUGAUUUUAUAUCAUGGCCUUUAAUAACAUAAUAGGUUGAAAAUGCUAUGGCAUUGUAAACCGCGAAGACCAAAAAUUUAUGCCCGCGCAUUAAAAAAAAAAUAACAAAUUUUUGGCCCCAAAUUUUAUCCCAUUCUGAUUUUGUCUUAAGUCUUUCACACUCUCACAGUCAGAAGCUCUCUCUCACUCGAUUUCUACGUCGCAGCUUCCUCUUCGUCUAUCUCUCAAACGGUCUUAUCAGCAACAAUUAAACCCAGAUUCACAUUUUCGAGUGGGUGAAGAACGAAUUCACUUACGGUAAUUUCUCGUUUGAUAUUCGUCAUCUGGGUUUAGGGUUAUUUCAAGUUUUUUCCUAGAUUCAGGAUCUAGUAAUCAUUUGUUUGCAGACCGAUUUCAGCGAUUAGCUUCAGUUAUAAGAAUGUGAUAUUGUUAUGGUGUUUGAUUUGGAUUUUGAUUUGGGUUUAUGAGUUUGUGGUAAUCUUAUAUCAAGUAAUAAUUUUUAUUCAUAAUUUUGCAGAGAGCUUUCAGUAGUGGCAGAGUUUAAUCUUCAUUCUGCUUCACAGCAGGUAACUUAUUAGUUUUCUAGGAUUGAUUUCUUUUUUCUUUUGCAUGUCGUAUUCCAUGAAUUUCGCUUCGAGUUGCAUCAGUAGUUCAUAUGUUGUUUCGUUAGUUUCUGUAUUGUUUUCUUUAUUAUGAUAUUGAGUGGCAUAUGAAACUCUUAUGUAUGUAUCGGGGAGCUGUGGUGUGAUUGUGUAAUGGACAAGUCUUGGGUUUGGCUACCAAUGUAUGUAAAUGAAAUUACGUGCAUAGGUUUCUUUAGUUAAAAAUUUUUUUUCCAUGUAGAAUUGAAAUUGAAGUGUUUAUUAAACUAGAGGGCUAGCCUUGAGUAUCAGCAAGGUGCUAGUUCUUUUGUUAUUGAAUCAGCACAGCGUUUGGGUAAUCCUCAAGAAAUGUUCUGUCCCUGCAUUGAUUGCCGAAAUUUAUGCCAUCAGUCUAGAGAAGUAGUAUUGGAUCAUCUAGUUAUUAGUAGAAUGGAUCAGAAAUGCAAGAGGAAAACGAGUUGGAGUAAGCCUGGGGAGUUAAAUAAUGUCAAGACAGCUAAUGAAGCCAGUCCUGAAUUCGAGACUCAGAACUUGUUUAGAAGUGCUUUUUUAACGGUGAAGAAAGUCGACAAUCAGGAAAUAACAAUGAAGACCAGACAGCGGAGGUUGACAGUAAGAAAGAAUCUGAGUUCAGGAAGAAGUUAGAUGAUGCUGAAACUCCACUGUAUUCAAGUUGUUCUAAUUACACUAAAGUUUCUGCAAUUAUGGGACUUUACCGCAUAAAAGUGAAGAGUGGGAUGUCAGAGAAUUACUUUGAUCAGCUUCUGACUCUCGUCCAUGAUAUGCUGCCUGGUGACAAUGUUCUUCCAACAUUGACAGAUGACAUGAAGAAAUUCUUGAAGGUAUUUGGUUUUGGGUAUGAUGUAAUUCAUGCGUGUAAGAAUGAUUGCAUCCUCUAUCGGAAGCAAUAUGAAGAUAAGGUCAGUUGCCCAAGAUGUAAUGCCUCGAGAUGGGAAAGGGAUAAGCACACUGGCGAAGAAAAGAAGGGAAUUCCAGCAAAGGUACUUAGAUAUUUUCCUAUCAAGGACAUAUUCAAGCGAAUGUUUAGAUCUACAAGGAUGGCUGAGAGUUUGCAAUGGCACUUCAACAAUGCUUCUGAAGAUGGUACCAUGCGGCACCCUGUAGACUCGAUAACAUGGACUCAAGUUAAUUCGAAAUGGCCUCAGUUUGCUGCUGAACCAAGAAACCUGAGACUCGGUCUGUCAACUGAUGGGAUGAAUCCCUUCUCUAUUCAGAACACCAAGUACAGUACAUGGCCGGUUUUGCUAGUAAAUUACAACAUGCCUCCAACAAUGUGUGUGAAGGCAGAUAACAUAAUGCUGAUAAUGCUGAUCCCGGGACCAACUGCCCCAGGUAACAACAUUGAUGUCUAUUUAGAACCUUUAGUUGAUGAUUUAAAAGAUUGAGGUGUAUGACUCAUUCAUGAAGGAGAACUUCACACUUAGAGCUCUGUUGUUGUGGAAUAUAAGUGAUUAUCCUGCCUUAGGGACUUUAGCUGGUUGUAAAGUGAAAGGAAAACAAGCUUGUAACGUCUGUGGCAAAGAUACACCUUUUAAGUGGUUAAAGUUCAGCAGAAACUUUGUGUACAUGGGUAACAGGAAGAGGCUGACCUGGGCAUGUUUACAGACGCAGGAAAGUCUGGUUUGAUAACACGGUGGAAGAAGGGACAGCGAAAAGGAUUCUAACGGAGCAGAAAUAUUUGACACACUUAAAGAGUUUAUGAAUGAUUUCAGAAGAGCCUUGCCAAAGACAAGCAAACCAAAAAGACCAGAUUUGUGUGAAAAUGAGGACCUCGAAGAAGAAGAACCUGUAGAAGACACUGAUAUAUGGAGAUGGAAGAAACGGUCUAUCCUUUUUGAUUUACCUUACUGGAAGGUUAGUAUUUAAUGAAAUUGUUUGUUUAUUGACUAUCUGUAAUUUUAUGUUAAUUAGCUUUUGUUUUAUGUGUAAGGAUAUGCUGGUGCGUCACAACAUAGAUGUCAUGCAUGUCGAGAAGAACGUGUCUGAUGCCUUGUUGUCUAUGUUGAUGCAAAGUGCAAAAUCAAAGGACGGAUUGAAUGCAAGGAGAGAUUUAGAAGAUAUGGGAAUUCUCAGAAACUUACAUGUAGAGCAACGAGGAAAGAGGCAAUACUUGCCUCCGGCUGCGUAUUGGCUGUCAAAAGAGGAGAAGAAAAGAUUUUGCAAGCGGUUAUCAAAAUUCAGAGGCCCUGACGGAUAUGCUGCAAAUAUUGCUAACUGUGUUACAGUUGAACUCCCUGUAAUUGGUGCAUUGAAGUCCCACGACCAUCAUGUUUUGCUGCAGAAUUUAUUGCCUGUUGCUAUCCGAGGGUUGCUGCCAAAAGGCCCUAGGAUUGAAGUGAUUAGAUUAUGAAACUUCUUUAACAGGUUGUGCCAGCGUGUGAUUGACCCUGAAAAACUUAUGGCAUUGGAGUAUGAGAUUAUAGAGACAUUGUGCCAGAUGGAGAGAUUUUUCCCUCCAUCGCUAUUUGAUAUUAUGUUCCAUCUUCCGAUACAUCUAUCAAGGGAAGCUCGAUUGGGAGGCCCAGUGCAUUUCAGAUGGAUGUACCCAUUUAAAAUGUAUUUUUUUCUGUUGAUUUAAUAUUUGUCAUGACUCCCAGCUUACAAGAAUGAAUGUUGUCCUUUGUUUUUUUUUUUAAUAAUAGGUACAUGAAAACACUCAAAACAUAUGUAAAAAACUAUGCACGCCCAGAAGCUUGUAUGGCAGAAGGAUACUUAGCUGGAGAAUGUAUAGCUUUCUACUUAGAAUUUCUACAAGCGUCUGUACCUAUCCAAGAAACAAUAAACCGUAAUGAAGAUAUUGCUGCGGCAGAUGAUAUCAUUCUCGAAGGUCGUCCACUAAACAGAGGUGAAGAAGUUUCACUAACUGAUAAUGAGCGAGAUAUAGCGCAUCGUUAUGUGUUAAUGAACAUGGCCGUAAUGAAUCCGUUUGUCGAGUAAGUUCAUCCUUCACAGUUAUGAUUUCAUUGUAAUGAUUUUUGGUUUAGAGUUUAGAAACUAACACACAAAUACUAUCUAUGACAGUAUGCACUUGGAAGAAUUGAAAUCUUCUGAUCCGAAGUGUGCUAAAAAUGAAACUUUGUUAUGGAAAUUACAUAACGAGAGAUUUUCGCAGUGGGUAAAAGAGAAGGUAAUAAUGUAUUCAUUGUUAAUUCAAUAUAACUGCUGUAUCUCUGGCAUCUCUUGCUAACUUUUUUCGCUUUUGUUAUUUUAAGAUCCCAAUUAACUCCAAGGACCAUUCAAGCAUGUUGAGAUGGAUGGCAUUGGGACCAAGACACAUUGCUCAGACAUAUAAGGGCUACGUAAUUAAUGGACAUAGAUUUCAUACUGAGGCAGUGAUGCGGAAGACUCAGAACAGUGGAGUAACAUAUGAAGCUUUUACUAUGUGUUGGUCUAGUGCAAGAGAUACCAGACAUACAGCAGACAUUAUUGCAUCUCACGAAGUGAUACAACAGAUCAUUCUGCUCGACUAUCACAUGUUUCAGGUUCCGUUAUUCAAGUGUAAAUGGGCAAACACAGGGAAUGGUGUGAAACAGGAAGAUGGCUUUACCCUUGUAAACCUCCAUAUAAACCAAUCUGCAUUUCUUCAAGAUCCAUACAUUUUGGCUUCACAAACGAAACAAAUAUUUUACUCCAGAGAAGAUGACUGUUCACCGUGGUAUGUAGUCAUGAGGGCACCACCAUGAGGGUAUCAUGAGUUAGAGACAGAAGAGGAGUUAACCGCCGCACCAGUAUCCAUUCCAGAAGUUGAAGAUUUUGCAAAUCAGUCGUCAGAUGAUGAGGGUUUCUGUGUUAGAGAUGACUGUGAAGGGGUCUUAGUAGCUGAUUAAUCAAGUUAUGAUGGCUAGUAUAGUACUGUUAGGAGUUUAGGUCUAGUUGUAAUGUGUUUUGCAUAUUUGUUCUAAAAGUGGUUAUGUUUCAGGCGAUCCAACAUGUCGCAGAAAGUAAAGGAACCAAUCCGCCGGCUAGUAUAGUACUGUUAGGAGUUUAGGUCUAGUUGUAAUGUGUUUUGCAUAUUUGUUCUAAAAGUGGUUAUGUUUCAGGCGAUCCAACAUGUCGCAGAAAGUAAAGGAACCAAUCCGCCGCAGCAAGCGUCAGCAAGGGAAUGAACCCUCCCCUGUGGUAGAAGUGGUAUAAAAAAACGUAAGAGGGCUGCAAAUCCAGAUGUUCUGGAAGCUUCCCAACGUAAUGGAAAUGAUGAUCAAUUACCUGAUACUCAAGAUCUGGGAGUAGCAGAAGAUCAAAACAAAGAUCAUGGCGGCAAUGUCUCCCCACCUAUUCAACAAGAAUUAGAAGAAGAAGAAGACCAGGAAGAUGUAAACCCACCUAUUCAAAAUCAAGUUGAAGAUGUCCCCUAACCUAUUCAAGAAGACCACGAAGAUGUCUCCCCACGUAUUCUAGUAGAACAGGAUGAUGUCUCCCCACGUAUUCAAGAAGAACAUGAAGAUGUCUCCCCACAUAUUCAAGAAGAAGAUGUGGAAGCUUCAGCUGAUGGUGUUCAGUCCCAGAUGUCAGAUGAGAAGAAAAAAGAACCAGGGGACCAACGAAGAUGCGUAGAGUGGCUACACAGCACGAGGACAAGGUCGAUGUUGAAUUCUCAUCUGUGGGUGAACAUGUGGGCAAGGGAUCAAUAACACUAUCCUCUUUCCUCGGUCCUCUUGUGCGAGAGCAUGUACCAGUUCUGCUUGAAGAUUGGCGGUACCUAAGUACUGAACACAAAGACGGGAUGUGGGAAGAAAUUCGGGUCUUAGCUUAUUAUUUUUCAUAUACAUAUAUAUGCAUCAUGCAUUUAAAUAACUAAUGUUUGCUUAUUUUGUUAUUUUAGGCUAGAUUUAAUUUGGAUAAAGAAUGGCAGAAGGACUGUGUUUUCAAACAGAUGGGUUGUUUGUAGAGGGCGCAUAAAUCAAAGAUUAGUACCCUUGUUCGAAAUACGACGAGCAAGAGUAAGCUUCUACAACUAAAAUAAAGUAACAUACAGUCUAUGACAGCAUGGAACAAUUGGGUGAAGAGUAGAAAGAGCCCGGCUUUUAAGGUUGGGUACAUCUUAAUUUUGUCACAUGUGUAUGUUAUUUGAAGAAUGUGUUAUACUUUAAUACUGUUUUUGGAUUUGCAGGAAAAAAGUGACAAAUACAGGAAAAUAAGAAAGGCUCAGAUUCCACACACCACCAGCCGAAAAAGAAUGGUUCGACUUGCUCAUGAGAUGGUAUGCAUCUAUGUUUGAUAUUAGAAUAAUUAAUGAAAUAUUUUCAGGGACAAACCCUGUAAUAAAACACUAAACGCUUGUUGCUUGUAGAAAAAAAAAAGAGCUCUGAUCCCUCAACGGUGACUAGACUUAAGGUCUGGGUAGCAGGACACACACACUCCAAUGGGAGACCAGUAAGACCAGAAUUUGCAGAGACAAUUGUAAGCAGAAACCGAAUUUCUAAUUCAGCAGUUUUUUGGAAUUUUAUUUUUCAUGACAUUUUAAUUUGCUUGGUAUCAGGAAAGAAUAAAGUCCAUCGAUAGUGAGGUUGGAUCUAGCUCUUGUAAUAAUAUUAGAGAAGAUGCUGUGACUCAAUUGUUAGGGAGAGACAAAGCUGGCCGAAUCAGAGGCUUGGGCAGAGGGGUUACAGCUACCAAGCUAGCAUUCCUUCAGGCACGGGAUGCACAUGUGGAGAAACACAAGCAGAAUUACUCAGUAGGAUUGAAAACUUGCAGAGUCUAAUGAGUAAUUUCAUAGACAAAGGGAACAAGGUAAGUGAAAUAUUGUCUUGUGUUUAUGUUGUUAAUGGAUUAGAACUUGCAUGUCUUGAACUGUCGAAUUUUUUUUUCCCAGAAACAUUGUGAUGAUGUAUCCGUCAAUGGGAACAGUGAUGAUAGCAAAGAAGGAACUAGGUGUCAACUGCUUGAUUGGAUUUCAGAUGAAGAAGUUGUUGUGGGUGAAGGAAAAUUCUGCUCCGUUGAACCAACUUACAAGAUUGGCCGUAUUCCAUUAGGCCCAAAUGCGGCAGCUGUUUUACUGAAGUGUGCCAUUAAGGCAGAAGCAUCUAUCUGGAGACCAACCCAAACUGUGACAGUAUUAGGCGAAGCAGUGGGAACCAAAAUUGCAUGGACAGCUUAUAAGGCCAUCUUGGACAAUGAAUCUAACACACCAACUGACAAUAACACUGCCGGCUCUACUGUAAAGUUUUUCUUCUGAGUUCACUUCUGAUAUAUUGUUUGUGUGUCUUUGAUGCUUCACUUCUUAUUCUGAUAUAUUUGAUAUAUUUUAUGUUUUAUGGCUGACUUGUUAGGCAAAAGAUGAUUCAGUUGAUAAGGUCCGCAUAAUUGAUUGGAUUGUGGAUGAUGAAGUUGUGGGUGAGGGUCGUCUAUAUUCAACUGAACCAAAGGAAAUGGUCAACAAUAUUCCUAUUGGUCCAAAUGCUGCAGCUGUAAUUGUCGACAAGGUGCUUAAAGAAGAUGCUUCUUUGUGGAGACCUAGUAGUGAAAUGUUAGUGUUUGGUGAUGUGCUACAUAUGAAAAUCGUUUGGCCAAUACAUAAGGUUGAACUGAUUAAUGUUCUAGUCAAAAGAUCAUCACCAAAUUCAGUAAAACUCUUUUUCUUAUGGUUUAUACUUCUCAUCAUAUCGUUUUAAUACUUGUCUGAUUUUGGAUGUGUUUGUAAUAUUGACUGAUGUAGAGUACAAGUAACAGCAACAACAGCAGCAUGGUCAAUCUGGUUCAAAGAAGUGCUUCUUAUUAGAUUGUCAUAAUCCGAAACAAAGGGUUGCAGAAGGCAAAGUUCUAUCAAGUAAUCCUACUGACUUAGUCCAUUUUAAACCAUUAGGUCCCAAUGCCAGCAAGGUGUGGGUUCUAUUGCCCCUGGUUGAAGAUGCAAAGGUGUGGAGACAGAAUUCAGAAAUUGAAUUCAUUAAAGAUGCAGUGGGUAGAACCGUGGCUUGGCCUAAUGAUAAGCUGCUUUUUAUAUGAAUCAAUGAACCAUUGAGGUGAACAUUUGGUAUUGUGUGUGAUGUAUUAUCUGUAUUUCUAAGUACAAUUGACAUUGUUGUUCUGAUGUUUCAUUUAAUGACAAAUUUCCAUUUAAUUUGGGUCAUUAUAUACUUUGAUGAAUUCACUGAUUUAUAUUUGAGGCUAUCAUGUGGUUUAAUUUUGGUGAAUUAACCGGUUAAUUUAUUCAGCUUAAAUCGAAUGCAUCUGGUAAAAUUAGGAUGAAUUAAUCGGUUAAUAUAAAAUAAACCAGCAUUCAAUUUAUGCUGAAUACAUAUAUAUUUGAUGAAUUCUACUUAUGCUGUUUUAAAACAAAACCAUAAUAAUUUCAUUAAAUUAAUUGAACAAUUAUAUUAAGCUUUAAAUUUGUAACUUAAUUAUAACACAUAUCUUCAAAUAUAUUGGAAAUAAGGUUAAUAUAUAGUAAUAAAUUAACAAAUUAUUUUGUAAUUCAUAUUUACAAGGUUUAAAAAUGAGUGGUUAGGGUUACAAGUUUAGGGGUUAGGGUUAAAAGUUUAGGGUUCUAUUAUGAAGCAAUAUACAAUUGUAACUCUAAAUAUUGAAACAAUAUAUUUACAAUGUUUUUCAUAGAAUAAAUCACUUUGUGUAAAUAAUAACUUAAAAAUAGUAUUGUAUUUCACAUUUUCAAUAUUUAGUCUUCAGGGAUAAGAGAUUAGAGUUUAGAGUUUAGAGUUUAGGGUUUAUGGUUGGAUAGAGAUUAAAUGUAUGUUUGAUUUUCAUUUAGAAUUUUAUAUAGUCAUAAAAUUUUAAAAUUAAUUUCUAAAUAUAUGGACAUAACAAAUGUGUUAUUUUCAUAAUUGUCAUUUUUAAAUAAAUUAAAAUACAUUAUACAAUAAAUUUAAAAUGAAAAUUAUUAUUUUGAACAAAAACAACCAAUAGUUAAAGAGCACUAGGAUUCAUUAUCCUUGUUCGAUCUUAACCGUACGAUCAAGAAUCUAUUACUCUUACAACCGUACGAUCAAUAAAAUUACUACCAAUCACAAACGUAGUAUCAAUACUACUACUUACAAUCUAAACCGUAGGAUCAAUAAUAAUAAAGAUGAAUGAGAGAUGUAGGGUUUAUCUCUGCAUCGAGUGAUAGCCUCAGGGAAUAGGAGAGGGAUAACGAUAGAGAGUCUCAGUGAUAAUCUUCAAGGAGAGGACGGCUGAGUAAGGAACCCUCGGAAGAGGAGGAUCCACAGUACGACGACGAUCAAUUUUCCUUCUUCUUUCAUUGCGUCACAAACUCCAGAUCUCAAUCCCAAAGUUCAUCGCAUCUUCUCUCCACUGUAAUCUUUACAUCUCUCUCCUCGCAUCUUCUCUGAAUUGUUAUAGUUUUGUUUGAAAUUGUUGAUGAUUGCUAUUGUUUAGGGCUUUCUUCACCGUUUCUUCUUCUUCUCUCAGUCGUUUAGUAUUAAAAUUGUAAGAUAAAUUGACAUCAAUUUUUUUUUUUUGUAUCUGAGAUAGAUUAGAGGACGAACAAGGUAUGCAGAUUCUGAUUGCUACAGGUCAGAAACUGCAUAGUCUGAUAACAAUCUGAUUGCAUCGCAUCCUUAGUCUCUCUAAUGUCAAUAAUAAUAUGAGAAUUAUAAUUCUGGUCAUCUCAAUCGUUGAGUUGAAUAAAAAUCGAAUUUACCCAAAGUUUUGAUACGGUUCUUAAUUUAUUUGUCUGAUAUGGUUCAGAAAUGGAAUCAAGGAAGGUAAUAGUCUGCGGACUCCCGACAAAAGGAAUAAUACCGCAGAUCCGCCAACAUCCACGACAAGAAGCAGAUGAUGAUCGAGCAAGUGAUGUAGAGGAUAUCACCAGAGAACAGUACCGGAGAUCUUUAGGGUUCAGCUUGGUCCGCCUUGAGGAAGAUGAAGACAUUGCACCAGAUUACCAUCAGGCCAUCAAAAGCAUGAUAAAAGAGGAACGUAAGUACGCACUACAGAGACAAGAAAGAGGAGAGUCCUCCCAAGACAAGGCUCGUCGAGAGGGGAAGACGCAGAAAUAAGAGGGAAAAAAUUAUAUUUGUAUCUAAACUAAAAAUUUUGUAUUUGAUUUCAAUAAAUUAAGUACAUUUCCCAUUUGCAAUCCAAAAAUCGUAUUUUUAAAUCUAUAUUUUUUAUAGAACAUUUUGUUUUUAAACCCAAAAAAUGUAAAAACCAAAAUUUUGAAUAUUUGGUUUUUUUUUAUCAAAAAAAAUUACAAUAUGAUAACAGAUAUCUAUUGCUAUUAUAGCUCAUUGAAUACAAACAAACGCUAUUAUAUAAGUAAUCAAUUACUACAAAAAAAAACGCUGUAGUAAAAUAUCAUAUUGCAAAGCAAAUGUUAUUCUAAACGAAGAUAUCAUAUCAUUAUGGCAGCAUAAUAACGCUGUCAAAACUUUUUAUAAUUAUUAAAAAUAAUAUUGUAACACAAUUCAACACGCUAUUAAAAGAGGGACUAUAACAGCAUAAUAACGCUGUGAAAUCAUACUAUUAAUAACAAUAAUAAAACGCUAUUACUAAUACUUUAAUUGCACACCAAAAACCGCUACAAAAAAGAACGCAUUAAUAGCAACACGUACAUCCGCUAUCUUAAGAUCCCGACCUUUAAUAACGGACGAUGAUAGAGCGCUUAGCACAACACUAUUAUAUUGUAAGAUAGCGAUUUCCGUUCGCUACUAAAGCCCUUUUUUCCUGUAGUGUAUGUUUUUGAUUUCGUUUAUCAUGUCUGAAUAGUUCUAUUGUUGGGUCUAAGGGAUUUUCGAUGGGGAUAUAUAUGUUCGAUGAGGAUUCCAUGAGCUAUUGAAGCCGAAUCUUAGAACUUUUUCUUCUGAAUUUAUUUUUACUGCAUGAGAGUAGCAUCAUGAACUACAAUCUGAUCCAGAUGCUUGGUGACACGAAAGUGUUCAUCCGGUGUCAGAUCUAGUUUGGGAGAGAAAAACAAACAUAGGAGUGGAAACCUACCUAUGGGCGAUUUGUGAAUGCUGACGAGUCUUAAACAUAAUGCAUCUCUUCUCUUCCAGGGCCAGAGUGGAAACCCUAAUUCGUAUCAUCACCUUUUACACCAUCUUGUUUUCUUAUAGUUUUUAUACUUUAGCUUUAGGGAGAGAGAGAUCUAUCUCUUGAACUCUUGUUCUUUCUUUUUCAAUUUCGAUUUCUGUUCUACUUUUUAAUACUAUGUUUUUGAUUUUGUUUAUCAUGUCUGAGUAGUUCUAUUGUUGGGUCUAAGGGAUUUUCGAUGGGGAUAUAUAUGUUCGAUGAGGAUUCCAUGAGCUAUUGAAGCCGAAUCUUAGAACUUUUUCUUCUAAAUUUAUUUUUACCGCAUGAGAGUAGCAUCAUGAACUACAAUCUGAUCCAGAUGCUUGGUGACACGAAAGUGUUCAUCCGGUGUCAGAUCUAGUUUGGGAGAGCAAAACAAACAUAGGAGUGGAAACCUACCUAUGGGCGAUUUGUGAAUGCUGACGAGUCUUAAACAUAAUGCAUCUCUUCUCUUCCAGGGCCAGAGUGGAAACCUACUGGUCAGGGUUGAGAGAGAUUGUUGUCUAUGAUCACGACAGUGGCGUAUUCAUACGUCCGUCUAGUUUGAAAAGUUUAAGCUAAGAUCUUAUCAAAUUUACUCCCUGACAAUGUUUUGAAUCGUUCAUACCCCUGAGAAAACUUCCCUGAAACCCAGCGCCUCUUUUCUAUAGAUUUAUACCGAUUUUUAUUCAAGCUUUAGUCUAGUAUCUUUACUCUUUCAAUCAAUUUUCAUUUAAACAAUUAGGUUUAGCCGUUUUUCUCGUUUUCAGUCGUUUUUGUUAAGUUUAGUCAUUAGAUUUUUUUGAUUCCCGUAUUUUCUCUUUGAGAUUAGUUUUUACGUUUUAAAGAAACCACCAAAACCCUCACCAAAAUCGCCUGGUUCUAGACUUCCUUACUUUAUAUUUCUUUCGAAGGCUUUUGCAGGAAAGAUCCUCCUUCCCUGUGGAUUUGAUCCCUAAGUACUACAAUCGAUCAGUUGUGCACUUGCGGCUAUUGAUUUCAUUUAGGGUAAAACUUGACAACCCUCGACACGACCACAUCAAGUUUUUGGCGCCGUUGCCGGGGAAGGCACGCAUUUUCUUUUCCGCAAAACCCUAAGAAAGGUUGGUAAAUUGACUCCAGAACUCUUUUUCUGCAUAUUUCCAUUUUUCGGUUCUUUUGUUUCUAUUCCUGAAGCAAUGGAUCCUAUAAAUCGAAAUCCCUACUAUGAGGGAGGUUUUUACAAUACUCCUCAAGCCACCAGACGCAGAGAAGAACACCAAGCCCGAGAUCUUAGCUACAUGGAUCGAUACAGCCAGCCAAAUCAUCCAUACCACCGGCACAGAGAGCCAGUUCGACGCCGGGAAGAUCCUUAUUGUCCUCCUCCGACCUAUUUCGAGCCACACGUCUAUCAUGCUCCACCGCAAGAGGACAACUUGAGGAUCAGCAGACAUUUGGGACGUCUCGAAGGAAUGAUAAACCAGUUCCUUGAUCAGCAGAUUCUCACCGAAAACACUCAGCUCAAGAGAAUUGAUUCAAUCUCUGAAGAGUUCAACAGAAAAUUCGAUGAUCUGGCCAAAUGUUCGAGUUCUGGAAGAACAAACCCACAAGGACGCACAAACACUAGCUGGAAUAAUCAACCAAGUCGCAGCAGAGCAGACAAGGCAAGGGUAUGAUAUCAUACAAAACUCAAGUAAUUUUGUCGAAUCGAAGCAGGAGAUCAAAGAAGUCAGAGAAUCCGCCUCCUGGUAUAGAGAGAAGACAGACAAAGAGUUGCAGGAGAUCGAGCACAGGCUGAGCAAACUCGAGCUCAAAGCACGACAGAUUGAUGCAAGAAUGGAACAGAUACCCAGCAUUGAGCCAAUUGUGAGAUUUUCUAAGAAAUCUCCCAAAGAUCCUGGUGAAGAUGCACAACAACACCCCGGUAUAAGUUUAAAUGAUGCUAGUUUACCGAAGAAAGAGGCUGAAGAGGUACGUACCAAGUACGAGAAAGAGGAAGCAAACUAUGAGCAGGACACAUUCGGAGCCGCGGGUGCGACCAUCCUGACCACGGCCAAGGUCCCUUUUCCCGCGGUCACGAGACCUCUGACCGCGGGAAUUGGUCAUUCAGAUUCGCCUCCAGGAUUUGAAAAAAAGAUAAUACAUCUUCUGUCUCAAAUUCAACCUCCAGCACCUAAAAAAGCAACUCAGGAAGAAGAAAACCAAGUUUCAGAUAAAGAAACAGAUUGGCAUGAAUCAUUACCUUGUAUGAUGGCAAAGGAAUGUGUUGAGGAUUCAGCUGACUCUUCAAUCCAAGAAGACCCAAUAUGCAGCAAAAUAAAGAUGCCAUACAUCGAUUCAAUCAUUGAGUACGACGCUGCAACUUUCUUUUGUGAAUCUUAUUCUGCGUUUGAAACACCAGCCAACAACACUUACAGAGAAAGGCAAGUUCGAACUCUCCAUAAGGUGAAGACUACAGGUCAGUUUCUCAUCUCUUGUUCUAUUAAAGGAGAAAUGUUUAAAAACAUACUUUGUGAUUCUGGAACUUGUCUUAACAUGAUGUCCAAGGCAAUUGCUUUGCGACUUGGUAUUAAACACCUGCGCAGGACUAGAGCAAAGAUUAGUCUAGCUGAUGAUUCCAAUGCAACACCUCAAGGGAUAGCUCAUGGCAUUCCUUUGAGAAUAGGAGAUUGCAUUGUGCCUGUCGACUUCUACAUUGUCAAAACCAGAGACGCAACACAUCCAGUGAUUCUCGAAUGGUCUUUUCUAGCAUCUUCCAGAGCUAUAAUGGACUGGCCGAACCGGAGGAUUUCGUUUUCCAAUAUCGACAAAGUUGUCUUCACAGAAGCUGUCCCAUACAACAGCAAAGCAGGAAAACGUUCUGCAACAGAAGAGUUUGAAGAAGAGCUUUGGAGUGACGAAGAACCUGCUAGGCAAAGCAAGGAGAUGUCAAAUAAUAUUUGUCUCAGGACAAGAUCUUCUUCUUUUUGGAUCCAGAUAAUGCGAAGCAAUGAGUUGCUUAGGUUAUUUAUUAAUGCUAUAGUUAUUAGUUGCUCCUAUUAGGUAAGUUCUUUUUUUAUCUUAAUUUAAUCGAAUCCUAAACCAACGAGUCACACACUAAGCAUAGCAAUUAUAUCAAAGGAGUUUUGAUGGAAAUUUUUAUUAAACCUUAUAGAAUUUCUGAUUUUUUUCUUAAACAUAAAAAAGAAGACUGCAAUUUUUUUAUUACUGUAUAAUGUUAUACUACAUAGUUUUCGUUUUUUUUAUCGUUGGAUAAAAUGUAAAGAAAAAUAAAGUUUUUUAUUCUUCAUCUAAGAAUAUCCAAAUUUUUAUUCCUAAGACCCCAUAAAUAGUUCGAACUGUAUAGGAACAAUAAUCAAUUUUAGCUUCAAUUGUUUGUAAAGGAACUCUGCCUUCUCUGAUCCAUUCAACACGUGCAAUUUCUUUUCCGUCGAUACGUCCUGCAAUUUGUACUUGAAUUCCUUUUGUAUGCGCCUGUUCAGUUAAUUCAAUAGCUUUUUUCAUUGCUUUUCGAAAAGAAACGCGAUUUUUUAAUUGUCCAGCUAUAAAUUCUGCAAGAAUAUUAGGAUUCCCAUACGAAUUGGAAAUUCGGGGAAUAGCAAUGUUGAGUUUUCUAUUGACACAAUUAAGCUCUUUUUGAACAUUCAUCUGUAAUUCUUCGACUCUUCGGGGUUUAUCUUCAAUUAAUAAUUUAGAAAAUCCCAUAUAGAUUAUGAUCUGAAUGAGAUCGAUUCUUUUUUGAAUUUCGAUACGUGCAAUUCCCUCCAUACCAGAGGAUAUUCUUAUAUUUUUUUGAACAUAAUUUUUAAUACAGUCUCGUAUUUUUUUAUCUUCUUCUAAACCUUCAUAAUACAUUUUUGGUUGUGCAAACCAAAGAGAAUGAUGACUUUGGGUUGUACCAAGUCUGAAACCAAGUGGAUUUAUUUUUUGUCCCAUAGGCCUCCACUACUAUAUGUAUGAUAACAUGUUAGAUUUAGGUUUUCAUUGCUGCAUCCAGGUUUUUUUAAAUACAUUAAAUAUUCUUCAGAUUGUUGAUAGAAGGAUAUAUCUUCCAAUACGAUAGUUAUAUGACAAGUGGAUCUUUUUA